ACCUGCAAACCUCCGGCAGCUCCUCCGGCGACGGCGGGCUCGGCGCCAUGUAGCAGAAGAAGGUGUCCCUCCAGUUCGCCACCGCCGCCGUGUACAGGUCGAAAUUGCUGUUGUACACCACCUUCCUCGUUACGUCUCGCGUGUAGAACGCCUUCUUCGCCUCGUCGUCUUGCUCGUAGAACCGCCUCACCCCCUCCUUCAUCUCCUCCAUCGCGGCCGCCGGGACCCCGUGGUUCACCACCUGGAAGAACCCCAGCGUCUCCGACGCGCGCCGCAUCCCCUCGAUCGCCUCCUUCCUCUUGGCCGGGUCGCGGUCGAUCCCGCCGAGGUCGAUGACCGGGACGCUGAGAUUCUCGGUGCCGCCGCUCGAUCCGGAGCUGUCUUCGGAUGUCUCGUCCGGUCGGAUGAAGAUUCUGGGGACUUCAGUGAUCCCGGCGUCGACGAGGCCUUUGACGCCGGCUUUCGAGUCGUCGAACGCUUUCAGCUCGCUCGCUCUGUCAUAGCUCUGCUCUCCCGAGGCCAAAUCGAUGGUAGGCAAUGUGAAUGUGAAUUUGUUGGAUAUGAGCUUGAAUUAUGAAUUGAAUGUUGGGGAGACAUUGCAAUGCGUGAUAUGAGCAGCUCUUCUUUUAUAGAUGAGAGAUGGAGAUAAGAGAAGAGUGAAAUCACAUUGGGAGGAUCCAUUUGACUUCAGAAUAAUGAGGUCCACAAAAAUGGAAGGAGAAAGUCAUAGCUUAUGAGCUACCACUUGCUUAGAAAAAUGACAAUACUGUUUAAUAAUGGCUGAUUCUUUGGGGGACCAGGUAGCUAGUACACAAGUUUUGCAAUUUAUGGAUAAGAUAUCUGUUAGGACAGAGUUGACCAUUCAUAGAUGACAGGACAAUUAAUUGUCGUCUAAGCGUAUGUAGAUUUUUGCCUUGCGGUUGAUUCUGGUUGUCGUUGAGCAAGUUGAAGGCUGGCAAGAAUUCCACUUUUAAACCUUGCCGUCAAUAUACAUAGUGUAAGUCGAAUCUGAACCAAACAUAAAUGUUCCCAAAAGUGCAGAUUUUUCUCGUGGUAGAUUAGUGUUUUAACUGACAUACAAGCAUUCAACAUAGGUUUAUCUAAAGAUAGCAUCUUUCUUUCCAUUUGAGAGGGGUAUGUGUUAAUCUUCCUCUCCCCCUAUUUUUUGUUCUUUUUCAGGUUCAGCUUUUGUUUGAAAAGGAUCUUUGUUUUUUAGAGUUGCAUGGGUGCUAUCAAAUGAAGCAAUAUAAGCAUUAGCGAAAGCAGUGAAGAAAGGCAAUCCUGUUCUUUGGUAGUUUUACAUAGAUGAACAUCUGGAUGGACUUUUAUUUUCAAAUACAAACAUGAAGAAGACCACAUAAAAAAGUAGCCCCUCCGCUAAUAGAGCUAAUGAAGGGAAAUCCCACCUAAUACCAUGAAUAUCCUCUGCCUGUUAUCUUCUCAUCUUCCUGUUUACAGAGUCUACAGCUUGAAAUGAGGAAGGGCAGAAGUUCCAUAUACGCCCUUGGAAAUGUAAUGGGCAGUGUAGUUUGGAAGUGUAGUCUCCUUGUAGAUUGGUGCGUUGUCUGCUGAUGUUAAUUCCUUGAUGGGUCCAUACAGCCUUGAAGAUGGCUGGGGAGUGUGGCCGAAAAAGCACGCCACCGACACUCUCAGGCCUCUCUUGUUUGCCACAACUCGGUGCUUGACACUCUUAAACUGGUCGCUCAUUAUGAGCUGCGAAUGUAACAAUUAGUGAAUCAUUUUUAGUAAGGAAUGAAUAGAUGUAGUUUCUAGAUACUGCAAUGAUUUCAAUCUUCAUGUUGAUGAAUACAGAAAACUGCAGAAUUUCUAGGACCCACAUAGACCGCUCCUGUGAAAAGUGCUCUACACACAUCCCUCUCAUUUAGACAAUUUUGAACCUGUCAAAGAGAGGCUAGCAUGAUACAACUAAGUUAGAAUCAAGUUUGGAUUAGUCAAGUUCAGAUUAUGAAGACAUUAUGUUAUUGCUACAGGGAAGAUGCCAUGGUAAAUUGUUGGGCUCUUUAACUGGCUUAGCAUAUGAGAAAGUACAGAAGAAGGACGAGAAGAGGAUUGCAGUUUGUCGACCAAUCAAAACAAGGUUUCAGAGAAGCUCAGAGAUGAACGAUGAUAUCUGGCCAAAUCUACUUACUUGCAAUAGAUCUCUGAUGUUGAUCACUAGUGCUCCAGGAAUUGGAGGAACGUUGAUCCACUGGUUCUCAUGAAGCCCUUGAAGUCCUCAAAUUUGAUCUUGGAGGAGAAUUGUGAGGAAGUCAUUGUCCGAAUUCUUUGUCACACCCAGGGUCAACUCAGGUUGGGGGCAUGGCGGAUAGUAGUGGCACAUGAUCGAGUGUCCUUUUCCACACUUGCUUUGAGUACAACAUUAGCAUUUCUCUGCCAGAGAAUUUUUUAUGCAUCAGAAAACCGAUGCUGUAAAAGUAUGGUUGGACAGAUUCCCAGAGAACACCAGAAAGUGUAAUGGUCUGUAUCAAUUUGGGAACAAAAGCUUGGUAUCGCUAUCGCUAGAAUGCAAAUAAAAUCAACCACCGAGGAACAUCCUAUUUCUGCUCAAAAAGAAUGAAACAACCACCUCCAAGGUUCCCGUCAGUGAAAAUGAUCAAUCAUUGAGGGUCAUCUGACUGAUCCGUCUCAUUGAUUGAGACUCGAUGCAAGCUUAUAUGCUAUGACAUGUGCAGCAGAACUCAGGUGGGAAAUGUCAUACAAAUUCAGCGGUAGCAAUUUUUCUAGCCAGCCGAACGAAGGACUGGACACUUUCAUUUCCUCAGUGUUCAUCCCCUAUUCCCACAGUUAUAAUGGAAACGUAUGCGAAUCACUCAAGUAUCAUGUACUUGCUAGUUUAGCCCUUGAUUAAAGCAGUUGCCUUGCAAAGUAUUGUACAGUGAAAAGCGGUUGCCUUCCACCUGUAUGAACUACUGCAAUUCUUUCGCAAACUAUCUUUGUCAAUUCACUUUGCGAAUUUGUUCAUGAAUUUUCCCUUUUCUGAAAGGUGAAAAAUGCAAGAGAGGCCAUCGGCUCACCUGCAAGCUUCGGGCAACUCCUCAGGCUGGGGAGGCUCUGGUCCCAUGGUGCAAAAUAUGCUGUCCCUCGAAUCAGCAGCUACAAUUAUAAAGGGCCAUGCUGCUGUUGUGUAGGACCCUCUUUGUAAAAUCUCUGGUGUAGAAUCCUUUCUUGGCCUCCGUCUCCUGCUCAAAGAACCUGCGCGACCACCACACCCCCCCCACAUCACCUCCUCCAAGAGGGUCUCAGGGACCCCAUGGUUGAUCACCUGGAAGAAACCCCAUUUUUCCAAUGCUUGCCCGAUAUUCUGCACCGUCUCCUUGUGACAGGCGGGCCUGCAUUCGCGCAUCCUAGAUUAAUCACUGGGUUGUCCACGCGAUCCUCACUACAGGCCAUGCUGUCAGGCGGCCGGACAAAUAUGUGGGGGACUUGCGUGAUCCCGGCAUCCACAAGGCCUUUGACUCCAUCCUUAGUCUCAUCGAAUGCUCUCAAUUCGCUCACUCGGUCAUGUUCGGUGUCUCCGGUGGUGACCAUUGUGUGUUCUGUCACGAGGCCUUACCGUAUUUGGGCAAGUUGGGUCUUGAUGAAGUUCACUUUACGUGGUUAUAUAGUGGUCAUAUUGGAUAUCCACCAUUUUUUAUUUAGAGAAGAAGCUAAACACAAGGGACAUGAAGGUUGUCGAGAGUUUUCUUUUUUUAAAUGAAAUUUGGCCCAAGAAGAUGUCAAACGCUAGGAGUUGGCAACUUAAGAAUUCCUUGCUUCUUGACUAAGAAAGUGUUUGUCGCCACGACCAUAAUAGCACAUGUUAACGGUAUCUUCAAGAAGAUUAGGGAGGGAAAACGUUUUCCAAUUGGGAUUAUUACAUGGUUGGAUAGAUAGACUUUGAUAGUUACUUGUCCAAAUCUUGUGCAUUCUCCUCUUUAUAUAUAUAUAAAACAUGAUUAAUUGACCUGGGGGCUAUGUAAAGAGCUCACAAAUGUUUACUUAACUAUUGAAACAUUAUUUUUAAUAAAAUGAAGAAAUGAGGAGAAAUAAGAAGAGAUAAACUAAUUACUUAAAUAUAUUAAUUAAAAAUCAUAAGUAAUUAAUUAAUUUCCUAACAAGAGGAAAUCCAAUAUUAUUUCAUUCAUUCCUUACUCGAGAGUUCUUUUUUCGCAUUUAUGCAUAAACAUGAUUGAUGCAAACAAUAUGGAAGAGCUUGUAAAUUUUUACUAAACUAUUGAAACAUUAUAUUUAAUAAAAUGAGCUAUCGUGAACAAUAAAAUGAGAUUAAUUGAUUAUUAAACACAUGAAUUAUAAGCCAUAAGUAAUUAAUCGAUUUCCUAGCAAAUAAAAUUUAUUUUCAUUCAUUCCUUCUUUUUUCAAAUAUAUGAGAGAACGUGAUUGAUGCAAACAAUAUCGGAAAGGCUCAUGAAUUAAUGACUAAUUAUAUGGUGACUGGUCACUAUUUAAAACUCUAAACAAAGCCAAACAUGGAAAUAAUAAAUUGCGAAAGAUCAGGUGACACGUAUGCUAUUUUCCCCACAUAAGUUACCCCUGACAAAAGAAUUAGAAGCAAAAUAAUGUAAUUAGUAUUUAAAUUUUGAUACUCUUUGUCAGCGGCCCUAUAUUAGAUAUUAUGACAUAAAAACAUAUAAAAAAAUCCAAUUAAUGUACAACCGCAAAAAAAAAAAUUAAAAUAAUCACAAUGUUGCAAUACUAUAUAUGCAGUGUACAAAAAUGUCUCAAAUUAUAAGAAUAUGUACACUGGAAACUACUUAGAGAUUCAUUACUUAAAAAUGAGCAUUGUAAUAUUUUCACCUUUGUUGAUGUCAUAAAUAUAAAAGCUUCAUUAAACUUAAAUAAUUUUACAAAAUACCAACUAAAUUACACCAAAUAUACUUCAACUGGUUCUAAAAUAUUGAGACUAAAAAAAAAACAAAAAUAGUACAAUAUAAUAUAGAUAACGCCCCCAAAAUUUGAUAAAGACCUCGGCUUCUCUUUACCUAUGGGUUGGGCUGGACUGACCCAAAUAAUCUUUUGUUUCCACCACCCUUCACCUCAUCGCCAUUUUCACGCCACCAUCCAUAACCCUACUCUCAAAGCCAACUCGGGCCCUCUCAUUGUCUCAGCAAGCCAAUCCACAAAGUCGCCCAUUCUUCGAAAGCAACAAUUUAAGAAGAAAAAGUGUUAGGAAUUGGAGACUAAAUCAGGUCUGGUCUGGGUUGAGUCUGAGUUGGGUCGGCUAUGUUUGAGGGCCUAUGUUUAAGCCUCAUUCGUCAGCAAUUAAAGGGAAAUCGUCGUCGCCCGGGCAUUAGCUUUUGUCUCAGUUGUCAGUUCUUUGAAUGAGAGUAAGAGACGCUCAGGCGAAAAUAAUUGUAAUGUGUUUUCUUCCCAUGGUUCUUUAUUUUCUCCAAUGGUUCAUUGGCUCGUUUUACUUCAUUUAUCGUUAGGAAGAGGUUUCUUUUUUAUCCUCUGUAAUUGAGAGAGGCAGUAUACCAUUGCUGUAGCUAAAGAUUACUCCAAGAAAGGACCUUUAAGGUCUUUAGUUAACCUAAUAUUUUUUAGGUUGACAAGAGGAAACCUAAAUUUGCCGUGAUUAAUGUUUUUUUGGCGGACUCAUUGAGCAAUUGGUGGCCUUUUCUUAAGCUCUAAAACAGGGAAAAGAACCAAAAAUGCUCUAAAUCUAUUGCAUUAAUACCAAUUUAGUCAUAUAAUUUUCAACUUAACCAAUUUAGUCCUAAACAUUUUAAUAUUAGUACCAAUUCAGCCCGUCCUGUCAAUUUAGGCCGAAGUCACUGAUGUCGAUGCCGACCUCCUACUUGGCAUGGUUGGCAGUAGAUUUAGGACUAAAUUGGUCUAAUUAAAAGGUUUAUGACUAAAUUGGUACUAAUGUAAUAAGUUUAUGACUUUUUUGAUAUUGUUCCUCUCUAAAGUUUGGAUCAAUAGUAAAUAUAUUGGUCAUUUUUGCUUCAGGAGUUUAUUAUAAGAGGUGUAGUUUGUACGUGGACUAUAAAGAAAUUUCAAUUUAUGCGGGGUGCUUGAUAGGGUCAUUAACUUCUCUGUUUACUUGUGAUGGACUUGAGGGUUAGAAGAUCCUAUAGUCAAGGUUAAAGAACUGCCAAAAAAUGAGAUGAGAGGCUGACAUUGAACUUUGGAUAUGAGGUUGAUCUGCACGUAUCAAAAUCAUGUUGUCAUCUUCUUCCCACCUAAUUUUGGAAGUACUUUAUAUUCUUCAGUUGGCAGAGCAUCAGAGUAAUAUUGCAAUAUGACAUUUUCUAUUGGAAAGAACAAGAUAGAUUACUUGUGAAAAAGUUAUUAAAGGUCGCCACCCCUGCAAAAAAUGAUUUUCAAUAAAUGACCUCUCUCAAAAAUUCAAUGAGUUCUGAAGUAAACGCUGUGUUUUGCUCCUUCUAUAAACAUCUAACAUUCUUUUCUUUAAAUCAGCAAUAAUACUACUGGAGGAAUGGAAUCUUUCAAUCUCUUCUUCUCCUUGCUUUUGCUAGCAUGCAUUCUUAUCCAUGCCCGGAGUUCAUUUGAAACUUAAGGAAUGAUUGGAAUCUUAAGAAGGACCUUAACUAGCUAGGAUCUUUAUAUGGUCCCAAUCCUAAGCUAAGAAAAAUCAUCAGAUUGAUGCGAUCCUAUUGAUCCCAUUGACCCAACUUUGACAUACUUUGACCUUCAAAUAUGUAUAUUUGAUAUUCAAGUGACAAAAAUACUAAUAUUUCUUGUACAUGUGGUAAAUAAACUAUAAAUUCACGCCAUUUUGAAGUUUUAAUGUCGUGCGACAUUCAUAAUUAACAAACUUCCUAGGACUAUCCAAGAUAUUUGUAUCGUUGGUGUGAUUUCUGGGAUCUUACGGUCCACCAUUUGAUGUUACAAUCCAAUGCUUUAGACGCCUUCAUUGAUAAUAAGUUGGAUCUCGCUCCUAACAACCUUGUUCUUGACUGCAGAAAACUCAGCCAAGAAAGUACCAACAGUUAAUGAUUGUUCCUAACAUCCUUGUGCCUAACAACCCUAGGGCAGACUGACAAAAGUGCCUAGGACCAGAAUCAAAGCCGUUCAGCUUGUUACUGAUUGUCAAAAUGCUAUUCCAAACAGCCUUCUUGUUCUAGGGAAAGAAAGCCACUCUUUGAGGUACUUCCUUUACUAGAUUGCCUCCAUGGAAAAUUAGCCUUCUCACUCAUAUUUGUCUCGGAAAUGACAGAUCGAAACAAUUGAAAAUACCUAUCAAUAGACAAAGACCAAAUGAUGCUUAUCUUCAGUGUGAUCCACACUCUCAAUAUUGUAAAGAAAAAUGAAGGAAUACCACAUUGUUCCCAUUCCCAAUCUUGGAUUAGCUAUCCUUUUUUAACAACUUCUACUCUAGGAGUGCUCCUGCUCACUUCCAUCAUCCACAUUAUGCAAGAAUUUGUGUUUUCUUAGAUAGUUAAACUUGUAGAAUGUGGUUUAGCUUUAGUAGUUAAAUAGUUCUGGGCUUAUCCCAUUUAUUGAGCUGAAAUUCUGUAGGCCUAGUCAUGUUGCUGAUGGAAGAGGUAAUUAUCUAGAUUCUCUGAUGGAUUCUUCAUCCUUAGUUAUGCUUUUUGAAAAAUACUUCUAUAGCAUGAAAUUGUGAUUGCAACAUCAAUGGAUGAAGGAUGAGUUUCAUUUUAUUGAGGUUGUUUCACAUCAAUUAUGGAAAAGGCUGGUGGUUGGUUUAUAAAUGUGAGAGAAAAUCUCCCUGCUUUGAGCUAGUAUAUGAGGUGAGAGAGGCUCAAGACCAACCAACACUGGUAUCAGAAUCCAAUUGCCAAUAAAUCUAGACUCAACAAUCUCAUGGGAGAGUUACGGGUUGUCCCUACUCCAAUUCAAGAUCUAAUGUGUGAGGGGGAGAUUGUUAAGACUGUUUCACAUCAAUUUAUGUGCUCUAAAUACAUCUUUUGUCAGGUACAGCAUAAAGGUCUUCUAUGGCAACAUUUCUGCAAACAGCUUCCCUUGUUUUCUUGUAAGUUGAGCUUUAUUGCAUUAAUGCAUGUGUCCAGAAUCGACAAUCAAAUAAAUAAAUAAAUAAAUUGUGAAGAAGUAAAUAAGCUUGUGAUUUUAAGCUAAGUCCAUUCCGUGAUAUGAUACCGUCUUCAAUGGAUGAUUACUUUCAAAAAGCCAUGUCCACUCAAUUAAUGGAGCAAAAAGUUGAUAUAUUAAAGAAUAUACAGCCACCAUCUUUUUUUAAUCUAAGGCGUCGGCCUUUCCCUAAAACUAAAUAAUCAUGUUACAUGAAUCAGAUGCUCUUCGAUCAACCCUUGAUGAAUAGGCCUAAAUAUUAUAAGAUGAAAAUGCGUCAUUAUGUUAUGAGGUUAACUCCCUUUAGUUCCUUUUUUUAGUCAUAUGAUGCUAUUAUUAUUGGCAUCAGAAAUGUUGCCCAGAAAUGUCAUUUGGGGGCCUCCUUUCCUUUUGGUUCUAUGCACUUUAUAUGAGGAAUCCAAUGUACCCUGAAAUGCUCCAUGCAAUCAUCUCAAGGAUGGAACGCGCAUGCUGUUUAUGGUGAAAACGAUAGGCAAUCGAGACCACCAUAAACCGGAUUAGGAUUUAAUGGGCAAGACUCAUUCAAUUUCACGUUUGGUUCAUGUUUAAAUUAACCUUUCAGAAACAUGCUACGUGCGAUGUAAGAUCAUUAAAUACCAAACAAGGAUGAUUGAACCAAACAAGAGUUGGUCACCAUUCAUCUUGUGCUUGGAAGAGUUCGUCAUAAAGGUUUAGAUGUGCAAAAUUCUUAAGCUAUGACUUAUGAACAGUGCAUGUGAGAUAGAGAAUUCCAUUAGGACUAAAAUUUGUGCACUUCUGGAUUGAGCAAAAUGAGUUGUAGUUUUUUGUUUAACGCUGCAUAUGAACUAUGUGCAUGUCUUCAAUGGGUUUUGCAAUCAAGAACGCACCCUACUUUUGUGUCAUGGAAAGGUGGAACAAUAAGAUAAGCAUUGUAUAACAUUCUCUCACUUUUUCUCUAUAAGAAGAUGAAUUUUGUCUAAGAUUUUAUACAUUUAGUGAGUUGAAUAUGACUCAUUUCCUAUGCCUAAUGGAAAAUUGAGAGCUGUUUGAGUGAGAAAUUCUGUUGUUUUUUUUUAAUUAUUAAACUAUGCAAAACAUAUUCACCACCAUCUCUUUUUAUUGGUGAAUUUUAAUGUCAGUGAAAGCAGUUAGUAAAAGUAGACAUUGCAUUUUCAAAAAGUACGUGCCUUUUUGAAAAGUGACAUCUUAAAGACACGGAAAAACUUUUUUAAAUAGAGACAUGCCAUGUUUCCAAGUUAAUGUGAACUCUUCACAUGGUGGUGAUUCUUUCCUUAAGUCAAACCUUGUCAUGGUCUCUUAAAUAGUGUAUCGAAGUACUCGCUAAUUUAAAAUUUUUCCCCAAUGUUGAUGUCCAUCAUUCAAAUUUGCAACUUCUUAUUGACGAGCUUGCUUGUUUCAGGAAGUUGUAGCCUUUCUUAAGUGGUCCUCGCGCUAUUAAUUUUGAGUACAAUCCAUGGAAUUGUUUGGUCAAAUCUGGUAUAACACUAGCUUUUGAAAGAAUAUUGUUGGGAGCGUUUUGACUGGCUAAGUAUUCCUUUUUUUCUGUGACAUGCUUUGUUCUUAAGAGAAAUUAGCAGUUCUUGAUAUUGGUUGAGACGCUUGGAUACAUUGCAUGGACUGGUUUCAGAAUGGAAUCCAUGUUGGGAGUAGCGGAAAGUACGAGGACUCUUCCCAGAUUUUCCUUAAUAAGAACUGAACUUAAAUUCUUGAAAGGUAAAACAACUGAGGCUUAUGGCUACUUCCAUUAAAUUGGUCUGCUGAUAUGCUCUCAUUAUGACUUGCAGGAUAUUCUAAGUUUAUAUUAGCAUCUCGCUGCUGGAUGUUGGAAACUGCGUUUGAAGACGUCGGUUGCUGAUCUUUGUGGGUCUAAAUACACUUCUGUGUCUACCAGGCCACAUCAAAUGUUGAAGUUUUAGAUCAUUUUCACUUGCACGAAGAUUGUAGCAGGUGGCUUCCCCUUCUACGUGAUCCACGAGUCAGGUCAUAAACCUGCUGUUUUUGGGUCUAUCCUCUUUUUUCUCUUUAGCCCCUUUUUUGUGGACCCCCCUGUCUUCGACACCACCAAAUGUUUCUACGCGCUUGUCCUAUCCUCUUUUACUUUUUAGUCGAUUCCAUUUCCACCUGCUAGAUCUCUAUCACAAGAGAAAAUGAACAAAAAAUGUGUGCUCCAUCCCCGUUUUCCGAUAUGAUGAUCACGUGAUGCUACAUCAGCAUUACAUAUCUGCAAAAAAAAAAAAAAAUUGUCAAAUUUGCAGAGGAAAUCAUAAUCAACAUUACAAGAAAAAAAAAUAGUGUAAUGGUCCUCAGCGAUUCCAAAUUAUGGGAGGAAAUCAAAUUACCGCAAGUGGGAUCGGAAUUGACCCAAUAAAAAGAUAAAGCAGGUGCAAUUAUUUAGUGACGUGAAAGAAAGAGGCGUGGGGUCCUUGUAAAUGUUGGGUGGCGUGAAAGACCUCUCAAAGUCAUCGGGAGUUCAUUUCAAUCAACCUCCACGGCAGUAAGCCUAUUCAUGCACAAUGAUGGUUUUGAAGAAAAGAAAUGGGAACACUCACUCCUGCUUGGGCUAAGUGGCCUUGUUAUGUUGAACUUCUCUUUCCAUUCCAUGGAAAUUAAAACAGCAAUAUUUCGUUACGUGUGCAUAUAUUGAUGAAAAAAUAUUCAUGUUCUUUGACAUGUAAAGCUACUCCUAUUUCUUCUUUUUUGUUUAUGUUUUCUCCCUUUGGAAAGAGUGAGUACUUAACGGGGCAUAAGUAAUUGAUUUUUUUUUUAAAUGAAGGGGAACACCCUUGUUUGCAUUGUUUAGAAUACAAAGAUCAAACCGACAAGUAGCCUAUAAUCACAUCUCCAAUUUGGAAUAUUUCCGUAUCGAUGACAACUUCCACGGUUAAUCUAAUUAUGUUGCAUUUUUAUGUAGUUCAAAAUUUACAAUAAAUUUUUUACUGUUAUCGUCAUCCUACCACUUCCUAAAUUUCAUUUUAUUGGUGAAUUAUUAUAGCGGUAAAGGCCAACAAAAUUUUUUCAAAAAAUAUGUGCCUUUAUGAAAUAUGGCAUGCUUCUAAGACAUGACAUUUCUAUAUUGAUGCAAAUUUGUCACGUAAUGAUGAUUCUAUCUUCAAAUUGAACCUUUUCAUGGUCUCCUUGAUAAUGUGUUUGAACACUAGCUAACUUAAUUUUUACCGAUAUUGAUGUCCAUCAUUUAAACUUGCAACUUCUUGUUGAUGAGCUUGCUCAUUUCAUGAAGUUGUUGCCUUUCUUGAGUGGUCAUCACGCUAUUAAUUUGUAGUGUAAUCCAUGACAAUUGUUUGGUCAAAAUCUGUUAUAACACUAGCUUUAUUGCUAGAGUGUUAAGCAUUCCUCUUUUACUGUGGCGUGCUUUGUUCUUAACAAAUAUUAGGAAUUCUUUAUAUUGGCUGAGAUGUUUGGAUACAUCAUGUGAAAUGGUUUCAGAAUGGAAUUCAUGGUGGGAGCAACAGAAAGUACAAAGACUCUUACUAUGUCCCAGCACAAGCAACAUGCUAAAUAAAUUCUUGAAAGGGAAAACAAUAAAGGUUCAUGGCUACUCCCAUUAAAUUGGUCGGCUGACAUGCUCUCAUUAUGACUUGCGGGAUAUUCUAAGUUUAUAUGAGCAUCUCGCUGCUGGAUGUUGGAAACUGCGUUUGAAGACAAAGAUUGCUGAUCUCGGUAGGUCUAAACACACUUUGUGUGUCUACUAGGCAGCAUCAGAUGUUGAAGUUUCAGAUCAUUUUCACUUGCACAGGGGCUGCAGCAGGUGGCUUCCCCUUUCUACGUGAUCCACGGGCUAGGUCGUAAGCCUGCUGCUUUUGGGUCUAUCCUCUUUUCUCUUUAGUCCCUUUUUUGUGGACCCCGCACGUCUUUGACACCACCAAACAUUUGCACACGCUUGUCCUAUCCUCUUUUUCUUUUUAGUCGAUUUCAUUUCCACUUGCCAGAAUUCGAUCACAAGAGACAAUGAACAAAAAGUGUGUUCUCCAUCCCUGUUUUCUGAUAUGUCGGUCAUGCAGUGCUACAUCAACAUUACAUAUUUGAAAAGAAAAAAAAACAUUAGUCAAAUUAGGGGAGGAAAUCAUAAUCAACAUUACAAGAAAAAAAUCAGUGUAAUGGUCCUCAGCAAUUCCAUAUCAUGGGAGGAAAUCAAAUUAUCGCAAGUGGGAUUGGACUUGACCCAGUGAGAAGAUAAAGCAGGUGCAAUUGUUUGGUGAUAUGAAAGAAAGACGCAUGGAUCCUUACAAAUAUUGGCUUGCAUGAAAGACCUCCACGCCCGGCAAUCUCAAAGUUGUGGGGAGUUCACUUCAAUCAACCUCCACAGCAGUAAGCCUAUUCAUGCACAAUGACGGUUUUGAAGAAAAGAAAUGGGAACACUCACUCCUACUUGGGCUAGGUGGUCAUGUUUCGUUGAACUUCUCUUUGUAUUCCAUGGAAAUUAAAGCAGCAACAUUUCUUUCCUUGUGCAUAUAUUGAAGAAAAAAUAUUAUUGUUCUUGACGUAUUAAGCUACUCUUAUUUCUUCUUUUUUUUGUUUCUACUUUUUUUUUUCCUUUGAAAAGAGUGAGUACUUAACGGAGCAUGAGUAAUUGAUAUUUUUUUUUUCCUAAAUCAAGGGGAGCAACCCUGUUUGCAUCAACCUAUUUGGAAUACAAAGAUGGAGAUCUCCAGUAAUUUUACUUUUUUAACAUCCGGAUAUUUCUCUAUCAAUGACAACUUACGCGGUUAACCUAACCAUGUUGCAUUGUUUUGUAAUUUGAAAUCUACAAUAAAACUUGUUACUGUCAUCGCCGUCAUUAUCAUUUCCUAAAAAAUUCAUUUUCUUGGCCAAUGAUUAUGGCAGUAAAGGCAGACAUAGCGUUUUCAAAAAGUGUGUGCCAUUCUGAAAUAUGGCAUCUCAAAGAUAGAGAAUAGCUUCUAAGACGUGACAUGUUUCCAUGUUAAUGCAAACUCGUCACAUAAUGGUAUUUCAAUCCUCAAUUUGAACCUUGUCAUGGUCUUUUAGAUAGUGUGUUUGAACACUAGUUAACUUAAAUUUUUUCACCAAUCUUGAUGUCCAUCAUUUAAACUUGCAACUUCUUGUUCAGUGAAGUUGUAGCCUUGAGCGGUCAUCACACUAUUAAUUUGCAGUGCAUUUCAUGACAAUGGUUUUGGUCAAAAUAUGAUGUAACCAUAGCUUUUGAAAGAAUAUUGCUAGGAAUGUUAAGUAUUUCUCUUUUAUUGCAGCAUGCUUUGUUCUUAACAGAUAUUAGGAAUUCUUGAUAUUAGCUAAGAUGCUUGGAUGCAUCAUAUGAAAUGGUUUCAGAAUGGAAUCCAUGUUGGGAGCAGCAGAAAGUACAAAGACUCUUACUCUAUUCAAGUACAACUGUACAAGUAACAUGUUAAAUAAAAUCUUGAAAAGUAAAACAAUUGAGGCUCAUGACACUCCCAUUAAACUGGUCAGGUAUUUGAUCAGAGUUUAAACAUCUGUAUGAUCCUUCCAAUUUUGCCUUCAAGUUUCCUUGGCGCCCUCGGCAAGAGUAUAUCUUCGUCUAUGUUUGUCACUUCAUUUGCUUGGUGUUAGAAAGCAAAAUGUUAGAGCAUAACAGUGGUAUGUGGAUCUCAGUGGUUGGCUUUUACCUUUCCUGUUUGAGUUACAAAUCAAAGUUUCCACAAAAAUCGACCAGCUCGUCAUCAAGUAAUUUCUUCGCCCUAUCCUUCUUUUUAAGCAAACAGAAGUAGAGCAGGACUAAAAUCUUUUGGGUGCAAUGAAAUUUAACUUCAGCUUUUCUAUCGAGUUACAGUCGAUAUGGACGAUUCUUGCUUUUCCUUCGUAUUUUGCCACGGCAAUGAAGCGUUUCAUAUGCAUUCAUGGAAACCCCAUUAAUGUGUAUAUUUUCAGGGUUAUUAGGUAAACUUGUAAUAGCAAAACUUGAAACUCAAUGUUUGGAAAAAUACUUUGCCAAGAAUGAAUGUUUGUAUAAUUUACAUCAACAAAACGAAUGAAAAUUAUAUUUUUCAUCGAUGAAAAUAUUAGGCAUAAAUUGUUAAUAAUGAAAAAAUUAAUAAAAUCAACAAUUUAGAAAACACUUUCGUGAAAAAUGAUUACUUAUACCAUUUACAAAAAUAACUUUAAGCAUAAAAGGUCGUUGAUUAUGAAAAUAUUUUUUAUUGAUUAAUUAUUCUAAGCGAUGUAAACAACUAUCUGUCAAUGAAUCAUCCAUUAUUUAGACACAGAUAAAUAAUUAAUGUGAAAGUUUGUUAAUUUCUUUUAUGGAUAAUUUACACUAAAAAGAUAUAGUUUCAAUAACUAUCGAUCAAAUUUGUCAUAUCAUAUCCGAAAUUUACGCAAUUUUGGGAUUGAUGCAACCGCAAUUUUUCGAUCCAUCCUCUUUUUUCUCAUUUAAUCUCUUUUUUCUGGUCCCCACGCGUCCUUUCCCUUCACACUACCAAACGUUUGGGCAAUUUUUGGGUCUAUCCUCUUUAGGUGGACCCUACGUGUUUUUCUUGCAUCCCACCAAACAUUUGCACCUGUGUUAUCUUCUUAUUGGGUUGAUUCCAUUCCCACAACGGAUCGAGAAAAAAUUUCCAUUCCCAACUUAGCAGAUUCGAUCUCAAGAGAAAAUGAACAAAAAGUGUGUCGGCGCACCCUCAACCCCACCCCCACCCCGUGCUCCCCUUCUCUCCCUCCCCCCUCCCUUUUCCUCUCCUUUAUUGUUUUCCAAUCUUUUUCCAAUAUGGCGGUGUGGUGUUGCAUUAACAUUGUUUGUCAAACAUAAGAGAAAACGUUAGUCAUAUUAAGAGAGGAAAUCAUAAUCAACAUUACAAUAAAAAAACCAAGAGUAAUGGUCCGCAGUGGUUCCAUUUGCACAAAAGUCGAAAUCUUGACCCUCAUUCGUUGUAUGUUGAUGGGAGGAAAUCAAAAUUGUGGCAAGUGCAAGUAGAAUUGACCCAAUAAGAAGAUAACACUGGUGCAAAAAUUAGGUUAUAUAAAAGAAGAGACGCGUGGGUUCUUGCGAAUGUUGGGUGUCAACCUCCACGACAUGGCAAUCUCAAAGUUGUUAGGAUUUCACUUCAAUUGACCUCCACAUCAGUAAGCUUAUUCAUGCACAUUGGUGGUUUUGGAGAAAAAAAUGGGAACCUCACACCUGCUUGGGCUGAGUGGCCAUGUUACAUUGAACUUAAAGUUACAUUCCAUGGAAAUUAAAGCAGUAACAUUUCGCUCUUUGUGCAUAUAUUGAUUACAAAAUAUUUAUGUUAAGCUACUACUUCUAACAAGUAGCUUAUGAUCCAAUCUCCAGUACUUUGACUUGUUUACAUUUGGAAUAUUUAUGUAUUUAUUACACAACUUGCGUGAUUAACCUAAUCAUGUUGCAUGGUUUUGUUGUUUGAAAUUUACAAUUAACAGGACAAUAGCGAUAGGAGUCCUUGUGCCAUUGACAUAGUUCUCAAACUUUUAUUUUGUUCAUUUAAGAAUUAAAACUUGCUUUAAAAAACAUUUGAGAGAUUCCGUUUGCUCCAUCAAUUUCUUAGGGACAGAAACCAUAAGUGCCUUCUUUAAUUCCUAUAGACAUAAUAACAGAUUGCAUGAGAAUAUGUCUAAAUGAGCAUGAAUUCCCAUAUGCAAAAGAGAAACGUAAUUUAUUAAUUAUCCUUUUUUUACUAAUAUAAGUGAUCGAAAAAUUUAGAAUUAACAUGUGAUAUCAUUCAUUAAAUUAUCUCUUUUAUUUUAUUGUUACAAACGUGAAUGAUACCAGAAUUAAUCAUUUCGAUAAGUCUCCCAACUAUAAAUUUUACAUGUAUUCUUACAUAUAAAGGUAAUUAUGAAGUUAUUUUCUUAUUGAUCAAAAUAAGGAUCCUCAAAUAAUAUCGUGUAAAAUUUACUUCCAAAAGGUAUUUGUAUGAAUCGAUAUUUAUAGAGAGUGCUACAUAUUUGAUUUUUUUUUUUUAAAGACUAAAAGAGGUGCAAUGUCAAUUUUUUUAGAGAAACAAAAAGAUUGAGAAUGUUUUAGUUGUUAAAUAUCAGUAUUCUCUUCAGCCGAAAAAAAAAAUUAGUAUUCUCUUACUUAUCUUCUUCUUUGCAUAAGAAUUUUCAUUUCUACACAAGAAAGAUAUUACAAGUUUUCAUUAUUUGAGGGAAUUUGGGUUUUCGUUCGGAAACUGCUCUUAAUACGUGACCGAAGGCUUUUUCAAUACUAUUUUCGCGUUCAAACGAAAACGAAAACGAAAACAAAGAAGCGAGAAAAUUUUCUCUAAACGAUACUGGGCAACCUGUUUUUCCCAUACGCUUUUGGCCUUUCCUCUUUCCUCCUCCUUUCUUCAUUUCCUUUAUUGUGGACCCCACACUUCUUUCACACACCACCCAACAUUUGCACGCGCUUCUCUUCUUUUUGGAAAAUUAUAAUGAGGCACUACCAAACCAUUGUUAACCAACAAAAGCAUCAAUUCUGCAACCUCCUCUUUCUAGCCCAGAAAAAAGGAAAACUCUGCAACCUCCUCUCAAGCACUCCUUAACCCCUGCUUUUGCCUUUUGGAGAUGGCAGAAGCAGUGCUUUUCACCCUCACCAACGACAUACUAAAACUCGCCGGUACCAACAUCUUUUCGAAGAUUCAACUUGUACGAGGUGCGAGCGAUGAUCUCAAGGGUCUCAAGUACACCGUCAAGACCAUCCAAACUAUGCUUUUGGAUGCCGAGAAGAAACAAUGGGACAGAGCAGGUCAAGCUCUGGCUCAUGAGGCUGAAGGACGUGUUGUACGAUGCACAUGACUUGCUGGACGAUGUCGCAACCGAAGAUAUGAGGCGGAAGGUCACUCCCGACAACAAGAUGUCGAAAGCGGUAUGCUUUUCCUUCUCCAAAUCAAAUCAGCUAGCACAGCCCUACAAAGUGGCUAAAAGGAUUCAGGAAAUUAGGAAGAAACUGGAUUUGAUUGCAAAAGAUAAGGAGUUCCGUUUAGAGGAGCAUCGGAGUGAGGCAACUGUUGCUAUUGUGAGGAGGAGGACAACUGACUCUUUUGUGCGGAAGGAUGAGAUAGUUGGUAGACAAAUUGAUGAGGGGAAGAUCAUCGAAUCUUUGCUUGAUUCCUCUUCCAGAGAGAGUGUUUCAAUUGUUUCCAUAGUCGGUAUGGGAGGACUUGGAAAAACCUCGCUUGCUCGGCUGGCGUACAACAAUGACAAAGUUAGAAACUGCUUCGAGCUUGAGAUGUGGGCGUGUGUAUCCGACGUCUUUGAUCAGGAUUUUCUCAUCAAAGAAAUACUGAAAUCUGCCCGAGGUACGUAUCAAUGGGAUUCUCAGAUGAAGAAAGAUCUGGAAGACAUUGAUAAAAAGUGUAAGGACGAAUUGCAAGGGCUUCUUCGUAAGGCACUUGACGGGAAGAAAUACUUGCUUGUUUUGGAUGACUUGUGGAAUGAAGAUCGUGCAAGAUGGUUGGAGCUUCAACGUUUGCUAAUGGGUGGUUCGGGAGAGAGCAAGAUACUCGUAACCACACGUAGUAAGUCAGUCGUGCAUGCUACAGAUGCAAAAUCAGUUAUCCAUCAUCUAGAUGUCUUAUCUGAAGGUGAGUCGUGGGAGUUAUUCAAAAAAACAGCUUUUGGAGAUGGGGAGGAAUCAUUAAACCAGAAACUAGAGAUAGGUCGAGAUAUAGUUAAAAAAUGCGGGGGUGUUCCCCUUGCCAUCAAAACUAUAGGCAACCUUUUGUAUGCCAAAAAGGAAAAGGAGUGGCUUUAUUUUAAAGAGCAUGAAUUCUCAAAAAUAGAUAUGUUGAACACUGGAAUAAUGGAAGUCCUCAAAAUCAGUUACGAUCAUCUUCAGCCAGGGCUAAAACAUUGUUUUGCAUAUUGUGCAUUGUUUCCAAAAGAUUACGUCUUCGAUAAAAAAGACAUGAUACAGUUGUGGAUGGCACAAGGUUUUAUUGAGUCAUUGGAUGAGAAUGAAGAGCUAGAAGAGAUUGGGGAUGAUUUUAUCUCAGACCUACUAUGUGGGUCGUUUCUUGAAGUUGAGAAGGUCGAUCCUAACACUGGUAAGGUGGAAAUGUUCAAGAUGCACGAUCUCAUGCACGAUCUUGCCGUGAAAGUUGCGGGAAAUGAGUGCAAGAUGGUCAAUCUCAACAAAGGUAAAGGCAAUAUCGAUGAAGAUACUCGACAUGCAUGUCUUGAUUUACAAUCGCCCUUAUUGCCGCAAGAAGUGACUUCUCUACUAGAAGCGACCAAUCUACGGACAUUUCUCACUUUGGAAGGAACAAAGGAAUUGUCCCAAAAUGAAUGGCCUUGGAUUUUAUCCGAGUUCAGGCAUUGCGGAACAAUGGAAUCGUUCCGAAAUGAAUGUUAUCGGAUUUUCUUCAAGUUCAAGUAUUACCAAAUAAAAUACGAGUUCAGGCAUUGCCGAACAAAGGAAUUGUCCCGAAAUGAAUGUCAUCGGAUUUUCUCCAAGUUCAGGCAUUGCCGAACGUUGGGAUUGAAACAUUUAAAUUUUUGCUUCCAUCCUUUGUUGGGAAGUCAGUUGAAGCACUUAAGAUUUCUUGAAGUUUUUAUGAAUCUCUCCAUCAAUAGUUUGCCGAAUUCAAUCACGGAUUUGCUGAACUUGCAGACCCUUAAACUUUAUGGAAGUCCGUAUCUUAAAACAUUGCCCAAAGAUUUAAGGAAAUUGGUCAACUUAGAUAUCUUUUUAUUGCUGCUUGUGCCUCAUUGAGCGACCUACCCCCCUAAGUGAACUCUCUUCUCUAAGGACUUUGAGUCUCGUGUCCUUGACGUCAUUGGAGUUUGACCCUCUUCAACUGCAAUCUUGUACUACACGGCCCUUCUUCCCAUCUCUUGAGAGUUUGACCCUCUUCAAAUGCAGAAAGUUGAAAAAAUGGUGGAGAAGAAUGCAAGUGAUGAUAGCAUAUCAAAAGCAUCAAUCAAACAAUUCACGGUCAUUCUUCCCAAAACUACGGUUUGUGGAAAUAAGAAAGUGUCCCGCCUUGGACUUCGUGCCACCAUUCCUCCAGGUGGAAUACUUGGAGAUAGAUGACACUAAAAUCUUGGAAGAUUGGUUGACUAGUCUAGAUUGCCCAUCAGAGCAAGCGGUGGGAUCCACAUUCAUCCCUUUCUCUAAACUAAAGCAUCUAAGUCUUCAUGGUAGGAAUAUGAAUACCUCGAUACUCAAGACUCUACUUCAAUUGGCCAGUAAUCUUGAGUCCUUGGAACUCCAUAUGUGCAACCCAAGGGAUAUCUCUCAUGGCAUGCAGCACCUUUCCUCGCUUCGGGAACUCAGCAUUUGGGGAAGUGCAUAACUCAAUUUAUUGUGCCACGAAGAUGAGCAAGGCACCCAAUGGCAAUUCCUUACAAAACUUCAUGUCCUUAAAAUCUCAUACUCUUCGGAUUACAUGCCAUCAUUCGAGUGGAUUCAACAUGCCACAAAUUUGCAAUCUCUCGAGUUUUUUGCAUGUGAGUUGCUGACAAGUUUGCCCAAAUGGAUUGAAAAUUUCUCUUUACUUGAAAAGCUUGUAGUAUCUGAAUGUUUAAGUUUAGCGAGUUUACAAUUUGAGACACGCAACCUCACACGCUUGAAGGAACUGAGAAUCAUUAAGUGUCCCCAGCUGGAAGAGGUGCCUAAUAGAUGCGCACGUUCCGGUCAUUUUUCGGGAGGGGAUGAAUCGGAACGAUCAGUACAGUAGAGGUACCAGAAAAGACUAAUAUCACCUAUCAAUAGCGUUCCUUUUUCAACUAUUUUACCUUCUUUAUUAUUUAACUAAUUUCUCUUCACCAUAUUAUUGGCAGCGCAAAUAUUUAUCAAGAGGAAGAAAGCGUCCCUCCACUCCAGUUCGCCGCCGCCUUCCUCGUCAUGUCGCGCAGCGUGUAGAACAAACACCACCCUUUGCUUCCUCGUCUUGCUCGUAUAACCUCCUCACUCCCCCACUCCUUCUUCCCCUCCAUCACCGCCGCCGGAAGAACCCCAGCGUCUGCGACGCGCGUCCCAUCCUUUCGAUUGCCUCCUUCCUCUUGGCCAGGUCCGCCGAGGUCGGAUUCUCGGAUCCGCCGUUCGAGUCGGAGCUGCCUGCCUUCGGAUGUCUCGUGCGGUCGGAUGAAGAAGUCCUGGGGAUUUCGGUGAUCCCGGCGUCGACGAGGCCUUAGACGCCGGCUUUCGAGUCCUCGCUCGCACUGUCGUAGCUCUCUGCUCGCCGGAGUCGGAGGCCAAAUCGAUGGUAGGCGUUGUUCCUGUCUGUCUGUCUGUCUGUCUCUGUCUCUCUAUCUAUCUACUGCAAUAAUGUGUUAUAAGUUUCGAUUAUGUAUCGAAUGUUAUGGAGACAUUUGGAUUAUGAAUUGAGUGUUAUGGAGACAUUACAAUGUCAAUGCAUGAUAUGAGCAUCUUCUUUAUAGCUGAUUGAUUGACAGAAGAGAAGUGAAGAGAACAACGACAUCCAUGGCGAGGUUCCGUUUGACUUAUGAGGUACCCCUAGCUGAGAAAAUUACAAUGCUGUUUAAUAAUGGCUGAUUCUUUGGGGGAUGGGGCGGCUAGUACACAAAGUUUUGCAAUUUAUGAAAACAAGAUCUGUUAGGACAGAGUUGAACAGUGAUAGACGGCAGGAAGAUUCAAUGGGUGCGUUUGGGAGUAACUUUGGAAGGGGCUUUGGGCAUCAAAAGCCCUUUGAGGCAAAAAAUGGGUGUUUGGGAACCAGCUUUCGAAGUCCCUUAAUGGGAAAGCAAGUACUUGAGAAGGCUGAAAGCCCAAGGCAGCCCUGAGGCUGCCUUGGGCUUUCAGCAUUCUCGGCAUGCUGGGAGUCACUGUUCAUUUAUUUUUUUUCCAAAAUUGUCCUCACGAAUUUUUUGUUUUUCCGGUGCGUGCCCUUGCAUGAGCACUGUUCAUCUUCUCCGGGACGCCGCGAGCCUCAGGGUUGGACGACUUCCAGCGAGGAUCCGCCGGAGGUCGCAGGUCAGCCGGAGGUCGCAGGUCAGCCGGUUAGCCGGAGGUCGCAGGUCAGCCGGAGGUCGCAGGUCCUCGCGGCGACCUUGCUGCGACCUCUGUGCAACCAGAUCCGGUCGCCGGAGGUCGAGCGACCACGCGGUGACCAGAUCCGGUCGCCGGAGGUUGAGCGACCUCGCAGCGACUAGAUCUGGUCGCCAGACUGGUCGCCGCGAGGUCGCGCGACCUCCGGCGAACAGAUCUGGUCGCGUGACCUCCGCGCGACCUCCGGCGACGCGCAGAGCUCGCGCGACCUCUGCGCCACCAAACCCGCCUCCCGCGACCCAGAUCCGGGGUCGCCAGAGGUCGCGAUGGCGUCGCGCGACCUCGCCGGCCCAGAUCCGGGGUCGCCGGAGGUCGCCGGAGGUCGCCGGUGGCCGCUGCCCUUGCCGGUCAAUUUAUUUUUAAUUUUUCUUUUGAUAAUUUUUUUUACAACAAAACUCCUUUGCAAAUGUAAUUCCCCAAACACUAUUUUGUCCAAAGCACUUCACAAAGGGCUUUCAAAGUAUAAUUUACCAAACACAGUUUGCAUUUUGAAAAACACCUUUAAGUCAAAGGUCUUUGCAUUUUCCCAAAGACUUUCCCCAAAAGUGGUUCCCAAACGCACCCAAUGUUGUCUUAGCCCAUGACUUCUUCGCAAUUACUGAAAUCUAUAUGUAGAGGAAUCUCUGGUUUUUAGCCCUCUCUUUCUCAUCACUUUAAGAGAGUUUCUGGACUUCUCGGGGAAACAUAACUAUUAUCUACGAGCUGGGUCCAUAAGAUCUAGUAAGCAUAUAGAAAUCUCAAUGUUCAUCUUAGUGAAACAGACAACAACUUGGUGAAUCUUGGACAACCUUGAUUGAUGCAGAGGCUUGCAAUAGUUUUAUAAAUCAUUUAAAAUUGGACCCUCUGCAUGUAUAUUUGGUGUAGAUGAGUUUGGAUUAUGAAUUGAAUGUGAUGGAGACAUUUGGAUUAUGAAUUGAGUGUUAUGGAGACAUUACAAUGCCAAUGCAUGAUAUGAGCAGCUUCUUUAUAGCUAGUUGAUUGAGAGAAGAGAACAAUGACAUCCAUUGCGAGGUUCCAUUUGACUUUAGAAUUAUGAGGUUCAUAAAAAAGGAAGGAGAAAGUCAUAGCUUAUGAGCUACCACUAGCUGAGAAAAUGACAAUGCUGUUUAAUAAUGGCUGAUUCUUUGGGGGAUCGGGUGGCUAGUACACAAGUUCUGCAAUUCAUGAAAACAAAAUCUGUUAGGACAGAGUUGAACAAUGAUAGAUGACAGGAUGAUUCGAUGUUGUCUUAGCCCUUGGAUCAAUGCUUGUGUCAUCUUAAUGCGAUGCUAACUCGAUUAGAUCAAUUAGGUUUCAGAUAUGUCGCAUCUUAAUGCAAACCUACUGUUUCUUAGAAAAUCUAGGGAAUGUACAUAAAUUUUUGCCAUGCGGUUGAUUCUGGUUAUUGUUGUUGAGCGAGUCGCAAGCUGGCAAAAAUUCCACUUUUUAUCCUACCUACUAAUAUACAAAGUGGAAUUCAAAGUUGAACCAAACAGAAAUGUUCCUGAAACUGCAAAUUUUCCCGUGGUAGAUUAAUGCUGUAACUGUCAUACAAGUAUUCAACACCGUUUCAUCUAAAGAUAACGUACUUCUUUUGAUUUUAGAGCGGUAUGUAUUAAUCUUCCUCUCCCUCUAUUUUGUGCUCUCUUUUUGGUUCCACUUUAAUUUAGAGAAUGACUUUGUCUUUUGGAGUUGUGUUGGUGCUCAUCGAUCUAUCAUUUGAAGCGAUAUAAGCAUUAGAGACUGAGCACUGAAGAAGCGCAAUCUUGUUCUGUGGUAGUUUUACCUAGUUGAACAUAUGGACAGACUUUUAUCUUUAAGUACAAACAUCAAUAGGACCACAUAAAAAGGUUCACACGGUCUACAGCUUGAAAUCAGGAAGUGCAGAAGCUCCAUACAGGCCUUUGGAAAUGUAAUGGGCAGUGUAGUUUGGGAGCGUAGUCUCCUUGUAGAUUGGUGGGUUGUCUGCUGAUGUUAAUUCUUUCAUGGGCCCAUACAAUCGUGAAGAUGGUCGAGGAGUGUCGCCGAAGAAGCACGCCACCAACACUGUUGGGUCUCUCUUGUUUGCCAUGAUUCGGUUCUCAACACUCUCAAACCGGUUGUUUGUUAUGAGCUGCAAAUGCAACAAUUAGCGAAUCGUUCCUCAGUAAGGAACGUAAUUUCUAUCUGAGAGUGCUAGUAUGAACAAUAUAAAGGAGUUAAGGAAGAGAAUAAGAACACGAGAUUUAUAGUAGUUCGGCUUAAUCCAAGCCUACGUCCACUCUCCCACGAUAACAGCCUUCUUGGCUGGAUUCCACUAUGCAAUCAACAAGAGAUUACAACUUCGAGUGCAAAUACUUAGUAGAUCACACUAUCUCACUAAGUCACUCUCUUGGUAUUUCUCUCACGAUUACAAACGUUUAAGCUCUCAAGAGACAAGUAUAUGAUCUAAAGUCGCUCAGACUUUGGAAUUAUAAAUUCUACGCUCCGUCUCUUACUUGCUCAUCGGUCCAUGAUCUUCUUAAAUACUCCUCCACUUCCAAACUACCGUUGGACAGUAUCCCGGAGAAUCGUCUUCCAAUAUACCCAUUGGACAGCUCUGUAUCUAGAAGAUUUGGUAGCCGUUGAGUGACAAAGGUAAAAUCCCAAAUUGAUUCCGAUCGCCCAUACAAACGAAAUCUUGGUUUCCAUAAGUAAAGCUUCUUCGUAUAGAAAGUUCUUGUCUUCAAUCAAAUCAAUCUUGAUGUGGAAUCCAAACCAGAUCACUAGCCGUUGUAUGAUUGGGCUUGAGUUACGAUUCAUUGAAUCUGGAUGUAAAGUCUGAGUCUUUAGACUUUACGAUAUGAGUCUUGAGACUUUACAAUCUGGGUCUGUAGACUUUACAAUCUGAGUCUGUACCCAGUUCAGCUUCAGCAUAGAGUCUGUCUUCUGGUUCAUCAUUCACGUUCAGUCUGGAAUUUGUCAGAGUGAACAGACUUCUGAUGUAGAACAGACUUUGACACUAAAGUCUGGCAGUCUUCAGACUUUGAGUCUAGAGUCUAACAGUCUUCAGACUUUGAGUCUUGAGUCUGGCAGUCUUCAGACUUUGAUAAUAUCCUCUACAUGUUCUAACAUCUGCAUGGCCUAUUACUCAACCAUCAAAUAUGUUAGUAGCCUUUGAUUUAUUUUGUCAUCUUCAAAACAUCAUAAGGGAUUUCCCUAACAAUCUCCCCCUUUUUGAUGAUGACAAAACAAUCUCUGAAUAUGCAGAUUUGUAAACAUGCUUUUAAUUUAAAUCAAAGGAUAUCAGAAGAUAGCAAAUAAAUUGAGCAUAAUAAUAUAUAGAAAAUAAUCACAGCUCAAUAUUAUGCAAUAAAUAAUAUAAACCAAUUAGCACAUAUGCAUAUUCAUAUCUUCUCCCCCUUUUUGUCAUAAUCAAAAAGCGAUAAUAAUGGAUUCACGUAGAGAAUGAUAACAAAUAUCUUGCAUGAAUCACAAUUUCGAAAAAUCAGCUUUUAUCGAAUAUUAAAGAUAUGCAAUAUAGCUCACUUCGAUUAUAUCAGCAAAUAUCCAAUAAAAAUCACGGAUGCAUCAUAAAAUUCACGUACCAUUUUUGUCAUAAUAAAAUGAUAAUAUCAAUAUGAGAUUUGUUAAUGACAAAAGGUAAUAAGAGAUGCACUGACCGGAUUUUGUAGAAUAAAUUCUGACACAAUUACCUUUCCUUCCAUCCAUAAUAAGAUCACGAUCAAUCAAAAAAGAUUUUUCCAUAAUUGAUCAAAGCUCCCCCUCAAUUUGUUGCCUUUUUGAGAUGAUCACGAUUCUUUUCCUUUUCUUUUGGAUUUGCUUUCUCCCCCAACUUCUUCUUUUCCUUUAUUUCCUUGAUUUCCUCAUCGGAUUCUGAGUCUGGUUCUGAAUCAGACUCUGAUUCUGAGUCUCUGUCUGAGUUAGACUCAGAUUCUGAAUGUGCCAUCAAGCAUAGAUUUCUUUGCUCAUCAUCUUCUUUCAUGAUUCUUUUCUGGCCAUUAUGCUUGUAUUGACUUCUUCCACUGAAUUUCCUUUCUUUUCUACUCAGCUUUUUGAAUUUCUCGACCAUAAAGGCAAAUUCUUCAUCGGCACGGCGAAGGCCGGCGACCGGCCAGGCGAGCCUCGAGCUCGCCGGCGUCGGGCGAGCUCGAGCUCGCCGGAUCUGGCGAGGCGGAGGCCUCGCCGACGCCCGGCGAGGCUCGAGCCUCGCCGAUCUGGCGAGACUCGAGCCUGCUGGCGUCGGCAAGGCUCGAGCCUCGCCGAUCUGGCGAGCCUCGAGCUCGCUGGCGUCGGGCGAGGCUCGAGCCUCGCCGAUCUGGCGAAGCCUCGAGCUCGCCGGCAUCGGGCGAGGCUCGAGCCUCGCCAGUUCCGGCGAGGGGCGAGCUCGAGCUCGAGGCUCGCCUGUGGCCGGUCGCCGGCCGUCGUCGUGGCCGGCGGCCGGCCAAAGAUGAAGAAGAAGGAGAAGAAAAAAGAAAAAAGAAAAAAGAAAAAGAAAAAGAAAAAGAAAAAGAAAAAGAAAAUUAUAUUUUAAAAAUAAAAUAAAAAUAAUUAAAAAUUUAUUUUUUUUAAAAAAUAAUUAAAUUUCGAUUUUUUUAAAUAAUUAUUUUAAAAUUUAUAAAAAUUGUCCAUUAAAUUUAUAUUGUAUAAAACUAUUUUAGCAAUACAAUUUUUAAAAAAAUAAUAUAUAUAUAAAAGCUUGGAAGUAUUUUAAUAAUAUAAUCUUUAAAAAAAACAUGGGAAUAAGUUUUUCUAAAUUUGUUAAAUAUGAAAAUAUUUUAUUAAUAUGAGUUGGGUCGGGUCGGGUUUGGGUCGAAAAAUUUACAUUAAACAUUAAUGGGUCAUAAAUGGGUUAAUGGGUCAAUUUGGCCGGACCCAUUAAUGACCCGACCCAAACCCGACCCGACCAACCCGUUUAACGGCUCUAAUGUACACUAACGUAUUAGAAGCUACCUAGAGAUGCAUCACUAACAAAAUUUCAUUUUAUCUUUGUUUGCAUUGAUAUCAGUAAUACGUAGUUUUGUUAAAUUUGUAUACUCUUUCAAAAUUCUAACGAAAUCAUAAACAAAACUGUAUAUAAAACCCGUGCAAAGCACCAAAGUUCAACUGGUAGUAUGAUAUGCAUAACACCCUAAAAAUUAAUGGUGAAAUAUCUAAUUUUGUGGCUAGUAAAUUCGAAUUUCGAAUCAGAGUCGUCACCCAAGUUGCGUCUACCAUCCCCGUGCGUGGAUGGAACCUUAAUUAGUAGAAGCUGAUGUGUGUGAUUCACAAAUAUUCAUGAAGAUUAGUCUAAUAAAGGAUUUCAAUUCCUUGUGUUUCAAUUUUCUUGAGGAUAUUUAUUUCGCAUAAAAUGAAUCAUUUAAAAAACGUCUUCUUAAAUGUCAUUUUUUGUGUCGCUUAUAAAUAUUUAUGAGUAAGAAAACAUAUUUAUUAUCCACGGGAAUGUUUAGUCAUAAACUAUUGUCGAUUACGAAAAUAUUUUUAAUUGAAUAUUUAUUUUAAGUGACACAGACGAUUAAUUUUAGAAAAUUAUUUUUAAAAAAUAAUUUAUUUUUCACGAAAUAAAUAAAUUCGGGACUAAAAUCACAAAAUGCGACAAAGAACUUGGCGCUCUUUCUAUCACGCAGCCUCUGCCUCUGGGUUAGGGUGGACCGACCCAAAUAAACUUUCUUUACUCUUGCGUUUAAGCCUCGUUCGUUAGCAAUCAACAGCAAAAUCGUCGUCCCUCUGGCAUCAACUGCUUCUGUCUAAUAAGUCGCCAGUUCUCUUUCGCUUUCGGAGACAGCGAGAGACUCUCGCACGAGAAGCUCUUCGACCUCGCUUCGCUUCAGCCAUGGUGAUCAUCUCCUCUCUCUUCUCUCCUGAUGUCUGCUUGAGUCGUCGAGCUUAUUCACUGAAUCUCUUGCAAUUUCAUUUUUUUUUUUUUUCAGAAUUAUUUGAAGACGGCGAUCCCUUCGCAGCUAAUCUCGGAGAGAGGCUCCAACCUCGUCGUCAUCAACCCUGGUACUCCUCCCACCCACUUACCCUCCCUCUCUCUUAUAUUGAAUAGCUCGACGCGUUGAAUUCUGUAGCUUGAACGCGGCUCGUUUCUUCCUUUGCUUUUUAUAGGUUCUGCGAACAUCAGAGUGGGCCUCGCUCAGCAGGACGCGCCUUUCGUCGUUCCUCACUGCAUCGCCCGAUACACCAGCCAGGUCCCCAAGCGAAACGUGCAAGAUCGGGUCCCACAUUGUUCGCGACUUCCCUUUUCUUUUGUUCGGUUUUCCGUGUGUGUUUGGGUUUAGCUUUGCGGGGUUUCCGUUGAGCUGAGCGUUUUCUGAAUUCGCUGGGUUUCCUUCUGCUUCGUUGUUGUUGUUUUGGAGUUUUUAGAUGCUCAGUUCUCAAGUUACCUCGGCACAACACAUGGAGCGAGAGAAGGCGUAUUAUAUCGCGAGUUUACUUCAGCUGCCUGUCUUUAGUUGUGACAAUGUAAACUGCUUUACAUUUUCUCGUUAUUAACAUGUGGAUUAGUGUAUCUCAGAUGGCUUCAUUGUUGAAGAUUCCAUUCUCGGACGAGGAGGUCGCGAACUAUGGCUCUUUCCAGCGCAAGGUCUGUAAGCUUUUUGGAAAAAGGUUGCCCUUAGUUCUUCAUCGCCUGAGUUGAGCUGCUUUCUCGAUCCUACUUGAUCUUUACAAUGAUAUGGAAAACUUAGAGGAGGGCUUUUGUGUGAACUUCACUGGUUUCAUCGUCCAGUUAUCUUUUUAUUCUGUCAGUUGAGUGGGCUACUUGAAGGUUUAGUAUUUAAGCAAUUCCCUCAGCUUGCUUUUUGUUUAAAGUAUUUUCGUUUCUAUGAGCGUAUUGUCCUCUGAGGAAGUUUUGUUUCUCUGAUGGUUAGUAAAGGACUUGAAUUAUUUUAAUGUCUUUUCCUUGAUAACUUAGUAUUUUCUCUCUACUUGUUCUAUGUAAAUGUAUACUGCAUCGUUAUCCAAGAGGAGACUCUGCUGAGGCACCGCCCCCUGGAUGUAGUAUAUUCUAGAACAUAAGUACUGUCAGCUCAUUUCCUGCCCCCCAAAAACAUACACAUUUACACAAACAAAUUAAUAAAUGAUCCAUCCAGUGCCACCCAAAAAGGAAAAAGAAGUGCAUCCAAAGUGCUUGGAUGUCUAUAUGUCAAUGUAAGGACGUGUAUUUGAAUGGCCCUUGCUUCCUUUUAUUUGUAUUGUUUUGAAGUCUUCAGUUUCUAAUGCAUCAUGAUAUUUGUUAUUGGAGCUCGUCUAUGAUUGUGUCGGGCAACCCAUUUCCUUGUCAGUGUGUUUCUACUGUGAAAGAAAAACUGACAUACUUGUUAUACAGAUGGGAUGCGUUGAUGUUUAUAAUCCACAGAAUGUUAGGAAAGACUCAGUCUUUGCUUGAACAGAUUUGUAUGACAAGCAAAGUUCACUCUGGUAACAGGUCUAUAUAUAACUAUUAUUUCCACUUAGUGGGAUAAUGAUUCUUUUGAGUUUUUUGUCAUCACUUUGGCUCAUACCUUUUACCUUUCUCUUUUUGCUAAUGUUAUCUGCUUCUGCUAAUUGAUAUGUCAUAGACUCAGAAUUUAAAACCACUCUGGCAGAUCAUGGACCCGGUCGUCUAUGCAAAGAAAAUUGGCAAGAUAGAACUUUAUAAGAUUCUUUGCUUUUGUCUGCAUUGGAGCAUGUUUUCAAUAUACUAGAUAACUAGGAUAGCGACACUCUGCCACGAAAAAGUGAUCAUCUCUAUGUACAUUUUGGAACUUAGUAGAGAAAUUAUAUAGUAGAUACAAAAUAAAAAUUCCAAAUGAUUUUCUUGUUUCUAAUUUGGAGUACCAGGGAUGUUAAUUAGCUUAGAUGAUUAACAUGCCACGUAAUGAAAACUGUCAUUAAAAAUCGUAGAUAGCUGGCAGGAUGGUGCAUUCUGUCAAUGUUAGGAACUUCUGACCGUCAACCUUAGAUCAUGUCUGAAGUUGAUUUUACACGCAAAUGCUUGUUCUGAUUUUACACGUCAACCUUAGUUCUGCCCCCUGUACAGAAGAGUUUGUACCAGCUUAUGUUUUCGAGCAGAAGCAUCCAGUGUCAACAGCCCUAGCCUGUAGUCAGUCUACUGAAAUUGUUCUGUUGGGUGCAUAGUGCGUUGUUUUGUUUAAGGAUGUGUGGAGUUGACAAGGAGAUGGGUUGUUUUCAUUUUAUUUCUUGCUAUUCGAUGAUAUGUGGAGUUGGCUCCCAGCUAGAGCAAAGGAUAAGUAAUCAAGGUUGCUAAAAUGACCUGCAGAGUUCGUGGAAGCAUAUCUCUUUCCCCUGCAACUCCAUGCCAUCUGCAUCUAUGAUUGCCGAAGUAUAUGAAUAAUCAAGUUUACAUUUUUUAUACAAUGGUUGCAUAAUGCAAUAUGAUUUUUAUGCUGAUAUAGAAAUCUGCAGCAUGUGCUUCUUUAUAUGACUUUCAAAUUUGCUUUGCAGAUAGCUAAAAGGAAGCUCUGAAAAUAUGUGGCGAGGAAGCUCUGAAAAUAUCAUCCAUAGAGCCGUGCUGCUUGCACCGUCCUAUCCGAAGUGGUCAUUUCAACAUUGGGCCACGCUAUUUCCACCCUGGUUUUUGCUUUAAAACUCCUUUUUACAGUGUUUUCCUAUAUAUUCCCCUGCUGUUCCUCUUUUGUUUUGACUGCUUCCUUUUAUUUCCUUGCCGGUCCCACGUUCUUCUUUCUUCUUCUCUUCGUUUUCUCUCUUUUCAACUCAUGGUGAUGUUGAUCUAAAGGAACCUAUGCCCGACUGCAGAUGCCGGCUUCACAACAUUAUAUUCCUUCUUUCAAAAGGAUCCAAUGCUCUGUAAUUGAUAUCCUGUUAAGGUGGUGCUUCCUGACUGUAAUGCUUAGAUAUGCACCCUGCAGAUGCAAUUUUCUUACCAAAGAAACUUGUGCGAGUCCCUCAACCGGCUUGCCAGCAAGAUCCCACGGACUUUGUCAGGAGGAUCCCAAAUUCUCCUUCAAAGAGUUCGCCGGCAAGCCGGAGUCUGUCGUGCUGAUGAACCAGGAUGAGAAGUCGUUCAAUGUGAGCCGAACCUCUUUUUCAGGAAUUUUAAAUGUGCGCAUUUUGAACAGAUGUUGUAAGAAACCUCAAAAUGAAAGAAACAGAUGAUUGGAUUUUCAACAAAGUCUAGUCUUGGAUUAUGCACAGAGAAUCAAGACGGUUGAUUUGAUCACAUCUGAACUAACUUGUGAAACAGGUGAGAAAUAUUGUGGUCCAAUUAGUGCAGCCUCAAAUUGACUUCAAAUGGCAUCUUCCUUUUUCCUAUGAAAUUACUAAAACAUAAGCACGAAUCAUAGUUUUCCGAUGAUAUAAAAUUUUCUGGUAAAAAAAAAUUUGCUACAUAAUUUAAAUUGGUCAUUCCCUCAGAUGCAUUCCCUCGGAUUUGCCACAUUUCCUCUUCAUCAUCUAAGGUAUCAUAGGUCGAGACAUCCAAUGUUUCUGCAAUGAAAGUAGGAAUCUGACUGUCAUUUUUUUCUUAUUUAAUCCUAAAACAUACAUCAACCAUAGACUUAGAUGGACAAUAAGAAUGCAAUAGGUAUCAGAGUGAUAGCCAAGAACAAGCUCUAUGAAAGGUUAACACUUACCACAUGAUGCGACAAAUGCAGAAUAGUCUCGAAGAUAUCUUUAGCGAACUUAAUUACGUCUUCAGCUGAUUCCGCCUAUGGCUUUGCCAAGAUUUGCUAGGAUCGAGACUUGUUUGAGGUAGUCGACGGGAUCAACCUCGAUCCAAGGCCACAAGGGCUCAGUAGCAGCCUCUAUUUCCAAUCAUUGGGAGGUACCGGCAAUGCUGAGAUAUGGAAGAGAGAGAGAGAGAGUGUUGGCUGGGUCCACCUUCAUGUGGGGCCCAGCCAGCAUUAAAAAAAAACAAAAAGAAAAGAAAAGAACAAAAAGAAGUGGAAGUUGUCGUGCGUGGGGUGUCCGUCGAAAAGUGAAGAGAGGAGAGAGAAAAAGAAAACAAAAACUGCACAAGGAAGGAAGAAGAAGGAAGAGGGCUGCAACUUUGCGGUUUUGAUUGGAAGGCUAAAUAUUGACGGAAUCGGCUCAAAUUUCAGUAUGUUGUUUGUGAGACCGAGGGCUAAAAGUUGAUGGUUUUUGUUCGUAGAGAACCAUCUCCGAAUUCUCCAGUUGCGGUUAAGGUUUUCUUGCUCCCAACUUGUUUGUCUACCUAUGUAGUGAGAAAAGAUGAUUGUAAUGUUGAUGUUGAGCCUCUAGUUGUGACUAGAGAAGAAUACUUUGUGUAUCCUGCUAUUCUUGGUGAUUAGUGGAUGUUUUUGGGCGGUCCGUGGUUUUUCCCGUAUCGGGUUUUCCACGUUAAAUCCUUGGUGUUGUUAUUUGCUUUGUCUACUUAUUAUUUCGGCGUUAUAUUUGUAUUUUGUGAGGCUAUACAUUGCUGGUUGUUGCUGGGGGUUAAGAAAUUUUUAGUUGAUUUUGCUUUGGGGGAGAAAUUGAUCCUGGAUUGCGUUUGGACGUGGUGAAUUAUUGUACCCGAGUUCUCCCCAACAAGUGGUAUCAGAGCACGGUUGAAUUUUAGUGUUAAAUGGAAGAAACCAGCAGCACCAUGUUUAAGUUAAAUGCCUCGAAUUAUUCUAUUUGGAAGCCUCGGAUGGAAGAUGUGUUAUAUUGCAAAGACUUAUUUGAUCCUAUUGAGGAUGAUGAAGCCAAAGGAGAUAAGGAAGAUAAAGAAUGGGAGAGAAUGAAUUGGAAAACAGUUGGGUUUAUCCGACAAUGGAUUGAUGAUAGUGUGUUUCAUCAUGUUGCUCAAGAAACGAGGGCAGACACUUUGUGGAAGAAAUUACAAGAUCUUUAUGAGAGAAAAACUCCACAAAAUAAAGUUCUUCUAGUUAAGCGACUUGUGAAUUUGAUAUACAAGGACGGGAGUAACAUGGCGGAACACUUGAGUGAAUUUCAAGAUGUUGUAAAUCAAUUGACAAAUCUUGAGAUUGAUCUUGGUGAUGAAUUGCAGUCAUGCUUGUUACUUGGUACUCUUCCUGAUAGUUAGGACAUAUUGGUUGUGGCAUUAAAUAACUCGACUCAUUUUGGUGUGCUUUCUAUGAGCAUGGUUAAAGAAAGCUUGUUCAAUGAAGAAACAAGAAGAAAAAACUUGAAUUAUGCUUCUACAUCGGAUGCUCUUGUUAUAGAAAACAGGGCGAGAAGUCAAUCAAGAAGGUUUCAAAGAAAUGAUACCCGAGGCAAGUCAAGAGGAAGGUCGAAAUCGAGACCGAGGAGGAGUGUCAAGUGUUAUAAUUGCGGCAAAAUGGGACAUUAUGCAAAAGAGUGUUGGUUGCCAAAGAGAGAUAGAUUCCAUGAUAGAAAUGGAGAUCAAAAGAAAGAAGAGAAACAAGCUACAACGGCGGUUGCAUCCGAUAAAGAUAUUGUGUUUGUAUGUGAUGACGGAUAUGUGAAUUUUACAUGCCAAGACUCUAUGUGGGUUGUUGAUUCCGCGGCUUCUUUUCAUGUCACCUCACGGCGUGAUUACUUUGCUUCUUAUUGCGGCGGCGACUUUGGUUGCAUAAGGAUGGGAAAUAGUGAUGUUUCCAAGGUUAUUGGCAUGGGAGACGUUUAUUUGGAAACUGAUGUCGGAUGUAAUUUGCAUUUGAAAAAUGUGAGACAUGUUUCGGAUAUUCGACUUCACUUGAUCUUUACGGGUGCCUUGGAUGAUGAUGGUUAUUGUAAUUCAUUCUUUGAUGGCAAAUGGAAGUUGACUAAAGGUUCCAUGGUAGUGGCAAAAGGUAAGAAGACAGGCUCUUUCUACACCAUGCAAACUGACUUGAUUAAAGAAGAGGUAAAUGUAGUGGAGGAUUCCUCAGUUGAUUUAUGGCAUAUGAGGCUGGGUCAUCUUAGCAAGAAAGGACUUGAAACUCUUGCUAGAAAGAACCUUUUACCUUUGAAAGAGAAAAAUCUAAAUGAAUGCACUCAUUGUUUGACUGGUAAGCAACAUAGAUUCUCAUUUCAUAGUUCCUCUCCACACACGAAAUCAAAUGUACUUGAUUUAGUUCACACUGAUGUUUGUUGCAUGGAUGCUAGAACUCUUGGAGAUGCAUUAUACUUUGUGACAUUUAUUGAUGACUGUUCUAGAAAAGUGUGGGCUAUUGCUUUGAAAUCUAAAGAUCAGAUACUUGAGGCCUUCAAGCAAUUUCAUGUCAAUGUGGAAAGAGAAACAGGGAAGAAGCUAAAAUGUGUCUGGGCUGAUAACGGUGGUGAAUAUAGAGGCCCAUUUGAACACUAUUGCAGAGAUUAUGGUAUCAAGCUUGAGAAGACUGUUCCAAAAACACAAAAGCAUAAUGAAGUGGCAGAGAGAAUGAAUCGGACAAUUAAUGAUCGGAUUCGGUGUAUGCUUUCUCAUGCGAAGUUGCCCAAGUCAUUUUGGGGUGAAGCGAUGAGAACAGCAGUAGACUUGAUAAAUCUAUCUCCAUCGGUUCCUCUUAAGGGGGAUGUUCUGCAAAGAGUUUGUGCAUGUUCCUAGAGAUGAAAGAUCCAAGCUUGAUGAUAAGUCUAAACAGUGUAUCUUCUUAGGUUAUGGACAUGAAGAGUUUGGCUACAGGUUAUGGGAUCCAGUUGCAAAGAAAGUCAUUAGAAGCCGAGAUGUGGUGUUUUGUGAGUAUCAAACUAUUGAAGACAUUGACAAGGUGGAGAGACCAAAGAAUACAGCUUAACGUUCAGUUAGUUUCAGCCCAAAUCCUUCUAAUGUUGAUAGAAAUCAUGGGGGAGAAGUGCAUGGAAGUCAUGAAGAUGGUGAGUCCUCACAUAAUGUUGAUUCUUCAGCUGAUAUAAGUGAAAUAGCUAAGCAAGAGCAAUCUAUCUUACCUCAAGUUAGAAGAUCUGAAAGAGAGCGUAGGCCUUCUCAAAAAUAUUUACCGCAUGAGUAUGUGUUACUCACUGAUGCAAGGGAGCCAGAAACUUAUGAAGAUGCUAUAUCAUGUGAACGAAAGAAUGAGUGUCAUGAAGCCAUGCAAGAGGAGCUUAAAUCCUUGCAUGAGAACCACACAUUUGAAUUGGUGAGGUUGCCUCAGGGUAAGAGAACACUCACAAAUAAGUAGGUGUACAAGUUGAAGAUGGAAGAAAAUAGUUUACAACCACGAUACAAAGCUAGACUUGUUGUGAAGGGGUUUCGUCAAAAGAAGGGCAUAGACUUUGAAGAGAUUUUUUCACUGGUUGUAAAGAUGUCUUCUAUUCGAGUUGUUCUUGGGUUGGCCACCAGUUUAAAUUUAGAAAUUGAACAACUUGAUGUAAAGAUGGCUUUUCUUCAUGGAGACCUAGAAGAGGAGAUAUAUAUGGAGCAACCAGAGGGUUUUGAAGUUGAAGGCAAGGAGCACCUUGUAUGUAGAUUGAGAAAAAGCUUAUAUGGUCUCAAGCAAGCGCCUAGGCAAUGGUAUAUGAAGUUUGAGUCAUUCAUGGAAGAACAAGGAUACGGCCAUUUCAAGUUGAGUAUUAAUGAGUGUCCUUCAAGUGAGAAAGAGAAGGUUGAGAUGAUGAAAAUUCCUUAUGCAUCGGCCGUGGGUAGUUUGAUGUACGCCAUGGUUUGUACAAGACCGGAUAUUGCUCAUGCAGUUGGUGUUGUGAGUAGAUUUCUCUCUAAUCUAGGUAAGGAGCAUUGGACCGCUGUUAAAUGGAUUUUGAGAUAUCUUAGAGGCACUUCUACACUUUGCUUGUGCUAUGGAAAUGCAAAGCCUGAGUUGAGUGGCUUCUCGGAUGCGGACUAUGCCGGUAAUGUUGAUUCCCGAAAAUCCACAUCGGGUUUUAUAAUAAUCUUUGCAGGGGGAGCUGUUUCAUGGCAAUCGAGAUUGCAAAAAUGUACCACUUUGUCUACAACUGAAGCGGAGUAUAUUACUAUUACUGAAGGAGGUAAAGAACUUUUGUGGAUGCAAAAAUUCCUACAAGAGUUGGGCUUGAAGCAAUAGAAGUUUGUUCUAUAUUGCGAUAGCAUGAGUGCCAUCCAUCUUAGCAAGAAUCCGGUGUUUCAUUCAAGAUCGAAGCAUGUUGAUGUGAAGUAUCAUUGGAUCCGAGAAAAGCUAGAAGAGAAGCUCUUCCUACUUGAGAAAGUUCAUACCGACAACAAUAAGUCCGAAAUGAUGACCAAAGCCUUGCCCGUGAUGAAGCUUGAUGCUUGUAGAAGAAAAGCGGGCAUGACGAAUCUUCCCACAUGAGGUGGAGGGGGAGAUUUGUUGGCUGGGUCCACCUUCAUGUGGGGCCCAGCCAGCAUUAAAAAAAACAAAAAAAAAACAAAAAGAAAAGAAAAGAACAAAAAGAAGUGGAAGUUGUCGUGCGUGGGGUGUCCGUCGAAAAGUGAAGAGAGGAGAGAGAAAAAGAAAACAAAAACUGCACAAGGAAGGAAGAAGAAGGAAGAGGGCUGCAACUUUGUGGCUUUGAUUGGAAGGCCAAAUAUUGACGGAAUCGGCUCAAAUUUCAGUAUGUUGUUCGUGAGACCGAGGGCUACAAGUUGAUGGUUUUUGUUCGUAGAGAACCAUCCCCGAAUUCUCCAGUUGCGGUUAAGGUUUUCUUGCUCCCAACUUGUUUGUCUACCUAUGUGGUGAGAAAAAGAUGAUUGUAAUAUUGAUGUUGAGCCUCUAGUUGUGACUAGAGAAGAAUACUUUGUGUAUCCUGCUAUUCUUGGUGAUUAGUGGAUGUUUUUUGGCGGUCCGUGAUUUUUCCUGCAUCGGGUUUUCCACGUUAAAUCAUUGGUGUCGUUAUUUGCUUUGUCUACUUAUUAUUUCGGCGUUAUAUUUGUAUUUUGUGAGGCUAUACAUUGCUGGUUGUUGCUGGGGGUUAAGAAAUUUUUAGUUGAUUUUGCUUUGGGGGAGAAAUUGAUCCUGGAUUGCGUUUGGAUGUGGUGAAUUGUUGUACCCGUGUUCUCCCCAACAGAGAGAGAGAGAGAGGGGCGCGCACUACGGCCUUCGCUGCCCCUGGCUCCGGUCUCGCCGUUCUCAAUCAACUCACUCCUGGCUUCAAGAGUCGAGACCUUUUCCGACUCUUUGAUGCUCGUCGUGACCUUUUUCCAACUUGACAGGGUAAACUGUUACCCCCUCGAAUAAUUGGGCAGAGCGUCGCCGGCAUCAUCCUCGUCAUGUCGCUGGCAUCGUCCUCUCAACUGACCACCAUGGCCAGAUGUUGUUCAGUGAAAUUUCCCAGCUGUAGCCGCAUGCACCGCGUCAGACCUCGCAUCUCCAUGUCUCGCUUUUCGUCUUCAAAUUCAUUCAAGCAAUUACAGCGGCGUGGGCUUAGAGGUUGUGCGGAUGAGGACAGAGGCGCACACCCGAGGGGCGGGCAGAGAAUUGUGCUAAACCGCGAUCUUCCUGUAAUUCCAAGCGGAGUAGUACUCACCAUUGAUCACAAUGAGCUUCGCUUUCGUGUCGAGAGCCUCCUUUGUGCAUCUGAGAGCAACAUCACAUCAAAAUCAGUUCCAAAAAACCUGAUCAAAAGAAAUCGUUAUCGUUCCACGCUUGUAUGACGCUUCUGAUCUUGCAGAGGAGGACAGGACAGAAGUGAAAUGGGCUUGAGCGGCUGAUGCUGCUGUAUCCUCCCGGUUUGGAGCUGUCCGAGCCUGGCCAUGCAUUUUUUUUUUUUUUUCCGGCGGAGAGGGAGAGAGGAAGUGUGAACUUGGAACCAAAGGGAGGCUUAAGGAUUAAGGAAGCUGCUGAACUUGAAACUGAGCCUUCUGAUCAGACAAAAUUGAGAGAGAAACGUGGGACCCAUGAUUUUAGUAUUUCUGUCAUUCUGACCAUCAAGGGUGUGGAUGAAGCCGAAGGAGGGGUGGAUUUAGCGCCGCACCUUGAAAUUAUUCCAUGAAUAUGUACUUUGGGCUUUUCACGAAGAAAAAAUGUUCACGCUAUUCUUUUUCUCUUUUGCAAGUUAUGCUAUUUCAUCCGGUGGAUUAACUGAGCAUGAAGUAAGAUGGAGAUGCAUUUGGCCUUGCUAUAUAUUCGUGCCUGAAGUUGAUCGUGAGGCACCACCAGACCAUUGUUUCACCACAAAAGCAUCAGCUCUGCAACCUCCUCUCAAACACUUCUCAGCCCCCGCGUUUGCUUUUGGAAAUGGCGGAAGCGGUUCUCUUCAGCCUUGCCACCGACAUACUUAAAAGCCUUGCCACCGAAAUGGUGAAACCUGGAGGUUCCUUCGCUUCUCAAAAGAUCAUGUUGCUCUGCUGUGCCAAGGACGAGCUCCAAAGCCUCAAGGGCACCGUCCAGACCAUCCAAGCUUUGCUUUUGGAUGCUGAGAAGAAGCAAUGGCACAACAACCAGGUCAAGCUGUGGCUCACGAGGCUCAAGGAUGUGUUGUACGACAUACAGGACUUGCUCGACGAUGUUGCAACUGAAGAUUUGAGGCAGAAGGUCACUCUCGGCAACAAGAUGUUGAAAGCGGUAUGCAUUUUCUUCUCUAAAUCGAAUCAGCUUGCACACCGCCUCAAAGUGGCUAAUGAAAUUCAGGAACUUAGGAAGAGACUGGAUCUAAUUAAAAAUGAUAGGCAAUUCCAUUUCGAUGAGCAUCGUGAGGAAUCAAUGGCCAUUGUGAGAGGAAGAAAACCUGAAAAUUUAUCACCCGACAGAGAAAUAAUUGGUAGGGAAGAGGACAAGGAAAAUAUCAAACGACUUUUGUUUGAUUCCUCCUCUAGCCAGAGUGUGUCAUUUGUUGCCAUAGUUGGUAAAGGAGGUAUUGGAAAAACCGCACUCGCACGACUAGUGUACAAUGAUGGGGAAGUAAAAGAACAUUUUGGGCCUCAUAAGAUGUGGUGGGUGUGUGUAUCUGAUGUCUUUGAUGUGAAUUUGAUUAUCAAACAAAUUCUUAAAUCAGCAAAGUGUCAAGAUCUUGAUAAUAAGCCUGAAGACCAAUUGGAGAGUCUUCUAAGUACAAACAAAUACUUGCUUGUUUUAGAUGACUUGUGGAAUGAAAAUCGGCUUGAAUGGUUGAAGCUUGGAGAGUGGCUAAAGGCUGGUUUACAGGGGAGCAAGAUACUUGUAACCACUCGCAGCCACAAAGUUGCAACAGUCACGGAUGCGAAAUCAGACAUCCAUGUUCUCGGUGACUUGUCUGAAGGGAAGUCAUGGGACUUAUUUAGGAAGAUGGCUUUUGGAGAUGGGGUAGAAUUAUUAGACCCAGAACUCGAGAAGAUGGGUCGAGAUAUAGUUAAAAAAUGCACCGGGGUUCCCCUUGCCAUUAGAACUAUAGGAGGCCUUUUGUACGACAAAAACAAAGAUGAAUGGGUCCGUUAUAAAGUGCAUGAACUUCCAGAAAUACCAGAAAUUUAUGUGGAUGGAGGAAUUAUGCAAGUCCUCAAGUUCAGUUACGAUCAUCUCCCGUCAUGCUUGAAAAAUUGUUUUGCAUAUUGCUCAUUGUUUCCGAAAGAUUAUGUCUAUGAUAAAGAUAUGAUGAUUCAUCUUUGGAUGGCACAAGGCUUUAUUGAGUCACACAACAGGGAAGAUAACCUUGAAGAGGUCGCCGACAAUUACUUGUCAGAACUACUAUGUAGGUCAUUCCUCGAUGCUGAAUCCACAACAAAAAAUGGUGAUGUGGUCCUACAAUUCAAGAUGCAUGAUCUCAUGCACGAUCUUGCUCUUGCCCAAAAAGUUGCUGAAGGUGAAUGCAAGAUUGUUCAUUUUAAAGAAUCAGACAAUGAUCAAGGAAUUCGACAUGCGUCCUUUAUUUCGGAGAUACUCUCUAAAGAGAAAUUGGUGUCUCUGCUCAAAACAUCCAAAUUGCGGACGUUUCUCUAUUUGAAAGGUGAAUCCUCCGAACUUUUUUUUGGUCGAUCAUCCUCCAUACUCAAUAAUAGUCACAAAGUUUUUUCCAGAUGUGGACAUUGUCGAGCGUUGUGUUUGCACCAUGCAAAUAUUUCUCUCCCUCCUUCCUCCUUAGGAAAGUUGAAGCAUUUAAGAUUACUUCAUAUUUUGAUGAAUGAAUCCAUCCAGAAUUUGCCAGAUUCAAUCACUGAUUUGGUGAACUUACAGACCCUUAAACUCUCGGAUUGUAUGUGGCUUCAAACAUUUCCUAGAGAUUUGAGGAAAUUGGUCAAACUUAGACACCUCUUAAUUGAAUACUGUAUCUCACUAAGCCAGCUACCACCCCUGAGUGAACUCCCUUCCCUAAGGACGUUGAGUCUUGUGUUCUUAAAUGCGUUAAAGUUCAUUCAACAGACAAGUGACCCAAAGCCGUCUAAUACCACAAUCCCCUUCUUUCAAUCUCUUGAACGUCUGACUCUCUUCUGCUGCGAACAGCUGGAAGGAUGGCGGGGAAGAAUGCAAGAAAUGGGAGCACAUCAAAAGCAUCGGUCAGACAACUCAUGGCCAUCCUUCCCGAAACUUCAGUUUGUGAGUAUAAACGAUUGUCCCCACUUGAAUUCUAUACCAUCAUUCCCCCAGGUGGAACACUUGUGGAUAGAUGGCACAAAAAUGUUGGAACAACAAUUGCUGGCCAAUCCAAAUUGCCCAUCAGAAGGAACAGUGGAAGCCACAUUCAUUCCUUUCCCUAAACUAAAACAUCUAACAGUUUCUAAACGUUAUAUGAGUGAAGAGCCCUUGAUGCUUAAGACUCUACUUCGAUCGGCCAGCAACCUCGAGUAUAUGACAAUCAUCGAUUUCAACCUAAGGAGUCCCUCUUGUGAGAUGCAGCACCUUUCCUUGCUCAAGGGACUCAACAUUCAGCGUUGUCAAGGACUCGAUUUUUUUUUCCAAGAAGGCGAGCAUGGCACCCAAUGGCAAUGCCUUACGAAUCUUCGUGUUCUUACCAUCAAAGGUUCAAAUUUGGUGGCAUUACCUAAGGGGAUUCAACAUGUGACAACUCUGCGAUCUCUCAAGAUUUCAGAAUGGAUGAAGCUUAGAGGUUUGCCGGAAUGGAUUGGAAAUUUCUCUUUACUCGAAGAGCUUAAAUUAAUUGGCUGUUAUAGAUUAAAGUAUAUACCAUUUGAGAUACGCAAUCUCACACGUUUGAAGAAAUUGGUAAUUCAUGGUUCUCCCUUAUUGGAUGAAGGGUGCCUAGCUGAUGUGCACAUGCCAAUCAUUGAUUGGAAGGAUUCCUACUACGAUUCGGAUUAGCAUUAGAGGUACGAGAAAAGACUUACAUCACCUAUCAAUAGUGUUCCUUUUUCAACUAUUUUACCUUCUUUAUUAUUUAACUAAUUUCUCGCCUCUUCACUGUAUAUUCACAGAUCGCAGUGCAAAUAUUUAUCAAAAAGAGAGAUAGCGUCUCUCCACUCACACUUCAGUUCGCCACCGUCUUCUUCGUCAUGUCGCGCGUGUAGAACAAACGCCUCCUUUGCGGUCUUGCUCGUACACCUCCUCACUCGCCCUCCCCUCCUUCAUUUCCUCCAUCACUGCCGUCUGAAGAAACCUAGCGUCCCCGACGCGCAUCGCAUCCUGUCGAUCGCCUCCUUCCUCUUUGGCCGGGUCCGCCGAGGUCGAUGAUCGGGAAGCUGAGAUUCUCGGAUCCGCCGCUCGAUUCGGAGCUGCCUGCCUUCGGAUGUCUCCUGCGGUCGGAUGGCGAAAUUCUAGGGAUUUCGGUGAUCGCGGCGUCGACGAGGCCUUUGACGCCGGCUUUUGAGUCGUCGCCCGCUCUGUCGUAGCUUUCUGCUCGCCUGAGUCGGAGGCCAAAUCGAUGGUAGGCAUUGUUCCUCUCUCUCUCUCUCUCUACUGCAAUUCAAUUUUCACUCUGAAUGUGUAAUAAGUUUGGAUUAUGAAUCGAAUGUUAUGGAGACAUUUGGAUUAUGAUUUGAGUGUUAUGGAGACAGUACAAUGUCAAUGCAUGAUAUGAGCAUCUUCUUUAUAGCUGAUUGAUUGAUUGAGAGAAGAGAAGUGAAGAGAAUAAUGACAUCCAUUGCGAGGUUCCGCUUGACUUUAGAAUUAUGAGGUUCCUAAAAAAUGGAAGGAGAAUCUCAUAGCUUAUGAGCUACCCCGAACUGAGAAAAUGACAAUGCUGUUUAAUGAUGGCUGAUACAAAAUCUGUUACAGAGUUGAACAAUGAUAGAUGACAGGACAAUUCGAUGUUGUCUUAGCCCUUGACUUCUUCGCAGUUACAGAAAUCUAUAUGUAGAGGAAUCUUUGGUUUGUAGCCCUUUCUUUGUCAUCACUUUAGGAGAGUUUCUGGACUUCUCAGGUAAACAUAACUAUUAUCUACGAGCUGGGUCCAUAUGAUCUAGUAAGCAUAUAGAAAUCUCAAGGUUCAUCUGAGUGAAACAAACAACAGGUUGGUGAAUCUUGGACAACCUUGAUUGAUGCCGAGGCUUGCUAUAGUUUUAUAAAUCAUUUAAAAUUGGACCCUUUUGAAACUAAGUUACUGAGCUCUUUGAGCAGGCAAUUUAACAAUUAUAUGCCUCUGGACAUGAGAAGCUGAACUGCGAAAAGAUGUGGUUCUGAUGUUACUGAUUAGAGGAAAAACCCUUCUUGCCUUCUUUCUGGAUUCCAUGCGUUGAAAAGUCAUGUUAGGAUGGGGACUUGCCUUUGCAUUGUUUCAUAAGGUGGGGCCAUCCUCUCAAGCGAUACUCGAGAUAUUGCGAUGCAUUAGAAAACUGAACUAGAGUUGCUGUAAAAGUAUGGUGGAGGCCUAAGGCUUCUGAUAAGUGCUCAAACAGACAAGAGUCCAUUCUCAUCACAUGCUUUAAGUACUCCAGCAUUUCUCUGCUAGAAUGUUGCGAUGCAUUAGAAAACUGAACUAGAGCUGCUGUAAAAGUAUGUUGGACGGAUUCCUAGAGAGUACAACAAAGGGUGUUGAUAGUUUAUAUCAACUCAUGUGCAAAAGUUUGCUACUGCUACCGCUAGAACGUGAAUAAAGUCAACCGUCAAGGAACAUCCUUUUUUUUCCCUGUAAAGAACGGAACGACCACCUCCGAGGUUCCCAUCAGUGAAAAUGAUCAGUCAUUGAGGAUCGUCUUACUGAUUCAUAUCAUUCAUUGAGACUAGAUGCAAGAUUAUAUGCUAUGACAGGUAGUGGAAUUUAGGUGAGAAACUUUGUACAAAUUCAUCGGUGGCAGUUGUCUUCGCUGGCUGAACAAUUUAACUGGGCACUUUCAUUUCAUGAGUGUUCAACAUCUAUUCUGGCCGAUUCAAUGGAAAAGUAAGCGAAUAACUCAAGUUUCGUACGCUUACUAGUUUAGCCCUUGAUUUGUUGAAGAAAAUAGAAAAGGCCAUCAAGUAUCAUGCUGUGAAAACCAUUUCCUUGCAUUCCAUGGAAACCAUAGCGGCCACAUCUCAUCCCUUGUGCUUAUAUUGAUGAAAGAAUAUUUAUGUUCUUGACAUGUUAAGCUACCACUCUUUCUUCUUCUUCUUGAAAUAGUGAGUACCUAGCACGGCACAGGUUCACUUUUUUCUCUAGAUGAAGGGGCAGCAACCCCCAUUUGUGUCUUCCUUUUUGGAAUACAAGGAUCAAGCCGAAAAGUAACCUACGACCAAAAUCUCUAGUACUAUGACUUGUUUACAUUUGGAAUAUUUCCGUAUUGAUUACAACUUGCGCGGUUAACUAGGGGUGAGUGCGGUUCCUGGUUCUUAAGGGACUGGUUCUGGUUCCCGGUUCCCUUUUUCUGGGAAUCGGUGAAUCGGCAGUUCCGGUUCCUAUGGGAACGGAACCGGAACCGGAACCGAAACCGGAACCGAUUAGGGCUCCAAAAAAAAGUCCCCAAAUCAGUUCACCCUUAGAUGACACUUUCAGUCUUUCACAUCUUCUCUUCUUUGAGUUUCUCUCAUUCUUACUCGACGCCACUGCCGCUCACCCUUAACGCCAUUGUUGGACGUUGCUCGCCCUCAACGCUGCCGCCGGACGCCGCUAGACGCCAAUCGCCCUGCGUCGCCUCGCCCUUUCCUCCCUCGACGCCAUCACCCCUCGCCCGCCUCGUCGCUCAGUCGCUGCCGGAUGCCGGUCGUCCUGCUGGACACCAAUCAGCCCGCGCUUGCCCUGUCCUUGCCUCCCUCGACGCCGUUAGCCCUCGCUCACCUCGUCUCUCAACUGCUCGCCGUCAAUGCCGCCGGUGGAUGCCGCUCGUCCCCUCGGUGGAGGCCACUCGCCGCUCGCCCAGCCGCCCCCAACACUGCUCGCCCGGUCGCCCCCGAAACAGCUGUUGUAUAGGAAGUUGUGCAUUUAUACAGAGGUUUUUGCUAAGUUGAUGUUAAGUUACUUUAAUUAAGUUUCCUUUAUUAUCAGAGUUUUAUUUCCUUCUUUUAUUAUCAAAGUUUUAUUUCAUUUUUUACUUACAUAAGGGUAUUAUUGUCAUAUACAAUUUAUAUUCAAUAUAAAUACAAUGGGUGUAGAGUUUCUGUUACUACAGAAAUCUACAGCUCCCUCUUUGUUUCUUUCUUUUACAUUCUCCUUCUCCUCUUCUCUAUUCCUUCUCCCUUCUUCUUUCUCUCUUACUAUUUGUUGCAGUUUCUCUAAUAAGUUUUGUGACAUGGUAUCAGAGUAGGUCUAACUACCUGAUUACUUGAUCCUAUUGCUGGUUUGAGAGUCCCCCAAUAACCCUACUUCUUCUCUAGUGCACAGACACCUAAAGCUGUAAUUUUUAUCUGUUUUCUCUUCAAGUCUUGAUACAUAUGAGUUCAGAAGAUAUCAUAUUCAUCAGGUUCGGUUUGUGAACAUGGAUUACAACACUUACUGAUAAAUGGAUUCAAGAAUUGGAGUACUUUAUUGAUUAUGGUUGACUAGUCUUGCUGGGUUUCCGUCAAGCAUAUAAUUAUUUGAAUCGAGAUUUCUGGUCAGAUAUCUUCUUCUAUACAGCAGUCUAUAUUUAUGAGUUUUCAGCAUCCCUUUGGUUAAUUGAUGGAGCCAAUUACAUCUGAUUAUACAUCAGUGUUGCUGUUGUUUUAUUUCUCGCACUAAAGUUUCAGCCUACUUGAUUAGUGGUGGAUAUAUUUAUAUUGAGAUUAUCGUCAGUGAUACUAAGGCUCCUACAGAUAGUGUCAAUGUUCAAAUUACCACUAUUAAGUUAAAUGGAUCCUCCAAUUACUUAUUAUGGGCUCAAGCUGUGAAGGUCUAUAUUAAUGCCAAAGGGAAACUUCAUUAUCUUACCACAGACCCACCUACUGAAAAUUCUAGAGACUAUAGUGAUUGGAUGAAAGAGAAUGAUACACUUUUGGUGUGAUUAUGGAAUAGCAUGGAACUGUCCAUCACUGCUAAUGUCACGUUCCACACAACUGCUAAGGGAGUAUGGGAUGAUCUUAUGGAGAGUUACUCACAAGACAAAAAUAUGUCUAGAGUUUAUGAACUAUAUGAGAAGAUCUUUAAUUUUAAACAAGGAGACAAGUCUCUUGGAGAGUAUUAUAGUGCUUUGAAAAGUAUGUGGGAAGAACUCAAUCUUUAUCAGCCCAUCACUACUGAUCUUGAGACUUAAGACACAACGAGCUGAAUUUCAAGUGGCCAAGUUUUUAUCUGACCUGAAUGCCGACUUACAGCCUAUGAAGAGUCAUCUUCUUGCUGGUGAGAGAGUUCCUUCUAUGAAUGAAGCAUUUUGUCGAAUUCAGCGCAUUGUCCCUCCGUCUUCUAAGUCAUCUAAAGACAAUUCAGCAUUUGUGGCUAGUAAUGGUGGUCGUGGUUGUGGUGGAUUUUCCAAUAGAGGUCGUGGUUUUGGGGGAGGUCAUAGUCAUGGUGGUGGACGUAGUGGACAAAGUUUUGAUCAAGAUAGCUGUCAGUGUAUAUAUUGCGGCAAAUCCGGUCAUAUUGUUGACACUUGUUGGGCCAAGCAUGGCAAGCUUGAGUGGGCUCAACAAUUAGUUACUGCAAAUACUGCUGUGUGUGAAGGGAGUGCUCGAAAUGUGUCUUAUAGCGACAUGAACCCAUCUAUCCCACCUGGGGGUAGUUCUUUUGAGUCUACGGCUCGAGAUGAUAUGGUUGCACAACUCAUCAAGUGUGUCCAACAACUAGAGGCUUCCAAUUUCUCAUCCACGGCCACUCUUGCAUGUACAAGUAACAUGGCCUCCUUCUUUACUUUGUCUCCUAACACCUCCUGGGUCAUUGACGCAGGAGCUUCUAGUCAUAUGAUGGGUAAGCAAGAACUAUUUUCUUCCAGCCAUAACUCUAGUCCUUCAACAGAAGUUGUUUUAGCUAAUGGUUCCUCGACUCAAGUGGUUGGAUCAGGGACUGUUUCACUUACAUCUUCCUUAUCUUUGUCCUCUGUUUUACAUGUUCCCCUAACUUCCUUUAAAUUUGUUAUUUGUUAGUCAGUUAACUAAAGCUCUUAGUUAUUUAGUUACAUUUUACCCAUCUCAUUGCAUUUUUUAGGACCUUUAGACAAAGAAGAUGAUUGGUGGAGGGCAUGAACGUGAUGGACUCUACUAUCUAAAUGGUGUCUCCACUGCUGACACUAAUGGUCUAGCUGCUAGUUCUAUUACCCCCUAUUAUGGCAUUCUCGUUUAGAGCAUUUAUCUUUAUUUAAGUUACAACAAAUAAUUCCUGAGUGUAAAUCAAUUUCUACUCUUGAGUGUGAGGCUUGUAAACUUGGGAAACAUCAUCAUAGUUCUUUUCCUAGUCGUAAUAAUUCUCGUGUAUCUACUUUACUUGAACUUGUUCAUUCGGACAUCUGGGACCUUCCCGUAUUGCUAGUAGAAAUGGUUUUAAGUACUUUGUUACUUCUAUGGAUGAUUAUUCUCGUUUAACGUGGCUCUAAAUGCUUCAUGACUGUUUUGAAUUUUUACAUGUUUUCCAAUUAUUUCAUCGUGAGGUUACUAAUCAGUUCAAUACAUCCCUUAAAAUUCCGCAAACAAAUAAUGCUUUAGAAUAUACACAGAAAUCAAUUUCUUUGUUUUGUUCUAAUCUUGGCAUUAUACAUCAAACAAGUUGUACUUAUACCCCUUAGCAGAAUGGUGUGACCGAGAGAAAGUACCGUCACCUUCUAGAAGUUGCUCGUUUACUCUUAUUUCAUAUGAAUGUACCAAAAUCAUUUUGGAGUGAUGCUGUCCUUACUGCAUGUUACCUUAUAAAUCGUAUGCCUUCCACUGUCCUCAAUCAUCAGUCACCAAUCAGUGUUGUAUUUCCUGAAAAGCCGUUAUUCUCUCUUACCCCGCGCAUCUUUGGGUGUGCCUAUUUUGUUUAUAACCUACGUUCCGGUUCUGAUAAACUAUCUUCUCGUGCUACUAAAUGUAUUUUUCUUGGCUGUUCACGUACACAAAAGGGAUAUCAGUGUUAUGAUCAUACAACUUAUACCCAAUAUGUUAGUGUUGAUGUUACAUUUUUCGAGGGCACACCUUACUAUUGUACUGAGGGUAAAGAGUUUUCAACUGACAUUGUAGCUGAUCCUCCUAUCCCACAACAAAUCCCCCUAGAUUCUGUUAGUCAUUCUCUAGUAUCUCCUCCCUUGCAGGUGUAUCAGCGGCGAAAGCAGUCUACGACGCCACCAAUCUCCAGCUCUUCCAUGCCCUCCAAUCAAUCUUCCUCCUUGUCUCCUGGUCCGAACGAUCUUUCAAUUGCCCUUCGCAAAGGUACUCGGUCUUGCACACAAAAAUCCUCUUUGGCUUACCCUAUUGAGCGUUAUGUGUCUCUCUCACAUCUUCCUUCUCCGUUACAUGACUUUGCUCUAUCAUUACAAACUCACACAAUUCUUACUUCUACCACUGAGGCUUUGUCUCGCCUUGAGUGGAAGAAAGCUAUGAAUGUGGAAAUGGAAGCUCUGGUGUCUCACCAAACGUGGUCAUUGGUUGGGUGUACACUAUCAAGUACAAUUCGGAUGGCUCAAUCGAGCGUCUUAAAGCUCGACUCGUUGCUAAAGGUUUUACUCAAACUUAUGGAGUGGAUUAUUUUGAGACUUUUUCUCCUAUGGCAUGUCUCAAUUAUGUUCGUGUUAUUAUUUCUCUUGCUGUAAAUUUUGAUUGGCUAUUAUAUCAAUUGGAUGUCAAGAAUACUUUUCAUUAUAGUGAUUUUUCUGAAGAAGUAUAUAUGGAGCAACCUCCUGGGUAUGUUGCUCAGGGGGAGAAUUGUAGUAAAGUAUGUCAGCUACAUAAGGCCAUUUAUGGGUUGAAACAGUCUCCAAGAGCAUGGUUUGAAAAAUUCAGUUCAGUGAUUUCCAAAUGUGGUUUUCACCAAUGUUAUUCUGAUCAUUCUAUUUUUGUUCGCAAGAAGGAAUUGGGAGUGGUCAUUCUUGUGGUAUAUAUGGAUGAUAUAAUUGUCUCCGGUAGUGAUAUGACCGGCAUUUCUGAGGUUAAGUCCUUUCUUCAGCAGCAAUUUCAAAUUAAAAACUUUUGAACUCUUAGGUAUUUUCUAGGUAUUGAAGUUCUAUAGAGUAAAAAAGGUAUUAAUUUGUCUCAAUGAAAGUAUGUUCUUGAUCUUUUGUUUGAGAUAGGUACACUAGCUGCCAAGCCAAUUGAUACUCCUAUGGAUCCAAAUCAAAAGUUUGGAGUUAAUGAUGGAAAUGAAAUUGAAGACAAGUAUCAAUAUCGACGUCUAGUUGGGAAACUAAUUUAUCUUAUUGUUACACGUCCUGAUAUUUCUUUUGCUAUUGGUGUGGUGAGUCAGUUUAUGGAGUCACCUAAGAAGGCUCAUUGGGAUGUUGUAUGUCGCAUUUUUCAAUAUCUUAAAAGCUCUCCUGGUAAGGGACUAAUUUAUAAAUCUAAUGGUUCUUCCACUCUGGUUGGCUAUUCUGAUGCUGAUUGAGCUGGGUCAACAUAUGAUCGACAGUCUACAAUUUGGUUACUUGGAGAAACAAGAAACAGACUACCAUUGCCAGAUCUAGUGUAGAGGCUGAAUAUCGUGCUAUGGCACAUACUGUGGCCGAAUUGUUGUGGUUGAAAUCUCUUCUUCAGGAGCAUGGAUUUUCGAUUAAUCAACCUAUUGAUAUGAUGUGUGAUAAUCAAGCAGCUAUUUAUAUUGCUGGGAAUCCUGUUUUUCAAGAGUGAACUAAGCAUAUAAAAGUUGACUGUCACCUUGUUUGGGAUGCUGUGAAGCAGAAGUUGGUUGCUACUCCUUACGUUGCCUCUAGAGAUCAGUUUGCUGAUAUGUUUAACAAAGCAUUAUUUCGUCCUGCUUUUAUUGCUGGUUGUUCCAAGCUAGGCAUGGGUGACCUUUAUGCUCCAACUUGAGGGGGAGUGUUAAGUUACUUUAAUUAAGUUUCCUUUAUUAUCAGAGUUUUAUUUCCUUCUUUUAUUAUCAAAGUUUUAUUUCCUUUUUUACUUACAUAAGGGUAUUAUUGUCAUAUACAUUUAUAUUCAAUAUAAAUACAAUGGGUGUAGGGUUUAUGUUACUACAGAAAUUUAUAGCUCCCUCUUUGUUUAUUUCUUUUACAUUCUCCUUCUCCUCUUCUCUAUUCCUUCUCCCUUAUUCUUUCUCUCUUACUAUUUGCUGCAGAUUCUCUAAUAAGUUUUGUGGCAGUUGACUUGUUGCAAUGUUUUCAUAUGAUUUGCCUUUCUUCUGCCCUCAUUGGACCUUAGCUAUCACGUUCCUUUUUUUUUAAAAUUUUUUUUACAAUUUCCCGGUUGCCUUGUGUCUGACAUCUUUUCCUUUUAAUGUACUCUUUAGAGUUCAUAAACCUUGUGUCAUAUGAAUCAAAUGAAGUUUGUAAUCGAGAGGAGAAAAGAACGAUUACUCCUGAGCAUGUACUCAAGGCAUUAGAGGUAAUGUUCUUGUUCUUGUUCUUCAUUGAACAUACUCCUGAGCAUGUGAUCGAGAUUGAGUCAUGAUAGGCUGGAAUUUUUCGAUUUAGUAAACAUCUGUCUCGAAGGUUUUAAAUAGAAUGCACUGCUUUCAUAUAUGGUGUCCCUUAGUUGUUAUAUAUUGUCUAAUGUGCAGGAUAAUGGCCUUUUGCCCAUUUUUGAACCUAAGAUUCUUCUUGAUGGAGACCACCCUACUGAGAGGACUUUUGAAGUGGCAGAGAAGGUUUGGUCUGAGGUCUUUUUCUAUUUGGCUGAGAACAAUGUUUUGUUUGAGGGUAUCCAGCUUAAACCCAGCAUGGUAACUCCUAGAGCUGAGCAUAAGGAGAAGGCUUUGAUAUUGCUAGUAUAAACACCUAGAGGGGGGUGAAUAGGCGCACAAACAAUUUUUCUCAAAUACGGAAGCAACAGAUUGAAAUACGAUCGAUGUAGAGAGAGUAAGGAAGAGAAAAUCAAACACAGGAUUUAUAGUGGUUCGGCUUAUUCCAAGCCUACGUCCACUCUUCCGCACUGACAGCCCACCGGCUGGAUUUCACUAUGAUCAAAAGAGAAGUUACAGCAAAGCUUUGCCUUGAUUCCACAGUGUAGAUGUUCUAUCACACUUCCUCAAGGUCUCUCACAAAUAUAGACUCUCUUUUGUAUACAAGUAUUCGCUCAAGAGAUUUAUCUAAAACAAAUAGGAGCUUCAGACUUUGGAAUUUUUCUAUCGCGCACACUUCUUAAACAACUAAGAACGUCUUCCUUAUAUACUCCUUUAUGCCAUCAUACCCGUUGGCACUUUCCAAAGGAAUUCCUCCAAUCUACCCGUUGGACAGAAUCAAUUAGGAAGAUCGUUCGAGCUAUAAAAGGAACGUGUUGAUAGCCCAUCAAUCCUGUUCGCCCAUACAAUCAGGAUCUCGGUUUCCAUAAGCAGAACCUUCCAAUAAUAUUUAGACAAUCAUCGAAUUUUCAGUCAUUGAAUCAAUCUUUGAUCAAUUAAAGGAUUCUGAUACGUCUUCUCCAGCCACGAGACCUUCUCCAGAUGAUAAGGUUAAAUCCUGAACAAAGCAUCCAGUUCGGGAUAACCUUUCUUCAACGGAUCAGAGACUGUCAAUGAGGAUAGACUUUGAGUCUUGAGUCUGGCUGUCCGGAAGUCUUCAGACUUUAACUAACAAAGUUUGCAGACCUUCAGACUAGACUGACGGAAACAUUUUGUCAACUUCAAAACUCUUCACGAGGAUUUCUCCAACAAUCUCCCCCUUUUUGAUGGUGACAAAACUUUCCUGCAGAUUUGGAUAACUUUGACCUGCAAAACAUUUCUCAAACACAUAUGCAUAUAAAUGGCUAAUAGAAUAACACUAGAAUCUGCAACCACAGAAAAUAGGUUAGUCCAAUAUAUGAUUAAGCCAUUCAUAAGAUAUCAAUAUUGAUAAAUAGAAACAGUCAAAUCCAAGUCUAGGCAGUUCUUAUCCAGACACAAAACAAAGUCAAAGUCUAUCAAAAACAGACAGAUAAACACAAUCCAACAAACAGUUAAAAAGAUUGAAAGGUUUUUGAUCAAAUCAGCAUCUCUCCCCCUUUUUGUCAUCAUUUAAAAAGGAUGAGAUGAAAUCAAGUUUGCUUGGGAACGCGGACAAGCUGGAAAUCUUCCAUAGACUGAACAAUGCCUUCCAGCCUCUUAAAGUCUUCCUUAAGCUGUACAACCUCCUCACUCUUGGCAUUGGCCUGAUUCUGAAUAGAGAGGGCUUGCAUCUUUUCAUUUAAAGAACAGGAAGAAGCUUGACCAUCAUUCUUCAAGCUUUGAACUUCGCAUCCCAAGGCAUAAAUCUGACCUUUCAUCUCCAAGAGAAUAUCCAUAAUUCUGCGAAAAUCUGCUCCAUUAUUAGUCUGAGUACUUGCUUCUGCUCGUUCUGAUGGAGUAAAAGCAGACGAUGGUGGAUCAGCAUAAUCUCGCAGGUUGGGUGAUGAAGCUUCAUGACCUUCCUCUGGAAAUUGAGAUGCAUAAACAUCUUCUGGGUCUGCAGGCGAGCGACUGACUCCUUCACUUGCAUCUGGAUGUGAAGACGUCACUCCUUUCUCCUGAUCUCCCCCUGUUUCCAUGCCUACAGGUGGAGAAGAGAUUUCCUCAGGUUCUCCUUCUCUUCUUUCUUCUUCAGGUCUUUCUUGCUCUGCUUCUUGCUCUGUUUCUCUUUCUUCUUCUUCCUUCUCCUUUGCUUCUCUUUCUUCUUCUUCCUUCUCCUUUGCUUCUUUCGUCUUUUGUUCCGAUUCUUUCUGUGGAACAGGACGACUCAAGUUCUUCAAAGCCAUUGCGAAGAUGGUGAUGUCAUCGUCAUCAUCUUCAUCCUCAACGAGGAGAGCUCUUCUUUUCUUUGAUGGAGCAGCCAUGGGCUCCUUCCCUUUUCUCUUAGCAGCAGAAGAGGGUUGAUGAGACUUGGCAGGAGUCUUCUCCUUGAAUUUCUCCAAUUCCUUGCUCAGUUCCUUCAGACGCAUUUUGGUCACCAUUUUCAGUCCUACCACCAUAUGAUCGCAUGAUCGAACACAAAAGAUUUGCGGAGGCUGAAUAUUCAGAUGUUUGAAUAACUUCGUAACAAGGCUUGGGUAAGGGAGUUGACCUCUGUCCUUCAUCACUGCUCUAUACAUGUGAAACAUGACAGUAUGAGGAAGAGAAAACUUCUUUCCACAGAGGAUAACAUACAUCAACUUUGCCUCAGAGCUUGAAACAUCAGUUUUGGAAGUUGAUUUCGGCCGAAGGCAAUUAAUCACAGUCUUGUGAAGCAAGAUGUUGAAUGCGUUCAUCCUUGAGUAGGUGAUCUUCUCUUCUGUUCUCCUGUCCUUCACCAAUUCAAGUGUGGCCCGAGCAAUGGAAACUUUAAUCGGUUGAUAUCUGCCUCUCUCAACUUCUAACACAUCUGCCAGCAUAUCCAUAUCCACAACAUAGUCUUGUUCUUUGACACUAAAGGAAAAUCUAUUCGCAUCUAAAAAGCUAAGAUUUGAAUAGAAGUAAGCGGUCAAUUCAGCAUAAGCCUCAGUUGAGUCAGAACAGAAUUUUUCAAGUUGAAGAUAACUGAACUUUUCUCUCAAGUUCACUUUCACAGCAUCCAGAAAAUCAAAGUCCACACUCCUAGGGUUUAUUACCCCACGCUUCAGCAAUUUCGAGUACAGAUCCUUUUGUUCCUUUGAUCUGAACAAAUCUCCCCUUUUUCCUUGAAUUUCAGCCGCAAUACCCAUUUUCGGUUGAAAUAGACUGAACAGAUUGUCAUCAUCAUUCCCAUCUACAGGAUUUGGCCCCCAGUCACGAGGAUCACUUGGGAUAUUCGCAAGGGUUUCCUCAGCCACCCCUUUACGAGCGAUUCCCAAACUUUCCAUUCUUUUCAGAAAGAUAUAUUCGUUCCUAUAUCCUUUUUCUUUAACAAAAUCAUCAACAUAUUUCAAAGGAGUACGAAUUCCUUUUAAAGCACGAUAUAGCUUGUAGAUAAAAGCAGGCUUUUGAACUCUUACGGGGUCUGCUUCCUCGAUGAUUUCUUCCUGAUGAACAACGCCUUGAGGACUAGAUGAUGGAGAAUGACGCUGCUGAGAAUGUUGUGGGCUCGGUUGCUGAUCUGGAGAAACUUCAUCUUCAGUAAGAUCGAAGUGCGUAGGCCCCUCACUCAUUCUCUGUGGUCCCCUGCUUGCGAUUCUUGACGACUUUCGUGAAGAAGACAUCUUUAACAGUGUUUGGAAGUUUCCUUGCUUGACUUUCAUAGAAAAGAUGACAACUUUCUGAAGAUUUAGCGAAUAAGACAAACGGGAAUGGAGGAUUGAUGCUUUCUAGGGUUUUUGAGAGGAAAGAGAGUAGAAAAGUGAAGAGAAAUCGACAGUGCUUGUUCGGUUAAAAAGAAGGAUAAACGAACCGUCACAAAGGAAAUAAAAAUAUGCCUUUUCAAAAUAACUGUUUUUAUUCGCAAAAAUAGCUAUUUCAAAAAUAACUUCCCUUUUGAAAAUGAAUCGAUGCAAUACUUACGUUAAUUAAAUAUAGCAACAAUUUAAACAAGUCUGAUGAUCGUACCUUUUCAAAAUAAGAUUGGAAAGAGAAAGACUUACAGUCUGAAGGUCGAGACAAGACUGUAGAUAAAGUCUUGUAAGCCUGAGUCUGAAAGUCUUUAGACUUUGAUAUCUUCAUACCUCAAAAUAUUGAGUCUAGUCCGAAUAGACUCAAAUUGAUUUUUCUCCAAAGGCUUCGUGAGUAUAUCAGCCAGCUGAUUCUUUGAGUCAACAAAUUGAAUUGAAACAUCUCCAUUUUGAACAUGAUCUCUAAUAAAGUGAUGUCGAAUCUCUAUAUGCUUCGCUCUUGAGUGGAGAAUUGGAUUUUUGGUGAGGUUGAUAGCGCUGGUGUUGUCGCAAUUAAUCUCUGUGCAUGAGUCUUCAAUUUCAAAAUCUCUUAGCUAUUGUUUUAUCCAUAGAAUUUGCGAACAGUAGCUUCCAAGAGCUACAUACUCUGCUUCUGUUGUUGAAAGAGACACAGUACUUUGUUUCCUUGAAAACCAAGACACUGUUAUGUUUCCAAGCAACUGGCAAGUUCCUGAAGUACUCUUUCUAUCAACUCUGCAACCGGCCAGAUCUGCGUCUGAAUAUCCCAGAAGUUUAAAGUCUCCCUUCUUAGGAUACCAAAGACUGAUGCUUGAUGAUGAAGCGACGUAUUUAAUGAUGCGUUUGGCAGCACUGAGAUGGGAUUCUCUAGGAUCUGAUUGAAACCUAGCACAGAUGCAAACACUCAACAAAAUAUCAGGUCUAGAGGCAGUAAGAUAAAGAAGUGAUCCAAUAAUGCUCCUGUACAGCUUUUGAUCAACUUUCUUCCCUUCUUCAUCUUUGUCUAUCUUUAAAGAACUUGACAUUGGUAUGUCUGUCUUUUUGCAAUUUUCCAGUCCAAACCUUUUGACAAGAUCAUUAACAUAUUUUUCUUGAAAAAUGAAAGUUCCUUUCUUCAAUUGUUUUAUUUGAAGACCAAGAAAGAAUGUUAAUUCUCCCAUCAUACUCAUUUCAAACUCAUCCUGCAUAGACUUUGAAAAUUUCUUGCACAGACUUUCAUUGGAGGAUCCAAAAAUAAUAUCAUCCACAUAUAUUUGAACAAGUAAGAAACUUUUAUUUUCCUUCUUGAUAAAUAAAGUUGUAUCUACUUUACCUUUGACAAAACCAUUUUGUAAUAGGAAAUUACUUAACCUGUCGUACCAAGCCCGAGGUGCUUGCUUUAAACCAUACAAAGCCUUUUUCAGUCUGAAGACUAAGUCUGGCUUCUUUGGGUCUUCAAACCCUGGCGGUUGUUCCACAUAAACUUCCUCAUGGAUAAAUCCAUUUAGGAAGGCGCUUUUGACGUCCAUUUGGAAUAACUUGAAAUUCUUAUAACAAACAAACGCAAGUAAUAAUCGAAUAGCUUCUAACCUUGCCACUGGAGCGUAAGUCUCAUCAUAGUCUAUUCCUUCUUCUUGCGUAUAUCCCUUGGUCACGAGUCUUGCUUUAUUUCGUACGACUUUCCCUUUCUCGUUCAUCUUGUUUCUGAACACCCAUUUAGCUCCAAUAACAGUUUUACCUUUUGGGUUGGGAUCUCAAUUCCCAAACAUCAUUUAUGCUGAACUGUCUGAGCUCUUCUUGCAUAGCUUCAAUCCAGCUUUCAUCAGAUAAAGCUUCUUCUAUGCUCUUUGGUUCAAUUUCAGAAACGAGUGCCACAGCACUAGACUUUUCUCGCCUUUUAGAUCUGGUGCGAAUUCCUUCAUUCAUUUCGCCGAUUAUAAGAUCUUUGGGAUGACUGGACUUAUGCUUCCAGUUACUUGUUGAUUUGUCUGGUUGAUGAUCUCUUUCUUUAUUGGAUCUUCACUAACAACCUGAUGCUGGUUUUCAAGAGUCUGAGGUGCUUCUUGAGUUGUAGACUUUGGAGGGUCUGGAGUAGAUUCAGAUUCUUCUUGAUGAGUCUGACUUGAUUCAUCUUGCAUUGAGUCUUGAAAUUUGACAUUCAUUGACUCCUCUACAGACUGGCUCUUCUUGUUAUAGACUCUGUAAGCUUUGCUUGAUGUAGAAUAUCCAAGGAAGAUACCUUCAUCUGAUCUUUCUUCAAACUUACCAACUCGAUCUUUUGCAUUUUUCAAUAUAAAACACUUGCAACCAAAUACAUGAAAGUAUGAAACAAUAGGCUUCUUUUCUUUGAAUAACUCAUAAGAGGUUUUCUGAAGAAUAGAUCUUAAGAAGACUCUAUUGAUGAUAUAGCAAGCUGUUGAAACAGCUUCUGCCCAAAAUCGAGAAGAAAUUCUACUUUCAAUUAAAAGAGUUCUAGCCAUUUCUUGAAGAGAUCUGUUCUUUCUUUCCACAACUCCAUUUUGCUGAGGAGUAUACGGAGAGGAAAACAUAUGCUUACAGCCAGAUUCAUCACAGAAUUUUGUAAAAUCUUGAUUUUCAAAUUCACCUCCAUGAUCUGUUCUUAUACUGGAGAUAACACAACCUUUUUCAUUUUGAACCUUUUUAGCAAAAUUUUCAAAAUACGAAAAGGUUUCGGACUUACUUGAAAGGAAAUAUACCCAAGUAAAACGGGAGUAAUCAUCAACAAUUACUAGGCAAUACUUUUUACCCCCAAUACUCAGAGUUCUGGUUGGUCCGAAGAGAUCCAUAUGCAGCAACUGUAGAACAUGAUUAGUAGAGACAUGAUUUAUUGGCUUAAAAGAAUUUUUUACCUGUUUUCCCAGAAUACAUGGAGUGCAUGAAUCAGUCUUUUGGUAUGGCAAUUUUGGUAGACCUCGAACAAGCUGCUUUGAUGAGAUUUUGGCUAAUUUCUUCAUAUUGACAUGUCCAAGCUUUUUGUGCCAUAAGCUUGCUUCGUCUUGAAUUGAGAUAAGACAUUGCGAUUCAUUUGGUUUCACAUCCAGAAGAUAGAUGUUUCCAUGUCUUCGACCUAGAAAAGAUUGAGUAGAAUCUUUACUGAUUCCGGAACAUGUUCCUUCUUGAAAGGAGAUCUUGAAACCAGUAUCACACAAUUGACUAAUGCUGAGAAGAUUGUAAUUGAGUCCUUCAACUAAGGAAACAUUACUUAUUGUGAGAGUUCCAAUUUUCACGGUUCCAAAUCCCACAAUACUUCCUUUGCUGUUUCCUCCAAAUGAAACUUUUCCACCAUUUACUUGAGCAAGCUUUAUAAAGCAAUUUGAGUCUCCUGUCAUGUGUCUUGAGCAUCCGCUGUCAAGAUACCACUUUACCUGUUUCUUGAUGGAGACCUGCAUUUAACAAAGAGUCUCAAGCUUUCUUUGGUACCCAAAUUUUCUUGGGUCCUUUGGUGUUAGUAAGAUAAACAGUAUUAGCCCAUACUUUCUUAAUAGGUUUCCAUACCAUAGGACACUCUUUUUCAAAGUGAUCUGGACUGUUGCACUUAGAACAUCUGAGAGCAUUUCUACCUACAGGUUUUACAAAGACUUUUUUGAAGUGAUUUUUGUAAACCUCAUUCGAAAGCAUUUUCUUAAUUCUUUCUUUUACUUUAGGAAAAUCAAUCAAGGGAAUUGUUUCUUCUGUCAUACCUAGACCAGACUUAUUAAAGUAAGGUCUUUGUGCUGAAAGAAUUUUCUCAAGUUUUUCAGAUCCCAUAGAAAAUUUCUUUGAUAUAUUAGAUAAAUCUGUUUUUAAGAAAGCAUUUUCUUUUAAAAGAUUUUCUUCAUUUUCUUUAAGAUUGGAAACAGACAAGUCUAGACUUUUAACUUUUUCUGCUAAAACAUUUUCCUUUUGCUUUAGAGCUGAGUUUUCCUUUUUUAGUUUGGAAAUACUUUUGAGAGAAGUCUUAAGACUAAAGCAUAGUUCCUCAAUAUAUUUAGAAACUUUGACAGGAAUUUUAAAAUUACUUGCCUCAAAUUCACUGUCUGAGUCUGAUCCAGAGUCUGAGUCUGAUUGUGCCAUCAGACAUAGAUUGGCAUAUUCAUUAUCACUUUCUUCACACUCAGUAUCACUCCAGGUUUCAGCUUUGAGAGCUUUUCAAAAAAUUUCAGCUUUUCCUUUCUUUUUCUUCAAAAGAGGACAGUUGGGUCUGAUGUGUCCCUUUUUCUUGCAUUCAAAGCAGACUACAUCUUUGUUUGGUUCCUCAUCAUCAACAGACUUGGUCUGCUGUCUUUGAAAGCCUUGUUUCUUUGAGUUGAACCUUCUUCCUUUUCUGUUUAGUUUUCUGAAUCUUCUUAUCAUGAGAGCAAGCUCCUCAUCGUCCAUAUCUUCUUCAGAAUCUGUAACAUCAGAAUCAUCAUUUGAUUUUAAUGCAAUGAAUUUCUUACCUCUUGGAUCUUCAUCUUCAUUGAUUCUUUCCACUUCAUAGGACUGAAGAGUUCCAAUCAGCUCAUCGACAGAUAAUGGCAUAAUUCUCUGCGUCUCUCUUAUCGAAGUCUUUAUGUGAUUCCAAUCCUUGGAGAGUCCACGUAGUAGCUUGUUUACCUUCAUGGGAUCAGAAGUUGGUUGACCUUGAUUUUCAAGACCAUUUACAAUAUCUGUAAAACGACUAAACAUGUCAGAUAUUGAUUCUCCUGGUUUCAUUCUAAAGGCUUCGUAUUGACCGAAAAGAAUGUUGAUUCUUGUUUUCUUCACUCGAUCUGUUCCUUCAUAGGUGAUAUGCAAUCUGUCCCAAACUUCUUUUGCUGUACCACAAGAAGAUAUUCUAUUAUAUUCAGUUGGUGAUAAAGCACAAUAUAAGGAAUAAAUUGCUUUUGCAUCGAGUGUCUGUCUGUUGGUUAUUUCUUCCUGAGACAUUCCAUUGGAUUCUUCAGUUUCUUUUCCUCUUUCAGAGACUGAUGCAGUGGUAGGAGUAAUUCCUUUUUCUACAACGUCCCAUUCCAGAGGAUCCUUUGAUCGUAGGAAAGCUUUCAUCUUGUUCUUCCAGAUGUUGUAAUCCUUUCCAUCAAAGUAAGGUGGUCUGGUAUUGCUUUGCCCUUCCAUCAGCCCUGGUGCUAGCAUACUAGCCAUGGAUCUUUUACUAUGAAGUAAAACACUUCAAAUAAAGUAAGUACACAGGCUCUGAUACCAAUUGAUAUUGCUAGUAUAAACACCUAGAGGGGGGUGAAUAGGCGCACAAACAAUUUUUCUCAAAUACGGAAGCAACAGAUUGAAAUACGAUCGAUGUAGAGAGAGUAAGGAAGAGAAAAUCAAACACAGGAUUUAUAGUGGUUCGGCUUAUUCCAAGCCUACGUCCACUCUUCCGCACUGACAGCCCACCGGCUGGAUUUCACUAUGAUCAAAAGAGAAGUUACAGCAAAGCUUUGCCUUGAUUCCACAGUGUAGAUGUUCUAUCACACUUCCUUAAGGUCUCUCACAAAUAUAGACUCUCUUUUGUAUACAAGUAUUCGCUCAAGAGAUUUAUCUAAAACAAAUAGGAGCUUCAGACUUUGGAAUUUUUCUAUCGCGCACACUUCUUAAACAACUAAGAACGUCUUCCUUAUAUACUCCUUUAUGCCAUCAUACCCGUUGUCACUUUCCAAAGGAAUUCCUCCAAUCUACCCGUUGGACGGAAUCAAUUAGGAAGAUCGUUCGAGCUAUAAAAGGAACGUGUUGAUAGCCCAUCAAUCCUGUUCGCCCAUACAAUCAGGAUCUCGGUUUCCAUAAGCAGAACCUUCCAAUAAUAUUUAGACAAUCAUCGAAUCUUCAGUCAUUGAAUCAAUCUUUGAUCAAUCAAAGGAUUCUGAUACGUCUUCUCCAGCCACGAGACCUUCUCGAGAUGAUAAGGUUAAAUCCUGAACAAAGCAUCCAGUUCGGGAUAACCUUUCUUCAACGGAUCAGAGACUGUCAAUGAGGAUAGACUUUGAGUCUUGAGUCUGGCUGUCCGGAAGUCUUCAGACUUUAACUAACAAAGUCUGCAGACCUUCAGACUAGACUGACGGAAACAUUUUGUCAACUUCAAAACUCUUCACGAGGAUUUCUCCAACAGGCUUCUCCUGAGACAAUUGCCAAGUACACUCUUACAAUGUUGAGAAAGAGAGUUCCACCUGCUGUUCCAGGAAUCAUGGUAUGUUUAUGUUAACAUUUCUACAUCUUUGCAGCCUGUUGUAGUACAUAUAAGCCUAAUGAUUUGGCAGGCUGGCCGUGUGUUGUCAUGAGAGUUCCUUGUUCUUUCCUGCUGCAAUGUGUCUAAUUGUAAUGUUUCUUUGCAUGAUAAAAAUAGACGAUCUUUCAGCCUGUCUGCUUAUUGUUAUAUUGUCUAGUCUUCUCGGCAUCAAUGCAAUUGUAGCUUUGGAUGGGACACUGUUGUUAGAAGAACUAAUCUAAGCAAAAGAGGUUAUUAGCUUUCUGUAUCAUGUUCUCUGUAUUGAAGGAGAAUAGGAAUCGCAUUCUCUGCUUUGACUUCCUUCUUUUUACCUUUUGAUAGGUUUGUGUUGAUUCCUUAACAACUUUGCAUUUUGCUUCUUUGAACUGUUUAUGGUUUGAUGCUUGGCAAUUUUUAGUUUCCUAAAGAAAAAAAAAAAACUAAUUUCCAUCAAUUUGGUGGUGAAGGAACUCUAAAAUGGAAGGAAAAAGAAUCUCCUUCUUGCGCUUGAAAAAGGUCUAGACAAAGCAUCUAUUGAGGAAUCAACCUCUUCUUGCCUAACAUAGCCCAAGUGUGGCAUCCCAAAAAUUCAAAGUCAAGUUAUAAGGUGUGUUAAAGCCUCUAAUUAGGUAAUGAAAUUUCCUAUGAUUUAUGCUUUAGCCAUUAGUCUCUUUUUAAGAUUAGGUGAUUUGUGCUUGUGUUUAUGAGAUUUUAAAUUAGAUAGAUUAAUGAUAAUAAUCUAUGCUUGGCCAUGCACCUUAUGAAUUAAAUUCCUCUAAAUAAAAUGUCACAAGACUUUGGCCAUGUGGAAUUUAAAAUUUAAAAUUCAUAGAAGAAAUUAUAAAAAGGAAAAUUUAAAAUUUAAUUAGGUUGGGCCUUAGGCCCAUUGGCCUAAGCUUUAGUGGGCCAAGCUAGUCGGCCCAAUUAGGCCCACGAAAGGGGGCUGUCGACCGGCCUAAGAGGAGGCCCAAGAGAAGAAGGCCCAAGCCCAUGCAUGAGCUUUGCCAAGUGGCAAGAAGGAGCUCAUGCAUUGGCCAAUUGAAAGGCAAUCUAAUGAUUGCAAAUGAUGAGGUUUAAGGGGGGAAUAAAAGGGAAGAAGAGGAGAGAGAGUGGCCGGUUGCUUUGUUCGGCCAAGGGAGAGAAACCGUGCGAGAGAGAGGGAGAGAGUGGCCGAGAGAGGAGAAGCCGAGAGGGAGAGGAAGGAGUCGUCGCCGUUCGCUGCUGUGUGCCGCCGUGUUCGCCGCCGUGUGCCGUCGUCCGUUCGGUCUAGAGGCAAGUUGGGGUCCUCUUGCUGCUCUUGCAUGUGUGUGUGUUACAUGUAUGUUGUAGAAAAGUCGAAUUUUGGGUGAAUAGGAGGGGGAAACCGAAGCUUGGAUGACUUGUUCUUGAGUGGUGUUGCUGUUUUCGCUUGAACCGCCUGAGUCAGAAAUUUGUAAGAGCUUGCAUGUAUGUUUGGAGUUUUAUUUUGGCUUCUAUUUCUUCAUGAAAGUUGUAGCUAACGUCUUAAAAUACAACAUAAUAAAAUUUGGUGGAAAAUUAUGGAUAUUUAAGGGGUUAAACUCUCAUCCUACGGAGACCUCAGAUCUGGAACGAUUUCACUGACCUUUUGAUGGAUUUGUGGUUGCAUGUUGAGUUGUGCUAAGAAUCUCUCUUUUAUUUAUUCAUGAAAGUUGUAGGGGACAUCUUAAAAUACAACAUACUCAAAUUUGAGGAAAAAUGAACAAGUAUAACCUAGUAAAUCGACUGAAUCUAGGAGACGGUAAUUCUGGAGAUGUAGUACAGGACACCCGAGACUUCAUGGACCUAAACGACGACUAUAAUCUGGAGUUUUGACUUAUAUCUAUUCAUCAAACAUGUAGAAAACAUCUUGAUGUAAAACAUAUCCAAAUUUCAGAGGAAACGAAGAAGGAUAGGUAGGUGAAAACUCAGUAUUUCGGAGAAGCAUGCACUGGACGUUUCGGUGUUGGAUCCAGAAGCUUCGUGAGACUGUAUAAAUUAAUCUGAAAAUAAUUUGGCUUAGAAGUCUUCAUGAAAAAUGUACUUUAGUGUCUUGGCUAUAAGUCGAUAAAAUUUCGUAAUUUUUGGAGGUCGUAUGGAUAUUUUAAUCAAAUUAUUUUGGAAACUGUGCAUUCUGAUUUCAUCCGAAAAUUUCAUGCUAUUUUGUGUGAAUUAUGGAAUUGUGUGGAAUUCUAUUUUGGCCAUGUAUUUUGCAUGAAAUCAUUAUCCUAUUGUCUUGAUUAUCACUUGCCUUAAUUUCUAUGAUUUUGAGAAUUAUAUAGAUAUUCAAUUUAAUAUUUUUAAAAGUGGCACAAGCUGGAAUUUAAAUAAAUGUAAAAAGGGCAUGAUAAAUGGAUUAUUUUAAUUGUCAAAAAUUCCAUAAAAUUUUAUUUCAUAAAUAAUUGUACCAUGUAGCAUGUAUGAUGAGGUCUUGAUGUAUGCAUGACAAUAAAUUGAGAUGCAUGUAUGAAUUCCAUGCUGAAUAAUGACUUUGUUUGCCAUCACAUCAUAUGCCAUGUUAAAUUGAGACCGAAAUUGGUGAACAUGAAUAAUGUUAAAUGAGGAGAUUGUUGUGGCGGAUGAUAAUGCCCGGAGUGUAUAGAGAUAUAUUGCCGGAUGGCCCGGGGAGUUUCAGGAUGCCCGGAAAGUUGGGGGUGCCGGAAGCCCUGGAGGUUUGUGCCCAGGGGGAUGCCUCACGAUGCCAGUUGGGAUGCGGGAUACUCGGCUAGGGAGUGUAAAUGCCGCAAGCCUCAGAGGUCUUUGCCCGAGGGGAUGCCUCGUAAUGCCAGUUGGGAUGCGAGAUGCCCGGAAUGUGGGGGGCCAGAUGCCCGGUGGCCUGGAAUGGCUGAAUGCCAGAGGGUUUUCUCGCGAUGCCAGGAUGAGGCGCGAGUGUAUAAUAUGAGAUGAAAUUGGUGAUCCGAGGAAUGGUGAUGUGGUGAUCGAAUGGAAAGUAAAAAAGUGGAAAAUUGAACCAUGCAUGAUAUGAUAUGACAUGAUGAUGAUGAUCACCUAUGGCAUGAUGAUAUGCAUGAUAUGAUGAUGAUGUGCACAUAUGAUAUGAGACAGCAUGAUGAUGAUGAUGAUAUGCACGUAUGACAUGAUAUGAUGAUGAUGAUGAUGAUGAUGAUAUGCAUGAUAUGAUGAUGAUGAUAUGCACAUAUGACAUGAUAUGAUGAUGAUGAUGAAGAUGAUGAUGAUGAUAUGCAUAUAUGAUAUGAUAUGAUGAUGUCAUGAUGACGAUGAUACGAGUAUGACAUGAUAGUAUGCAUGUAUGUGUUAUGAUUGUGAUGAUGAUGCAUGAUAGUAUAUGCAUGGCUUCAAGAUAAGUAAUGCCUGGAAUGCAUGUAUGAUUUGUAUGAUGUUUGAAGUGACUAUUGGAUUCCUUUACCUGCUAAGUGGUUGUACUCACCGCUUUUGGGGACCAACAUUUCAGAUUAGCAACAUGCCGCUCCCUGCCGUCACGCGGGGUUUGUUUUACGGUCUACCAUCUGAUGUCGAGGUCGAGUGCGAGGAGUUUGGCUGUCCUUCUGUUCCUGGAUUGACGUAUAUUCGAGUGCGCUGUUUAGUCAUGUACGACGUAGGCCUGGCUGGGGGCCCGGUUGUCCAGGAGUUCAUCUCCGUCCACAUUCGUCAUGAUGGGGUGAUGCGAGGGAUGUUGCCGCCGUCACCGCCUGAUGCACCGGGUUGGGUGUGAGGGCCCGUGCAUGACGAGUAGGAGCUGGAUUUUUGGGGAUAGUUAGCCGACACUGAUGAUGGGGAUUGUUGCACGUGAGUUUUAGCGGGUCGAGGGUUCUUUUUGGGGUUUUAGGCCGGACAUGGCUGAGUCCUGGCUUUUCCUUUUGAUGUAUCGACCCAAAGAAAUCCCAUCUUGAAAAUAUAUGUAAAUAAAGUGUCGUGGCUUGUCUAUUAAUCAUGGUGAUUAGUGGUGUGUAUUUGUAUCAUGGUUGGUAGGGGGAGAGAUGGUGAUGUUUUAUUUUGCUUCCACUAAUGAGUCGCGCUAGGACCGUUUUUAAAAAGAAAAAAAAAAUGUCUAUGAAUUACGACGCUUCUUCUAGAGAGAGGUAGUAAGGUGUAACGUUGGUGCCUGUGGCGACCCUUGAAGGGUUCGGGGUGUCACACCAAGAAAGCAAACAGACUUGAAAUCACUAAUGAAAAGUUGCUUAUAUACGUCUCUUUCCUUCUACUUCAGAUAUUAAAUUGGGUUUAUAAAGAUAAAUUUUAAGGCUUUCUAUUUUGCAGCAUUUGAGGAAUCAAUAUGACGAACUUUUUCCUGCAUUGUGUGAAGAUCACCCUGACAUAUUUCCUCGAGAGCUUUAUGUAUGGGAACAAUUUUUAUGGGCUUGCGAACUUUAGUAGUCUAACAGCAUGAAAAUUCAGUUUGCUCAUGGAGCACUCAAGACUUGCCUAAUCCCCAUUGCUGGAUUUCUUAACCAUUCAGUAUGUUGUUUGACUAUUCUCAUUUUAUUGUCAUGAUUUCUUAGGUCUCGUGAGCAUUUCUCAACAUGUUUGUUUACUAUUUUGAUGUGGCUAUCUUCCAAUGGGUAUCAGUUUAGUCUGACUGAGACUCUUUUCUUGGAUCUGACCUCAUCGCAGUAGCAGAAUUACCAUUAAGUAAACAGAUGAUGAACACCAACUUUAUGAUUCGCAGAACUUUCUUGAGCAUGACUUUCUUCUUGAGAAACUAUCUCGUGAAGCUCCAAUAUAUGUCAUCAUGGAAGGAAGUGAACCACCUUUCUUCACGCGCUUCUUCUCAUGGGACUCCGCAAAAUCUGCUGUAGGUAAUUGUAAUCAUUAUACAUCUGAGUUUUUGCUGUCCUAGAAUUCUGAUUGAUUUUUUUUUCCUGGUGAAGAUGCAUGGGAACUCAUUCCACGAGAAGCUUACAAUUGUUAAGCAUGGUGGUACACCAACUAUUGAUGUAAGACUUACGUACUUCGAAGCUUCUAAACAUGCCUGCUUGAAUGAUUCUUAGCUGUUUAGGACUAUCGUGCAUAUCCACUUUUAUCAGCUUAUUUAUGCUUGUAUGUGGAUAUCUUGACUCUUUAAGGAACUCAUGCUUGGUCCAAGUUUGUUGCUUGUAUCAGUGAUUUUCUUGUGUUUGUCACAACAAAAGUUGCUAAGUUGCCAUCCUUUUUUUUUUUUAUCUUGGCUUGAGCUAACAUAGAAGUUUUGGUUUGUCUCUCUCCUUAUUCAUUAUAGUUCAAAUCUGAAAAUGAAACCACAAAAAAAAAAAAACUCGUUGGAACCUGGAACCGACCCUGGAACCUGUGACAAGGUAGGCUCCAGGUUCUUGGUUCUAAUGGGUAGGUUCCAGGUUCCAAAAAAUGAGGAACCUGUACCCGAGGGUAGGUUCCAGGUUCUAGAUGAAACCGAACCGAAACCUGGAACUGCUCACCCCUACGAUUAACCCAAUCACGUCGUGUGAUUUUGUAGUUUGAAAUUUACAGUUAGCAAGAUUAUAACAAUCGGACUCCUUGUGCCACUUCCGUAUUCGAGUUCUCAAUCUUUUUUUUUCUGUUCAUUUAAGAAUUAAAACUUGCAUUAAAAAGUAUUUGAGAGAUUCGGUUUGGUCCAUCAAUUUCUAAUGGACAGAAAGCAUAGCUGCCUUCUUUAAUUCCCUAUAGACAUAAUGAUAGAUAGUAUGUGGAUAUGUCUAAAUGAUCAUGAAUUCCCAUGUGAAAAAGUCGUAAUUUAUUAAUUAUCCUUUUUUUUUGUAAGGAUUAAUUAUCCUUUUUUACUAAUACAAUGAUCGAAAAAUUUAAAAUUAAUAUGUGAUAUUUUACUAAAUCAUCUCUUUGGUUUUAUUGUCACAAACAUGGAUGAUCCCGGAAUUAAUCAUUUCAAUAAGUCUCCCAACUCUAAAGUUUACAUGUAUUCUUAAAUAUAAAGGCAAUUAUGAAAUUAUUUUUUCAUUGAUCAAAAUAAGGAUCCUCAAAUAAUAUCAUUUAAAAGUCACUUCCAAAAGGUAUUUGUACGAAUUGAUAUCUAAGUGAGGUGCAAUAUCAAUUUUUUAGAGAAACAAAAAAAUUGAGAAUGUUUUAAUUGUUAAAUCUUAGUAUUCUCUUAUUCUUUGGAUAAGAAUUUUCGUUUCUACUCAAGAAAGCCAUAACGAGUUUUCAUUAUUUGAGGGCAUUUGGGUUUUCGUUCGGAAACUACUCUCAAUACGUGACCAAAGGCUUUUUCAAUAUUAUUUUCGUGUUCAAAUGAAAGCGAAAACAAAAAAGCGAGAAAAUUUUCUCUAAACAAUAGGGAGCAAACUGCUAUUUUGACCCAUUAGGCUUUUGGCCUUUCCUCUUUCCUCUCUUUUUCUUCAUUUCCUUUAUUGUGGACCCCACACGUCUUUCACACACCACCCAACAUUUGCACGCGCUUCUCUUCUACUGGUUGACUGAAAUUUAUAAUGAAGUAGAUCAAGAGGCACCACCAAACCAUUGUUAACCAGCAAAAGUCAACUCUGCAACCUCCUCUUUCUAGCAAAAAAGAAGAAGAAAAAACUCUGCAACCUCCUCUCUAGCACUCCUUAACCCCUGCUCUUGUCUUUUGGAAAAGGCGGAAGCAGUGCUCUUCACCCUCACCAAGGACAUACUGAAUCUCGCCGGUACCAACAUCUUUUCGAAGAUCCAACUUGUACGAGGUGCGAGCGAUGAUCUCAAGGGUCUCAAGUAAACCGUCAAGACCAUCCAAACUAUGCUUUUGGAUGCCGAGAAAAAACAAUGGGACAGCGAGCAGGUCAAGCUCUGGCUCAUGAGGCUGAAGGACGUGUUGUACGAUGCACAGGACUUGCUGGAUGAUGUCGCAACCGAAGAUCUGAGGCAGAAGGUCACUCCCGGAAACAAAAUGUCAGAAGAGGUACGCUCUUUCUUCUCCAAAUCAAAUCAGCUGGCACAGCCCUACAAAGUGGCUAAAAGGAUGCAGGAAAUUAGGAAGAAACUGGAUUGGAUUGCAAAAGAUAGGGAGUUCCGUUUAGAGGAGCAUCGGAGUGAGGCAACUGUUAGCUAUUGUGAGGAGGAGGACAACUGACUCUUUUGUGCGGAAGGAAGAAAUAGUUGGUAGACAAUCUAAUGAGAGGGAGAUCAUCAAAUCUUUGCUUGAUUCCUCCUCCGAAUAGAGUGUUUCAGUUGUUCCCAUAGUCGGUAUGGGAGGACUUGGAAAAACCACACUUGCUCGGCUGGCGUACAAUGAUGACAAAGUGAGAAACUACUUUGAGCUUAAGAUGUGGGCGUGUGUAUCCGAUGUCUUUGAUCUAGAUUUCCUCAUUAAAGAAAUACUGAAAUCUGCCCGAGAUAAGUAUAAAGGGAAUCCUGAGAAUCUACGAGACAUUGAUAAUAAGUGCAAGGAUGAAUUGCUGGGGCUUCUUCGUAAGGUACUAGACGGGAAGAAAUACUUGCUUGUUUUGGAUGACUUGUGGAAUGAAGAUCACGGGAAAUGGUCGGAGCUCCAACGUUUGCUGAUGGGUGGUUCAUUGGGGAGCAAGAUACUUGUAACCACGCGCAAUCGGUCGGUGGUGGACGCUAUAGGUACAAAAUCAGAUAUCCAUUAUCUAGAUUUCUUAUCUAAAGAUGAGUUGUGGGACUUAUUCAAGAAAACGGCUUUCGGAGAUGGGGAAAAAUCAUUAAACCAAGAACUGGAGCAGAUAGGUCAAGAUAUAGUUGAAAAAUGUGGUGGUGUUCCCCUUGCCAUCAAAACUAUAGGCAACCUUUUGUAUGCUAAAAAGGAAAAGGAGUGGCUCUAUUUGAAAGGGCAUGAAUUCUCAAAAAUAGAUACCUUGAACUCUGGAAUAAUGGAAGUCCUCAAAAUCAGCUACAAUCAUCUUCAGCCGGGGCUAAAACAUUGUUUUGCAUAUUGUGCGUUGUUUCCAAAAGAUUAUGUCUUUCAUUAACAAGACAUGAUACAGUUUUGGAUGGCACAAGGUUUUAUUGAAUCAUUGGACGGGAACGAGAAGUUAGAAGAGAUUGGGGAUAGUUAUGUCUGGGACCUACUUUAUAGGUCAUUUCUUGAAGUUGAGGAGGUCGAUCCUUACAUGGGUGAGGUGAAAAAGUUUAAGAUGCAUGAUCUCAUGCACGAUCUUGCCUUGAAAGUCACAGGAAAUGAGUGCAAGAUGGUUAGUCUCAACAAAGGCAGUCUCGAUGAAGAUACUCGACAUGCUUCAUUUGCUUUACAAUCAUUCUCAUCGCUGCAAGAAGUGACUUCUCUGCUAGAAGCAACCAAUCUACAAACAUUUCUCUCUUUGGAAGGAAUGUCAUCUAUACGAAAGUUGUCGCCAAAUGAAUGCAACGGAUUUUCUCCAAGUUCAGGCAUUGCCGAAUAUUGCGAUUGAACUAUGUAAAUUUUCGCAUCCCUUCUUUGUUGGGAAGUCAGUUGAAGCACUUAAGAUUUCUUGACAUUUUUAAGAAUGACUCCAUCAAGAGUUUGCCGGAUCCAAUCACGGAUUUGUUGAACUUGCAGACCCUUAAAAUCUCUACAUGUGAGAAACUUAAAACAUUGCCCAAAGAUUUGAGGAAAUUGGUCAACCUUAGACACCUCUCAAUUGACCAUUGUGGCUCACUGAGCCGCCUAGACAGCCUAAGUGAACUCUCUUCCCCAAGGACUUUGAGUCUCAUGUUCUUGGAUGCAUUGGAUUUUGACCCUCUUCAACAAUCUAGUACUACACGGCCCUUCUUCCCAUCUCUUGAGAGUUUGACCCUCUUCAGCUACAGAAAGUUGAAGGGAUGGUGGAGAAGAAUGCAAGUGAUGAUAGCAUGUCAAAAGCAUUAAUCAAACAAUUCUCGGCCAUUCUUCCAAAACUACGGUUUGUGAAAAUAAAAAAACUGUCCCAGCUUGAAUUUCGUGCCACCAUUCCCCCAGGUGGAAUACUUGGAGAUAGAUAACAUAAUAAUGUUGGAACAACAAUUCUUGACCAAUCCAAAUCGUCCAUAAGAACGAGCAGUGGUGUCCACAUUCAUCCCUUUCUUUAAACUAAAGGAUCUAUGUCUUCAUUAUGGGAAUCUGGAGCCGAUACUUGAGACUCUACUUCGAUUGGCCAAUAAUCUCGAGUCCAUGAGACUAUCAUUGCAACCUAAAGGGUCUCUUUUGUGGCAUGCGGCACCUUUCCUUGCUCCGGGAACUCGACAUUAGGAGUUGUGAAGGACUCGAUUUAUUGUGCCAAGAAGACGAGCAAGGCACUCAAUGGCAAUUCCUUAUAAAACUUCGUGUUCUUAAAAUCUUCGAUCUUCAUGAUCUGGUGGAAUUGCCUAAGUGGCUUCAACAUGCCAUGACUUUGCAAUCUCUUGAUAUUUCUUACUGUCAGAAUCUAAGGAAUUUGCCGGAAUGGAUUAAAAAUUUCUCUUUGCUGGAAGAGUUUGUAAUACAUGAUUGUCCAUAUUUGCCAUUUGAGAUCGCUUGAAGAGAGGGGCCUAACAGAUGGGCACGUUCUGGUCAUUAUUGGGGAGGGGAUGAAUCGGAACGAUUAGCACAGUAGAGGUACGAGAAAAGACUUAUGUCACCUAUCAAUAGUGUUCCUUUUUCAACCAUGUGACCUUCUUUAUUAAUUAACUAAUUUCUCUUCUCUUCACUAUACAUUGGCAGUGAAAUUAUUUACCAAAAAGAAGAAAGCGUCCCUCGCACUCCAGUUCGCCACCAUCUUCCUCGUUAUAUCGCGCGUGUAGAACAAACACCACCUUUGUCUCCUCGUCUUGCUCAAUCCCUCCUUCAUCUCCUCCAUCACCGCCGCCGGAAGAACCCCCGCAUCCUCUCGAUCGCCUCCUUCCUCUUUGGUCGGGUCCGCUGAGGUCGAUGAUCGGGAAGAUGAGAUUCUCGGAUCCGCCGCUCGAUUCGGAUGUCUUGUGCGGUCGGAUGAAGAAAUCCUGGGGAUUUCGGUGAUCCCGGUGUCGAUGAAGCCUUUGACGCCGGCUUUCGAGUCGUCGAACGCUUUCAGCUUGCUCGCUCUGUUGUAGCUCUCUGCUCGCCGGAGUCAGAGGCCAAAUCGAUGGUAGGCAUUGUUCCUCUCUCUCUCUCUCUCUCUCUCUCUCUCUCUCUCUCUCUCUCUCUCUCUACCUACUGUAAUUCAAUUUUCACUGUGAAUGUGUAAUAAGUUUGAAUCGAAUGUUAUGGAGACAUUUGGAUUAUGAUUUUGUGUGUUAUGUAGACAUUAUAAUGUCAGUGCAUGACAUGAGCAUCUUCUUUAUAGCUGAUUGAUUGAUUGAGAGGAGAAGUGAAGAGAACAAUGACAUCCAUUGCGAGGUUCCGCUUGACUUCAGAAUUAUGAGGCUCAUAAAAAAUGGAAGGAAAAAAUCAUAGCUUAUGAGCUACCCCUAGCUGAGAAAAUCACAAUGCUGUUUGAUAAUGGCCGAUUCUUUGGGGGAUUGGGCGGCUAGUACACAAAGUUUUGCAAAUCAUGAAAACAAAAACUGUUAGGACAGUUGAACAGUGGUAGACAGCAGGACGAUUCGAUGUUGUCUUAGCCCUUGACUUCUUCGCAAUUACCGAAAUCUUUAUGUAGAGGAAUCUUUGGUUUGUAGCCCUCCUUUGUUAUCACUUUAAGAGAGUUUCUGGACUUCUCAGGUAAACAUAACAAUUAUCUACGAGCUGGGUCCAUAUGAUCUAGUAAGCAUAUAGAAAUCUCAAUGUUCAUCUGAUUAAAACAGACAACUUGGUGAAUCUUGGACAACCUUGAUUGAUGCCGAGGCUUGUGAUAGUUUUAUAAAUCAUUUAAAAUUGGACCCUUUUGAAACUAAGGUACUGAGCUCUGUGAGGAGCAAAUUUAACAAUCAUAUGCCUUCGGACAUGAGAAGCUGAACUGCGAAAAGAUGUAGUGAUUAGAGGAAAAUCCCUUCUUGCUUUCUUUCUGGAGUCCAUGCGUUGACAAGUCGUGUUAGGACGGGGAUUUGCCUUUGCAUUGUUUCAUAGGGCGGGCCAUCCUCUCGAGCGUUACUCCAGAUGUUGCGAUGCAUUAGAAAACUGAACUAGAGCUGCUGUAAAAGUAUGGUGGAGGCCUAGGGCUUCUGAUGAGUGCUCGAACAGACGAGAGCCCAACCCCAUCACAUGCUUUGAGUACUCCAGCAUUUCUUUGCCAGAGAUGUUGCGAUGCAUCAGAAAACUGAACUAGAGCUGCUGUAAAAGUAUGGUUGGACGAAUUCCUAGAGAUUACAACAAAAGGUGUUGAUAUAUAUUAUCAACUCAGGUGCAAAAUUUUGCUACUGCUACCACUAGAACGCAAAUAAAGUCAACCGUCGAGGAACAUCCUUUUUUUUCACCCAAAAAGAACGGAACGACCACCUCUGAGGUUCCCAUCGGUGAAAAUGAUCAGUCAUUGAGGAUCUUCUUACUAAUUCGUAUCAUUGAUUGAGACUAGCUGCAAGAUUAUAUGCUAUGACGGGUAGCGGAAUUUAGGUGAGAAACUUUGUACAGAUUCAGCGGUAGCAAUUGCCUUCGCUGGCUGAAUGAAGUAACUGGUCACUUUCAUUUCAUGAGUGGUCAACAUAUAUUUUGGUCGAUUCAAUGGAAAAGUAAGCGAAUAACUCAAGUUUUGUAUGCUUGUUAUUUUAGCUUUGUUGAAGAAAAUAGAAAAGGCUAUCAAGUAUUAUAAAGUGAAAACCAUUUACUCUGCAAUUGUCUGAACUACUGCAAUUUUUUUGCAAACUGUCUUUUGUCUGAACUAUCCUUUCCUGCUCAACAAUCUCCCCUUCCUCACUCCAGUUAGCGCCCUCGGCUAAGUACACUGGAGAGUGAGAAUCGUCCUCAAGCUUAGGAUCCUUUGCAUCCACCACCGACCCAUCUUUAGGAUCUAUUAUCCCCUUCUUGAAUGUUGCCUCCAAAACGUACAAAAGUAUAUCACCUUCCGGUAUGGGACCCUCUCUUCGCCCAUCAUGGUAGUGACGAUACCACGACCGAUACUCGUGGGGCAUUAUGUCGUCUUUGCCCACAUCAAUGCAGAUGGUGGAUUUCACCAAAACAUACUCUAGUUAUUCCGGGUGGGGGUGUAUCGGAAAGUGAUAUCCUAUCUCAGUGAUCUCUUCGGGUAUACCAAAAUGCAUAGGAGAACGAGGAGGUGGAGGUGCUGCCAUGUAAGGACUUGAAAUGUUAUCUCGCAACGGGGUGAGACAACAUCUCAACGAGUUCUACCCCUAAGAUUCGAUUAGAAGGCCAAAACGCCGUAAGGGCUGCCUAAGCACAAAAUGAGUCAGAGGACUUACCUUGGUCUCAAUUCCUUCCUGCAAGUCAGUUCAAUUUCACAACUCGAAAUCAUAACACUCAAUCAAUUUGGAUCGACUCAUCAAUCAAUUGACUCAGUCGAAUACAUGUCAUCACGACCCCUUUAUUUGGUCGACUAAUCUCAUACUAUCUACUAAGUCCAUUUAUAUCUGGACAGCUCUUUAUUAAGCUGAUAAAUAGAUAGUAUAGCUCGCUUAUGAGAUAAUCAGGUAUACUGCUCUCUAUUUAAGCUGUCAUAUCACCCUUAGGCCGAUAUAGUAUACUGAUAUUGCUCAAUCUAAGCUGAUAAGGUAUACUGCUCUCUGCUAAGCUGUCAUAUUGCCCGUAGGCUGAUAUAGUAUAUCAGUAUAUUGCUCUCUACUAAGUUGACAUAUCGCCCAUAGACUAAUAUAAUAUACCCUUCCAAGGGAGAUUGGGGUGAGGACGAUUUCAUUUCAGGAGUAGGUUUCGACUCCCAUGCCUUGGAAAGAGGCAAUGGCAAAAGUCUGAGAGUGAGUGUUAGAGUAGAUUAGAGUAGGACCGACCAAAAAAAAAAAAAAACAUACAACCAAUUCCACAUUUUUACCAUUUCCGAUAAAAUAGCCGUGUGUGGGUACACGGUCGGCCUUAAUCAAAAUACUAUAAUUUCCUUUCCACAAAUCCCACCGUUUUCUAUAGUCCACCAAAAUAUUUUUGGCGCUGUCAACCGACGCCCGGUUAUUUUUCAAUUAAUUACCAAAAUUAAUUAAUUUAGGAAUUAAAUCCUUAAAUCACAAUUAAAUCAAUUCAUCACAAUUUAGCACUCAAAUAAAUAAAUAGACUACACCACGAUAAUCAGCAUAAAAUUCCGGUUACCGGCUAUUCAGGUCUAAUUUCUGGAAAAUAAAUAAAUAAUUAAUUAAUUAUGAAAAUUAAUUAUUAAAUAACAAUAAAUCCAACUUAGGCUCGUAAUGCCUAAUUGGAUGCCGAAACGGAUCCGGAAAAAUUCCGAGACUUGUUCAAUAAAUACUAGAGUUUAUAUACUUGCUAAUGGCUACAACUAAUCACCUAACAUGUACCGAUAAAUCUCUAAUUUAAUUACUCUAAUCUAAUAUAUCCACAUAAUCACACUUAAUUAAAUCUAAUCAACCCCUAAGCAUCAUUAACCUACUAAGCGAGGAUUAGUGAGUUAAACUCACUUGUUUGACGAGCGGUUCAAUGCAAAACGACGAGAACGUCGCGGAGCUCGACUUUCCUCAAGGCGGGCCUAGCAAUCGAGGCUCGGAACACCUCAAAAUGGGCCAUAAAGCUGCUGGAAACCCACUGCAUUUUGCAUCUGUUUUGAGCUGCAAAAGAGAGAAACCAAAGCUAGUUUGGCGAAGCAAGACCGGCGGAGGCAAAUGGGCGGCUGAACAAGGGUCUACGGCAGUCGAAUAGGAUUUGGCUUGGCUCCACAGGUCACGGGACAGUAGCUGGACUGGUGUGAGGGCGAGAGGAAGGUGGAGGAGCGGCUGGACGAGCGCAGGCAGCGCGCACGGCGGCGGCACUCGUGACGGCUACGGCGGUGAGGACGUGCGAUGGUGGGUGGCUUUAGCUACUCUGGUGGCUUCCUUGGCUGCUGUGGGGUUUGAAAUUGCACAAAGAAGGCUGAGGAAGGGUGGUUGGUUGCUUGGAGGGAGAAGGAGGAAGAGAUAGGGGACAAAGGGGGCCUAACUUGGCCAUUUUUUCCAUUCAUUAGUCUCAUUGACCAUUCCCAAACAUGGCUGGCUUCCAUGGACACCAAUCAGCCACCAAGGCCUUCAUCUAGAAGCUUGAGAUGGUCCAAAUGUUGUGGGGAUGGGGGACAUAUGAAUUUCAUGGGUUUUGGUAUCAAAUAGACACUAAUUGCUUCUUAAAUCAAAUCCCCUUUGGCCCUCACAAAUUCAAUUGGUACCUCAAUUAUCAAAUUGGUAUUUUUCCUCACCAAUUGAUUCUACUUGUUUCUUCUUAAUUGCGCGAUCAAAGACGGUCCCGGCGUUUUUUCGGCAUUAGGACGACUUUUUCCCAAAAAGUUUCAGGUUGUAGAAAAAAUGCCCCUAAAAUUUUUUGUGACAUUACAUAAUCUUCAAUUUCUAAAUCGGACUCAAAUACGCGGUUAAUUUCCAUUCGGUGCGUUUUUAGUGUGACUAGGCUACCGAGUAACUUUCAGAAAUUUUUAGUACAAAUGACCCGUGGUCAAUUUUCUUCGAGCCACAAUGAACUCACUCGACACAUUGGGGACUCUCGGUUGUUGUGAAAAUCUCGAUGAUUCAAAUACGGACACAUGGUACAAAAACAAUAAGAAAAUCAGUCUAGUGCCAGUCGACAAGAAUUUUCUAAUUUAGUGGUGUCAUCGACACGUCUCCGUUGAACCAACCUAUCUCUGAUCUCAAAUCGAUUUUUAAUUGUGCCGUAAUAGCCUCUAAAGAUGAACACAGUUGAGAAAUCGAUUCCUAGUUGCAUUCUCAAGUCUAUUGCCUUAAAAUUCCGUAAUGACUUCUCCAGAUAGUCUAGUUAUCUCGAGAGUGAUCAGUUCUGAGAACAGCCUUAUAAGCGCGUCAAUGAAAUGCCAAAUUUAUUCAAUAGAAAACAUGAUCGAAAAUCUGGGAUGUCACAGACCAUCUCCUUGUGCUUGCUGAAAUCUUCAUGAACUCCUUCCAAGUCCACGAUCAGAAUGCCGAAGAUCGGAGUGGUUGGGCGAUCAAGGCUGGCGGUCGAUGAAGAUAUAAGGGAGCUUGGAGACUCUAGAGCCAACAAGGUCUUUCACACCGGUCCUUGAGGUGUUGAAGGCUUUCAAUUCGCUCUCGCGAUUGUAUCUCGGCUCUGCUUGGUCGGGGGCUUUGUCCGAGUGGGUCGCUGCCAUGUUGAUCGGUGAAAGUAUGUGAGUAACAGUGAUGUUACAUGGAAGGAGCUGCAGUGCAGAGGAUAUUGGAGACAACCUCCACCAUUUUUUAAAAAAAUGUGGUCGGCCCAACGGUCACGGUCACUUACACAGUGACUUGGAAGUUUGGCCGACCACCUUCGCCACUUCAAUUUCUUCACUCCUGGCUACUUAGGAACCCACCUAUGACGAGACAUGACAAUUAGAUGAUUAUUUGUGAAUUGAAGUGGCGAUAGUGGCCCACACCCCUUCCUGAGGGGAUGUCGACAUCCCUUCCCUCGGCAAAACUUUAUAGCUAACUCUGACGAGGAAUGAACUUAGGACGAUGCGGCGCAGGCUUCACAGCUAACUCUGACGAGGAAUGAACUUUGGACGAUGUGGCACAGGCUUCACGGUGUCGAACAUCCAUUGAUAAGCAUGAAGUUGGUGGCAUGCACGGUUUGUAGGAAAAAGUUAUUCACGAAAUUCGGAGGUGGGACUGGCCAUCUGAGGAAGCACCAAGAUAAGCAUGAAGCUUUAAUGUCCGAGCUCAAUGAGGGCGGUCAAUACUUUGACAUGUCGGACAAAGAUUAUCUUCAGACAAUGUCACUGUGGCAAACCUGUCGCUGGGACCUUGUUCAAACGGUUUCGGCCAGUAUGCGACGUGUUUUUGGCCAUGCACGAUGCCAUGUAUCACGUCAAGUAAUCUCUUCGUGCAAGGUGGAGUGCAUGAAUUUUGCACACAUCGUAUACAGAGGUGGGCCAAGCAUUGGCAUCAGGGGUACGACACAUGGGCUUGUUGUGCAUGCAAAGUGGAAGGGAACACGAGAAACUGCUGCUGCCGGCAGAUGCGAAAAUCAGGUGGAAUUCUACUUAUUUGACGUGGAAGAAGGCAUGCGAUCACCCUUAGAUGCUGGCAUUGAUUUUAACCUGCUAUCACAUGACUACCAAGCUACAGCCAUUGAAACUGUUAGGGUUCAAUGCACAAUCACAAAGUAAUAGACUAAAAGCGAGGAAAAAAAAAAUAGAGUGGAAGUGAGGAAAAAAAAUUGGGACACAAGCUUCUAUCAUGCUUCACUCUUAAAUUAGAGCUACAUCUAAUAGAAAAUUCUACAAUAAUUAACACAUCACACAUCUCUAUUACAUCUAUCAAUUUUAAGAAAAAGAGAUUAUACAUUGCAGUAACUCUUCAUAAGCUCAAACUCAAACUAUCAAGAAAAUAUUAGCUGAAACUAUAAAAUCCCUCUGGCUUCACAAAAGCCCUACCCCUCACAACCCCACCCGAGAAGCUCAAGUUCAGCAUAAAAGCUUUCUUCGAUGUGUGAUAUACACGAGGUCGAUGGGCACUACCCUACAAACAUAUAAUUUAUCCUAUCUAGCUAUAUCUAGAUGCUUUGCCUAGGGGAAAUGCAAUGAGAAACUGCAUAGAUCAGAUGUGUACGACUGUCAUUCCAUAGCGAAGACCCUCGAAUUCUCAUGUCCAACAUAAUUCAUAGCUUGAAAUGUUCAAGUGCAAAUGUGCUAUCAAGUCCUUUCACAUAAUAAUGAGUGACCAAGUCCUUCAUCGCGAUUUCCCGAUAAAUUGGGGGAUUUUCUUCUGAUAGCAACUCCUUAAUCAGGCCAUACAACCUUGAAAUAUUCUCCGAGGGAGAUGCCUGAGGAAGUACGCCAUUGAACUCUGUGACUAACAUUUACGAACUUAUCUAUCGUUCGAGAUCAGCUGCAAGAUGGUGGAGGAAAUAGUGAAGUGAUUAUGAGAAGAUCAAAAGCCAAACACGCUCUAAAACAACAAUCUACUAAUUGAAAUUGGAUCGCCAAAGCAAGCCCCUUUUCCGCCUUGAUGUCCAUUAAAAGACUAAAUUGUCAAAUCAGCCAAGACGGAGAAGCGCUGAUGAGGCUAUAAAUGCAUCGGCUCAUGCAAGAACAUAGGAAUAAGAAACUCACCGAUAGAAAUGGAAAUUGCAAAUCUCCUGUCUACUGAUGUAAAUCGUUGCGGAAGGAUCGUUCUAUGAAGGCCCAGAUGGUGCGAAUUGCAAACCUUGACCUCCAAUCAAACAUGUGAUUGGCAACCUCGGUAUGAACGUAACCUGUUGACGAGGACGUGUCAACCAACCAACGUUAUAAACGCCACGAGUGAAAGAAUUCGCUAUCUCGCUCGAUAAGUCGAAUUGACCGUCACAAGAGAAUCUUGAUUAAGUCAAGUCCUCAAAAUAACAGUAAAAGAGAACCUCUCAAUUUUUUUCCUCAAAAAUAAAAUAUAUCUGUCCCCAAAGAAAUUUGGCAAAUCGUUUAUAUAGGCUGCCACACAAACCCUAAAAAUCAACUCUAAAAAUCUAAUACGUCAUAUUCUAGAAUAUUCUUAAAGAAGAAUAUAUAUAAAUUAACUUGGUCAAUUAUUUGGUGACCAGAUAAUUAAAUUGUACCAAGAUUUCCAAGAUUUUUCAAGAUUUGAUCCAAGGUCAUUUUCACGCCAAAGAUCACGAACCAUGAUGCCAACAGCUUGCCUGAAUUGUUUGGCCCGCACUCGAGUAAUCGAACCAAUAGAAAUAGACAAUGGGUCCCUAGCACCUCCUCCUCGAUAUGACUCGAUGUCCACAUCAUUCCCUCCCCCGUGCAAAGGAUUUGUCCUCAAAUCAUCACUGGCAUAGAAAAGAGUCAAGUAAAAAACAUUAAAUGUGGCACUAACAUCAUACUUACCUGGAAGAUCAAGCUUGUAAGCAUUAUUGUUAACUCUUUCCAAAACCAUGAAUGGUCCAUCCCCUCGCGAUAAUAACUUAGAAUGUCGCUGCUUAGGAAAUCUCUCUUUGCGCAUAUGAACCCAAACCCAAUCGCCCGGUUCAAACACCACUUCCUUGCGCCCUUUGUUGGCUUGCCUUGCAUAUUGCUCAGUCUUGCGCUCAAUAUUUGUGCGCGUCUUCUCAUGCAACGCCUUGACAAAUUCAGCUUUCUUUGCUCCAUCUAAAUCCACACGCUCAUCAACAGGUAAAUGGGUUAAAUCUAACGGAGUUAAUGGAUUAAAACCAUAGACAACCUCAAAUGGUGUAAAUUUAGUAGCAGAAUGCAUGCUCCUAUUAUAUGCAAAUUCAACAUGCGGGAGACAAUCUUCCCAAGAUUUUAUGUUCUUUUUAAUAAUAGCACGCAACAAUACCCCUAAAGUUCUAUUAACUACUUCGGUUUGACUAUUCGUCUGUGGAUGACAAGUAGUAGAAAAUAACAACCGUGUUCCUAGUUUUUUCCAUAAUGUUUUCCAAAAGUAGCUAAGAAAUUUAGAAUCUCGAUCUGAAACAAUUGAUCUAGGCAUGCCAUGCAAACGUACAACCUCCUUAAAGAACAAAUUAGCAACAUGAGAUGCAUCAUCAUUUUUAUGACAAGGUAUAAAAUGAGCCAUCUUUGAAAACCGAUCAACUACCACAUAAAUAGAAUCUCUAUCAUACUUAGACCUAGGCAAUCCUAACACAAAAUCCAUAGAAAUAUCAAUCCAAGGAUGUGUUGGAAUAGGUAAUGGUGUAUACAAGCCAUGAGGUUUAGUUGUAAACUUCGAUUGCUUACAAACAAUGCAUCUCUCACAAACACGUGUGACAUCUCUCUUCAUAUGUGACCAAUAAAAAUAUUCAUGCAGCACUUCAUAAGUCUUAUUAAUGCCAAAAUGCCCCAUUAAACCACCACUAUGUGCUUCUCGCACCAACAAUUCACGCAAAGAACACUUAGGCAAACAUAGUUUGUUUUCACGAAAAAGAUAACCUUCAUGCCUAUAAAAGUUAUCAAAUGCAGCGUGUUCACAUGCUUCAUACACUCUCCCAAAAUCAUCAUCAUUAGUAUAUAAGCCCUUGAUAUGCUCAAAACCUAGACACUUUGCUUCUAAAAUAAUUAGAAUUGCAUACCUUCGAGAAAGUGCAUCGGUACCACAUUCUCCUUACCUUUCUUGUACUUGAUCACAUAUGGAAAAGUCUCGAUAAACUCCAUCCAUUUGUGUUGACACCCAAAAUUUUCGUCGACAUUUUAAUCAUCCAUUUUGCAAAAAUAUAAAAAAAUAAAGAGCCAAAAAUAAAUAAAUAAAAAGAAAACAAAAGAGAGAGAGAAAAAGAAAAAAAAAAGAAAGAAAAAAAAUAAUAUAAAAGGGGAUCGGGGGGUUCUCACUCGGCGGCUCUCUCACGCUCUCUCUCUCUCUCUAAAAUGCUCGGACGCUGAUUCUCUCUUUGGCUCUCUCUUCAUCUCGAUCUUUCUCCGGUUGUUCUGCGGUAACAACCUCCUCUCUCUCUAUCUCUUCCCCAUCGCAGAGGCCGACGAAAAGCCCUUCGGCACCGGCCAUGACUCCGCUCUCUGCCUUGACGGUCGCCUCCAAGUCUCGCCGUGCUCCUGUUGAGAAGUAGUGCGCUGGAUCCGACAUCCUCACAAUCGGAUACUCUCUCUCCCGAUCAACUCUAGAAGACGGGAGCAACUAUUGAUCGAGGAACUUGUGGUGCAAGACUCGAAAUCGUGCCGAGUUGUCGGAGAUAUCAAUUUGGUUCUGAGGGUAGAGAUCCGAAGGCGGUGACAUCGGCGGUCGGAGAUCAGUGCUUUCUCUCGGUUGGAGCUCGAUCAGUUAGGGUUUUCCUUUAUUGGCGUGAUCGGAGGUGCGAGAGCUCGCCGGAUCGGACUCUCUCUCGAUCGAACGCUCCCCAGCUCUUUCCCAGAGAUCUGACGCUCGCUCAUUCGAUCAUCAACUCUCGAAGACGAAGUAGCUGCCAGUGGAAGAACUCAAAGCGACGAAACUCGAUUCGAACUCCUCUGUUCAUCCACUGAAGUUGCAGAUUCAACCGAGGUAAGAAAAACGAAAAUCCUUUUAAUAGCAUCCGAUGAGGCAAGGGGUUCUCGUGUCGAAACACACUCCCGACAACGAAAGUUGGGGGCCAGGAUGCAUUGCAAUCUGAAAUGAUUUUUGAACUUGGAUGGGCUUUGUUCUGCAAUUUCGUAUCUCUGACCUCUUUACACAUAUGCUUGAAAAUGAGUUUGUAUAUGUGCUUUUUGGUGCUUGAUUCCUUCAUGAGAGUUGAAGAUGGUUCGAUUAGCUUUCCAACGAGCUAUAGCACGUCCCGAUCCGAUAUCAUUACCUACCCGAAAUCCUUUUAGAAAGUUAAGACGGGAUUCUGGAAAACUGAUACAUAGCAGUUUACUGUUAUACAUUGACUCGGCCUUGUCUGUUUUCCGAUUCUCUACUGAAUUUGGUGCUUGAAAUUCCUGGAUUGGUGCGGCAUGAAAGUUGCUUGAACUAUCCUUGGCUACAACAUACAGAUUUUUUAGAAUUUUUGGAGUUGAUUUGAUUAGGAAAAUGUUCAUUAAAUCGUCCUUUUGUCCUGAUUGUGGCUUGGUUGUUGUUUGUCUUGGAUGAACUGUUAAACAUGCUCUUUUAGUCUCGAGAUCUCUCUGAAAGUCAUAGUAUAUUCCAUGGGCUUUUCAAUAAUAUAAAUAUUGCAUCAAUCGACCUUUGUUCUCCCUAUCAAUUGCAUACUUGAAACUAUGCUGCAAUCUGUCAAUGUUGCUGAAAUAUUGAUCGCUAGAACGACAGAUUCAGCUUACUUUUUUUUUUUUUUUUUUGUGUGAGUUUCUCUGUAUGGAUUUUGAAUAAGAUGUUUGAUCCUAACACUGAGACCUAAAAUUAGCUGCUUUAUUCCUCUUUUCGGGUCUAUCCUAUACAUACUGUUAAUAUGAACUGAGAGUAUUUCCAUGUGAUUGAGUUUCUACUGAUAUGCUGGAGCUGGUCCCUUCUGUGCAAAUGACUUGAUAUGAGCUGGUUUUUGUGGUUUUCUGUGUUCGAAGUCUUCAUGAAAGUUAAAGAUGGUUCGAUUAUCUUUCUAAUGAGCUAUAGAAUGCCCUAAUGGGACUUCAUUAAAUAUGAUUUUUGUCUGUCUAAAGUCUGGUCCAGAAUCUGCCAAAUGUUUGUCUCUCUGUUUUGGAUGACCUUCUGUGCAAAUCACUUGAUAUGAACUGGUAGAUGAUGUUAUUAGGACUUAAUGUCUUCUAGAUAAUUGUAAUAGGCAUCUCAAGCUUUAAAAUGACAUAUUGCAUGCCUGAAUCGACCAUCAUUUGCCAUGUUUUACAUUUUUUUUUCUAAUCCAUUCUGAAAUCUGGAAUUUGCCUUGGUCAGAAAUGCAUAUUCUGUUUUUGGGUGUGCCUGAUUGUCUGCCACUUUCCUACGAUCUUUUGAGCAUAGAUUUUGAGGUUGAUAAUACCAAAAAAGUAAAUCACGUGUGGGAUGGUCUUGCUCUAUUGUUCUCUCUUUUAGCAAAGUUCUGUUGUUUGAUAAUUGAUAUUAGAUAUCCACCAUCAAACCAAUUUCCAACACUAAUCACUUUGCCCAAUAGCUUAUUUGUGUUCUACCGAUCCAAACUCUGUGUGUUUUUGUUUGUAAAGAUGUCUAGAGUUAUGUUGUUCUUUAGUAUCGAUAUUUCUUUGCUUGCUGUUCAUAUGUCCCGGUGUGUGUGAAAUUGUUUAGUUGUGUCAUUGAUGUGCUGUUUUUGCUGUUUCUUUGUGUAUUGAUUUUGCUGGUUCUUUGUUUUAAGGGCCAAAUCAUGCGUCAUUGUCUUCUUGACAUUUGAAACACGUGUUACAAGUUUCGCAUCAAUGCAUGGCAUAUCAUAUUUGAAUCUCGUUUGAUGUGAAUAUCAUGCAUCCAUUUGGCUAAUUGCAAUUGAAACUUGUCAUGCAUGACAUUCUUAGUUCUAAGUCACUUUGCAAUGUUAAUGACUUGUGUGAUUUCUUUGCAUUCUGAUUUAGGGUUAAAUGUUUACCCAAACUUUUUUUUCGCAUUCAACAUUAUGUCAUGUGCAAGUUUCACAUUUUUGUGCAUUGUCUAGGUGGUCUUGCGAACCAUUAAACAUGCAUUGUAUUUUGUCUUGUUUGUGGCUGACAUGCGCAAUUUCACAAAUAUCAAUUUUUGACCAUCAAUUAGAUCUUGAUUGGACUUGAACCCUAUUAGGAAGUCUUAAGAUUCAUCUUACUCUUUCAGAUGAUGUUAGUUUUGCAUCGUUUACAUAUAUUUGAUUUAGAAAUGUGUUUCUUUCAUUUGUUUGCAUCUAGUCACCCAAAUUUCUUAGAUUAGGUUUAAAAUAGGAUCUUGAACAUGGAUAAAGCGUGAAGAUGGUGGAGGUCGAUGUCCAUUCCGACCAUUGUCUUGUACUAUUUGUUUUCCCGACAUAUGUCUCGGGUUCUAUGCAUUGUAUAAAACCCGAUGAGUUGCGGUUUUCCUUUCUUUCUCAAUUGUCUUCUCUUUUAUAUUUUAAGAAUUGCAUGAUUAGGUUUAACUGCUUUUCUUGAUUGUUUACUUCAUGUCUUGCAAUUUCUAUUUCAUUAUUUGUUUUCCUUUCAUUUCUUAGGAAUAGAAUAGAAUGAAAGUAAUCCACCACGCAUAAUCAUUUAGUAUAGAAUUGACGAUCCUGAAAAUAUAAAAAGAAAUGGAUGAACAUAUUAGGAAAAACACAAUAAAUUGUUUAGGUACUGAAAGGUCGCUAAUAGCAAUAUUAGCGUAACCCAAGUCCCCAAACCUAGAUAUCUGGUUACGUAGGAAUCGAGGGAACACUCCCGACCCUCGAUUAGGUUUCUAGCCGACCCUUAAAAUGAGGCUAGUGGCAACUCCUGUCUAUUUUUAGGUUGUUUAAUACCUAGAUCGUAUAAAUAAAUCCGUUGUCGCAAGGGGUACGAGUUUGGGAGAGCUCGCGAUCUCAUGAGGAAACUCUCGUGAUCAAAGUAUCCCUAAACACGACCUUUCCUACCUUGGACUUUUCGAGGGCGGCGAGAUCGGGUCGCGACAGGUUUGGCGACUCCGCUGGGGACUGGUUACUAGGUUAAGAGUACUUGAAGCCGUUUAAAAAUGGUUGUUGUGUUUUAACUAACAUGUCUUAUGUAGGAUCGCCUGCAUGUCAAAGUCACAUGGAAAAUCAGGUUAGUCGCUAACCUCGUGUUAAAUGGUUUUGUAGGUGGGAGUUAUAAGGGGAGGCGUGCUUGUAAACCCUUUGUUUUGCAGGUGGUGUAAGGAUGUAUGAAUGUAUGAGGGUUUAUAUUGAAGUGCUGGAUGUUUAAAUUUAAAUGCAUGUUUACAAGCUUUAGCACGACAUUGCACACACAACCGUGGUCUAAAACCCCGAUCGCCCAAUCUAGGACCUUAGGAGGGUUUAUGGGUGGAAUCUGCGAGUGGAUGCUCGUGGUAAUCCAUUACUUACAUAAACCUGCUCAUCCCAAUCGAUAAAAAUAGCAUUGACCGACGAUAUUAGCGGUGUGUAAACUAUUUUUAUCCUUUGGGAUGAGGACCUUGAGCCUUUAGCACCCUUACCUUAGGUGUUAAAACCUCAGUUUCAUGCGACAUGUGAUUUGUGCUUGUCAUGUGUCUGGUGGGUAAGAUAUCGUUCCUUCUUCAUCAUGCUUAUCUUUUACUUUCCAUAUUUCAAUUAUGCAAUUUUUAUAUUCCAACAGCGAUAUGUUUUAAUCAUGAGUGCCCCUUUAGAUUUAGGAUUAGAUGGGUAGACCCGAAGUGGAUGUGAUCCCUGUGCCUGGAAUCUCAAGACUCUAUGGGAGAAUCUCGACCCAAGACAUCAAGAUUACAUGGAAAGAUUCCCAAGCCUCAAGGAUUUCGGCGAGCUCAUAUUAUCAAACAAGAAGACAUUGCCUUAAUCGAUGAGAAACGCUUGGCCCAUGAUAACAAGUGUCUCCACGCGAUCCCACCUAGUCCUUAGGUUUUCAUUUCAUACACUUUUCUUGUAAAGGGAAUUCAUUUGUGUUUCCCUCUUUUCUAUCAAGGUUUCCCUGUAUUCAUUUUCAUAUACCUUGUAAAAUCGAACUACUUUGUAAGCUUCAAGAAAGCAAGAUUAUGUUUCCCUUGUAAUUGUUCGAUGAAAUGAAUAACAUUCUUGAACAUUUUCAUGUAAUUUUUAGAAAAUGGGCAUUUUGAUUAAAUAUUUGUCGUCAUUCCUUUUCAAUUGUAUAAUUUCUUUUGAAGAAAUUUUGAUAAGAGGAGGUUAUAUGAUACUGGAUCAUAUACACUUCUUAUCAUUAUUUCAUCUCAAGAAAAUAUAAAAUUGACUAGGAUUUGUACUUUAAUGGUUUCUUUUGAUUGGUACUAAUUCGAGUCAUUUUCUUUUACAGAAGAUUUUGAAAAAAACGGUUGAAGAAAGAUUUGUUAUACAAACUCGCCGCCAAACAAAGAUGGAAAAUGAAGAUACCCAAGCCCGUGUCAUUAAUAUGGAGAAUCAAAUGGCGCAGCUGAUGACGUUAUUAGCUGAUCUCUCCAGCCAAGUCAAAAACUUGAUGUCUGUAACUCUUGCUUCUUCCACCAUGAAUAUUCCUACCGCACCCCCUGAAGUGCCGGUAGUAGAACCUGUGGCAAAAGGGCCUGCGGAAGAGAUUCCCAUUGCAAUCCCGAUAGUUAUUGAUCCAGAGCCUCCAUCUAAAGAGAUUCCAACCUCACACUUUGAUGAAGAAAAUGCAAGACGUCUCGCAAAGAUUGAUGAACGCCUUUGCAUGCUGCAAGGCUAUCGGUUGCAGGGGUUUGAUAAAUUGUCACCCUUUGCCAAAGUUACGGUCCCUGAAUUCUAUAAGGAGCCGGAGUUCACAAGAAAAUACGAUGGCAUCGGAUGUCCUAAGACACAUUUGAAGUACUACAUGGGCAAGAUGGCCCGUUAUUCAGAUAAUCCCCCACUCUUGAUCAAUUCAUUUCAGGACAGCCUGGUUGGUCCUGCGUUAACCUGGUUUAUAGAGUUGGACAUGGAGAAAAUCCAUACUUGGGAAGAUCUUGUUGAUGAAUUCCUUCAGCAAUACAAAUUCAAUACUGAAAUUGCUCCGACUCGGGAGGAAUUAGUCCGUGUCGAGAAAAGGAGGACUGAAUCAUUUAGAGCCUACGCUCAAAGAUGGAGGGUCACUGAGUCUCAAGUAAAACCGCCAUUGUCUGAGAAAGAGACCAUGAAGUUGCUGCUUCAAGCUAUGCCCCGUGAUUUUUUUUGAAAAGAUGUACAACCAUACUUGUAUGAACUUUGCUACAUUUGUAGAGUUGGGAGAACGCAUUGAGGGGAUCAUGCGGGAAGGAAGGUUGACGGAGAACACAAACCGUCGAUAUACCCCGAAGAGAGAUAAGGAAUCGACUGUGGAGAUCACUUAUAUACAAAAUUCCUCUUCUCAGAAGCCAUAUAAUCCUCAAGCUCAUAAACCUGCCAUGGAAGUAGGGGGGAUCUUCCAGAAACUUUGAGCGUAAAGGAAAGGUCCCUCAAAGGCAAUUUACUCAAUUGCCUAGACCCAUGUCAUAACUACUUUCAAUGCUGAUCGAAAAUCAUCUUGUGGCGAAAGAAAUCCCGAGGAAUAAUCUGCCAAAGUUUGUCGGAUUCGACCUUAAUAAGACAUGUGAGUAUCAUAUGGGUGAAAAAGGUCAUCAUGUGGACAACUGUUUGAUGCUCCGUUAUAAGAUCUAGGAUUUGCUGGAUAAAAAGCUGCUCACCUUUAAGGACUCAACACCGAAUGUCCAACAAAAUCCCCUUCCAAAGCAUUCUGAAGAUGUCAACAUGGUUGGCGCUAUUGAUGGAAAUGAAGAACCUACAGUUCCCACUGUGUAAGGGAUGUUUCUAGUUCUUGCAUUCAAUUUUUAGUUGUAUUCCAUUUAGUUCUCCCCUGUGAGGGAAUUCCAUUCAUUUCUCCCCUGCGAGGGAAUUCCAUUCAUUUCAUUCAUUUGUGCUUGUAAUAAUCUGGAUCAUAAACUUUCUAGAUCCAAGAUGAUAUACGUUGUAAUGCAAUUUUCGCAUAUCAAUAAAAUUCAUGUUUUGUUAAUAGACGUGUGAGGCCCAAAUCAGUCCUAUGAUGAUGCUUUGAGGCCUGAGCCUCCACAUGAUCUAUAGUUUCAAAAUGUUUUAGUGGAACAAAGAUGUCCAAUGACAUGAGGGCUAGUUCCUGAUAUUUUUUUAAAAUAAAAUAAACCAAAAAACAAUUUGAAUUUGAAAACAAGUUUUUCAUGACAUUUACAUACAUUGCAUUCGUUUAUAUGUAUAUAUACUAACCAUUUUUCAGUUGCAUCUCAGACAUGACAUUUCACAUCAUGAUAGUCAUUUGCAUGGCUCGGAUUCGCAUUCAAAAGACUUUGACGAACCCGAUUAUUCCGACUCAGAGAAUGAAGAUGAUCCUCAAGGUAUUGAAAAAAGAAUGGCACAUACAUGAAGAGUCCAAACCUUCUAUCACCAAACAGCCAGUCACUCUAAAUUUAGGAGAUUUAGAUAACCCUAAAGAAACCAAGAUUGGGGCAGGUCUCUCUCAAGCAAAUGCCAAUGGAUUAAUUGGGCUCUUGAAAGAAAUAUAUGAAGGAGAGUGUGGCACUCAUAUGAACGGUCAUCUCUUGGCUAGAAAAAUUAUGAGGCUCGGUUACUAUUGGUUGACCAUGGAAGCCGAUUGUAUUCAACAUGUGAGGUACUGUCAUCAAUACCAAGUCUAUGGAGACAAAAUCAAUGCUCCUCCUAAUGAGCUACAUCAAAUGUCCGAGUCUUGGCCUUUUUCAAUGUGGGGCAUCGACAUCAUCGGACCGAUUAAUCCUAAAGCAUCGAAUGGACAUCGUUUUAUCUUAGUAGCAAUUGAUUACUUCACCAAAUGGAUUGAAGCCAAUUCUUAUGCCCAUGUUACUGCAAAGAGUGUGACAAAAUUCAUCCGUCGUGAUAUCAUCGCUCGAUAUGGAGUUCCUAAAGCGAUCAUCACAGAUAAUGGAUCAAAAUUGAACAAUAAAGUGGUGGAUGAUUUACUUGGAGAAUUCCACAUUCGCCAUUUGAAUUCUUCUCCUUACCGCUCACAAAUGAAUGGAGUUGUUGAAGCAGUGAAUAAGAACAUCAAGAAGAUUUUAGCCAAAACGGCGGAAAAUUAUUGUGAUUGGCAUGAUCGGUUGCCAUAUGCUUUGUUUGCUUAUCGAACUUCAAUUCACACUUCGACUGUGGCAACACCGUUCUCAUUGGUUUAUGGGAUGGAAGCUGUAUUACCCGUGGAAGUGGAAAUUCCUUCACUGAGGGUACUUUCUCAAAUCAAGCUCUCUGAAGCUGAAUGGGUUCAACAAAGAUUUGAACGACUUAAUAUGAUUGAUGAAAAGCGGGUAAAAGCCUUAUGCCAUGGACAAAGCUAUUAGAAGAGAGUAGCUAGGUCAUUCAACCGCAAGGAUAGACCAAGGCAUUUCGAGAUUAAUGAUCUUGUUUUGAGAAAAAUUUUACCUAUCAUUCUAGAUCCUCGUGGGAAGUUUACUCCAAAAUAUGAAGGUCCAUAUAUUGUAAGAAAAGUGCUACCGGGUGGGGCAUUAAUUCUUGUACAAAUGGAUGGCCAAGAAUUGCCAAGACUUGUAAAUGCUGAUGCUGUCAAGAAGUAUUAUCCAUGAAUAAAGUGAAAGGCCUUUUAGCCAUUUUUUGAUCGAAUCCGAGCCACUUUAGGAUGUUUGCAUCGUGCAUUGCAUGCAUACAUAUUGCAUCUACAUGUUUGUUCAUUUUGCGGGAUCUCUGACGAAGAUUCUACUUGUCCGCAAGAGGUUCAUUUCAAGAGUGCAAAACUUUCAAAAGUGUCCAUUCUUCUUUAGAACUUAGAAGUGACCUUAUCCUUGCCAAAAGAGUCAGUUAGAAUUCUAGAAGUACAGUUAGAACUCUAGAAAUGAACCCAUGUGCUAAGCAAAGCCUAUUCUGUUUACAAAUUUUGUCCAAUCUUACUUCUAAAAAAUCUCCCCGGUAGGGUCAAUGAAACAUGUCCUUUCAGAUAAAAUUUCAUUAUAUUUUCAUUUCCCCAGGGAGUUGAAUUUAACCAAAGUGUGCUUUGGAAAACCUGAAAAGGAUUGUUAAAUAUGCCAAGUGGUAGUGCUUAAAAUGAUGAGAGCCAACCCUUUUACCAAACACGUCCUCAUACACUCUUUGAGAGAAUUGAGUAGAAAGAACCAUGUCUUAGGGCAUAGGAUUCAUUCACGGUGAAUACAUGAUUUGAAAUGAUCAAGGCAUUUCAUUUCUCAAUCCCAAACACUAUUGAUAUCCCUUGCAAGCCACUUUGAACCAAAUAGGGAGCAUUUCAAAAUAACCCUAUCAAGAACAACUCCACAUUAGGGCAAAAUAGGGGGUCUUGGUUGAAAAUUACGGAGCAAAAGAUUAAGAAAGAUUUUAUUGCUUUCACUUGUAUCAAUCUUCUUAUGCUAGCUUCAGGUGAUUUCUUAUCGAAACUCGAAGCAUCCUAAAGUGAUGAAGAGCAUUCCGUUCACUACCACAAACACAAUUAUCCUUUGCUUAGCCAAUUUAAGCCUUAUGCAAUUCUUUCAUAACCCCAGGUGAUGAUUAUCUCCCCACACUGGGGCAAGGCACAUGAUUUACCAACAAAAUUGAGAAUAUUGGUAAUGUUUGUAAAUGCCACUCGAGAGUCCUAGAUACUCAAAAGAGAAUGAAAACUAGGGGGCAUGAAAAAGCAGUGUGCCUGGUAAGAGCAAGGCCAAUGCCCAUGAAAAAAAUGCAAAGAAAAGCAAGAAUGCAAAAAAGAGCGAAAUCCACGAUUAUGCAAAGGAUCAUUCAUUGAAAAACAAAAGAAAUAUCUUGCAAGAGAAAACAUGUAUUGCAAGCAAUAUCAUUAGAACAAAGAGCGAAGCUCUCAUAUCUCAAGACAAAUUACCCAAAGGACUCUCGAGAUAGGUUAAAUUUCAAGAGUUGAAUUUUUGAAAAGUCAUGUGAUGGUAAUGAUGCCAAGAUAAUCACUCACUUUUUAACCCUUUGAUAUCUGAAAGUUUUUCAAGCCUUUCUAAGCCUCACCUGAACCAACACUACAACCCUUAUCCAAAGUCUCUUCCGAUUGGGAUGGUUCGAGUUGAAAUGAGAAUAUCACAUAGGAGCUACCUCUAGAAGGAGUGGAAGUAAUCCUAUCUUAUCUUAUCUUCAAGGUUCUUGACUUGUAAACCCAAUGAAGAUAUUGAUUGAAUUUUCAUUUAUUGGCCUCAAAGUGCAUACCCUUUGUGUAAGCCCAUGACCAAGCCAUCAUUACGGUCCCUUCAAAAGACCUUUUGAUCAAUGGAUUGUAUUCACUAUGAACGUUUCCGAAAACCUUAGACCUAGGUUGAGUGAGAUUUCUCCAGUAAGAUUUAAACAGUUUUCCCAUAUCAAUGGUUGGGAACAAAAGCCCUUUUUGAGAGUCAGUGUGAAAGACCCCUUUUGAUUAGGAUAUUUCCACUUGGCAUAUUUGACUUAACCCUUAGAUGGUUAAUCAAAUCUCAUUUUGUUAAAAUCAUCUCUGAAAGGAUUUGACAAUUGGCAUUAUUUCGCAAGAUUGGCUCUCAAGUAAUCUUGAAACUCUUUUUCAAAAUAUUUGUUCCUUAGUGAACCGGUUUUUGGUCAUCCUAAACCAUAUCAUUGUCUCUUAAGUUCUAGGUUAUCUUAAAACCUUGUCCCCAAGUUCUAGGUUAUCUUAAAACCUUGUCCCCAAGUUCUAGGUCCUCUUAAAACCUUGUCCCCAAGUUCUAGGUUCUCUUAAAACCUUGCCUCUUAAGUUCUAGGUUCUCUUAAAACCUUGUCUCUUAAGUUCUAGAUUGUCUUAAAACCUUGUCUUUUAGGUUCGUGGGUCCAUCCUUAAACCACACUAGGUUCGUGGGUCCAUCCUUAAACCACUAGGUUCGUGGGUCCAUCUUUAAACCACACUAGGUCCGUGGGUCUAUCCUUAAACCACUAGGUUUGUGGGUCCAUCCUUAAACCACACAGUAAGACUAUCAUACCCGGUCAAAGCCCGUUCUUACACGGUAAAACCUUUCUCCUGGUCGAAGUCCGUUCUUACACGGUAAGACUUUUCUCCCAGUCUAAACCAUACGGUUUGAGGCCAUCCUUAAACCAUUCAUUUUCCAUUUAGUGAUUUUAUAUCGUUCAUUCCAUUCCACGAGAGAGAGAAACAAAGAUAGACUGAAUAAACCUCAACAACAAUUCAGAUACCCUCAUGAGCACAGGUAAGUAUCUGGUAUGUCUCUAAUAAACUAUCAUUGCUUUUGUCUUUUUCUAUUUUCAAAAUCGAGUCGACUAAAAAUUUCAGGUAUCAAUUUUCUUUGAGCGGAACCUCUUUGAGCUCCCACCCAAAGAGGGGCAGCUGUUGACAUCCGAAAUUUUCGUCGACAUUUUAAUCAUCCAUUUUGCAAAAAAAAAUAAAAAAUAAAGAGGCAAAAAUAAAUAAAUAAAAAGAAACAAAAAAAGAGAGAAAAAUAAAAAAAAUAAAAGAAAGAAAAAAAAAACAAUAGAAAAGGGGAUCGGGGGGUUCUCACUCGGUGGCUCUCUAACGCUCUCUCUCUCUCUCUAAAAUGCUCGGACGCUGAUUCUCUCUCCGGCUCUCUCUUCAUCUCGAUCUCUCUCUGGCUAUUCGGCGGUAACAACCUCCUCUCUCUCUCUCUCUCUCUCUCUAUCUCUUCCCCAUCGCGGAGGCCGACGAAAAACCCUUUGGCGCCGGCCAUGACUCCGCUCUCUGCCUCGACGGUCACCUCCAAGUCUCGCCGUGCUCGUCUUGAGAAGUAGUGCGCUGGAUCCGACAUCCUCACAAUUGGAUACUCUCUCUCCCGAUCAACUCUAGAAGACGGAGCAACUAUUGAUCGAGGAACUCGUGGUGCGAGACUCGGAAUCGUGCCGAGUUGUCGGAGAUAUCAAUUCGGUUCCGAGGGUAGAGAUUCAAAGGCGGUGACAUCGGCGGUCGAAGAUCAGUGCUUUCUCUCGAUUGGAGCUCGAUCAGUUAGGGUUUUCCUUUAUUGGCGCGAUCGGAGGUGCGGGAGCUCGCCGGAUCAGACUCUCUCUUGAUCGGACACUCCCUAGCUCUUUCCCGGAGAUUUGACGCUCACUCAUUCGAUCAUCAACUCUCGAAGACGAAGUAGCUGCCAGUGGAAGAACUCGAAGCGAUGAAACUCGAUUCGAACUCCUCUGUUCAUCCACUGAAGUUGCAGAUUCAACUAAGGUAAGCAAAACGAAAAUCCUUUUAAUAGCAUCCGAUGCGGCGAGGACUUCUCGUGUCGAAACACAUUCCCGACAACGAAAGUUCGGGGCCAGGAUGCAUUGCAAUCUGAAAUGAUUUUUGAACUUGGAUGGGCUUUGUUCUGCAAUUUCAUAUCUCUGACCUCUUUGCGCAUAUGCCUGAAAAUGAGUUUGUAUAUGUGAUUUUUGGUGCUUGAUGCCUUCAUGAGAGUUGAAGAUGGUUCGAUCAGCUUUCCAACGAGCUAUAGCACGUCCUGAUCCAAUAUCAUUAGCUACCCGAAAUCCUUUUCGAAAGUUAAGAAGGGAUUCUGGAAAACUGAUACAUAGCAGUUUACUGUUAUACAUUUUUUUUUUUUGGUCAGUCCUACUCUAUUCCUACUCUACACUCACUCUCAGACUUUUGCCCUGCCUCUUGCAGGGCGUGGGAGUCGAAACCCACUCUUGAAACUUUCGCGUCCCCACCUCAUCCCCCCUGAGAAGGUGGGGAUUUGAACCCCUCACCUCUUCCUUCCAUGUUGGAAGGGUGGCCACUGGGGCGAAUCCUAGUGGUUACUGUUAUACAUUGACUCGGCCUUGUCUGUUUUCCGAUUCUCUACUGAAUUUGGUGCUUGAAAUUUCUGGAUUGGUGCUUCAUGAAAGUUGCUUGAACUAUCCUUGGCUACAACAUACAGAGUUUUUAGAAUUUUUGGAGUUGAUUUGAUUAGGAAAAUGUUCAUUAAAUCGUCCUUUUGUCCUGACUGUGGCUUGAUUAUUGUUUGUCUUGGAUCAACUGUCAAACAUGCUCUUUUGGUCUCGAGAUCUCUCUGAAAGUCAUAGUAUAUUCCAUGGGCUUUUCAAUAAUAUAAAGAUUGCAUCAAUCGACCUUUGUUCUCCCUAUCAAUUGCAUACUUGAAACUAUGCUGCAAUCUGUCAAUGUUGCUGAAAUAUUGAUCGCUAGAACGACAAGUUCAGCUUACUUUUUUUUGUUUUGUUUUGUGUGUGAGUUUCUCUGUAUGGAUUUUGAUUAAGAUGUUUGAUCCUAACACUCAGACCUAAAAUUAGCUGCUUGGUUCCUCUUUUCGAGUCUAUCCUAUACAUACUGUUAAUGUGAACUGAGAGUAUUUCCAUGUGAUUGAGUUUCUACUGAUAUGCUGGAGCUGGUCCCUUAUGUGCAAAUGACUUGAUAUGAGCUGGUUGUUGUGGUUUUCUGUGUUCGAAGUCUUCAUGAAAGUUGAAGAUGGUUCGAUUAUCUUUCCAAUGAGCUAUAGAAUGCCCUAAUGGGACUUCAUUUAAUAUGAUUUUCGUCUGUCUAAAGUCUGGUCCAGAAUCUGCCAAAUGUUUGUCUCUCUGUUUUGGAUGACCUUCUGUGCAAAUCACUUGAUAUGAACUGGUAGAUGAUGUUAUUAGGACUUAAUGUCUUCUAGAUAAUUGUAAUAGGCAUCUCAAGCUUUAAAAUGACAUAUUUCAUGCCUGAAUCGACCAUCAUUUGCCAUGUUUAACAUUUUUUUUCUAAUCCAUUCUGAAAUCUGGAAUUUGCCUUGGUCAGAAAUGCAUAUUCUGUUUUUGGGUGGGCCUGAUUGUCUGCCACUUUCCUACGAUCUUUUGAGCAUAGAUUUUGAGGUUGAUAAUACCAAAAAAGUAAAUCACGUGUGGGAUGGUCUUGCUCUAUUGUUCUCUUUUUUAGCAAAGUUCUGUUGUUUGAUAAUUGAUAUUAGAUAUCCACCAUCAAACCAAUUUCCAACACUAAUCACUUUGCCCAGUAGCUUAUUUGUGUUCUACCGAUCCAAACUCUGUGUGUUUUUGUUUGUAAAGAUGUCCAGAGUUAUGUUGUUAUUUAGUAUCGAUAUUUCUUUGCUUGCUGUUCAUAUGUCCCGGUGUGUGUGAAAUUGUUUAGUUGUGUCAUUGAUGUGCUGUUUUUGAUGUUUCUUUGUGUAUUGAUUUUGCUGGUUCUUUGUUUUAAGGGCCAAAUCAUGCGUCAUUGUCUUCUUGACAUUUGAAACACGUGUUACAAGUUUCGCAUCAAUGCAUGGCAUAUCAUAUUUGAAUCUCGUUUGAUGUGAAUAUCAUGCAUCCAUUUGGCUAAUUGCAAUUGAAACUUGUCAUGCAUGACAUUCUUAGUUCUAAGUCACUUUGCAAUGUUAAUGACUUGUGUGAUUUCUUUGCAUUCUAAUUUAGGGUUAAAUGUUUACCCAAACUUUUUUUUCGCAUUCAACAUUAUGUCAUGUGCAAGUUUCACAUUUUUGUGCAUUGUCUAGGUGGUCUUGCGAACCAUUAAACAUGCAUUGUAUUUUGUCUUGUUUGUGGCUGACAUGCGCAAUUUCACAAAUAUCAAUUUUUGACCAUCAAUUAGAUCUUGAUUGGACUUGAACCCUAUUAGGAAGUCUUAAGAUUCAUCUUAAUCUUUCAGAUGAGGUUAGUUUUGCAUCGUUUACAUCUCAUUUGAUUUAGGAAUUUGUUUCUUUCAUUUGUAUGCAUCUAGUAAUCCAAAUUUCUUAGAUUAGGUUUAGAAUUGGACUUUGAACACGGAUAAAGCGUGAAGAUGGUGGAGGUCGAUGUUCAUUCCGACCAUUGUCUUGUACUAUUUGUUUUCCCGACUUAUGUCUCGGGUUCCAUGCAUUGUAUAAAACCCGACUAGUUGUGGUUUUCCUUUCUUUCUCAAUUGUCUUCUCUUUUAUAUUUUUAGAAUUGCAUGAUUAGGUUUAACUGCUUUUCUUGAUUGCUUACUUCAUGUCUUGCAAUUUCAUUUUCAUUAUUUGUUUUCCUUUCAUUUCUUAGGAAUAGAAUAGAAUGAAAGUAAUCCACCACGCAUAUUCAUUUAGUAUAGAAUUGACGAUCCUGAAAAUAUAAAAAGAAAUGCAUGAACAUAUUAGGAAAAACACAACAAACUAUUUAGGUACCGAAAGGGCGCUAAUAGCAAUAUUAGCAUAACCCAAGUCCUCGAACCUAGAUAUCUGGUUACGUAGGAAUCGAGGGAACACUCCCGACCCUCGAUUGGGUUUCUAGCCGACCCCCAAAAUGAGGCUAGUGGCGACUCCUGUCUAUUUUUAGGUUGUUAAAUACCUAGAUCGUAUAAAUAAAUCCGUUGUCGCGCGGGGUACGAGUUUGGGAGAGCUUGCGAUCUCGUGAGGAAACUCUCAUGAUCAAAGUAUCCCUAAACACGACCUUUCCUACCUUGGACUUUUCGAGGACAGCGAGAUCGGGUCGCGACAAUGUGGCAUGUCUUUUAUCCAACUUUUGCUGCCCUUUCAAGUACUUCAAGGUCUCAUGGUCGGUGUGGAUCACAAACUCCUUUGGCUAUAAAUAAUGUUGCUAAGUCUCCAAACCUCGCACUAAAGCAUACAUCUCCUUAUCAUAGGUGGGAUAAUUCAACGUUGUUCCACUCAAUUUUUCGCUGAAAUAAGCUAUGGGACCCCCUCCUUGCAUCAACACGGCUCCAAUUCCUAUACCAGAAGCAUCGCACUCUAUCUCAAAAGUAGCACUGAAAUUCGGCAAAGAUAACAAAAGAUCAUUAGUUAACUUAUCUUUUAGCAGAUUAAAUGCUUUCUCUUGCUCUUCUCCCCACGUGAAACCCACAUGCUUUUUGAUAACCUCAGUUAAAGGUGCGGCAAUGGUGCUAAAAUUUCUCACAAAUUGUUGAUAAAAACUCGCCAAUUCAUGAAAGUUACGCACCUCUCCUAUGGUCUUAGGCGUUGGCCAUUCACGGAUUGCUUUGACCUUUUCUUCAUCAACCUGUAUAUCAUUAGCACUAACAACAAAUCCUAGAAAUACUAAUUUGUUGGUAACAAAAGAGCACUUCUUUAGAUUAGCGUAUAAUUGCUCGGCCCUUAAAACCUGCAAGACAGCUCGCACAUGCUCAAUAUGGUCAUCAGGAUUUCGGCUAUAAAACAAGAUGUUAUCGAAAUAGACAACCACAAAUCGACCAAUAAAAGCACGCAAAACAUGAUUCAUAAGUCGCAUAAACGUGCUCGGUGCAUUAGUUAAUCCAAAUGGCAUUACUAACCACUCAUAUAAUCCAUACUUGGUCUUAAAUGCAGUUUUCCAUUCAUCACAUUCUUUCAUCCUAAUUUGAUGAUAGCCACUUUUCAAAUCGAUCUUAGUGAAAAUGCAAGAACCAUGCAACUCAUCCAACAUGUCAUCUAACCUAGGAAUAGGAUGUCGAUACUUUACCGUAAUAUUAUUGAUUGCUCGGCAAUCGACACACAUUCGCCAAGUUCCAUCCUUCUUUGGCACUAACAAAACAGGGACGACGCACGGGCUAAGACUCUCUCUCACAUACCCCCGUUCCAAUAGUUCGCUAACUUGCCGCUGAAGUUCCUUUGUCUCCUCGGGAUUGCUUCGAUAUGCGGGUCGAUUAGGUAAUGGCGCACCAGGAAUCAAGUCAAUUUGAUGUUCUAUGCCUCGAAUUAGUGGUAUCCCUCCAGGAAGUUCAUCAGGAAAGACAUCUUCAAAUUCAUGCAAUAAAGAUACAAUAGGACUAGGCAAACUUGGGUCAAGAUCAUUAGUAGAAAACAAAACCUCUUUGUACACAAGUACAAGCAUUGAUCGAUCUAGAACUAAGGCUCUCCUCACUUUCACUUGAUUUUGCAUAAAAAUUAUUUUGCCUCUUUUCUUUCCUCUCUUCUUUUCCCUCGGUUUUUACCACAAUUUUUCUCUCGGCCUCUCAUUUUCCUUGCGUCUCAGACACACCACGCAAGCCCUCGGAUUUCUCACCUUUUCUCUCUCUCUCUUGGCUUCUCGUUGUAACUUUAAUUGAUCUUGAUACACUCACUAGGUGUCAUCGGUACCAAGGUAUAAAUCUUUUGAUUCAUCAUCAAUGAAUAACAAUUAGUAUACCCAUCAUGAUGUACCUUCGAUCAUAUUGCCAUGGUCUCCAAGUAAGAUAUGACCCACUUGCAUAGGUACAACAUCACACUCUACCUCGUCCUUGUAUCUCCCUAUCUCAAAUGGAAUUCGAACUUGCUUCGAUACUUUCACCUCACCACUAUCAUUUAACCAUUGAAGUCUAUAAGGCCUAGGGUGUUUUGUCGUCUUCAAACCCAACUUAUUCACCAUAAUACAACUUGCCACAUUCGCACAACUACCUCAAUCAAUUAUCAUACUACAGAUCUUACCAUUCACCACGCAUCUUGUAUGAAACAAAUUAUCUCUUUGUUGGUGAUGCUCCUCCUCCUUUACUUGCACACUCAGAGAACGCCUAACCACCAAUAAGUCUCAUUUUAUAGCCACUUCUCCAUCACUACAAUCCUCCAAUGGUGGCAUCUCAUCAUCCUCUUCUUCCUUUUCACUUUCGAACUCAAUAACACCAUGUUUAGUCAUGAUCAUCACCCUCCUAUUAGGGCAUUGAUUCGCCAUAUGACCCCUGCCCAAACACUUAAAACAUUUAAUUUCACGAGUUCUAGUGUUAUGGUUUUCGGUUUUACCUGAAACCGGAUUCAUUCCAACUUUACCGUCCCUCUCCUUCUCGUUUGAGGUUUCGGUUUUGGUGUUGUUUUCUCUCCAAUUUGGCUUCUCAUCUCUCUUUCAAUUGGAUCUACAAUUCUGAUUUGAACCUCCUCCACUCUUGUGAUUUCGGUCCAACUUCAAUUGCCGCUCAACUUUGAUGGCUUUGUCUACCAAUUCCUCCAAUUCAACAUAGUGUUGCAGCUCUACCACCCUUGCUAUGUCUCGGCUCAAACCACUCAAAAAUCUUGAUAUUGUGGCCUCACGAUCCUCCAUCACAUUAGCACGGAUCAUGGCAAUCUCCAUCUCCUUGUGAUAUUCUUCCACGCUCUUAUUGCCUUAUGUGAGGUUUUGUAACUUUUGAAACAAAUCUCGAUGGUAAUGACUUGGCACAAAAUGCCUCCUCAUCACUGCUUUCAUCUCAUCCCACAUCUUUAUCGGUCUUUCACCAUUGCACCUCCUACUAGUCACAAGUUGAUCCCAUCAAAUUAUAGCAUAAUCAGUAAAUUCAACAGCUACAAUUUUUACCUUUUUGAGCUCAGAGUAUCGUUGGCAAUCAAAUAUCAUCUCCAUGCGCUUCUCCCACUCUAUAUACUCAUUGAAAUCAUUCUUCCCUUGGAAGGAAUGAAUCUUCAUCUUGAUGUUGCCAAGUUCAUCAUCUCCUCGGUGUCUAAACCUUUGGCCUCCAUUCCACCUUUCAAAUCGAGCAUCUCGAUCAUCCUCCAUGUCAGCCUCAUUAUCAUCAUAUUGCCGUUGCCUUCUAUGUUGUGUUCUAGAGGCAUCUCACUGAUGUUGCGGCCUUCCUCGGGGUAUCUCUCGGUCACCAUCAACCCUCAUGCCAUUCCCCAUCAUUCGGCCACUAAGCUCCUCCACUACGGCCCUCAAUUGCUGGAUGCUUUCCAUGAACGCUUCAUCCCUUCGUUUGGAGUCAACCUCCCGUUGAUUCACGCUUUCUUCGUGCGACAUAUUUUAGACCUACAAGUAAAUGUUAGUCUAAAAAAUUCUCACCAAUCUCUCCCUCACAUGUUUCUCUCGAGAUAUUUGUCACUCCCCGCGUGUUUAACUCAAGUUUAGGGUUUUUCCACCCUCAAUUAAGCUUACACACUCUUGCCUUCUUCCUCUCGUAUUCUCUUUUCACAAACUCUUUAUUGGUCUCAAAACCUGUCUCUCAACCCCCUCAUGACAAUCAAUCAAACUAAUCAAACAAUAUUAUAUCACUAUUGAUUUUGUUUCAGCAAGUAACAAUUUCAAACCAACAAGUACAACUUUCGAAAUUCCAAUUGAAACGCAUAUCACUACUGAUUUUGUUUCAAUUUGGUCUACUAACAAACGAGUCGCCUUCUUGAUUUGAUUUUUUCUUUCUGUUCGGCUAGUUUUUUUUUUUUUUGCCGAAUCUGUUUUUUUUUCUCUUGCACACUUUUUUUUUUGUGCGUUUUCUUUCUCUUCUUUUUUUUUCUUUUUUUUUUGACGAACUCAGAUACAAUUUAAGAUGUAGAAAAGAAAAUUUAAAACUAACAACAAACAACUACGUAUGAAAGCACAAAAGCAAUCGGAUCCAUAAAUUAGCUAGAACCGAAACCCUAACUCAAUAAAUCUCAAAUUGCUUAAUAUCAACAAAAAAUUAAAGAUAAAUAGACAUUGUAGAAGCAAGCUUUGAUACCAAACCGAUGUGAAUUGUUGCAGAAGGAUCGUUCUACGAAGGCCCAGAUGGUGCGAAUUGCAAACCUCGACCUCCAAUCAAACCUGUCAUUGGCAACCUCGGUAUGAAGGUGACCUGUUGACGAACACGUGUCAACCAACCAAUGUUAUAGACGCUACGAGCGAAAGAAUUCGCUAUCUCGUUCGAUAAGUCGAAUUGACCGCCACAAGAGAAUCUUGAUUAGGUCAAGUCGUCAAAAGAACAGUAAAAGAGAACCUCUCAAUUCUUUUCCUCAAAAAUAAAAUAUAUCUGUCUCCAAAGAAAUUUGGUAAAUUGUUUAUAUAGACUGCCACACAAACCCUAAAAACCAACCCUAAAAAUCUAAUACGUCAUAUUCUAGAAUAUUCCUAAAGAAGAAAAUAUAUAAAUUGACUUGGUCAAUUAUUUGGUGACCAGAUAAUUAAAUUGCACCAAGAUUUCCAAGAUUUUUCAAGAUUUGAUCCAAGGUCAUCUUCACGCCAAAGAUCAUGAACCAUGACGCCAACAGCUUGCCUGAAUUGUUUGGCCCGCACUUGAGUAAUUGAACCAGUAGGAAUAGACAUUGGGUCCCUAGCACCUCCUCCUCGAUAUGGCUCGAUGUCCACAUCAUCUACUGACCUGCAUCAUGUCUCCCAAGUUUAUAAUGAGGGCUCUAGGAAAUGGGGUUACAUUGACCCAUCGAUUCUGGCAGCAGACCUGGAGACCAUUGUUUACACCUAAAUUUUGUCUAAUCAUUUAGUAAUUAGUAGCAUAAAAAAAUAGUAAAAUUACAUUUCAUGUAGUUGCAUUUGCAUCAGUACUAAAAGGGCAACAAGACGCAGUGGCUCGUAGUCGAUUACAUGCACAACAGAAUGGUCUCUCCUUGCUGGUCUGAACAUGCAAAAGAGCGAAAGUCAAAAAAGGAGGAAUGAAGUUCUUGCAUGUCUGUUGUCUCUCCCUCAUUAAUGCAUACGCAUGCAUGCACAAGUUCGGCGGAUGUGCAAAUUCUAGAGGAACCCUCAGAGAAGCAAAAUGAGCCUAUGAUAUAUUAUAUAAUAUGCUCUCUCUCGAGUGUGGGUGUUAACUCUAGUGAAGCAACGAGAAAUUUGCUGAAGAAAGAAGCAAGUAACAAGCAAGAAAACUCAAAAGUUGCGGCAAUCCUAUAGAAGGGAGGGACAAGUAGCCCCAAGCAUAAAGAAGAAAUAACAAUCCAACGUCCAUUUUCUCCCCCCUCAUUAAUGCAUGCACAUGCACGCAUGAAAUGGGAGAUGUCAAAAUUCUAUAGACGCCUGCAAGAAGAUGGACUAACAUUUUUAUAAUAUUAUCCUUGCUGAAGAGCAUAUGGGUAGCCACCAUAUUUGAAAAAAAGAACCGAACGUGAACAGCAAGGAAAAGUUACGGCUGCCUCCUGUUCACCUGUUCACACUAAAGUCGGUUGUUGCCUAUAAAUAAGCAAGGAUCCUCGGCUUAAAAAGGGAGGCUCGAAAAAAAAAUUCCCUGGAGAGGUUUGUGAGAACUAUUAAAAAAAGAGAGCCCGUAGAGACACACGAGUGGGGAGAAAGGAAGAGAUUAAAAAAGGGAGAGACGCUCGUCAGAGAGAAACAAGAAAAAAUGAAGUUAGGUGGAGGAGAUUAAAAAAGAGAUGAAUAGAGAGUCUGUCAGAGAAAAACCAAAAAGAAGGUGAAGUCAGAGAGGGCAACAAAGAGAGAAAGAACGUGAGAAAAAAUAAAAAAGAUGGGUUGUCUUCUUCCCAUGGUGUCUUUUUCCUAAGGGGCUUCAAGCGUCCGUUCUCGUACAUAGCAACCCGCAGCCGACUCCAUCCUUCUGGUGAUCUGCGGAUGUAGACGCUGCAGCAACCCUCUACUACCUUCCUGCUCCCGGCGAGUUUCGAACGCUGCUACCGCUGUAGUCCCAUGCCUCCGCUUGCCCGCCUCCUACAGCUCGAAGCUUUGAGCGACACCUGCAACUCCCCCACCGCAGCUGCUGUCUCGCGGUUGUCGGAGCUCCGAACACCGUCGCUGUUGCAGCCCUCAGCCUGCUUAUCGCCGCACCACCGCAACACCUUCAUUCCGUCUCCUGCAGCAACCCACACCCGAUGUCAACGACUUGCAUCACCUUCGCCCGCCGGUCGUAGCGCAUCUCCGCCCAGAAGCCUACAAGCUGCAACACCCGUCGCUGCGCCCUACCCGUCGCCACACCUCCGCUCACCCGUCGCCACGUCUCCUCCAUCUUCGCCUGGCCCGAGCUGCGCACUGCUGCUUCUUCCCUGCAGGUGCACCAGCGACGACUAGCCAUGUUAAGCACCACCAACUAUGAUCUUUCCCUGCACACGACCCUGACCUACAGUGCCAGAAGCCCCGACGCCCUGCUCCGCCUCUGCCGUCGCCGAUCUGCUGCGACUGCCGGCCCCGAGUCCUCCGCCUGAGCGCUCCUGCUCCACCGGUCCUUGCUGCCCGGCGUCCCCUACUCGCAUGUGUUAGUCUUACACCAGCAAACCGCACGCGACUCCUGCUUUGGUCUUGUCGGAGCUCCUCGCCGGUGUCUUCCCCCUGCCAGAGCUCCGACCAGUGUUGCCCCUCUCAAUUGAUCGAGCAGCCAAGCCGUGCGUGGGAGCAAAACAAAAAGAAAAAAAAAAAAGGAAAAGCAAAUUAGGUAGUUUUUUUUUUAUCUAUUUUAGUUUGUUUUUUAUUUUAAUUUACUUUUUUAGUGGAAUCAUUCCUUAGUAUAAGAUUGAGAAUGUUCGACCUAAAAUAGCUUGUUUGUGAUAGUCUGAUUUUUGCGCCCGAAAUCCGACUCGCAAUUGCUUGAAAAAUCGUCAAUCCAAUCUCACACCCGAGAUUCGAUUUUCGAUUUAUUUAAAAUUGGCCAACCCGAUCUCAUGCGCGAGAUAUGGUUCGUCAAUUUGGAUAUCAAUCUUGCUCUGAUUUGUCGUCGUGCCGUUUAAGUUAAUUUCGCUUUCAUAAAAUAAAUAAAAAAUACAAAAUAAUGUAGGUUAGAAUUAGGUUUAUUGCUGUUUUAGGGUUUGCAUAUUUAGAAUAGGAAUUUUAUUUCGAAUUUAAUAAAAUCAAAAAAUCAAAAAUAAAAUCAAUCAAUUUAGGUUGCUAGUUUUUUAACUUAGGUUUCAUGUUUAAUUACUUGACAAUUUUUAAUUUCGAAAUUAAUACAAAAACAUAAAAUAAAAAUUAGAAUUUUGGCACUCUUCACAUGUCAUUGCAUUUUAGGGUAAAAUUUCAUAUAGUUUAAUUCUAGAUAAUAGUUUUUUUUUAAUUUAAGUUUAGAGAAAUUUUUUAGAUAGAUUGCAUUUUAGGGUAAAAUUUCAUAUAGUUUAAUUCUAGAUAAUAGUUUUUUUAAAUUUAAGUUUAGAGAAAUUUUUUAGAUAGAUUGCAUUUUAGUAAGGAAUUUCUAAAUUACGAUAAUAUUCUAGUUUAAAUUAGGAUUUGGCUUAACCUCAUUCCUAAUACAAAUUAGAUGAUAUUUUAAUUUAGAUAGAUAAAUUUCAUUUUUCUAAUUCCGAAUUUCAUGAAAAAUACAAAAAAUGUCUUAGAAUAAAUUAGUUUUAUUUUCUAGGAUAUAUUGCAUUAAAAAAAAUGUCAUGCACAUGUCAUAUAAAAUUAGGUUCAUGAAAUGCACGUCAUUUAGUGAUUGUUGCUAGGUUCAUUUAAUUGGAAACUACCCGUCAUUAGAAUUAGGUCAUUUUGUUAGUUUAGAUUGCACAUUUAAUUAUUGAACAAUUUUAAUUUCGAAUUUCAUGGAAAAUACCUAAAAAAAUUGUCUUUGAAUAAAUUAAUUUCAUUAUUUAGGAUAGAUUGCAUGCUUAUUAAGAAAACAUAAAAACAUCUCAUUUGCAUCAUGUAACUUAAGCCAUGUUAUUAUGUCAUAUCAUUUCAUGUUAAAUUAGAAGCAUUGCAUUGCAUAUGGACUAUAUCCUCAUUAAAUAAGUGAAGAAAAAAAAGAAAUCGCGUGUUAAUUAGAAAUCAUAUCUUGGAUUGUUGAUGUGAAUUCUGAUCUAACAACGCAGAUACUUUCGUUGCUAUGAGGUAAAUCUUGUAAUUUAUUUACUGCUUUAUCCGGGUGUUAAAUUGGUGGUUUGUACACCCGUAUGAUCACCUCAUAUGUUAGGGAAAUAGAUUUAAAAUCAAUUCAAGCUUUCUGCAAAAUAUUUUUUUUUUUUUAAAUAAAAGAGAAAUGUACCGAAAGGGCAUUAGAGAAGUCUAGUGUAACGAAGUACCCGAACUCAUUUAAUCUCUAGUUCGUAGGAGUGAAGUAAUUCUCCCAUUACUUUACUUGGUUUCUAAUCGACUCACCAAAAAUAGAUUAGUGGCGACUCCAUGAUAAAAAUCAUUUGCAUAUUAAGAACUUAAACCCUAAGUUGCGAAUUGGUAUGGGCUUGGGAGAGCUUGAGCUAAGUCUAGGCUUAGCAAUCCAUUAGCAGAACCCUUAGGUGGUCCAACCCGCUUCGAGGAGGUCGCGACAACCACCAACAUGGUCUUGAAGAAGAAUGGAGAUAAAGCUAUUGUCUGUAUGAUCACCAGACCACCAACAUGGUCUUAAAAUAACUUUUUUCUUUAACACUAUACAUAUUAGCUUUCUAGAAAUGAGAAAUUUCCAGAAAAUCUUAUUCUUUUUCAAGUUGCCAAGCAAAUUUAUGGAUUAAUUAUAAGAAAAUCAAAACAAAUUUGAGCAUCAACGGCUUUUUAACAUUAUAAAAUUUUAUUUGUAUUGUGCAUAUUACCACUGAGCUAUCUGACUUUUUAUAUACACAUGAUGAAUUGUUCAGAUGAAAUAAAGAAAACACUCUUACAAAGAUUUGUCAGAAUAAAAUUGCUACUACACUCCCUAAUGCAGAAUUUAAUAGAUGAAAAAUAAUUAAAUAAAAAAUUUGCAUGAAAUAAAAGGUCAAAAUGACUUUUACAUGUAAUUCGUUUUGGACGAGGAGUUUACGAGAAAAAUAUCAAGGUGUCUACAAAAGCAUUUUACAUCGUUGUUUUUAACUACUUUUUAGAUGCUCUUUUCACUCUCAUGAUCUAUGCAAAAACUAUGUAACUAAAUAAUAUGAAAAAUUAUAUAACAUAUAAAAGGCUUGAUUAUGUUUUAAAACUAAUCGAAAAACAAAUUCACCAUGAAAGUUACCAUUUGAGGUAGAAAUGAUGAAAAAUGGAUAAGUUGCGAUAAGAUUAAUGAUGAUGAGUAAGAAGCUAAUCUUCAUUCUCUAAGCAACCAAAUUUUUUUUUUUUAUUAAUGGUCGAAAGCAACUAUAAACUUUCUAAGCUAAAGGAAACUGUACAAAUAUAGAUAUUGUCAAGAACGAUUUUGUCUGUCUAAUGAAAAUAAAAAUGGAUUUAAUCAUCUAAGGAUGGAAAUUAGCCCUCUCUAAAUCUUAUUGUCAAGGCAGGGGUUAUUUAGGCUACAGCUUGUGCGCAUUCUUUCUUUUCUUCUGCUGACUUGCUAUUAUUCCAGAAAAAAUAAAAUAAAAGAGAAACCGUUUUGGAACCUUCGCAAACGGUCACAGACACGUGCACGCAAAAACACGUACACAUCGAUCCCCGACAGAGACACGCACAGACCUUACCGACAGACGGCAGCAAACUUCUUAGGAUCCGGACCACGAGGAGCCAAGGCGCAGGUCAGCGUGUCCAUCCAGUUCGCCGCCGGAGCUUGACACAGGUUGAAGUUGCUGUUGUACGCCACCUUCCUUGACCCGUAGUCUCGCGAGUACCACUCGCGCUUCGCCUCGAGGUCCUGCUCGUGGAACCUCCUCACCCCUUCGACCAUCUCCUCCAUUAGGGAUGCCGGCAUGCCGUGGUUCACCGCCUGGAAUCUCCCCCACCUCUGGCACGCCUCCCGGACCCGGUUGAUCAUCCUCUUUCGCUCACUAGGGCUUCAAAUUCGGCCAAGGCCUCGAAAGUCUAUGACAGGAACGCUCAGGCUCGAUUCUCGUGAUUCCGAGGCACGAUGUAGCCUGAGCUUCAGGUAGCAAACAACGAAGAUUCUGGGUACUUUGGUCAAUUUGGCAUCGGCGAGUCCCUUCACACUGGCCUUCGAGUUGUCGAAUGACUUUAGCUCGGCUUUCUGAUCGUAACCACCAUCGCAAGUGGACUCUACAAAUUGAGCAGUUAUAAGCACAUGGGAUAUGUGAAAGUGCUAGUACGAGCACCUAGAGAGAGGUGAAUAGGUGCGAAAACAAAAUUUGCAAAAUAUAGUGUAAAAUUUUACUUUUAACCUGAGUCUGGUUGACAAUAGACUUUGCAGAGGAAAUCAGACUCUAACAAUUAAAUAGAGUUACGAACAAAAUAAAAGAGUUUAGGGAAGAGAAAAAGAACACAAGGUUUAUAGUGGUUCAGCUUAAUCCAAGCCUACGGGGGUGUUUGGUUGGGCAUUUUCAAGGGGCUUUGGGCCCCCAAAGCCCCUCGGGAGAAAUCUUGAGUGUUUGGCAAAAUAUUUGAAAGUCCCUUUGCCCAAAUAUGAGCAUUCUGAAGGCCGAAUGCUGAAAGCUGGAGAGGGGCGGCAUUGGGCAUUCUAGAAAUGCAAAAAUCACUAUUCAUUUAUCUUCCACCUUCGUCUUCCUUCUUCACGGCGUCUUCUUCUUCCCCGCUCAUUGGGCUUCUCCGGCAGUUGCCACCGCCGCUUGAGGGUCGUGCUUCCCCGGUGACCACCGCCUGGGGGUGGCGUGACCCGCGACCCAGGCGGCAUCGCCUAGGUCGCGCGAACCUCAGGCAGCGUCGCCUGGUGUGCGCGAACCAGGCGAUGCUGCCUGAGGUCGCGAGGACCUAGGCGGCGUCGCCUGGUUCGCGUGAACCAGGCGACACCGCCUAGGUUCGUGUGACCUUAGGCCACUAGAUCUGGCCUCAGGCACCUGAGGUCGCGCCGCCUGGGUCCCCGCGACCUCAGGCCGCCAGAUCUGACGGUACGGAGGCCAGAUUUGGCCUCUACGCCUCCAGGCACCUUAGGUCGCGCCCCCAAGCGGCCGGACGGCUAGAUCUGUCCGCCGGAGUUGGCCGGCGGUUAGCCGGCCGCCAGAUUUGAUUUUCAAUUUUUUUUUAAGUAAAAUAAAAGCAAAAGCCCAUUUGUAUGUAAAAUUUGCCAAAUGGUAUUUAUGCUAAAAUUGCAUUUCAAUGCCAUUUGAGACUACAAAUUACCAAACGGUGUAACAUUUCGAAAAACGUCUUUAUGUCAAGGAUAUUUGCAUUCUCCUAAGGGCAUUUCCCCAAAGCCGAACCAAACGGGCCUUACGUCCACUCUCCUACACUGACAACCCACCGGCUGGAUUUCACUUUGAAUCAAAAGAGUCAUUAUAGUAUCACGUCCUUAAUUCCACAAUGUAGAGACUCUGCUACACUUCCUCAAGGCCUCACAAAUAUCUAAACUCUAUUUUGAGUACAAAUUUACGCUCAACAAUUGAAUCAGCAAAGAAUAAGGAGCUUCAAACUUUAGAAUUUAUCUAUCGCGCACACACUCGAAUAACUAGAGCGUCUUCCUUAUAUACUCCUCCAUGCCUUCAUAUCCGUUGGCACUUUCCAAAGGAGUUCUUCCAAUCUGCCCAUUGGACAUAAUCAAUUAGGGAGAUCUCGAGAUACUUAAGGAAUGUGAUGAUAGCCCAUCAAUCAUGCUCGCCCAUACAAUCAGGAAUUAGGUUUCCAUAAGUAUAACCUUCCAAGUAUACUUUGCCAAUCAACGGAUCCAAAUUACUCGAAUUAAUUUCAAAACGAAUAAUAGAUCUUGAGAUGUUAUCUCCAACCGUGAGAACUUCUUUAGCCGCUCGAAUUAAAACCUUAAAGAAAUACUCGCAUCUGGAUAAGUCUUCUUCGUCGGUCUAUAAACUGUCAAUGAGGGCAGACUUUAAAUCUUGAGUCUGGCGAUCUUCAGACUUUUACGAAAGAGUCUGCAAGUCUUCAGACUAGACUGAUGGAAACAUUUUGUCAGCUUCAAAACAAAUAAUGAAGUUUUCUCCAACAAUCUCCCCCUUUUUUAUGGUGACAAAACUUUCCUACAAAUUUGGAUACUUUUGACCUGCAAGAUAAUACUCAAGCAAACAAGGAUAUCUCAUAAAAAAUAAAUGGGUUAGGAUAAAGAUAGUAUCGAAUAUGCAUCCAUAGGAAAUGAGUUAAUCCUGUAAAAACAACUAUCUUUGCCAUGAAUACCAACAAUGCUUAAGAUACUGCAAGUAUUAAACGAUCAAAACACAAUCCAAACCAAACCAGUCACAACCAAACAAAAAUAAAGUCACAAAAAUAAAAUCAAAUCUAAAAGUCAAAUUUGCACCAACUUCUCCCCCUUUUUGUCGGCAUUAAAAAGAUAGAGACGAAAAAGAGAAUUUGAUAAAAUUAAGAUUGUUUAGGAAUGCGAACAAGUUGGAAAUCUCUCAUUGACUUGACAGUCUCCUCUAGCUUUCUCAGAUCCUUCUUCAGUUGCGCUCCUUCCUCACCCUUGGCAGUUGCUUGAACUUGAAGAUUAAGGGCCUGAACUUGAUUGAGCAAUGAAACUGAAGUGGCUUGAUUGGCAUUCUGCAUAUUCUGAAAUUCGCAUCCCAAAGCAUAAAUCUGACCUCUCAUCUCCAUAAGAACAUCAAGCAACCUUCUAAAGUCUACGGAGUUGUCAGUUUGAGUGCUUGCUUCAGCAUGAUCAAUUUGUGGAGUGUUGGCAGAUGAUGGUGUUGGAGAAAACUUCCUUGAGUGUUUUGAAGUUGACAAAACAUUUUCAUCAGUCUAGUCUGAAGAUUUGUAGACUCUACUAUCAAAGUCUAAAGACCUCCAGACUGCCAGACUCAAGACUCAAAGUCUAUCCACAUUGACAGUUUCUAGAUCGUCGAAGAAGGCUUAUCCAAAACAGAGUAUUUCAUUAAUGAUUUGAUUCUGUCGACUAAAGAAUAUCUCUUGGCUGGAUAUAGCAUGUCAAAAUCCAUUAUUCAAAUCAAGAUUGAUUCGAGGAUUUUGGAUUCGUUGAUUGGCGAAGUAUACUUGGAAGGUUCUACUUAUGGAAACCCAGAUCCUGAUUGUAUAGGCGAGCAUGAUUGAUGGGCUAUCGUCAUGUUCCUUUAAUAGCUCGAAAAUCUUCCUAAUUGAUUCUGUCCAACGGGUAGAUUGGAAGAAUUCCUUUGGUAAGUGCCAACGGGUGUGAUGGCAUGAAGGAGUAUAUAAGGAUUGUAUAGGCGAGUAGGAUUGAUGGACUAUCAUCAUGUUCCUUUAAUAGCUCGAAAAUCUUCCUAAUUGAUUCUGUCCAACGGGUAGAUUGGAAGAAUUCCUUUGGUAAGUGCCAAUGGGUGUGAUGGCAUGAAUGAGUAUAUAAGGAAGACGUUCCAGUUGUUCAAGUGUGUGCGCGAUAGAAUAAUUCCAAAGUCUGAAGCUCAUUGUUCUUAGUCAAUUAAAUUGUUGAGCGAAAUCUUGUACGCAAAAGAGAGUCUACAUAUUUGAGAGACCUUGAGAAAGUGUAGCUGAGUCUCUACAAUGUGGAAUCAAGGAAGAGCCUUAUUGUAACAAUUCUUUUGUUUAAUAGUGAAAUCCAGUCGGUGGGCUGUUAGUGGGGAAGAGUGGACGUAGACUUGGAUUAAGCCAAACCUUUAUAAACUAUGUGUUCUUAUUCUCUUCCCUGCGCUCUUUUACUUAGAUCGUAACAAGUUUUAUUUACAGGAGACAAAUUUCCUUUUCAUAAUCUAUUGUUGAUUAAGUGCUACACAAUUAUCUCUGAAAUUUGUUUCUACACCUAUUCACCCCCCUUUAGGUAGGGGUGAGCAGUUCCAGGUUCCGGUUCGGUUCCGCCUGGAACCUGGAACCUACCCUGGGGUAUAGGUUCCAAAAAAUUUGGAACCUGGAACCUACCCGUUAGAACCAAGAACCUGGAACCUACCCUGUCAUAGGUUCCAGGGUCGGUUCCAGGUUCCAACAGGUUCUUUUUUUUUUCCUUCAUUUUCAGAUCUGAAUUAUAACGUACGCGCAUAUUAUCGGAAUCUUCAGCACAGUCAAGAUGCUGGCUGUCACCAAUCUUUCUUCUCAAACCAUAUGUUUUUAUCAAAACAUGGAAAUCCUUUUUGUAAGUCUCUGAAAAAGUUCUGCUAUGCUUAACCUGUUAACAGCAGGUUCAUAUUAGGAGCAAAUCUACCAAAAAUCAUGCCGGUGCAUAUUUCUGUUUUCAAGCACUUAAAUAUCACUAUGAACACAAAAAAACCUAAUCCAAUCCUUAGAACAAAAGAAAACGACAAACUUAGAAAAACGUAGAUUGGAGCAGUAGAAUGAUGUAAGCACAAUCUUUGUCUCCUUUGACAUGCAAAGGCGUCGAAUAACAUCUUCUUGAACAUAGUUACUAGCAGUAGCAGUCAAAGCCAUUAGUGGGAUGUCAAAUUUCAAGAACUUCAUCUUGGAGGUGCUGAAGUUCUCUCUUAACACAGAUAGUUUCCUGAAACGUGAAAAAACUUCAAUCAGGAAAGAAUCCUUACCAUAAUCUUUAAUCAUCGUAAUUGUCCCCUCUAUCGACUAGGAUAAUUAACAUGCAAAGCUGAACCAAUGGUCAAAGUCAUGGUAAAUAACCGAGCAACAGGUAAGGAUAAAGGAUGUGAAACCCCAAUCGCUCUCUCUAGCAGUGAAAAUGUGUUUUGUCUCUGCAAGAUCAGCGGGAGUUUAGUGGUUGCGAAGGAUGUAGAUCAUAAAUAGAGUGUGCAUAUAAUAAUAUAGACAUUUACCAUGUUAUGCAGGAGCGACAUUCGCCAGCAGAUCAAACAACUGGAGUAAAGUUGAAACAUGUUUGAAUAAAAGAUUCAAAACACAGCACCAAAAUGUUCUAAUUUACUUCAGCAAAACAGAUUCAAAACACAGCACCAGAAUGUUCUAAUUUACUUCAGCAAAACAUCAAUUUGGUCCUUCAGAUUUCUUCAGCUUCAAAUCUACACUCGCCAGCCACUUUCAACAUGGUGAAUAUUCACUCCAAAACUAAUCUGGGUGUCUAAAGAGGGGUAGAGUGACAAAAUCACAUGUUUCCUGUUACUUGAAUUUUAUACAUCUUACAUGAACCAACAAAAGAACUCAGAUCAUCACUUAUCAUCCUUUCAGAAAUAUAUUAACGGCAAGAUUAAAUAAAAGAACCAUCUAGCCGGGGGAAAAGGAGGCCCUGGAGUAGACAAUUCAUACCCUUUCUCUUUGAAGAACUAGGAUUUAUCUAAUUAACCAAAGUCAAUUUGAACAGUGCAAAUCUAGACCAUCUGUCUGGAAGUCCUGUAGGAUCGGCAACACUCAAAUAUAGUGCCAAAGAGUUAGUUCUAUUGCCUUUUGGGUAGAUCAACAAGCACCUGCUCAGAAUCAAGCCAAUCGCCUAAGUAGAUACAUCAUUUUACAACCGCUGAAAAUGAAACAAUGUUUACCAGUCGUGGCCGCCAACUGUGAAUACUUGAGAGUAGUACCUGACUGAACUUAAGCUAUUGAAGUUGGUGAUUUUCCAUAAGUAUUUCCAUGAGGUUACAAGUUGUUCACCCACCAUUUCCUGCUUCCCCAUUGGCAAGAGUUUUAGCAAAACAGAGUUUCAUGAAUGAUCCUCUAACAUUAAAAUCACGCCAUAAAUAUACUUCCCCAGCUAUGAAAACAAUAAAAGAAAAAGAUAUGAUGUUCGACUUCAUGUGAAAUUAGUUAUGACUGCAAGUCGGAGACAAACUUGGGACUUCUGACAGAGAAAGAACACGCACCUCUCCGUUUGAACAAGGGACGAGCUCAGAUUCCUCAGUUAUUGCUACAAUAGUCCGAGGAAGAGAAGGUAAUUCGCAAAAGAUAUUUCUGAUAUUCAUCGUGCUUUUCAGCAGACCACUUUGCUCAGAUCAGAAAAUUGCACUUAAUUGCAUUAUUAAACACUUGGGUGGACGCGGCUUAGUUGACCAGAGACAUCAAGUAAACCAUGCAUUAAACUUAUCAAUGGUGACAUCACAACAACCACCUUCCCAGUCAAUAGGGCUAGAACCUGGAAACACGGUGAUUUACCUGCAAAAAAAAUUUACGUUUGAGAAAGCCUGCAAGUCCUCUAAGUCAUAAACAGGUGAACACGUAAGUAAUCUGGACUCACAGAAAUAACAGGUGUACAUGGGAUAGAAGAAUCGUUCCUUAUCAACAACAACAAGAGAAUCUGUGGAACAGUAACGAACCCAAAAGAAAGGAAGAGACAGUCAUUCGAUUCUUAAAAUUAUAUCAUGGUGAGGAUCUCAGCUUUUGCAUCAAAAACCAUCGAAAUCCGCAACCAAGCAAAUCCUAAUUCCAACAAACAUGAAACGAACAAGAAAAGAAAUAAUAAAUGACAGGCUUAUGCUUUUUGGCAUGUUGGGCUUCUGGUGCGAGCAAAGGCGGUGGGUCGCGAGCGGAGACUAGCUCGGCUCAGAUCUGCCGGCGUCGGGUAGUCGCGGCAGGCAAGAGUUAGAGCGGCAUCAGUGACAGGCAGAGGUAGAGCACGGCAGCGACUGGCGUUGAGCGGCGAGGGUUCGCGCGAGCGGCGACAGCAACUGGCAUCCAGCGGCGUCCGGUGGUGGCGGCCUUGAAGGCGAGCCGCGUCCGGCGGUGAGAGUCAGAGCGGUGUCGGCGACGGGCAGAGGCAGAGCACAGCAGCGACGGGCGUCGAGCGACGAGGGUUCGCGCGAGCGACGUCGACGACUAGCAUCCAACGGCGUCCGGCCGCAGCGGCCUUGAGGGCAAGCGGCGUCCGGCAGCAAGACUUAGAGCGGCGUCCGACGGCGUGAGUUCCAGAUCUGAAAUCAUAGUAGGGAUUAGAAAAUAGAAAGGGAGUCUCAGUGCUGAGCGAGGGAGGGGGAGCGAGCGGGGGAGGGGGGUAUCCUCUUGGAGCCCUAACCGGUUCCGAACCGAUUCCGGUUCCGGUUCCGCGCCGGUUCCGGUUCUGGUUCCGGUUCUAAUAGGAACUGGAACCGGAACCGGGAACCGGAAUCGGUCCUUUAAGAACCGGGAACCGCGCUCACCCCUACCUUUAGGUGCUCGUACUAGCUUUCACAAUUGGUAUCAGAUCCUGUGUACUCACUUAAGUUGAAGUGUUUUACUUCAGAGUUAAAGAUUCAUGGCUAGUAUGUUGGCUCCUGGACUGGUUGAAUGGCAAAGCAAUACCAGACCGCCUUAUUUUGAUGGAAAGGAAUACAGCAUUUGGAAAAACAAGAUGAAGGCAUUCCUAAGAUCAAAGGAUCAUCUAGAAUGGGAUGUGGUAGACAAAUGAAUCAUUCUGAAAGCUGCACCUGUCUCAAAAAGAGGAAAAGAAGCCAUUGAGUCUCGUGAAAUGACUCAAGAAGAGAUAACUAAGAGACAAGCUCUUGAUGCAAAAACAAUUUAUUCUUUAUAUUGUGCAUUAUCACCUACUGAAUAUAAUAGAAUAUCUUCUUGUGAUACAGCUAAAGAAGUCUGGGAUAGAUUACACAUCACCUAUGAAGGAACUGAUCGAGUGAAAGAAACCAGAAUCAACAUUCUGCUCGGUCAAUACGAAGCAUUCAAAAUGAAAUCAGGAGAAUCUAUCACUGACAUGUGUAGUCGUUUUACAGAAAUCAUGAAUGGUCUUGAAAAUCAAGAUCAACCAAUUUCUAAUCCCAUGAAAGUAAACAAGCUACUGCAUGGACUCUCUAAGGAUUGGAAUCACAUAAAGACCUCAAUAAGGGAAACACAAAGAAUUAUGCCACUUUCUGUUGAUGAAUUGGUUGGGACUCUUUAGUCUUAUGAAGUAGAGCGAAUCAACGAAGAUGAAAAUCCUAAAGGUAAUGAAUCUAUUGCAUUAAAAUCUAAUGAUGAUUAUGAUGUCACAUAUUCUGAAGACGAUAUGGAUGAUGAAGAGCUUGCUCUCAUGAUAAGAAGAUUCAGAAAGCUAAACAGAAAGAGGAGAAGAUUCAAUCCAAAGAAACAAAGUUUCAAAAUCAACAAUCUAAGUCAGUUGAGGAUGAUGGAUCCAAUAAAGAUGUAGUCUGCUUUGAACGUAAGAAAAAGUGACACAUCAGACCCAACUGUUCUCUUCUGAGGAAAAAGAGAGGAAAAGCUGAGAAAUAUCGAAAGACACUUAAAGUAGAAACUUGGAGUGAUACAGAAUGUGAAGAAAGCGAUGAUGAUUAUGCCACUAUUUGUCUCAUGGCACAAUCAGACUUAGAUUCAAACUCCGAGACAGACUUAGAUUCAGACAGUGAAUUCAAGGUAAGUAAUUUGAAUAUCCCUAUUAGAGUCUCUAUAUAUAUUGAUGAAUUGUGUCUUAGUCUCAAAACUUCUCUCAAAAUGAUUUCUGAACUUAAAAGAGAAAAUUCUGCACUAAAACAACAUGAAAAUGUUUUGAACGAAAAUGUCAAAAGCUUAGACAAAAAUGUUACUACUUUGAAAGAAAACGCAGACAAUCUUUCGAAAGAAAAUGCAUUAUUGAAAAAUAAUAUCUCAAGCAUUUCCAAAAGAUUUUCUAUAGGAUCUGAGAAACUGGAAAAAAUUCUUUCAGCUCAAAGACCUUACUUUAACAAAUCAGGUUUAGGAAUAACUGCCGAAACCAUUCCUCUAAUUUAUUUUCCUAAAGUAAAGGAAAUAAUUAAGCAAAGACCUACUAGAGAUGAUUACAAAAGUCAUUUCCAAAAAGUUUUUGUAAAACCAGUAGGUCGUAAUGCUCUUAAAUGCUCUAAGUGCAAUAGUUCAGAUCAUUGUGAGAAAAUAUGUCCUUUGGUUUGGAAACCUGUUGUUGACACCUAAUUUUGGAAAAAUAAAAUUGCAUUUUGAACAAAUAAAAGGAAGAAAAAAUAAAAAUGGGGAAGAUUGAUUUGAUUGAUUAUGCAUGGAAGUUUGAAAUUCUGAUGAGUAUUCAGAUUUUGAUAAAUGUAGAAACAAUUGAAAAAUCUGGCGAACAAAGGGCAAGGAUUUUAAUAAAAUGAAAGCCAAACCCAAAAUCGGUGAGGAUAAUGAUCAGAUUGAUAAAUCAAAAGGAAAGUAUCAAAAAUUAUACUCAUCAGAUGAACCGUUUGCAAAAAUGAAAACGAACCUGGAUGCGUUUUUUGGUAAAUGAGUGAAAAACCGAAAUGUAAAUUUGCGAUGGCAAAUCGGGGCUAAAAUUCUGUAAUUCCCGCAAUCAAGGAAGCGCAACUUUCUAAAGAUCAAUAGAAGUUUUCACUAUAAAAGGGCUACAGUUCGUGAGAAAUAGGGGGAUUUGGAAAAAUCAGGAGGGAAUUCGAAAAAAAAUUCGAGAGAAAAAUUCGUGCGAGGAAAAAUCCUUCGUCUGUCUUGGUCAAAGGAGAAGCCAUUUCUCUUUUCUUUCUCUGACAAGAAAAGGGAAAAGUCAGGAAGAGGUACAGAGAGGACGUGAGGGAGACGUGAGAAGAGAGAGAAAGAAAUAAAAAAAGAGAGAGAAGAACACUGUUUCUUCUUCGUGCGGGUGUUCUUCCCACCGCCGGCCUCCGUUCGUGACUACCUGCGCAGCUCGCCAUCACCCGCGAGCACCAGCAGCAGCCUGCUCGUCGUUGCUGAUCGCCCAGCACCGCUCGCCCGACGACCGCGCUGCUGUCCCCUGCCGCCGCUGCACCAACGCUCGACGUCUGCAAUUCACCCGACGCCGCAGCAGCCCGCUGCUCCCGCGCCUCCACAGCCGCGAGCACCCUCGCCCGCGCUCCCGACCUCGUCGUGCCACCGCGCCGCUCUCCUCAGCCCAGCAUUCGGUGCCUUCGCCGCCCAUCUCCGCUCACCGGACGUUGCGACCGCGAUCCGGACGACCGCGCUCCCGCCCUCGCCGACGCCGCGCCAUUUCAACACCUCUGCUCCACCCGCGACGCCGCCCGUCGAUCUCCGAGCUCCGCCGCGCCUCCGCACCGCCACCUCGCUGGUCCCCUCGUCGCCGCCCAGCUUCGCCGGAGCUCCGACCGCAACGCCCUUGCCAGACCUUCGAUUAGCCACCCUUGGCCGAGCCCCACGGCUGCCAAGCCCAAUUUUUGAGAAAAAAAGAAAAAAGAAAGAAAAAGAAAACACAUUAGGUAGUUUUCUUUAGUUUAGUUUAUUUAUUUUAUCUUGUUUUUUUAGUAUAAUUAGUCUUUAGUAUAUGAUUGGAAAUUCCAACAUAUCACCUGAUUCGCAACCACGCCGGGAUUUUUUAUUUCAUCUAUAAGGCCUUAGAUGAAAUAAUUAAUUAAGCGGGAAUAAAAUUGAUAUUUUGAUCUUUAAGGUUUAAGAUCAAUUUUUCGAUUUUAUCAGCGAAAUAUUAUCCCUUGAUCUGAAUGAUGUGUGAUAUCCUUGGUUUAGCUUGUCAUGAUCGCUUUGUUUAUCUUCAAAUGUCUUCGGGUUAUAAUGUUGCAUAUUUUAGGGUUUACACAUUUAGAAUAAGAAUCUUAUUUCGAAUUUUAAAAUCAAAAACCAAAAAAAUCAAAUCAAUCAAUUUAGGUUGCUAGAUUUUUAAUUUGGAUUGCAUGUUUAAUUAUUUGGCAAUUAUUAAUUUCGAAAAUUAAUUAAAAAAAACAAUAAAAAAAUCAUCAUGCAUAUGUCAUGUAGAAUUAGUGCAUAUUUUGUACGUCAUUGCAUAUUAGGGUUAAAUUGCACUUAGUUUAAUUCUAGAUAAUAUCUUUCUUAAUUUAUUAUGAGUUUAGAUAUUUUGCAUUUUAGGAUUAUCUAGGUUAAGAUAAUAUUUUAGUUUAAAUUAGGAUUUGGCUUAAUCUAAUUCCUAAUUCAAAUUAAAUAGAAUCUUAAUCUAGUUAAAUAAAUUUUCACAUUUUUCCUAAUUCCGAAUUUUCAUGAAAAAAAAUACAAAAAAUGUCUUAGAAUAAAUUAGUUCUAUUCCCUAGGAUAGAUUGCAUUUUUAGGAAAAACAAAAAAUAUCAUUGCGUAUCAUUAAAAGCAGAUUCAUGAAAUGCAUGUCAUUUAGAUAUUGUUAUUAGGUCCAUUUAAUUAGAAAUUGCGUGACAUUAGAAUUAGGUCAUUUAGUUAAUACUGCAUUGCAUAUUGCAUGAUUUUAUUUAAGUGAAAAUAAAAAGAAAUCGCAUGUUAAUUAGAAACCAUAUCCAGGGUUGUUGAUGUGGUUUUUUUUUAACUUAACAUUGCAGAUGCUUUCGUUGCUUUGAGGUAAGUUUUUGCAAUUUAUUUAUUGUUUAUCUAUGUGUUAAAUUGGUGGAUUGCGCACCCGCAUGAUCACCUCACAUGUUAGGAAAAUAGAUUUAAAAUCAAUUUUAGCUGCCUUCAAAAAACAUUUUUUUGAAAAUAAAAGAAUGGUACCGAAAGGGCAUUAGAGAAAUCUAAUGUAACCAAGUCCCCGUACCCAUAGUCUCUGGUUCGUAGGAGUAAAGUGAAACUCCCGUUAUUUUACUUGGUUUCUAAUCGACCCACCAAAAAAUAGAUUAGUGGCGACUCCUGAUUAAAAAAUCAAUUGCAUGUUAAAAAACUUAAACCUUAAGUCGUGAAUUGGUAUGGGCUUGGGAGAGCCCGAGUUAAGUGUAAAAACUUAGCAAUCCAUUAACCUAGUUUUAAGUGGUACACCCAAAAAAAUUAGGUCACGACACCUGUUAAGAAGGUAUGGGCAAAGACCGCAUAUUGCACUAACACCAAUGGACCUAAGAAAAUAUGGGUACCAAAGAAAGCUUGAGUCUCUUUUCUAAAUGCAUGUCACUAUCAAGAAAAAUGUUAAAUGGUACCUGGAUAGUGGAUGCUCAAGGCAUAUAACAAGAGAUUCAAAUUGCUUCAUAAAACUUGUUCAAGUUAAUGGUGGAAAAGUUUUUUUUUGGAGGAAACAGCAAAGGAAGAAUUGUGGGAUUCGGAAUUGUAAAGAUUGGAAGCCUCGUGAUCAAUAAUGUUUCCUUAGUUGAAUGACUCAAUUACAAUUUGCUAAGUAUCAGUCAGCUGUACGACACCGGUUUCAAAAUCAACUUCCAAGAAGGAAUAUGUUUAGGAACCAGUAAAGACUCUUCUCAGUCUUUCACGGGUCGAAGACAUGGGAAUAUCUACCUCUUGGAUAUCAAACCAGAUGAAACCAAAUGUCUAAUCUCAAUCCAAGAAGAAGCAAACUUAUGGCACAUAAAACUUGGGCACAUCAACAUGAAACAAAUAGCCAAAAUCUCAGCAAAGAAGCUUGUUCGUGGACUACCCAAUCUGUCAUACCAAAAUUCUGAUCUAUAUACACCAUGUGUAUUGGGAAAACAUGUAAGAAACUCAUUCAAACCAAUAAAUCAAGUUUCCACUAAUCGUGUACUGCAGCUCUUGCAUAUAGAUCUCUUUGGACCAACCAGAACUCAGAGCAUUGAAGGUAAGAAAUAUUGCUUAGUGAUUGUGGAUGAUUUUUCACGAUUCACUUGGGUAUACUUUCUGGCAAGUAAGUCUGAAACAUUUUAUUAUUUUACAAAGUUUGCUAAAAAAGUCCAAAAUGAGAAAGGGUAUAUUAUUUCGAGUAUACGGACAGACCACAGAGUUGAAUUUGAAAAUCAAAACUUUACAAAAUUCUGUGAUGAAUCUGGUUUUCAGCAUAUGUUCUCUUCACCAUAUACUCCAGAGCAAAAUGGAGUAGUAGAAAGAAAGAAUAGGUCGCUUCAAGAAAUUGCUAGAACUCUUUUAAUUGAAAGUAACAUUUCUUCUCGUUUUUGGGCUGAAGCAGUUUCUACAGCAUGUUAUAUUAUUAAUAGAGUCUUUCUAAGGCCUAUUCUGGAGAAAACUCCCUAUGAAUUAUUCAAAAGGAAGAAGUCUAUUGUUUCAUAUUUUCAUGUGUUUGGAUGUAAAUGUUUUAUAUUGAAAAAUGCAAAUGACCGUGUUGGUAAGUUUGAAGAAAAGUCAGAUGAAGGUAUUUUCCUUGGAUACUCUAUCACAAGCAAAGCUUACAGAGUUUACAACAAGAAGACUCAAUCUGUAGAGGAAUCGAUGAAUGUCAAAUUCCAAGACUUUAUGCAGAAUCAAUCGAUUCAUUCUCAUCUCGAAGAAUCUGAAUCUGCUCUAGACUCUACAAAGUUUAAAUCUCCAGAAGCAGUUCAACCUUCAGUAGAUGAGCGACAAAUGAUCAACAAAGAUUCAAAUGAAGAAAAAGAUCAACAAUCUGACAAAUCAACUAGCAACUGGAAGCAUGAGUCUAGUCAUCCCAAAGAUCUCAUUAUUUGCAAUAUUAAUGAAGGAAUUCGCACGAGAUCCAAAAAGCGCGAAGAGUCUAGUGCUGUGGCUCUUAUUUCUGAAAUAGAACCCAAGAGCAUAGAAGAAGCUUUAACUGAUGAAAGUUGGAUUGAAGCUAUGCAAGAAGAACUCAGGCAAUUCAGCAUCAAUGAUGUCUGGGAAUUGACUCCUAAACCGAAAGGCAAAUCCAUCAUUGGAGCUAAAUGGGUUUUCAGGAACAAGAUGAACGAGAAAGGAAAAGUUGUAAGGAACAAAGCUAGACUCGUGGCCAAGGGAUAUACGCAAGAAGAAGUGAUAGACUAUGAUGAGACUUAUGCACCAGUAGCAAGGUUAGAAGCAAUUAGAUGGUUACUUGCUUUUGCUUGUUAUAAGAAUUUCAGGUUAUUUCAAAUGGACGUCAAAAGUGCUUUCCUAAAUGGAUUUAUCCAAGAGGAAGUCUAUGUGGAACAACCACCCAGUUUUGAAGACCCAAGGAAACCAGACACUAUAUUCAGAUAGAAAAAGGCUUUAUAUGGUUUAAAGCAAGCAUCUCGAGCUUGGUACGACAGACUAAAUAAGUUUUUAAUUCAAAAUGGUUUUGUCAAAGGUAAAGUAGAUACUACAUUAUUUAUCAAAAGAGAAAGCAAAAGUUUUCUACUUGUUCAAAUUUAUGUUGAUGAUAUUAUUUUUGGAUCUUCUAAUGAAAAUCUAUGCAAGAAAUUCUCUAAGUCUAUGCAAGACGAGUUUGAAAUGAGCAUGAUGGGUGAACUCACAUUCUUUCUCGGGCUUCAAGUGAAACAACUAAAGGAGGAAACUUUAUUCAUCAAUAAAAAUAUGCUAAAGAACUUGUCAGAAAGUUUGGUCUAGAAAAUUGCAAAAAGACUCAUAUACCAAUGUCAAGUUCUUUAAAGCUGGACAAGGAUGAAGAAGGAAAGAGAGUUGACCAGAAGCUAUAUAGGAGUAUCAUUGGUUCACUUCUUUAUCUAACUGCUUCUAGUCCUGACAUUUUAUUUAGUGUUUGUAUUUGUGCCAGAUUUCAAUCAGACCCUAAAGAAUCUCAUUUAAGUGCUGCAAAGCGUGUUAUCAAAUACAUUGCCUCAACUUCAAAUUUAGGUCUCUAGUAUCCUAAAGAACGAGAUUUUACUCUUCUUGGAUACUCAGACGCAGACCUAGCCAGAUGCAGAGUUGAUAGAAAGAGCACCUCGAGCACCUGUCAACUACUUGGAAGAAUGACAGUAUCUUGGUUUUCAAGGAAGCAAAUUAUAGUAGCUCUUUUUACAGUAGAAGCAGAGUAAGUAGCUCUUGGAAGUUGUUGUUCACAAAUUUUGUGGAUAAAACAACAGCUAAGAGACUUUGGAAUUGAAGACUCAUGCACCGAGAUCAAAUGUGACAACACCAGCGCAAUCAAUCUCACCAAGAAUCCGAUUCUUCACUCAAGAGCAAAACAUAUAGAGAUUCGACAUCAUUUCAUUAAAGACCAUGUUCAAAAUGGAGAAGUUUCGAUUCAGUUUAUUGAUUCAAAGAAUCAACUGGCGGAUAUAUUUACAAAGCCUUUGGAGAAAAAUCAAUUUGAAGUUAUUCAUUCUAGACGCAAUAUCUUAAAGUCUGAAGAAGUUCAGACUUAGGACUGAAAGUCUAAAGGCACUCAGACUCAGACAAUCAAAAUAUACUACUGUAAGUUCUUUCUAUUUUAGAAACUUAUCUCUCGGAUCAAAACUUGAAAAUGUACGAUUAUCUGUCCGAAAUUGAUUGGUGCUAUUUUCGUGAUUGUUGCAAUCCUUCCUUUUCGAAAAAGAAGUUAUUCUUAAAAUAACAGUUAAUGGAUUUUUGAAAAAGACAGUUAUUUUUUUAAAAGGCAUUUUUAUAUUUCCUUUUUUACGUCGUUUCAUAUGCCUCGCUUCGACUGCCUUAUAUACUGUUGGUUCCUCUUCGUUUUACUCACAAAAACCCUAAGAGAGCACAGAUCGUCCACUUCUGUCUUCUUCUCUUGUUUAAUCCUCGAAAAGUUUUCAUUUUUCUCAGGAACCAAGCUUGGAAUCUCUCAAAGAUUGUGAAAAAUGUCGUCUCAUAGAAAGUCUUCGAGGAUCGCGAAUAGGGGACCACAGCAAAUGCGUGAGAGGCCUACGCACUUUGAUCUCACAGAGGAAGAAGAAUCUCCUAGAUAGCAGCAGAGCCCACAUCAUUCUCAGCAGCAUCCAUCUCCUCCUUCUAGCCCUCAGAAUGUUGCACAUCAAGAAGAGGAAGAAAUCAUCAAAGAGGCAGAACCCGUAAGUACUCAUAAGUCCUCUUUUAUCUACAAGCUUUACCGUACUUUGAAGAGGAGUGGUACUCCGUUGAACUACAUAGAUGGAUUUCUUAAGGAUAAAGGGUAUAAAAAUGAGACUUUCUUCUUACGCACAAUGGAACAAUUAGGAAUUGCCCCUGCGGGAUCGGCAAAAGAAGCUAUGGCGAAUAUCCUAAGCGAUCCACAUGUUAGAGGACUGAGUCAACCAGAUGGGAAUGACGAUGAUAGGAUGUACAGUCAGUUUAAACCUAGAAUGGGUGUUGCGGCAAGAAUUUGUAACAAAAGGACAGACUUGUUUUGUUCAGAGGAGCACAAGAAAUUGUACUCAAAGUUGCUAAAGCGUGAGGUGAUAAACCCUAGAAGUGUGGAUUUUGAUUUCCUUGACUCUGUGAAUGUCAAUCUGCGAGAAAAGUUCAGUCUUGUUUAACUUGAAUAGUUUUGUUCUGAACUGACAAAAGCUCAUGCUGAACUUACUGCUUAUUUCUAUUCGAAUCUUAGCUUUUUGGAUGCGAAUAGAUUCUCUUUCAGUGUUCGAGAUCAGGACUAUGUAGUUGACAUAAAUACAUUGGUUGAUGUGAUUGGGGUUGAAAGAGGGAGAUAUCAACCUAUCAGUGUGUUUGUUGCUCGUGCAACGAUUGAGCUUGUUCAGGAUAGAGAAGCGGAAGGAAAGAUUUCCUAUUCAAUGAUGAAUGCGUCCAACAUUUUGCUUCACAAGAUAGUGAUUAACUGCCUCAAACCAAAAUCUACUUCAAAGACCGACGUUUCAAACUCGGAGGCAAAACUGAUGUAUGCCAUCAAUGCUGGGAAAAAGUUCUCUCUUCCACACACUAUAAUGUUUCACAUGUACAGAACAAUGGUAAAGGACAUGGGUCAACUUCCGUACGCAGCUCUUGUGACCAAGUUAUUCAGACAUUUGAAUGUUCAGCCUCCUCGAAUUCUUUGUGUUCGAACAUGCGAUCAAAUGGUGGUGGGACUGAAAAUGGUCUCUAAAAUGCGUCUGAAGGAACUUAACAAGGCGUUGGAGCAGUUCAAGGAGAAAACUCCUGUCAAGACUCAUUUAAUCUCUUCGGCGGCAAAGCGAAAAGGGAAGGAACCCAUGGUUGCUUCAUCCAAGAAAAGAAGAGCUCUCAUCAUUAAAGAUGAAGAUGAUGAGAAUGAUGUCACCAUUUUUGCAAUGGCAUUGAGAAACUUGCGUCGUUCUGUUCCAGAAACAACGGUGAGACAGGAAAAAGACAAGGAUGAAAUAGAACAGAGGACUGAAGAGAGAGAAGAUUUGGAGAGAGAAGCAGAGGAGAGAGCAGCAGAGGAAGAAAAAGAAGAAGAAGAGGAGAGAGGAGAUCAAGCAGAAGCAGAGCAUGAGAAACACUCUUCUCCACCUGAAGGCAUGAAAACUGGGGGAGAUCUUGAGAAAAUAGGAACGUCCUCAUUCCCUGCCACCGGUGAAGGAGUAAGUCGUUCUCCAGCAGAUCUAAAGGACAUCUUUGCCUCUCAAUUUCCAGAGGAAGGACAUGAUGUUUCAUCGCCCAAUCUACGUGAUCGUGCUGAACUGCCAUCAUCUACCAAUACUCCAUCUGAUCGUGCAGAAGCCAGUACUCAAACAGACAAUUCGGCAGACUUCCACAUAAUUCUUGAUGUUCUUUUGGAAAUGCGAUGACAAAUUUAUGCUCUGGGAUACGCAAUUUAGACCUUGCAUAAUGCAAAACAAGCCUCUUCAGUGUCUUUGGAUGAUCAGAUCAAUACCCUUGCUCUUCAAGUUCAAGCAAAUGCUAAGGGUGAAGAUGUAGCGCAACUGAAGGAGGAUCUGAAAAAGCUGGAAGGGAUUGUCCAGUCCAUGGGAGAUUUCCAGCUUGUUCGUGUUCCCAAGCAAUCUUAAAGACAUUCCCUUUUCAUCUCUAACUUUUUAAUGAUGACAAAAAGGGGGAGAGAUGUGCAGAUUUGAACUUUGAACUCUUAACCUUUUUUUUUUUAACAUUUGUGACGAUUUUGUUUGUUUGACUUGACUCUUGUGUUUGGUUGUUUGGAUGUGGACUGGAUUUGGACUUUGACUGUUUAAACGAUUGUCUAUCUUCUGUAGAUGCAGAUUCUGAUGUUAAGCUAUUUAUCUUUUGUGAGAUAUCCUUAUUUGCUUGAGUAAUGUUUUUGCAGGUCAAAGUUAUCUAAAUCUGCAGGAAAGUUUUGUCACCAUCAAAAAAGGGGAGAUUGUUGGAGAAAACUUCCUUGAGUGUUUUGAAGUUGACAAAACGUUUCCAUCAGUCUAGUCUGAAGACUUGCAGACUCUACUAUCAAAGUCUGAAGACCUCCGGACUGCCAGACUCAAGACUCAAAGUCUAUCCACAUUGAUAGUUUCUAGAUCGUCAAAGAAGGCUUAUCUGAAACGGAGUAUUUCGUUAAGGAUUUGAUUCUGUCGACUAAAGAAGAUCUCUUGGCUAGAUAUAGCAUGUCAAAAUCCAUUAUUCAAAUCAAGAUUGAUUCGAGGAUUUUGGAUUCGUUGAUUGGUGAAGUAUACUUGGAAGGUUCUACUUAUAGAAACCUAGAUCAUGAUUAUAUGGGCGAGCAUGAUUGAUGGGCUAUCGUCAUGUUCCUUUAAUAGCUCGAAAAUCUUCCUAAUUGAUUCUGUCCAACGUAGAUUGGAAGAAUUCCUUUGGUAAGUGCCAAUGGGUGUGAUGGCAUGAAGGAGUAUAUAAGGAAGACGUUCCAGUUGUUCGAAUGUGUGCACGAUAGAAGAAUUCCAAAAUCUAAAGCUCCUUGUUCUUAGUCAAUUAAACUGUUGAGCGAAAUCUUGUACGCAAACGAGAGUCUACAUAUUUGAGAGACCUUGAGAAAGUGUAGCUGAGUCUCUACACUGUGGAAUCAAGGAAGAGCCUUACUGUAACAACUCUUUUGUUUCAUAGUGAAAUCCAGCCGGUGGCUGUCAGUGCGGAAAAGUGGACGUAGGCUUGGAUUAAGCUGAACCAUUAUAAACUCUGUGUUCUUAUUCUCUUCCCUACGCUCUUUUACUUUUAUCGUAACACGUUUUAUUUACAGGAGACAAAUUUCUUUUUCAUAAUCUAUUGUUGAUUAAGUGCUGCAUUAUCUCUGAAAUUUGUUUCUACACCUAUUCAUCCCCCUCUAGGUGCUCGUACUAGCUUUCACAGAUAGAACUUCAGCAUGAGCACCUAUACUUGGAGAUGAAACCUCAUUACCUUCUUCAGGAAAUUGAGAAGCAUAUACAUCUUCUGGAUCGGCAAAAGAACGACUGACAUCAUCACUAGUAAAAACAAGUGAUGGAGUACCUCUUCUAUCAGAAGCUCCCCUUGUUUUAAUGCCUUUAGGUGGAGAGAAGUACUCUUCAUACUCUGUCUCUUCUUCAAUGACACGAUGACCUUGUUCUCCUCUUCGCUCUUCUUCUGCAGUUCUUCCUUCCUCUACUUCUUUCCUCAUCGUUUCCCUCUCUUCACUCCUCUGCUCUGUUUCCUCUUUGACUUGGUUCUCUCUAUCCUUUGUCUCUAGAAAAAAACGUUGUAAAUUCCUUAAGGCAAGAGCAUAAAUGGUGAUGUCUUCCUCAUCUUCUUCAUCCUAUAAGACGAGUGCUCUCUUUUUCUUAGAUGGGGCUGUCAUAGGCUCCUUGCCUUUCUUUUUUGCAGCCACAGAGUCUUGACGAGUCUUGACAGGAGUCUUCUCCUUAAAUCUCUCUAAAGCCUUGUUUAGCUCCUUCAGAAGCAUCUUUGAAACCAUCUUCAAUCCCACCACCAUUUGAUCACAGGUUUGAACACACAGAAUUUUGGGAGGCUGAAUUUUAAAAUGUAUGAAUAGCUAAGUAACAAGUGCUGAAUAAGGAAGUUGGCCCUUGUCCUUUACCAUUGAUCUAUACAUGUGAAACAUGAUAGUGCAUGGCAAAGAGAACUUUUUACCAGCAUUGAUAGCAUACAUCAGCUUUGCUUCUGAAUUUGAGACGUCAGUCUUUGAUGUGAAUUUUGGUCAAAACAAUUAAUCACAAUCUUAUGAAGCAAGAUAUUUGAAGCACUCAUCCUCGAGUAUGAAAUCCGACCUUCUUCCAUUCCAUCUCGGACAAGCUCCAGAAUUGUGCGACCAAUAGACACACUAAUUGAUUGGAACAUCCCUCUCUCUACUCCAAUCACAUCAGCCAGAGUGUCCAUAUCAACAACAUAAUCCUGGUCUCUAACACUGAAAGAAAAUCUAUUCGCAUCCAAAAAGCUUAGAUUAGAAUAGAAAUAUGCAGUAAGUUUUGGAUGAGCUAUAGUAUUCUCAGAGCAAAAUCGUUCAAGUUGAAGCAAAGUAAAUUUCUCCCGCGACUUCAUGUUCAGAGAGUCGAGAAAAUCAAAAUCCGCACUCCUUGGGUUCAUCACCCCUCGCUUAAGCAACUUAGAGUAAACUUGCUUAUGUUCCUCAGAACGAAACAAAUCUUCUCUUCUUCCUCGAAUGUUCGCAGCAACACCCAUUCUAGACUUAAAAUGAGUGAACAUCUUUUCAUCAUCAUCUUUUCCAUCAGUUUGACUGAAUCCUCCAACACGUGGAUCACUUGGGAAAUUUGCAAAAGCUCUUUCUGUCGAACCAGCAGGAGCAAUUCCCAAACGUUCCAUCAUUUGUAAAAAAUAUGUUUCAUUUAUGUACCCCUUUUCUUUCAAAAAUUCAUCAAUAAAGAUCAUUGGAGAACCUCCAUCCUUUAAGGCAGAGUAGAGUUUGAAGGUAAAAGCAGGCUUAAGAGUCCUUAUAGGUUCGGUAUCCUCAAUAAUUUCUUCCUCCGCUUGUUGCUGAACAUUCUGUGGUCUAGCAUGAGAAGAAUGGCGCGGUUGAGAAUGUUGUGGACUAUGCUGUUGCCUUGGAGAUUCUUCUUCCUCGGUCAGGUCAAAAUGCGUAGGACCCUCACGCAUAUAUUAUGGUCCCCUGCUUGCAAUCCUUGAGGACUUUCUUUGGGAAGACAUUAUCACAGUCUUUGAGAGAGUUUCCAAACUUGAUUCGCGAGAAAGAUGAAAACUUUUAGGAUUAAACUAGAGAGAAAAAGUAAGAAAGCGAAGUUCUUUGCUUCUAGGGUUCAUGAGUAAAAAUGAAGAAGAAAAACAGUAUAUAAAGCAAUCGAAACGAGGUAUAUGGAUCGUCAUAAAUGGAAAAAUAAAAAGUGCAUUUUCAAAAAAUAUCUGCCUUUUUGAAAAUAUAUAACUGUCAUUUCAAAAAGAUAACUUCCUUUUCAAAAAAGAAUAAUUUCCAUAAUUUCAAAAACUUGGAAAGAUAACAUCAAUCAAUUGUAGAUUAAUAAACAAUCGUACAUUUACGAGUUUUUUUUUUAAUUGGAAAGAUAAAUUGCUAAAACUGAAAUAACUUAUAGUCGUGAUUUUUGAUCUUCUGAGUCUGAGCAUCUUUAGACUUUUAUCCCUGAGUCUGAGCUUCUUCGAACUUUAAGAUAUUAAGUCUGGAUCAAAGAGACUCAAAUAGACUUUUCUCCAGUGGCUUUGUAAAAAUGUCCACCAGCUGAUUCUUUGAGUCAAUGAAUUGAAUCAAGACUUCUCCGUUUUGAACAUGGUCUCUAAUAAAAUGAUGUCGAAUCUCUAUAUGCUUUGCUCUUGAAUGAAGAAUUGGAUUCUUGGUGAGAUUAAUCGCGCUGGUGUUGUCACAUUUGAUCUCAAUGCAUGAGUCUUCGAUUCCAAAGUCUCUUAGUUGUUGUUUUAUCCAUAAGAUUUGAGAACAACAACUUCCAAGAGCCACAUACUUUGCUUCUGCCAUUGAGAGAGUUACAGUACUUUGCUUCAUUGAAAAGCAAGAUACUGUCCUGUUACCAAGCAAUUGACAAGUGCCCGAGGUACUCUUUCUAUCAAAUCUGCAUCAUGCUAAAUCUGCGUCGAAGUAUCCAAGAAGAGUAAAGUCUCAUUUUUUAGAAUACCAAAGACCUAACUUAGAGGUUGUUGCAACGUAUUUGAUUAUGCAUUUCGCUGCACUUAGAUGAGAUUCUUUGGGAUCUGAUUGAAAUCUGGUACAAAUGCAAACACUAAACAAAAUGUCAGGUCUAGAGGCAGUAAGAUAAAGAAGUGAACCACUGAUACUCAUGUACAACUUCUGGUCAACUUUCUUUCCUCCUUCAUCUUUGUCCAGUUUCGAAGAACUUGAUAUUGGUAUAUCAGUCUUUUUGCAAUUCUCCAAACCAAACUUUUUAACAAGUUCUUUAGAAUAUUUUUCUUGGUGAAUGAAAAUUCAUUCCUUCAAUUGUUUCACGUGUAGUCCGAGAAAGAAGAAUAGUUCACCCAUCAUGUUCAUCUCAAAUUCAUCUUGCAUAGACUUAGAGAAUUUCUUGCACAGAUUUUCGUUAGGUGAUCUAAAAAUAAUAUCAUCAACAUGAAUUUGAACAAGUAAAAAGUUUUUACUUUCUCUUUUAAUAAACAAAGUAGUGUCCACUUUACCUUUAACAAAGCCAUUUUGGGUUAAAAACUUAGUUAACCUGUCGUACCAAACUCGAGAUGCUUGCUUUAAACCAUAUAACGCAUUUUUCAGUUUGAAUACAGAGACUAGUUUCCUUGGGUCUUCAAAACUAAGAGGUUGUUCCACAUAGACUUCCUCUUGGAUAAAUCCAUUCAGGAAUGCACUUUUGACGUCCAUUUGGAAUAACUUGAAAUUCUUAUAACAAGCAAAAGCAAGUAAUAAUCUAAUUGCUUCUAACCUUGCUACUGGUGUGUAAGUCUCAUCAUAGUCUAUCCUUUCUUCUUGCGUAUAUCCUUUGGCCAUGAGUCUUGCUUUGUUCCUUAUAACUUUUCCCUUUUCGUCAAUUUUGUUCCUAAAAACCCAUUUAUCUCCAAUAACAGAUUUACCUCUUGGUUUAGGAGAUAAUUCCCAAACAUCGUUAACACUGAAUUGCCUGAGUUCUUCUUGCAUAGCUUCAAUCCAGUUUUCAUCAGUUAAAGCUUCUUCUAUGCUUUUAGGUUCUAUUUCAGAAAUAAGAGCCACAACGCUGACUCUUUAUGCCUUUUGGAUCUUGUACGAAUUUCUUCAUCAAUGUCACUAAUAAUGAGUUCUUUGGGAUGACUAGACUUGUGCUUCCAGUUGCUGGUUGGUCUAACAGACUGCUGAACAUUUUAUUCAUUUGAUUCUUCAAUGUUCGUUUGUUGUUAACCUUCUGAAAUCUAAGCUGACUUUGUAGAGUCUAAAGCAGGUUUAGAUUCUUCAGGUUGAGUCUGGAUCGAUUGAUUUUGUAUAAGGUCUUGAAAUUUGACAUUCAUCGAUUCUUCCACAGAUUGAGUCUUCUUGUUGUACACUCUGUAAGCUUUGCUGGUGGUUGAAUAUCCAAGGAAGAUACCUUCGUCUGAUUUUUCUUCAAACUUACCAAUUCGAUCAUUUGCAUUUUUCAAUAUAAAACAUUUGCAACCAAACACAUGAAAAUAGGAAACAAUUGGCUUAUUUCUUUUGAAUAACUCAUAGGGAGUUUUUUCCAGGAUAGGCCUUAAGAAAACUCUGUUAAUGAUAUAACAUGCCGUAAAAACUGCUUCAGCCCAAAAACGAGAAUAAAUGUUCCUUUCAAUUAAAAGUGUUCUAGCCAUUUCUUGCAACGAUCUAUUCUUCAUUUCCACAACUCCAUUUUGUUCGGGAGUGUAUGGAGAGGAGAACAUAUGCUGAAAACCAGAUUCAUCACAGAAAUUAGCAAAGUCUUGAUUUUCAAACUUACCUCCAUGGUCUGUUCGUAUGCUUGAAAUAACAUACCAUUUCUCAUUCUGUACUUUCUUAGCAAACUUUAAGAAAUAAGAGAAUGUUUCAGACUUACUUGCCAGAAAAUAUACCCAAGUAAAUCGUGAGUAAUCAUCCACUAUUACUAGGUAAUAUCUCUUUCCACUAAUGUUUUGAGUUCUAGUUGGUCUAAAGAGAUCCAUAUUUAGGAGCUGUAGCACACGAUUAGUGGAAACUUGAUUUAUUGAUUUGAAAUAACUUCUAACCUGUUUUCCCAACACACAUGGUGUGCAUAAUUCAGAUUUUUUGUAUGUCAGAUUGGGUAGUCCACGAACAAGCUUCUUUGCAGAGAUCUUGGCAAUUUGCUUCAUGUUGAUAUGGCCAAGUUUUCGAUGCCAGAGAUUAGCUUCAUCUUGAAUUGAAAUUAGACAUUGAGAUUUUUCUGGUUUGAUAUCCAAAAGAUAGAUGUUCCCAUGUUUUCGCCCCGUGAAAGUCUGAGAGAAGUCUUUACUGGUUCCCGAACGUAUUCAUUCUUGAAAUUUUUUCUUGAAACCUGUGUUGCACAGUUGACUGAUACUCAGCAAGUUGUAAUUGAGUCAUCCUACUAAGGAAAUGUUGUUGAUUGUGAGACUUUCAAUCUUUACUGUUCUACAUCCGACAAUUCUUCCUUUGCUAUUUCCACCAAAAGAAACUUUUCCACCAUUAAAUUGCAUAAGCUUUAUUAAACAACUUGAAUCUCCUGUCAUAUGUCUUGAGCAUUUAUUAUCCAAGUAUCAUUUGACAUUUUUCUUGAUAGUGACCUACAUUAAAAAAGAAACUCAAACUUUCUUUAGUACCCAUACUUUCUUGGGUCCAAUGGAGUUAGUGCAAUAUACAGUCUUUGCCCAAUCCUUCUUAACAGGUCUCCAAACCAUAGGACAUUCUUUCUUAAAGUGUUUUAUGUUGUUGCACUUAGAACAUUUAAGAGUACUAUGGUCAACAGAUUUUACAAAGACUUUUUGAAAAUGAUUUUUAUAAAAGUCUUUUGUAGGUUUUUGUUUGAUUCUUUUCUUUACUUUUGGAAAAUCAAUUAGAGGAAUGGUUUCAAAAGUCAUUUCCGAGCCUAAUUUGUUAAAGUAAGGUUUUUGUGCUGAAAGAAUCUUUUCCAAUUUCUCAGAUCCUACAGAAAACCUUUUUGAGAGAGAGUCUGCAUUUUCUUUCAGAGUAAUAAAAAAUUUUAUCUAAAUUUUUGAACUUUUCUUUCCAAACAAUCUCAUGUUGCUUCAAUGUAGAAUUUUCCCUUUUUAGCUCGAAAAUCCUCUUGAGAGAGGUUUUGAGACUAAGACACAGUUCAUCAAUAUAUUUAGAGACUUUAGUAGGAAUUUUUAAAUUACUUACCUCGAUUUCACUGUCUGAGUCUAAGUCUGUAUCUGUCUCAGAGUCUGAAUCUGAUUCUGAUUUUGCCAUUAAACAAAUAUUAGCAUAAUCAUCAUUACUCUCUUCGCAUUCGGUAUCACUCCAAGUUUCUACUUUGAGUGCCUUUCUAUAUUUCUCAACUUUUCCUUUCUUUUUCUUCAGCAAGGGACAGUUGGGUCUGAUGUGUCCAUUUUUCUUGCAUUCAAAACAAAUCACAUCUUUGUUGGAUUCAUCGUCCUCAUCUGAUUUAUUUUGAAACUUUUGAGAGCUUUGUUUCUUCUAAUUGAAUCUUCUUCCCUUUUUGUUCAGUUUUUUGAACCUUCUUAUCAUGAGAGCAAGCUCUCCAUUGUCCAUAUCAUCUUUAGAAUCUAUAACAUCAAAUUCAUCAUUAGAUUUUAAAGCAAUAGAUUUUUUACCUUUGGGAUCUUCAUCUACAUUGAUUUGCUCCACUUCAUAAGACUAAUGAGUGCCAACCAAUUCAUCAACGGAGAGUGACAUGAUCCUUUGUGUCUCUCUUAUUGAAGUCUUUACAUGAUUUAAAUCUUUGGAAAGUCCACGUAGCAGUUUGUUAACCUUCAUGGGUCCUGAGAUUGGUUGACCUUGAUACUCAAAACCAUUCACAUUUUUUGUAAAACGACUAAACAUGUCAGUGAUAGAUUCUCCUGACUUCAUUUUGAAGGCUUCAUAUUGACCGAGCAGAAUAUUGAUUUUGGUUUCUUUCACUCGAUCAGUUCCUUCAUAGGUGAUGUGCAACCUAUCCCAUACUUCUUUAGCUGUUUCAUAAGAAGAUAUUCUGUUAUAUUCAGUAGGAGAUAAUGCACAAUAUAAGGAGUAAAUUACUUUUGCAUCAAGAGCUUGUCUCUUGGUUAUCUCUUCUUGAGUCAUCUCACUAGUCUCUGCAACUUCUUUUCCCCUUUCUGAGACUGUUAUAGCUUUAGGAAUGAUUCAUUUGUCUACCACAUCCCAUUCUAGAGGAUCUUUUGAUUUUAGGAAUGCUUUUAUCUUGUUUUUCCAUAUACGGUAUUCAUUUUCAUCACAGUAAGGCGGUCUGGUGUUGCUUUGCCCUUCAACCAAACUUGGAGUCAACAUACUAGACAUGGAUCUUUAAUUCUGAAGUAAAAACACUUCAAUUAAAUAAGUAUAUAGGCUCUGAUACCAAUUGAAAGUGCUAGUACGAGCAUCUAGAGUGGGGUGAAUAGGUGUGAAAACAAAUUUUGCAAAAUAUAGUGUAAAACUUUACUUUUAAUCCAAGUCCCGUUGACAAUAGACUUUGCAGAGGAAAUCAGACUCUAACAAUUAAAUAGAGUUACGAACAAAAUAAAAGAGUUUAUGGAAGAGAAUAAUAAUACAAGGUUUAUAGUGGUUCGGUUUAAUCCAAACCUACGUCCACUCUCCCGCACUGACUGCCCACCAGCUGGAUUUUACUAUGAAUCAAAAGAGUCGUUACAGUAUCACGUCCUUAAUUUAACUAGAGUAUUUUCCUUAUAUACUCCUCCAUGCCUUCAUAUCUAUUGGCACAUUCCAAAUGAGUUCUUCCAAUUUACUCGUUAGAUAGAAUCAAUUAGGGAGAUCUCGAGUUACUUAAGGAAUGUGAUGAUAGCCCACAAAUCAUGCUCACCCAUACAAUCAGGAUCUAGGUUUCCAUAAGUAGAAUCUUCUAGGUAUACUUCCCCAAUCAACGGAUCCAAAUUACUCGAAUUAAUUUCAAAACAAAUAAUAGAUCUUGAGAUGCUAUCUCCAGUCGUGAGAACUCCUUUAGCCGCUCGAAUCAAAACCUUAAAAAAAAUACUCGCAUUUGGAUAAGGCUUCUUCAUCGGUCUAAAAACUGUCAAUGAGGGUAGACUUUAAAUCUUGAGUCCGGCGGUCUUCAGACUUUGAUGAAAGAGUCUGCAAGUCUUCAAAUCAAACUGAUGGAAACUUUUUGUCAAUUUCAAAACAAAUAAGGAAGUUUUCUCCAACAAUAUGUACAACAAUUGCUAAAGGGAAAAUUGCAAUUUUUCCCCCUAACACUUGUUCUACAAAAAAAUAAAAAAAAAUUAAGGGCGCUUUCAAAAUGAUUUACUUAUCAAGAGCACUUCAUGGUGUGUAAGCAUUUUUUUCCUCUUUUCAAAAUUUUAAUAUUUUAAACAAAUAACCGAGAAUUUGGAAAUUAGCCUUUUUUCAUGGUAAUUUUUUUUUUGCAGACAUUAAAUGUUAUUCCUAAUUAACAUAAUAAUUUUUACUUAUUUAAAUUUAAAGUAUAUUAUAAUAUCAAAUGCCGGUAAAUUUAUGUUAUAAUAACAUAAAAAGGAAAAUUGCUACUGAUUAUUUAAUUUCAUACUAUAUAAAGAAUAUGUAAAAUUCUCCAAAACUCUCUUUAGAAAGAGGCAAUUAGUUUCACAUGGAAAAAAUAAUGUUAAUUAUCAGUAGAAAUAUAAUUCUUUAUGAACCCCGAUUUGUGGCAUGUAUGCAUUUCUUUUCUUUUUCUUUUUUUUUUCAAAAAUUUAAUAUUUUAAACAAAUAACAGAGAAUUCAAAAAUUCACCCUUUUCACAGUAAUUUUUUUUUCAGCAGACAUUAAAUGUUAAGUAUGAUAAGAAAGGUUCCUAAUUAAAAUAAUACUUUUUAAUUAUUUAAAUUUGAAGUAUAUUAUAAUAUCAAAUGCAAAUAAAUCUAUGUAAUAAUGACAUAACAAGUAAAAUUGAUACUAAUUAUUUAAUAUCAUACUAUAUAAAAAAUAUGUAAAAUUCUAAGUCUCUUUAGAAAUAGACAAUUAGUUUCACAUGGGAAAAGCAACGUUAAUAUUAGUAGACGUAUAAUUCCUUAUGAACUUUCCUAAUAUAAUCUUCUAGAGGCAUGACUCUAUUUCGAACUCAAAAUAGUCUUCUUUAAAAAAAAAAGACGACCGUUGCGAGAGUCUCCUUCCCCUGACCCGAUCGUCUCGUCAGGCGUUCCUGGCUAUGCUCGCGUUCCUCUCUCUCUCUCUCUUGCGUGACGGGCCUCUGCGAAAUCCUCUUCGGAGAAGGUCAGUCUCUUCUUCCGUUCUUAGUAGUCGAUUGAUUGUUUAUGGAUUGAUCAAACGGUUGAUUGUCGUUUGGUGAAUUCGCAGUGGAUUCUUUUCCCAUUGAGUGAACUGGUCAGUUUGUUUCAUAAAACAAAGCGUUUUUGCUUUUUGGAGGACUGAGGAUCUGCUUCGCCAUUUUUCUUUGGUUGAGAUGAUGAACUAUUAGUAGUCUCUGAUCACCUCCUUUUUUUUCUCUGGGCAAUUAUCGGUUUUGAUUGAUACUUGUUUUAAAUUUUUUUUUUUUUUUUUUUUUUUUUUAACUCUGGGAGAUGAUCAUGGGCUAGUUCCAAUUCUUGGGCUGGAGAAGUGGUGAUCUGUUGCGUUAACUUUGUGAUGUCGAGUUGAUGAUCUCUGACAAUCAGAUAAAGCUACCACAUUUCAAGACAGUUACUGGUUUGAAUGGAGUUUGUUCUUCAGUGCUGUUAUUUUCCGAUUCAUGUGAAAACCAAUUCUCAUUCCUUCAGAGGUCAGAGUUUGGUUGAUGUAUGAACUGUCAUGGUGCUUUCUAUGCAUUGUGUAUGCUCACUUCAGAUCAUUGCUGUCGAAAAUCUAACGCCGGCAUCCUUCCUAGAAAUAGUCCCUCCCUCAUGUCCUCAUCCUUUAUUCUCGUGCUGCAUCUUUGAUUGUGCGUGCAAUUCCUCUCUUGUUUGCUCUUUGCUUGACAUCCUCUGCCGAGUACUCUUCAGAGGAGACAUCGUUACUGAACCGCACUCUUGAUCCUAUUUCUUUGCCUUCUGUUAGUCAUAUUUUGUAUGUUUUUUAGUUGAGUGAAAUUGAAUUAGCAUAACAUUUUCCUGCAGGGGAUAAAAUUUGGUUUGAGGUUUUCACACAUUUGGUGAGUAUGGAGUUCAGUCUGCUUCUCUUUUUAAGCUGUCUAUUUGCUGCAACUGGGCAAAAGCUUCCCAUUUACCCUUUUGAUUCUUAUCAUAUUUUGAUCAGAUGAUUAACAUCUUGGUUAUUUUUAUUUUAUUUUAUCAACGAUGACCAUCACACUCGCUCAAGUGGAAAAGUUGAGCAGGAAGUUUUUACUUUUCCUUCUGAUUUCAUAUGAUAUUUCAAUAUUUGGAUGGUGAUAUUAAUUUGUAUAUUUAACCUAUUUGACACAUCAAGCAUAGCCGUUGAAUCUAUUUAUAAAUAACAUCACCAUUUGCAACAUGACCCUUUUGUUGUAGAUGAUUUGUCUGCCAGAUAAUAUAACUUAUGGUUCUGAAUGCAUCUUUUUUUAUGGGCUUUACAAAGGUGGUUUGUGUUCAUUUUUCUACUAAUUGGAAUUGUCAAACAAUUUCGUUUCAUUUGUUAUAUUGCCUAUGAAGGCACAGAUUUUGUAGUAUCCAAGUGGUCUCUUGCCAGAACAGAAUUGGUUUAGGUCCAUAUGGAAUUUGUAUGAAUGUCUUGAGGUUCAUCGACAUUAUCUGGUUCAAGUUUCCCUCUGAUUAUUCUAAUUAACAAAAUUGCUCGCAUGAAAUGUAUGGACUUAUUCAGCCGUUGACAGGUGCUUGCUCCAGUUUGGAGCAAUCUCUUCAGCUAAGUGUGUCACGUGGAGAUGGUAUAGGAUUCAUUGAUCAAAGUAUUCAAGUUUGUCAAGUGACUGAAAACAGGAGGUUAUGAACCAUUGCAAUCACGUUUAGCUGAGUUGCCGAAUCGUCUUCUUUGUGGAUCGGAGCCAUGAGCUGACAUUUGGAUCCUUCUAAUAUGGAUUGUCUAUAGCUUCUUGAGAACCCUGGAUAGAGAUCUGGUUCUAUCUUCAUUUACAAGGAUUAAAGGAAAUGCGUGGAAUGUGUAGUGUUCUCCUCUUGUAGGUUGGAGUCUUCUUGCUGCAAAUCAUGUUGUGCUUCUCGUCUUUGUCUGCAAAAUUCACUGGAUAAACUACAAUUAAAUUGUGUCCAAAGCUAUGGGUACUUUUGAAUUGUGCUUCCAACCGUAGUUGUUGCUUUCUUGGUCAUUAGGUGGCACACAUUGUUGGGAGUUGUCUGACUAUGUUCCUUAUCUCUAUCAGGUGGUUCAGCCUUACACUUGUGAUGUGGGAUAUUCAUUGCAGUUAUUCACUAAUAUUAUGCCAGAUCAGAUUAUCCAUGUCUACAUUCAAUUUGUUUGGUUCACUCUGUAAUCACUCUCAGGGAGUUCUCUCUUCUGGAUGCUCUUAUUUUAAUCUCCUCCUGAUCUAAAUUUGCCUCACAAAUGAUUUUCUAUGUGUUGUUUAUUGACAUUGUGAAUAACUUGGCCACAAGUUUCCUCAAUCCCUGCACAUGGAUUGCCCAAUUACUCCGCAAAACUUAUCAAGCAGUACCAAUUUCUCCUCAGGACGCUGGCAUCGAUAAACAUUCAAAUUAUAUCUGCAAGAAUCAUGAAUGUGGGAAUUUAGAUGACGUGGAUGGACCUUUUUUACGCCUACUCUUUGAUUGAGAUGGUAUGCUGUUGUUUCUUUUGGCAGGUCGUAUGAUGAUUGAGCUAUGUAUAAGUUAGCUGAUGUUGAAUUUGAGGAUUAACAGUUCUCAAGACCUCACAUAGGAAUUCAUGCUUCCUGCACAGGAUGUGUGGAGCUGUUCCUAUCAAUUUCUUACUUUGUCGAGCAAAUUUUUGUGAUUUUAUAUAUUAGGACAACUACAACAGUUGUGAUUAGCAGAAUAUAGAUCAAGCAUAAUUGUGCAGAUCUUAGGAAAAAAUGUAACAGGGGGGUGGUGACAGCAAAUCCAUCAUAAGUGUGGUUCCUAGAAGAUCUGAGGUCCAGUCUCUUUACACAAUCUUGCAUCUUCCUAGCUCCUGUUGGGUUAAAGUUUUGUCGAUAGUCUUAUUAUUAAAAGGAUUUUGAUUGACUCUCGACGAUCCUGUUGCUCAUACAUCUAUAUGUUCUUGGUUGAAUUUUGACAUAGGCACAGACUUUGAUGAAUUCUAUGGCUGGUCUGUUUAUUCCUCUUCUCUCCAAGGGAAAUGACUUUGACUUUGCUAUUAAAAAAAAAAAAGAAAUUUUGCUUAUGCUAUCUUUUUUUGGAAAAAGUGAUUCACCAACUUAGUGUGGAAGAAGCAAGUUGGUACCUUGUAUCAUUCAUUUUUCAUAUGAAUUUUAGGUUGUUGGAGUAAUGCAAGUAAGAAUUAUUGAAUGAAGUCUGUUUAGUUUUGUUGCCUUCUCCCCCUUUGGGAUUCAAAUUCCAGAUCUAUGUUGAGCCAAAAGUUCUGUCGGGAGGCUGCAACUAUAUUUGUGUGAGCUGCAUCACAACUGGUAAACAAUGAUGCAAUUAAACUUUUUUGGUCACUUCUUACUUGAUUUCUUUUUUCUGUUUAGGUAUGAGGACCUUGGUUGCUUUUUUCCCCAUUUUAUUAUUGAGGUGUUGGAUUCGGAUUCCAGAUCCAUGUUGAGCCAAAAGUUCUGUAAGGAGGCUGCAACUGAAAUUGCAAACCGAUCAUCACAACUGGUAACCAAUGAUGCAAUUAAACUCUUUUUUUUUUCACUCCACACUUGAUUUCUUUUUUCUUUGGUAUGAGGACCUUGGUUGCUUUUUUCCCUAUUUUUGUUAUUGAGGUGAAUGUCAUAGCACUCUCUUGUCAGCCUAGUGGCGGCUUCCCCAUUGGUUGCAGAAGGAUAUCAUUCUAUUUUUCUUCACCCUAACAAUCUUCUGCCUGUUAAAUGGCUUGCAUUACUUUGGUCUUCCCAACUUACAGAUUUUUGUUGGUCUAUUUCCUGUUAUUGAAUGGUGCAAAUCUCUGUAAAGCGUACUUUGGUCUUCUGUAAGGCAUAUUCUGAGCUUAUGGUACUGCAUCUAAAUAAUCCAAUAUAAUCACUAGUUACCAAGUUCUCUUAUUGAAACUCCAAUUAUUGUGCACAUAAUAAGAUUUUAUGGAUGCUCACUCAUUCUUUUACCGAGAAAAGGAAUCAAAUCACUAGUCGUGUACUUAAGCUUAUAGAUUAGAAAUUAGGUAUAAUUGCAAGUCUCCAAUUGGCAGUUUGACUAUGCUAAAAACAAUGGAGAUUGUGCUUUCUCUUCCAAAAAAUCUUACCCGGAAACCUCGAAAACAACUUAAUGAAAUUUUGUACAUUUUUUGUAUGUAAGUGCUAUAUCCAUUCUUGCUGUUAUUAUCUGUUUUCAACAGUGUAUAUCAACUUCCACUAUUGUACAAAUCUAGUUGUUUGUUAUGUCUGUCUAACUUCAUGUUUCACUUUCUUUCUUAGAGGUCUGGAAAGAGGAUCUUUGUGCUCCAACUAUGGAAGUGGGAAGGUUCUCUUGAUUUUGUUUAACUUUGUGGAGAUUGGAUAUUUUUAAAAUAAAUGAGGAGGAAGCGUUUUUUGUAUAGAUCUAUUUGCGUUUCACCUUUUCUAUAUAAGAGUAUUGUCUGAUUCUACAUUUGUUAGGUGUUGGCUGGAUGAUGUUAUAAGCAUCCGCUCCCCGACACUUUGGUUACAUAUUUCUUUUCACAUCUCUUAUUAUCCAAUUUCUUUAUUUCAUUUGUUUUGCAAGUUUAAUCUUUUGCGAUAGUGUGAUAGACCAUCAUAUUAAUAUCAUUACGAUCCUUUUUUUCCAACAACUUCACUUUCGUGGCUUACGUCCUAAUCCUUUGUACUGCUUUUGUUGUUAAAACUUUCAAUAUUGCUUUCUUCAUACAUUUUCAUUAGCAAGCAGUCAUUAUUCCUUGCUCCUUAAGGUUUUUGUCGAUAUGGAUUUCCUUGAAGAGCAUGCCUUUCGGCUAGGAAAAUAGCAUGCCCUUUACCAUUUGUCAGAACUGUUGAAUACGGAUAUCAACUGCCUAAUCUUUUCCCAGAAUAGGAUGCUAGUGUCUAUAAGAAAUGUUUUUAAUCAGAAUAUAUGUCUCUUGGUGGGUGCCUGCUGUCCAGACGAUGGCAAUAACUGUGAUAUGGUGGGCAUUACUUGAUCAAACCAAAUGCUGCCUACACUUGCUUCAUCUUGGCUUAGUAAAUAUUUUUCACCGCAUCGUCUAGUUUUUCCUUUCUAGUAAUUAUUGCUGCCGCAAUGAUGGGAUCUCAAUGCUGUAAUCAGUACAUGCACUACAUCAGUAGCAUACAUGAAUCAAUAGUCAGGUCUUAUCUGGAUGGCCUUUUCCUUUGAUAUUGAAUGUGGAUAUGUAUUUAAUCAAUGGAUGUUUAUUUUAUUGGAUAAAUUUAGAUAAGUGAACUGUGUCUUUUUUUGUUCAGUUUAGUUUUUGAUAUUUGUUUGUUUUCAGUUGUGGGUAGCACUGUGAUUCUUCGUUAGGAACAUUGAUCCGGCAACUGGACAUAUUACGCUUCCUUGCUUCAGUGUUUUGUCUGUGUUUUUCUUUACCAAUUUCUAAUAAGGAAAUUUGUGUCACCUAUACUGAACAUUUCUGGGGUGACAUCCUACUUUAGGAUCCUGCUCAGAUUGGAUGGACUUGGUAGUGUAUUUUGACAUUUUGCUUCUCAUUGAAUUAGAGGUUUAGCCUCAUCUCAUUGGGUUCUCAGCUAUUUGGCAAAGUCCCUUUGUUACCCUGAUCAUCUACAAGGUGAAGAUAGUUUGCAGCCAUCAAAUGCUGGGAUUGCACUUGCUUUAAACACGCAUGGAUUGUACACUUUGCAGUAGCAGUUGGAUGAUGCUCAAAUAUCAUUCAAAAAGGAUUUUAUGGUGGCUUGUUUCUUCCCUCAGUUUUUUUACCUUUUUGUGGAACAAAUACUUUGCGUGAGAUGUGCACAUGACAUGUAAUUGUCAGUUUGCAGGGUGGGAUAUUGUUGCUGGAUGACUUAUAUUGGUGGUUUUCAGCAUGAAAUUGGAAUACAGUAACAAAUAUAGCAAUUGAAGCCUUAUUCAGAGCUUCAAAUGAGUAGUGAACGCUGUAUGAAUCCAUCUAUAACAUGACUAGCAUUCUUGUUAAAAAAAUUUAGAUUUGUGCGUGCAGAAGCAUGGUUUUGGUAUUAGUUAUAGUUUUUGGUUUGUGGCGUGUGUGUUUGAAGACGAAUAGUGCGUACCUUUUCCGAUCCUUGAAAUUCUUCUCGUAGUAUAUCCCAAGACUCUUUUGCAGUCCUUGCUCCAAUUAUUCUCGGAAAUACGGUUUCCGAGAGUGCUUGUUGGAUAAAAUAUAGCGCCCUUGCAUCCUUUUGUAGUUGAUCCUUCGAAACACUUGCACCUUCUGGCGGAGCCUCGUGACCUUUUUCCACGAUGUCCCAUAAGUCUGGGGCCAUCAAGGGAUGGACAAGGGAUGAUAGUUUUUGGUUAGUGAGGUGUGCAAGUGUAUGGUAUAGUUUGUAGAGGAUGGACAAGGGAUGAGAUAUGAUAAUUGAAGGACAAAGAACAUGGGAUAUGGGAAAUAGUUUCAUUAGUUGGAUAAAAUAAUUUUACAAUAGUUGAAGGAGGUGUUGGUGAGGGAGCAUGAUGUGGUUUUUAUGGUUAGCUCCCUUACACAAAACAUGGAGCACUUGCUCCUUUAUAUAGGCUUCCAAAGUAGGUGGAGGAAGUCUCUAGACUUGAUGAAACUUCUAGACACAUAAAACUUCUAGACACAUGAGCUUGUAGACAAUUCUAGAGACUUCUCUUAAAUUCUUUCCUUUUCUUUUUUCUUCUAGAAAAUUCAUCUAGGGAAUUCUAGAGAAUUCUAGAAGUUUACCAACUCUAACAAAUUCUAGAAAAUGGAUCACUAUUUCCAACAAUUCUAUAUUAAGCUCUCUAGGAUCAAAUUCUUCAAAUAUUUUUCAUUGUCUCUUUCCUCAUCUUUUUGGCUCUUCCUUCGUACACACACUUCAUAAAGAAGUUUGUGCUCCGAUGGAAUUGGUUCAAAUCAACAUCUUUGAUUUUCUUUUGCUAGAUACUUGUAAUGCAAUAGUUGUAUUGUCCUGACAUCAGUAAAACCGAUGCUAACCUGAAGUAGUAGCCAAAUUUGUGAUUGUGAUAUAUGGUGGACUUUACUUGAUCAAAUAUUGUCUAUGCUUGCUCUAUCCAUGUUUAAAUCAAGAAUUUUUAAUUUUUUACUGUAGUUGCCCUAUAUAUAUAUUAUUCAUUGGUGCAAUCUUGUUUCCCAGAAUGUGCCGGACAAUAAAUGUGCUCCACUGUUGGCACAUGCUUGAAGCAACUGUCCUGGUCUUACCAGAACUGCUGUCUUACAUUGAAAGUCAAUGUGGAUCUACUUCGUCAAUGGAUGGCUUCCUUGUUGGAUAAAUUCGCAGAAACAUGAAGUAACUUGUUUGUCAUGUUUAUUGUUUGAUAUUGUUAAAAUUUAAACGUAUUUUUGGAUGUGUGCGCUGCGGAAGCAUGGUUUUGGUAUUAGUUAUAGUUUUUGGUUUGUGAUAUGUGCAAGUGUACGGUAUAGUUUGUAAAGGAUGGACAAGGGACAAGAUAUGAUAAUUGAAGGACAAAGAACAUGGGAUAUGGGAAAUAGUUUCAUUAGUUGGAUAAAAUAAUUUUACAAUAGUUGAAGGAGGUGUUGGUGAGGGAGCAUGAUGUGGUUUUUAUGGUUAGCUCCCUUCCACUCAAAACAUGGAGCACUUGCUCCUUUAUAUAGGCUGCCAAAGUAGGUGGAGGAAGUCUCUAGACUUCUCUACAAAUAGCUACUAACUUAAGAUAGAGAAUUCUAGACUUCUCUUGAAGCAUUCUAGAAUUCUAGACUUCUCUUAAAGCAUGGACUUCUCUAGACUUCUCUUGCUUGUUCUAGGAUUUUCUUUGAUGCUUGGCUUUUGCUUGCUUGCAUUCCCAUGUGAAUCUUCUAGAUUCAACUAGCAAUCUCCAUUCUCAACAAUUCUAGAAGGUUCUCACCUUCAUGAUUAAGUUAGUAGUUUCUAGAUAUUUUUAGAGAAAAUGGAUCAUAAUUUCCAACACUCCCCCUUGAUCCAUUUUCGGGAUAAUCCGGACUUGUGUUAUAAAGCCUCGGACGUACCUUGAAAUUUCUCUUGUAAUUUGUCCCAUGUUUGUUAUUCCGUCUUCGUUCCACAAUCCCCUGCAUUCUCUUGUCGAACCACUUGCACUUGCCUCUGAAUAUACAUGUCUUUUCUUCAACGAUGUCCCAUAUGUCUCGAGGCAUCGAAAUGUUCUUAGUUGUAGUUGUUAGCUCGGGCUCGGGCUCUGGCUCUCGUCGGCUCUGGCUCUGGCUCCGGCUUGGUUCUGGCUCCGGCUCCGGCUCUGGCUCCGUUGGCUCUCGCUCGGGCUCUGGCCUUCGAUUUUGGCUCUGGCUCUGGCUCCGGCUCUAGCUCUGUUGGCUCUCGCUCGGGCUCUGGCCUUCUUAGUUGAGGAUGGUGAGGACAAACGCCCAUAACCAUCCGAUAUGCCUAGUUUUGGCUUCAUGGUCCCUUACGCCUGGCUCAGUUACGAACCUGGGCGUAACUUGGCUCUGAUACCAAGUUAAAAAAUUUUGAUUUGUGCGGAGCUCUCGUAGGCUCUGGCCUUUAAUUCUGGCUCUGGCUCCGGCUCUGGUUUUGGCUCUGACUCCGGCUCUGGCUCUCUUGGCUCUCGCUCGGGCUCUGGCUCUGAUACCAUGUUAAAAUUUAAACGUAUUUUUGGAUGUGUGCGCUGCGGAAGCAUGGUUUUGGUAUUAGUUAUAGUUUUUGGUUUGUGAUAUGUGCAAGUGUACGGUAUAGUUUGUAAAGGAUGGACAAGGGACAAGAUAUGAUAAUUGAAGGACAAAGAACAUGGGAUAUGGGAAAUAGUUUCAUUAGUUGGAUAAAAUAAUUUUACAAUAGUUGAAGGAGGUGUUGGUGAGGGAGCAUGAUGUGGUUUUUAUGGUUAGCUCCCUUCCACUCAAAACAUGGAGCACUUGCUCCUUUAUAUAGGCUGCCAAAGUAGGUGGAGGAAGUCUCUAGACUUCUCUACAAAUAGCUACUAACUUAAGAUAGAGAAUUCUAGAUUUCUCUUGAAGCAUUCUAGAAUUCUAGACUUCUCUUAAAGCAUGGACUUCUCUAGACUUCUCUUGCUUGUUCUAGGAUUUUCUUUGAUGCUUGGCUUUUGCUUGCUUGCAUUCCCAUGUGAAUCUUCUAGAUUCAACUAGCAAUCUCCAUUCUCAACAAUUCUAGAAGGUUCUCACCUUCAUGAUUAAGUUAGUAGUUUCUAGAUAUUUUUAGAGAAAAUGGAUCACAAUUUCCAACAGAUAUUCUCUUCUUAUAAAUCCAAUUUGCACUUUUUUUUUAUUAUUUCUAUUGUUAGAGAUUCUUCACCAAGAACAUUGAACUGGCGGCUGGACAUAUUACACUCCUACCAGAAGGGAUUCCCUGAGAUGUUCAGGUCUUAAGCACCCACAAUGGUCUCCCCACACUCUGUGCUUCAAGUUUUGGGUUUUUUUCUUUUUAUUAACUUUUUUUUUUUUUUUUUUUUGCGAUUUCUACUCUGGGAGUUGGUGUCACUUAUGCAGAAUUUUGUCAGAGGUUUGAUUCUUUGGUAGAAUCAUGUUUAGAUUGGCUGGACUUGGUAGUUUUUUUGAUAUUAUGCUUUUAAUUAGUUGACAGCAUGGCUAUCGGAAAUGCCAUUAGAUCUAAAAGUAAGUACUUAUGUCUACUUUCUGGUGCUAUUGACAACCUGUAGUAAUGCAGAGCACUUCCGAGUUUUCGCUAUUGUAACCUCCUAGUUCUUGUUUAAAAAUGAAAGUUCCGGAAGUAAGUGCUUACGUCCAGUUUCUGGUACUAUUAACAACCUGUUGUAAUGCUGAGCACUUCCAUGUUUUCACUAUAGUAACCUAGUUCUUGUUUAAAAAUGAAUGUUCUGGAUUAAAUUUGCUACUUACCUACCACGAGUCAUAUGUAGCCAUAUGAAAGCUAUCUAUGAAAGCUAUAUCUAAUUCUGAUUUUUAAGUAUUUGUUCGUAUUACUCAUUUUCCUUCUUGUUGAUGCUUACCUUGCAAGAAUAUAUCGUUUGCCCCAUCAUAUAUCAAAAGAGGUAAUGAAAAUUGAGAACUAACUGAGAUGCCAGUCAACUUAUAGAUAUUUGUACCAAAGAAGAGUUCCUGGUGUAUCUCCUUCGCUUUCAAGGGACCUGAAUUUGUUAUUGGGAAUUUGUCUGCCUAUGGUUUUUUCUUGACAGGUUGGCCAAGCACGAUAUAAUCUCGACUGACUGUAAACUGUUUUUGCGGCCACAUGUUACUCCACCCUCUUGAGAUUUACUUCAGAUUUUGAAACAUAUUUAGGAUAUACCAUUAUGAUAAUGGAGCUAUCUGUAGAAGUUUGAUGUCUGUAUUUGACUUUUUUCAGAAUCCCUCUCUUUAAUCUGAAGUUUGAAUAUGGUUUUGACUUCCUCUCUGGAUGAUCAUCUCUUUCUUAGGAUGACAAAGUGGAAGAAGAGGGGUGUCUUGCUGAUUCUGACUCUGUUUAUCUGAAGAAACUGGGACUUUCUAUUUGCACAUCCCUUAUCUUUGGGUUGUCUUGCUGAUGUCGAAUCUCUAGCUUGAUGCAUUGAUAUGUGUGUUCACAGCUCCUUCGUUUCUUCAUCAUCGCUGACAAAUAUCGAGCAUUGUUGAUAAUGGAAUGCCAGAGAUUUUGCUCUUCCUUAUAUUUGGUGGCAUAAUUGGGCUGAACUGCAACAAGGUAUUGUCAAUCCAACGUUACUGAACUGUUCGCAAACUUUCUGCAUUUCCAUAUUGCUAAGAUUUGGACAGGUUAGUGAGGUCAUGCUUCAAUCUCAAGUUCACUUCACUUGGCAGAGGUGAGAUUUAGAAUGACACAUGUCCUCUGUACUAGCUUAUGUGCUGUGAUUCUUAUUUUGGAUUUUACAUCAGGUGUCACGUUUGUUUUCAUAUUUAAAAAGGAGUUUCUACGGGAAAAGAAAUUUUUUUGCAGAUUAUGCAACUAUAGUGCCAACCUUAGAAAAAAAUGGAAAAGUGCAGCGAGGAAGGCUAUUCUCAACAAUGGAGUGGCCAUUGAAUUUAAUAGAGCGCUAAUGCUGAUAGGUUGGCUAGAGAGAAUCCAAGUUGUGUGAUUCAAAGAACAAUAUCUGUUGUGGAGCACAUCCUAUCUGUGGUUUAAGAUUGUCUGCUCUUUUUGAACACUUAUGUUUUCUUUUGUCGUAGUUAAGUCACCAAAACAUCUAGAAGAUAAGAGUUAUCAGGCUUUCAUUGUGGUGUGGCCAGAUAAGAGAAGAACCAGAUCCUUUUGUUGCUGCUCAAGUAGUGAUGGAUGCCUUGAGAUUGCAGGAAACGUGUGUUGCCAACAGAGCAAUAGACAUGUUUUUGGCAUCUAGGCGGCAGCCAUAUUGUAAUUCUUGCUUCAUAAUGAUUAUGUGAUCUUUUUUUGAUCUGUGGGUGAAGUUCAUACUGGCCAAACCACUUAACCAUGCUUUGUUUAUAUACGUGUGGUUGGUUUAGGUUUGAUGAAAUGACAAAACAGAAAAAUAAACAAGUCCUUUGGUAGUUGUUCGAACCAAAUUAAGUGAUGAUCUAUUGCCUUUUCUGAAAGGGUGAGUCCGGAUGGUGAACGGUUCCAGUUGAUUCUAUUCCCUUCAAUUUUCAUCAAAGAGGAUGUUAUUGAGUAGUUCUCUUUCUUUUGUAGGUCAGAAUUAACUACGAUGUGGAGUGUCCUUCAAUCCGUGAUGGUUUUUUCUAGCUGGAUAUUAGAGUAAUGAUUUGCUUGGACAAGAUCUUGAUUCUUAGGCAUUUUAAUCUGAGUUCAGUUGGUUUUGGAAGGUCAACAACUAUAGACUUUCUGUGGUUGUAGGAAUUGUUUAGGAGUCUGGAAAGCACGAGGUCCACAUUAGUUCUGGCUUGCUUCUCUUCAUUCUUAUCUCUUAUGUGAGCUGCAAUCACUGAUUGGAUCGCUUGUAAAUUAUGUAGAUAGUUUGUGUAAGUUUUAUUGAUCAUGGUGCUCUUACAAUAGAUAAUUGGAAAAUCUUAGUUUGGUUGGCACUUCUGACUUUUGAUUUAUUAAUUCUCUUAACUGAUUUCGGAUGGGUUUUUUGAAUGCUGUAAGAUAUAGCUCAUGUGCUUUGGCAGAUUAGAGCCUUUCUCUGUGGGAUUGGAUGAAGAACUUUUCAUUGGCUUGGUAGUAUGACUGGUAUGCUUUCUAUCAAUGAUAUUUUGUUUGUUUUACCUUCUUUUUCUUUCAUGAAACUAUUGUGAAUGUUAUUUUUUCACUGAAUUUUUGCUUUUGAUCUUCUUAGGCGCACAUUCACUCAGAAAUACAUUUUUUUGCAUAUGUAUUGACUUGGUGUAAGUCUAUUUGAAUUGAGUGUGGUAAAUUUGGCUUAAUUGAAGAACUUUUGUCUGGUUAUUUAUUGUACUUAAAUUAGAUGAUAUUUGAUAUUGUUGAGUGAUUAAGAUGGCAAUCUUUAAUGCUAAGGUAGUAUGCUGGUGUGACCUACUGCCAUUUUUUUCUCUAUAUUAUUUGGGACUGUGCUGGAUAGGUUUUUUCCUACUUUUUUUUUUUUACACUGUUUUUUGCAUUUACCUGAGUAGUUUGCCAAAUCUUUUACUAAAUGCUGUCAUAUGUAGUGUUUUUCAAUUGUAGUUGAUGUUGUUUGUCCAAUGAUCUCUUUCAUCUUCUAAGGAUGAUAAGUACAAUAAAAGUGGUCAUUAUGCAUUGAAUAUUGUGUUUAGGCUUCUUGGAGGGGAGUGAUGACCCUUUUUUGCAGUCCUGUUUGGUUCAGUUGCUGAGUGGUCUUCAGGAUGGACUAUGGACUGAAAUUGUGAAGAUUUCUAGGCAUUUUCUAGCUUUGAUUGAAAUUCUUCUUCAGUUUAUUAUAUCUAGUUUCAAGUUCUAGUCCUUCUACAGGGGUCGGGUCAAGCCAGGUUAGAAAUGUGGUGAUCUACUGCUUUUUUCUGCGGGGCUAACUUGAUGAUCGUUUGAAAUUGGAGAAGCAGCCACUUCUUGGUUUCUAGGCAGUCUUUGGUUUGAAUGAAGUUCGUUCUCAAGAUUCCGUUUUUUUUUUUUUUUUUUUUAGUGAAGGUGAGACGAUCAGGGCUAUUUUUCCUCCACUGGUAAGAGUUUUUGGUCAAUAUAAUUCUCUUCAGAUUCGAUGGGAAAUGUCUUCAAUCUGGGAUGGUUCUUCCUAGCCUAUAAUCUUUAUUUCUUUAGUCAGGCUCUUCUUUCUUUGAGCACUUCUAUUGGUUUUUGUUUGGGUUUAACAUUAACUCUCUUCCAUUGUAAGGAUUUUUUACAAGGCAGGAAACUUUGAGGCCCGCUAAGUUCUGGCUAGUACCUCUUCUUUCUUAUAUGCAUGAGCAAUAAUUACUAAUUCGAUUGCUGUGUCUAAAUCAUGGAGAUAGUUUAUUAUGUGCAUGCGCAGUAUCUUUCUUAUGUGGGAUUUAUUCAUCUUUGCUUUUUUUCGUUGUUCCAGCUCCACACAAUACCUAGUUUUCUUAGGCUUUCAAUUUAUACGAUCACCGUGUUUUCUUUUGGUACAGAAUCUUUGGUGAAAUGUUUUUAUUAAUCAGAUGAUUUAUGUACUAUAGUUUUUUGUUGAGGAAUGGUCUUGAUCAAAUCUUAGAAGUUUCUGGUUUGCUGCAGAAAAUUUCUUCAUUUUCGCAUUGCCUCUUCGAAAUUCUGCCAGGAUCAUGCACAUCAUUUGUGUUCACGCUCCUUCUAUUUACUUGUUUUGCAAGCUAUUCUGUAUUUAUAAUACAGAAGAUUAGUAGUAGUUACUUUUAUCUUGGAGCAAUCUCUUUGAUUGGAUAAGCUCUUCAUUCUUUGGCACGUGACUUAUCAUCCCAUUUUCUCUAAUCUUAUUUAGCACUGUGGUAACAGGAUAGGUAUUUGCCCCCUUAUGCAUAUAUGAGUUGUUCUAAUAUGUGUGUUGUCUGCUUAUAAUAUGACCGAGAAUGUCAUUACAUCAAGAAUUGAAUGGCUAUCGAGUGUGUCAAGAAACAUUCAUUAUUCAAGAAAUGUUCGAUCGUGUUGUCUGCUUAUGAUAUGAAUUAGAUCUGAGUUACAUCAUGAAGUAAAUGACAUUGAGGGUGACAAAAUGAAAAAUUCUUUAUUCAAGAAUUGUUCAUUCUCCAUUAUCAUACCUUCUCAAUUUGUGUGUAUUUUGUUUUUUACAUUAUGUGGUCAUUUUCCAUGUGCAUGUAUUUGGUUCAUCCCUAAUCACUUUGGUCAUGCUUUUAUGAUAGGGUCUCUAAGGACUAGUUUCACUACGCUUUGAGGGUUUGACCUUCGAUGUAAGAUCUCUAGUUGUCAUUGGAUCGCCACCUAUUUGAAAUACAUGCAACAAGAGAGUACUUUAGUCUUCUUAGUUGAAAUAAGACAAGUGGGUUUUCUUAGCCUAAAUUUUUCACAGCAGUAUGCAAUUUUUUUUUUUUUUUUUGGUGGUGAGGAACAUUGUUUGGGACAUUUUUACAAAUCAAAUGAUUUUGUAGGUGAAAUAGGUUGUUUUGAGUUUGUAGUGCCAACUUGAUUUUAGGUUCUCUUUGAUUGCUGGGACUAGGAAGACUUUUCUGCGAGGACCUUGAUAUUUACUUUGUUGCAGACUGUUGGCAUCUCGUUCUGAAAAAGAUGUACUGGGAGGGGAUGAUGCAGCAUAGCCACUGAAACAUAACUUCCAUUGGCAUUGCUUGCUCUCUGACCAGCUGCUGAUAUUCUCAAUUUCUUAUCCAUCACAAAACUGUGUUGUUUCAUUUAAGUUGUGGUCAGUAAAUGGCUGGUCAGGCUGGGAGGAUCAGACACUGGGUGCUUAGUUGGCAUAUUUGUCAUAUUUUGUAGUUCUUUAAGAUGGGUGAAUUUCUGUUCAAAAAAAAAAAAAAAGAUGGGUGAAUUUGAAGUGGCAUAUGACCAUCCUGCAGGGGAUAAGCUUUGGUUGAGGUUUUAACAUAUCUGGUAAGCAUGAAGUUUAGUCUACUUCCUCUUUGCAUUUCUUAUGAUAUCCUUAUAUACAGAUGGUGACCUUCUACUGCAUACGUAUAGUUUAAUUUAUUUGUCAAGCAUAGUUCUUGAAGCUCUGUAGGGCUUUGAGUUAAUAGAUCUCAAUUUAAUAUACAGUUCUAGAUGUAUCUCUUUCUCAUCAGUUCUAUGAGGUUGUUUGGAGUCAUCUUCCUUGUAAUUGAGAUAUUAAACAGUUGCUUUAUGAUCGAUUUCUUUUGCUUUGAUAUUUUCUUUGAAGGCACAAAUAAAGAUCUGGCUGGGUCUAUUUCCUGAAAAUUGUUGGUGAAUGUUCUGCUUAUAGUCAAAAGGUUUAUCAAACUCAUUAAGGUUUAAGUCUGCCUCUGAUCAAAUCAAUCAGUUUGGUGGCUUCCAGGCUGUAUGGAUUUUUUGAGUCUUUUGAUGGGAGCUUGAUAAAGUUCGGAGCGAUCUCAUUAAGAAUGUUAUGUGAGGAUGCUAAUGUAUCAAGCAAUUAAAGAAUUCAAGUUCUCCAGUUGGUGAAUGUAGGAGUUUAUCAUCUAAUGCAUUUAUGUUCAGGUGAGCUACUUAAUGGUUGAUCUCCCUUGUGGAUUUGGGUGACAAGCGAUGUUGGAAUCUUUCUAUAUGGAUUGUCUAUAGCUGCUUAAACUCCACAAAUAUUUGGUUUAUAAUACGUCCAUUUUUAAGGAUUAGAGGAGACACGACGAAUCAUUAUCUAGAUCUGGUUUAUAGUUCUCCUGUUGUAGGUCGGAGUCUUCUUGUCGCAAAUCAUGAUGAAGAUUUAAUAAAACUAAGUCAUCCUCUUGACAUUCAACUAUUCUAAACCGAAAGGAUGAUGUAUUAUUACUGAGAAAAAAUACGAGAAGCUGAAAAAAUCUUUACGAGAUUAUAUAUAUACUCUGUCAAAAUAGAUGUUACAUAUAUCCUCUAUGUCAUCAUCCUUUAUAAAGAUGUACAACAACAGUUUACACGAGAAUGAGAGUUCCACUAGGUGUUUGAUAUACCGGCCAUCUCUAGGUCUUUUUCUGCCAUAGAAAUCAAGUCUAUGAGAAGGAAAUCUUCAUAUAGAUCUAUUUCUUUUUUACCAGAUUAAAUUGAAUUGUUUUUUUCACCUUGGAAUUUCUGCCUUGAUAGUGGAGGAAUGUUGCUUCCAUAAAUAUAUUUCCCUUUCACUUUUCCCUUGUAUUGGUAGUUUCUGAUUAUAUUUUGUUAAGCGUGGCUGGCUGAAUGUUGUAACCAUCAGUACAUAGAAUGGGUAUUUUUUCCAUUUACCAAGUCUUUUUAUUCGAUCUACAUGCUUUGUUUAUGCUAUGGAACUUUCCCAAGGUUUUACCUCGCCUCCAAGAUUUUGCCAUGGUUAUGGGCAUCAUUAGUUUAUUGUCGAUUCAUUCAUCAUUGAUCUUUUGGUUAAUUUGUUAACGUGCUGAUUCUGGAUUUGAUUAUUUGGUGAAUUGGCAGUGGCUUCUUUCUUCUUGGAGCAUUCAUUUUGUCUGAGGAUAAUUAAUACAAUGAAACUUGGUUAGUUGGCUACGUAGAGUAGGGUACUUGGGCUUUGUAUGGAGGACUGAUGAUCUAUUUUGCAGUCUUUUGAUCGUCAUCAGGAUGAACAAUGUAAUGAAAUUUUGACAACCUUCUGGGCACUUACUCGUUCUUCAGUUUAUUAUCUUUAUGGAGUGUCUAGAUGAUUAUUGUCCAGUUGUAAUUCUUUUAACAGGUCGAAAGUUCAUCUGGAUUUGACAGCUGAUGAUCAGACGUCCUUUAAUGGGGGCUGAAUUGAUGAUUUUUUGAAUGUAAGUUAGGUCCUGCUUAUUGGAUUUUAGGCAUUUAUUGGGUUGAAUGAAAUUUGUCCUCCACUUUUCUAGUUAAGGUAAAACGAUCAAUCAGUUCCAAGUUCCUCUUUUCCUUUGCAAGUCAGAGUUUGGUUGAGGCAACACUGUGCCUCAUGUGAAGUUGCAGCAUAAGCAUCAAUUCAUAGGACAAGCUCUUCUUGCAGAGUUCUUUCUUGUCUGCAAAGGUCACACAAGGUAUGGCUUGUUCCUCUUCAUUCUCAUGUGUGUGCUACAAUUUCAAAUUGGAUUCUAGUAAAUCAUAGAGAUAGUGUAUGUACGAUUGUAUGUGUCAUGCUUCUUUCCCUAGCCUAGAAUUGGCUCCAGCCAGUACCUAGUUUGCUCCUCUUUUGUUUUACACGUCUUCAAUGUCUUCUUUUGGUAUAGCGCAUAAGGUGCUUUCAUGCUUUUUCGGCACGAUUAGGUCCUCGGGUUGGUUGGACACUGUUAAUGGCUAUAUAUGUCUAUUUGUUGGUUUUCUUUGGUUAUUGAUACUAAGAGGACUUGUUGCUGAUAAAAUUGAACGACUUCAGUGCAUGCUGGUGGCAUCUUAUUUGAAAUGUCGAACUUCAGAUAUUUAUCAUGAUUUUUAUUCCAACAUCUUCUUAUUUUGUUCUAUCUGUCAAGCUUGAUGAGCCAAUUACUUUCUUGGUCUAAUUUUAGAAGCAUCUAGCUUAUUGCAAAAGCUUAAUUUCUUUCGUUUAGCAUUGCCUCUUUGGGACUGCCACAGUCAUGGUCAUCUUUACAGUCUACACUCCUUUUAUUAUUCUGUUUAUGGAUUUGUUAUUCAAUGGAUUGGAAGUAGCUUCUUUUCCGUUGGACCCCAUCUCUACUCGUCCGAGGAAGUUUGUGUAAGGCGUCUGAGCUUCGUUUGGGACUGACGACUCCUUUCGAUAAGGGUUGUCGGGUGAUGAAACUGAAAUGACGAUAACCUCCUGCAUGGAUACUUCUGCUCUGACUGAAAUUCAUUCUUAAUUAAGGCUUCAUUUGUUUCACUAAAAAUAUUUUCCUAGGAAAGCUUUUUCCACGAUUUUUCAUUAACCGGAAAAUACCCUUCUAAAACUAAGAAAAUGAUUUAUCGGGCUUCUUUGCGCAUCCUCUGUCUCCUUCUCCAUCUCGUGAUGGAGAGAGAUGGCGAGCUCAUCUCUUCCCUGCAAAUUUAAAGCCCUCUGCCUCAGCGCCUCUUCUUCUCCUUCUUCUUCUCGCAGUCGCAACGCUUUCAAUUCCCUCGGAUUCUCCGCUAGCCUCUUGCACGACGUUUUCUCCGGAGAAAACCUCGACGGCAACCUUCCGAUUCCACAGGCUGGCUUUAUUCCUCAAGUCUGACUUUCGUGUUCGGUCUUCGUUUUCAAGUCGUUUGUUGGUGAGCAAUGGCGAGAAGAACCCGCCCCAUUUCUCUAUCACGUGUGAGGCCACUCCGACGAAGAGGUCGGACUCCGCCGCCAAGAGGGCUCGCUAGGCCGAAAAGAGGCGCAUUUACAACAAAGCUCAUAAAUCUGAGAUUAGGACGCGUAUGAAGAAGGCGUUUGUUUCGGUUAAUUUGAUUACUGUGCGAAGCAUUCUAUAAUACGCGCUACCGGACCACCGUCCUUCGGUGAAGUCGUCCGAAUGAUUUUUGCUGUAUAUGCUGGGGUGGUGGUUCUGCUACAUCGAAUUUUGUUGAUUAGGUUGUGGCUAUUAAAUUUGUCAAAAUGAAUCUUAAACUCAUAUACGACCCAAUUUAAAACGUAAAUGAGUCUUAUAUGAGUCACUUAAUUUUGACAAGACCAUCUUAAAUGGGUUGAGUUUAGAACCCAUUUUCAAUUCAUUAACUCAACCCAUUAGGCUCAUUCACACUUUCUCUUCAUCUUUUAGAGAUAUUUAUAAAAAAAAUCGAAAUUCCUUUUUUUUUCUUUUCUUCUUCCUUCUUCCAUUUCCUUCACUAGUGGCUGGUGACGGCAACCGCUGGCUAGGUGAGCUUGAGCUCAUCGAUCGGGCAAGGCCGAGACCUCUCUGAGGUCAAUCCUCGCCAAUCCAGCGAGAAUUGACCUCGUCGACGACUGGGCGUAGACCUUGCCGAUUUAUCAAGGCUCGAGCUCGACCUCAAAUGAUAGGUGAAGCCUCAUCUGAGGUUGGCAAGGUUUGGCUUGCUAGCCAUCGCAGUGGCCGGUAAUCAGUGAAGGAAAAGGAAAAAGAAAAAAAAAAAAAAAGAGGCCAUCUUAAUAAAUGCAAAAAGGAAGUGGCAUGGAGCUCAUCUUAAUAAAUGCAAGGUGGUCUUUGUGAACUUGAGAAGAGAGGCCAACGUACAAGAUGUCUCUUUCCCAUGUGAGCAUCAUGAAGUGCAGUAAUAAUUAUUCUAUGGUCAUUGCAACCGGAUGAUGGAGACUCACUUCUACAUUAUAAAAGAGAGCAAGAGAUGUGGGACAAGAAUUGCACCGAGGUGGCUUAGAGAGCACCAAGUUCCUUUGGUGGCUAAGAGUGCACCAAGUCCUUGGUGGCUAGAGAGAAGAGAGUGCGCCAAGUUCUUUAGUGGGUGAGAGGGUUGAGUAUUGUUGUAAUUACACCUGAGUAAUUUAGCUAGACAAAUUCUAAAAUUUGUUUAAUUCCUUGAGUGAGGUUUCACUAAAAAUUGUGAGGGGCUAAAUACUCUGAACUUGAGAAGAGAGGCCAACAUACAAUAUGUCUCUUUCCUAUGUGAGCAUCUUGAAGUGCAAUAAUGAUUAUUCUAUGGUCAUUGCCACCAAAUGAUGAAGACUCACUUCUACAUUAUAAAAGAGAGCAAGAGAUGUGGGACAAGAAUUGCACCGAGGUGGCUUAGAGAGCACCAAGUUCCUUUGGUGGCUAAGAGUGCACCAAGUCCUUGGUGGCUAGAGAGAAGAGAGUGCGCCAAGUUCUUUAGUGGGUGAGAGGGUUGAGUAUUGUUGUAAUUACACCUGAGUAAUUUAGCUAGACAAAUUCUAAAAUUUGUUUAAUUCCUUGAGUGAGGUUUCACUAAAAAUUGUGAGGGGCUAAAUACUCUGAACUUGAGAAGAGAGGCCAACAUACAAUAUGUCUCUUUCCUAUGUGAGCAUCUUGAAGUGCAAUAAUGAUUAUUCUAUGGUCAUUGCCACCAAAUGAUGAAGACUCACUCCUACAUUAUAAAAGAGAGCAAGAGACGUGGGACAAGAAUUGUGCCGAGGUGGCCGAGAGAGCACCAAAUCCCUUUGGUGUCUAAGAGUGCGCCAAGUCCUUGGUGACUAGAGAGAAGAGUGCGCGCCAAGUUCUUUGGUGCUUGAGAGGGUUGAGUGUUGUUGUAAUUACACCCGAGUAAUUUAGCUAGACAAAUUCUUGUGAGUAGAAUUUGUUUAAUUCCUUGAGUGAGGUUUCACUAAGAAUUGUGAGGGGCUAAAUACUCUGAACUUGAGAAGAGAGGCCAAUGUACAAUAUGUAUUUUUCCCAUGUGAGCAUCAUGAAGUGCAAUAAUGAUUAUUCUUUGGUCAUUGCCACCGAAUGAUAAGACUCACUUCUACAUUAUAAAAGAGAGCAAGAGACGUGGGACAAGAAUUGCGCCGAGGUGGCCGAUAGAGCGCCAAGUUCUUUUGGUGGCUAAGAGUGCGCCAAGUCCUUGGUGGCUAGAGAGAAGAGAGUGCACCAAGUUCUUUGGUGGUUGAGAGGGGUGAGGAUUGUUGUAAUUACACCUGAGUAAUUUAGCUAGACAAAUUCUUGUGAGUAGAAUUUGUUUAAUUCCUUGAGUGAGGUUUCUUCAAGAAUUGUUAGGGGCUGGGAAACACUGAGAGAAUGUUUGAGUGCUCAAGUGAUUGUAAUCUCCAUUGUCUCACUUGUUUUUUAGUGGAAUUCCAUACUGCUCUUCCCAUGAACAUAAGUUCUGAUAUUCAAACCGUAUCACAUAAAUUUGAUGGUCAAUUUCCUUUCCCUCCUUCCAAAUAAUUUUAUCCUACUCGUUUGUCUAUAUUCACAACAAUUGAUAUCAAAGCUAGUGUUGGCUAACGUGAAGCGAAUUGAUAACGAUGGAGGAAGAAAAGGUGAGAAUCACCGAUUUGACGGGAACGAUUUUGCUUUCUAGAAGAUGCAGAUUGAAGAUUAUCUGUACUAGAGAAAUUUGCACUUACCAUUAUAUGGGGAGAAACCAUAAUCAAUGAAGUAUGCCAAGUGGGAAUUGCUAGAUAGACAAGUGAUGGGUGUUACUCUGUUGAUGUUGGCUCGUAACAUCAUGUUUAAUAUCGUGAAGGGGAAAACCACUACGGAACUAAUGAAAGCCCUGUCAAAUAUGUACAAGAAGCCCUCCGUGAUCCAAAAGGUCUAUUUGAUGCAACAUAUGUUUUACUUAAAAUGGGCAAAGAUACAUUAGUGGUUGAGCAUAUCAAUGAAUUCAAUGAAGUCGUUAACCAAUUGAAUUUGGUUGAAAUCAACUUUGACGAUGAGAGAUGUGCACCGAUUUGGUUGAAAUCAACGUUGAAGAUGAGAUAUGUGCGCUGAUUCUAUCAUCCUCAUUACCUGAUAAUUGGAAUACUACUAUUACUGUUGCUAAUAAUUCAUUUGGGUCAAGGAGCUUGACAUUUGAUGAGGUUCAUAAUUUGAUUUUGAGUGAAGACAUUCUUAGGAAAAAAUUUAGUGAACCUAUACCUAUUGCCUUAGUAGGUGAAAGUAGAAGAACAACUAAUACAUGUGUUAAUAAGAGUAGUAUAAAUACGAAUAGAUGUAGUCAAUUUAGGAUUAUAGGAGUUGUCUAUUGGACUUGUGGCAGGAGUGGGCAUGGUAGAAGAGACUCUAUUAUGCUGAAAAAUGAAAAGGGUAAGAGAAUUAGAGUUGAGUCUAUAGAAUAAUUCUGAUAAUGUAGAUUGUGUCUUGUCUAUCAUUGAGGAUUCAUCAUUUGAUGGAUGGAUAAUGGAUUUUGGUUGUUCAUUUCACGCUACACCAAAUUGGAACUAGUUUAUCACUUAUCAGUGCACGGAAAAUGGUAAAGUCCAGUUAGCAAACAACACUGAGCAUGAUGUUGUGGGUGUUGGUGAUGUUAACAUCAAAAUGUAUGAUGGUAUUGUGAGGACAUUGACCAGAGUAAGUCACAUCCCGAAGUUGAAAAAGAAUUUAAUUUCCUUAGGUUCCUUAGGUUCAGUUGGCUAUGGGUAUUUUUUAGAAGGUGGAAUGUAAAGGUUAUUUGAGGUGCCCUGGUGAUAUUGAGAGGAAUCAAGCACGGAAACAUGUAUGAACUUCAAGGUGAGACAGUGACAGGUUUCAGUUUGAAGACAUCAAAUACAUCUGUUCAAGAGUCUAUCAACUACUUGAUAAAGACCUGGGCGUUUGUACCGAUGCACAAAUUUGAUGCCGUUGUCAGGAACAUACAAUUGAAAACUUUGAUUGAGAUGAAGACUGAUUAGUCGAUCAAGCAUAUGUGAAAUAAUAAUAGCAUGGAAGUUUGCUCAAAGCUAGUAAAUAAAUUCUGCAUGAAGGAAGGCAUAAUGAAACACCGCACUAAUACCAAUAAACCAUAACAAUUUUUUGCAAAAUUGAUUAGCAAAUCAUUAUUAAAGACUGACGGUAGAAUGAUCUCUAGUGCUGGUGUUGGUAGGAGAAUCUUGGCUGACAUGCUUAGUAUGGUGAGCUACUAGGUAAAUACAUCCCCAUCAAUUGCUAAUGAUUGGUGGACUCCCGAAGAAGUAUGGUCAAGUAAUGUUACUAGUUAUUCUAUUCUUAGAAUGUUUAGUUGCGCGUGUUAUUUUCGAGUGAAUGAUGGUAAGCUCGAUGGGAGGGCAAGGCAUAUUCCAUGGCUAUGCAUAAAGCGGGGCAGUCAAUUGUGGUGCCCUGAUAUAAAAUCACCUGUUAAUAGCAGAGAAGUUACCUUUGACAAGUCUCCAAUACUUUUGGCUAAGAGUGUUUGUGGCAGUGUUGAUAUGGAUCUGGACGGUGUUUAGCUCAAGGUGAAGUUACAACCAGAAACUCUUUAGGUAGUAGGUACUAGUAGAAUAAUUGACACAUAUGAUACUAGUAGCGAGAUGGAGUUAGUAAAGCCAACGGUUGCUUUAGUUACUAAAUUUGACAAUGUGCAUGUUUGACCUUCUGUCAAAUACGAAAGCAACGAUGGUUUUGUUUUAUUUGUGGUACCGGAGGUUAUGUCGAAAAUCCUUAUGGACUAGCUAACUAUGCAAGUGGAGUUGGCAUCUUGAUAAGGUCCACGGUUGUGGUAAAAUUUAAGUGUGGCUCAAACUUGGAAGCACUUUGUGGUGGUUGAUCCCAUUGGGGCUGUGGGAGAGUAGUGGCGAGUUUUUCAUUGAAGCGAUUGUGACUUGACUUAAACGUCGAGCCAAGGUGGAGAUUGUUUAAAAUAUGUCUUGAGUUUGAGCAUAUUAAACAAUACUCGAUGUAAAAAAAUAAGACUGACCGACCUUGUGAUUUUGUAAGACUUCUUCUUCGAUCCAGCUACACAUGAUUGCAUUUAUGUUUAGCCCCUACUGUGAUAAGAAGAAAAUUGCGUAUGGAUUUCAUUUUGCAUUUAUCUCUCUACAUGUGUAGAAAGCAGUAAAAAAAACUUGCGUGUUUUAUUGACUCUCUUUCCUCGGUUCUAUGCGGAGCUGUGAUCGAAGUCAAUGAAGAGACUUGCCCAAGCACUAAAUAUGGGAAUUCCUCUAUCUACGUAUGAAAUAAAGGAAUCCCUGUGAAGAAGCACGUGGAGGCUUCAGUCGGAAGAGCAAUUAAAAAGGAAGUUGCUUGGAGCCCAUCUUAAUAAAUGCAAGGUGGACUUUUUGAACCUGAGAAGAGAGACCAAUAUACAAGAUGUCUCUUUCCCAUGCGAGCAUCAUGAAGUGUACAAUGGUCAUUGCCACUGAAUGAUGAAGACUUACUUUUGCAUUACAAAAGAGAGUGACAGACGUGGAACAAGAAUUGUGCCAAGGUGGCCGAGAGAGCAUCAAGUCCCUUUGGUGGCCAAGAGUGCGCCAAGUCCUUGGUAGCUACAGAGAAGAGUGUGCCAAGUUCUUUGGUAGUUGAGAGGGUUGAGUAUUGUUGUAAUUACACCUGAGUGAUUUAGCCAAAUAAAUUCUUGUGACUAGAAUUUGUUUAAUUCCUCGAGAAAAGUUUUACUAGAAAUUGCAAGAGGCUAAACACUGUGAAUUAUUAGGUGUAACUGGGGGCUGAGAAAUACUAAGAGUGUUUGAGAGCUCAAGUGAUUGUAAUUUCCAUCAUAUCACUUGUUUCUAUAGUGGAAUUUCUAUGCCGCUCUCCCAUGAAUGUACGUUUUGAUAUUCGAACCAAACCACGUAAAUCUGGUAUUCGAUUUCCUUUCCUCCCUUCGGACUAAUUUUAUCCAAUUUCUUGUCUAUAUUCACAAUAGAUCUCCUCAUGCUAGAUAACACAGCCUCAUCUUCUCUCGGCCACUCCAAGAUAAACCCCAUCGCUUCUUGAGAUGGAAAGAAGUAGGUGUAACGAUAUUCUUGGAAGAACGAGUUUACAAGAAUAUAGGACUUCCAAGCGUUGACGGAUAAUCUCGGAUUCAAUAUUAGGAUUUGGAUUUAGUUUUCUACUUAAAUACACAUCGUGUGAAAACUGGAAUUUUUCUUAGAUCAAAUUGUUGUUCCAGCCCAGUUCUUUAGUUUAACAGUACUGGCGCAAAUCUAUCUAUGAAGAAAAUCGGUGCUUGGUUUAUAAACUAUGUAGACCAACGCUACAUCAAUCAUUAAUUAUGUGGGUCCGAGAAUGUGAGAUUCAUAUGAUGGACAGCCUUGACAUUGGAUCUCCAUGCUAUGCAUAUUUGGGUAUAUUGAGUAGUCUCUAAAGCACUUACACCAGGUGGCUCGAUCGUAUGACAUAGUCAAAUGAUGAAGUCUCUUUGCAUAUCAAAGCUAAGACAUAAUAUGAAUAAUGAAAAGUAAUACACUAACCAGCAAACUCAUAUAAUGCUCCGGUUUAAUUUCUGCUAAGACAUAAUAUGAAUAAUGAAAAGUAAUAAACUAGCCAGCAAACUUGUAGGACGCUCGGGUUUAACUUCUGCUAAUGUAGGCAUUCCCUUUCCAAUUUGUAGCACCAGAUUUUUGCCACUGCCAAACUCACAGCUUGAACUGCUGCAGAGCUGAAGUCCCAUCGCCUUUCGCAUUCGCGCUGAAGUGGGAAACGUACUCCAUGAUGGUGGUUUCUCUGUACUUUGGUGGAUCGCCCUCGGAAAUCAACUCCUUAAUGGGUCCGUACAGUUUUGGUGAUGGCGGCGUUGCUGUGUAGAAGAAGCACGCCACAGACGCUCUCGGCCCCAUGUUGUUCGCCACAACUCUGUGCUCGGAGCUCUUGAAUAUGUCAUUUGAGAUAAGCUGAAAAAAAUAGUCUGGUUUGUGAUUAGAAGUGCACACUCAACUGCUGGAUAAAGAGUUAAGGCAUAAAGUGCUGUUUGUUGAUUCAUUCGUGUGCCUAACAGGGUCUCUAGUGAUAAAACGUAGGGAGAGAGAGUACGUUAGGUGAGACUUGCCUGAAGCAGAUCACCGAUGUUAACUAUCAGUGCUCCUGGCACGGGGCUCACAUCGAUCCACUGAUUCUGAUAAAGAACUUGGAGGCCUCCGACAUGGUCUUGCAGGAGCACGGUGAGGAAGUCGCUGUCUGUGUGCCUGCUGGUCCCCAGAGUGAGCUCUGGUUGUGGGCAUUUGGAGUAGUACUGGUUCAGAAGGACGAGUCCCUUGGCGCACUCCAUGUCCUUCAGAUGGUUCGGCUUCAACCCCAGCGCCUCCGACAGUAGUUCGAACAAGGUGGUUCCCAAAUUCAUCACUCGCUUCGAGAAUUCCAGCAUUAUGUCACUAGGGUGUUCAAAAAUUUAGUGGGUCAAUUCGUCACAAAUUCCUAGUCCGUUAGAAGCAGACACCCCAACAAGUUAUUAUAAGAGAUUGCGGUUAUAUAUUCUGUGGAAUAGCUUACCCGCAUACCGCUGGCAACUCCUCUGCCUCGAGAGCAUUAGGUGCCAUAACACAGAACAGGGUGUCCCUCCAAUUAGCCGCCUCUGUUUUAUACAGAUUGAAAUUGCUGUGGUAGGCGACGCUUGUCGUGAAAUCUCGGGAAUAGAACCGUCUCUUCUCUUCAGCACCUUGCUCAUGGAAACGGCGCACUCCAUCCAGCAUCUCCUCCAGAACAGUCGUGGGGAUCCCGUGAUUCACCACCUGAAAGAAGCCCCAUGUUUUGGAUGCACUUCGAACUUCAUUUACAACCUCCUUGCGCCGAGAUGGAUCUUUCACAAUAUCUGCGAGGUCAACUAUAGGAACAUGGAAGUGGCCGUUGCUCGAUGCCAGUGCACUUUGCAGGUUCUCCGGGUGAUCUACGAAAAUGCGAGGAACUUCUGUAAUCCCAGCAUCAACAAGGCCCUUGACACCUGCCAUUGAUUCAUCGAAAGCCUUUUUCUCGCGCAUCCGAUCGUACUUCUGUGUUUUUUCAUGCGCUUCAUCUCUGCUGAACACUUCCAUUUUUCUUCCUUAGUGAAAACACUUGAGGGUUCCAAGUCCGAUCUUACAUUAAAUAUGGGAGAAAUCGAAAGACAAAGGUCCUGUGGUAUUUAAUGACUGGAUCCAAAAACAGUUGAGAAGAAAGAAAAAUAUUUAAUGACUGGAUCUAAAAACAGUUGAGAAGAAAGAAAGAGAACAAUUAUGUACAUGGCAUCACAAUGAAAGCGGAAAAAGUAUCAAAAUAGUCAUAAACCUUUUGUAUUGGUACCAAGUCAGUCUAAAACUUUUCAAUUGGACCAAUUUCGUCAUAAACCUUUUCAUAUUGGUAACAAUUUAGUCUAUCCAGCUAAUUUAAGUUGGAAAUUGCAAAUGUGGUCGCCGACGGUCUUAUGUGACCGACCAUCGCUGGCCACAAGCUGGUCGGGGCGAGUAAGACCGUCGGCGACCACAUUUGCAAUUUAAACUUAAAUUAGCUGGACGCCGUCACUUGUGGCCGGCGAGGGCGGGGGCCCCUUGCCUUGACCAGCCUGUGGCUGGUGAUGGUCGGCAGGCCAACAACCUCACCGACCAAGGGCUAAGGAGAAAAGAAAAAGAAAAAGAAUUAGAAAAAUAUAAUUUAAAAAAUUAUAAAAUUUGUCCACGUGGCAUCACAUAAGAUUGCCAGCGACCACAUCAGUAAUUUCUGGCUUAAAUUAGCAAGAUGGACUGAAUUGGUACUAAUAUGAAAAGAUUAAGGACUAAAUUUGUCUAAUUGAAAAGUUUUUAANNNNNNNNNNNNNNNNNNNNNNNNNNNNNNNNNNNNNNNNNNNNNNNNNNNNNNNNNNNNNNNNNNNNNNNNNNNNNNNNNNNNNNNNNNNNNNNNNNNNNNNNNNNNNNNNNNNNNNNNNNNNNNNNNNNNNNNNNNNNNNNNNNNNNNNNNNNNNNNNNNNNNNNNNNNNNNNNNNNNNNNNNNNNNNNNNNNNNNNNNNNNNNNNNNNNNNNNNNNNNNNNNNNNNNNNNNNUUAUUCUCUUGUGCCUCGGCCUCCCCCUCAGCCACCAAGUCCGCCAUAUCCUCCACAACUUCCUCCAUCACUCCUAAUUCCAUUGCUAAUUUUAGAUUGGGACACAAGAGCUGAACUAUCUAUCAUAGAUGUACCCUAAAAAGACUCACGAGAUACUCGAAGAACCCGUGCAAAUGUAUCAAUGAGUAACGCAACAGUCUCUCCCCCAAUGAAACCUAAUAGUUUCAUAUUUAGGGCCUAGAUCUCCUAAAAAUCCCAUCAAACAAUUGAAAAGGGGGUCAUCAUCUUGGACCACAUAAGUUAUGAGGAACAUUAGCCAGCUCAUCUUCUAUACUUGAGUACUUCAACGACUUAAUGAGCAUCAUCUAUAUCUAUGUCCGACCGGCCACAGCCAGUUCUGAAACUGAUGUCCAAGUGUAAUUCCCAUCUGCAAAUUGAUAUCAAAUUGAUUUCUGCAGAUUAAAUCAAUUUGCUUGUUCAAAUAAGAAGUCUAUAGCAACAUAGGCUCUCAAUAUGGUCCUUCGACACAAUGAUAGCAUGAAAAAACAUCCUGUUCCAUACACAAUCAAUACAAAUGGCUACUGAGCAAAUUGAAAUUCUAAAACUUGUACUGACGACACUAAUUGUUCAAGAAGGAUUCUGCAUCUCUUCCUUACAGAAAACAUAGAGUUCACAGCUUGAAGUGUUUGAGAGGGGAAGUUUCAUCAAGGCCAUGUUCAUUGAAGUGGGCAAGAUAGUCCCUCACUGUGGUCUCUUUGUAGAUUGGAGGACUGUCCUCGAACGACAGUUCCCUAAUAGGCCCAAAAAGCUUCAAUGACGACUGGAAGCUCGUGCUGAAAUUGUAUCUACUUUCACUCAAAAGUUAAAAUUAACAAGUUAUGGUCCACCAAAUGACUUACAUCACACGAAUUAUUCAAUGUGGGAUUUCUAUAGCAAAACCAAAAAGUUGGCUUUGUUUAUGUGAAAAACAACUUAUUUUAACUUUGCAGUCUAAAAGGCAUUGUUGCCUCCAGGACCGGGACCGCAUUAAUGGAGUUAAAUCUUUCUUUCUUGCUCUCUCUUACAACGAAGAAUACAAGACUGACAAGCAGGAAUACAAUGAAGAUGUUGCUUGGAGUUGUAGAGGAAGACGCAGCUAAGAAAAGACGAGGACAAGUUAUCUUGAAAAGAAAGAUGAUGCUGGGAAUUUCAGGACCCUCGCAUUGUUGGAACACGAAGAAACAACAAUGGGAGGAUCCUUAAAAAUGGGAGCCCGAGAGGAUUUCUCAAUGAGCAAGUCAUGCUGGUAUUGUGCAGCAAUUGGAAGACUGGGACAGGGAUUCAAAUGGCGAGUUAAAGAUGACGAGCAAGGAAUGUUGAUAAGAGGAAUCUGAUGACUCGUUAGCUAUAUCGAAUACAAGCAAUAAUAAAGCCAAGACGGCGACUGCUCCAAGCUUGAAGUGACUGAGAAACGACGUGGAAUGAGGAAGCAAGUUAAUACAAAGAUAUGCUGAAACUUCAAUUGAAAGUGGCCUUGUAUCAUCCCCUAAACUAUACUUAAAAGAGGGAGAAAAGCAUACCCCAAUGUUACAUGAUCGAAACUGAAUAGAAACUCACCAAAGUGGCGAUUUAGGCUAGCCAAAUGCCCCAUGAGAACGCUCCUAAAAAAGGGUUGUUCUACCGUGUCGUGCCCCUGCACAUGGCAAUCCAUCGUGCCCGAGCUGUAGGCUAACAUAAAACAUUAGUGAUCUAACCAUCAAAAUUGUUAAUGACAUUCAACUGCUAAUAUCGUAGAUAAAGCAUUACACUCUUAGGUAAGAUAGGAAACCCUGCCACAGCUGUGAAAAAUACGUGAAGCACUAAAACACCGAUUUCAAAAGAGUAGUCUUCCUCAUGAUAGUUUAUUUGAAAUAUAAUCCAACUAAUUAUCCACGACCAUAAAAACAAAGCUCGCAAAUGAGCACUUCCAAUUCACACCCCCCCCCCCCCCCCCCCCUUCUUCAUUCAUGAUCUUAAAACAUCAUAGAUCAGUCGAACAAGAUAAUCCUCUACAGAGUUUCACUUUGGAUCAGUAAACUCGGCGACUCAGGCAACUCACAGAUUGGAGGGAUCAACAAGAACAAGUACGGUAAACCUAACCAUGAUUCCCUUUCUUAUUUUUCCUUCGAAAGCAGAAAGCCUCUUCUAAAUGCACAAUAGUUACAUAAGCACGAGCUUGCCAGGCACUACAAACAUAUACUCUAUUCAAUUUAACCACAUCUGGAUGCUUUGCCAGGGAGCUAAUGCGCUGAAAAGCUACACAGAUCAAAUGUAUCCGACUGUCAUUCAAGAGAGAACAUCCUUGAAUUGUCGUAUUUCAUAGCUUGAAAUGUUCCAGUGCAGAUACACCAUUAAGUCCUUUUGCAUAGUAGUGAGUGACGAGGUCCUUCACUGUAGUUUCCCGAUAAAUUGGGGGAUUUUCUUCUGAUAGCCGCUCCUCGAUAGGGCCAUACAACCUUGAAGAAUUCUCUGGAGGGAGAUGCUGCCUCAUUAAACACGCCACUGAAAUCCUUGGCCCGAUUUUCUGGGCUAGAACUCUGUGACUCACGCUAAUGAACUCAUCAUUCGAGAUCAGCUGCAAGAUGGAGGAGGACAUGGCAAAGUGAAGACCAAAUACUCUGGAAUAUGGAUCACACAUAAAUAUAGCAUACGUAAUCAAACUUGUUUAAAAGGGCCAAAUUUUAUCAAGUCAUUCUCACAUGUACUCCUAGCACAGUUGUCAAAAUAAUUAGCUAAGACCAAAAGAUUGUGAAGACAAACAACAUUCACAUAGAAAUAUCAUAAAAACGGAAUUGACUUACCUCAGUUAAUGUUGCAAGAGCUAACUGGAAGUUCCACAGUUGUAAACAGGAUACUCUACAAUCCAUCUGUUAGACCUCUACACCGACUUAGGGAAGUAUUUGGCAUCUCUAACACACUACAAAACAGUUAGGAUAGAAGAACAUAGAUGAAAGAGCUAUCUUCCAUUUCACUUAUUCAGAUUGUAACACCAGAUGUGUGUCCAUGGACUAUGAUAACAAAUUGACUGAAGGACCUACUCGUUAGAUCAGCCACACAAAAAAGCACAGAUUGGGCUAGAAAUGCAUUGGCUAAUGUGAGAACAUUGAAACAAGAAACUAACUGAUAGAAAUGUAAACUGCAAAACUCUGAUAAACGGACCUGCAUCAAGUCUCCCAAGUUUAUUACAAGGGCUCCAGGAAUUGGGGAAACGUCGAUCCAUUGGUUCUGAUGGUGGACCUGGAGACCACCAAUUUGGUCUUGGAGAAGAAUGGUGAGAAAGCCACUAUCAGUAUGAUCACCAGUCCCAAGGGUUAAGUCCGGUUCUGGGCAUGCUGGAUAGUAAUGGCCGACAAAGAAGAGUCCCUCCCCACAGUGGAUAGUUUUCAGGUAGCUAGGGUCGAGGCCAAGAGCUUCCGACAGUAAUUCAAAUAUGGUAUCUGACAAUUCCAGAAUUCUGUCCUUGUACUCAAUUAUUACGUCUCUGCAAGUCGAUUGGUUACAGAGAACAGGUGAUUAGUCAAAUGCCGUGGAACAUCAGAAGAUCAAUCUUUAUCCCACUCUCUCAAAGACCAGGUCUAUUUACUCUGCAUAAAAAAAUCAAGCUUCUAAAAUACAAGUCCAUAAUUCGUGUAACAGAGCAGCCAUUCUUGCAGACCAAAGAGGAAGAACAGAAAACGCAAUUAGUUUUUCCAUUUAAACUGAAUCUAUCGGCACUCCGACUCUGAAUCCCCCAAAGAUCUACGCCCCACAUGAUCGUUUCCUUCAACUGAUCUAUGACCCCAAAGCCCCUUGAGAAAAUGGCAGGAACUCCUGGCACACCAAGCACACGUUUCGCCAGGGCCAAGAAGCAGCUCCAUCUAUUCCGAAAGCCCCAUUUUUUUACUUAAUUAUCAGAUCUUAAAUCUUAUUUAGGAUUGAGCUUCCUGGCUCUCUUUCUUUUCUUCCACUGAAUUGCUAUGCGUCAAAGAAAACUAUCAUGGAACUUUCAAUUCCUCUCACAGGACACAAGUGGGUAUCGCAAGCCUAAAUUUGAAAGCUUUUAUAUCGCUAGUCCCAAAACUAGAAUUAGUUUCAGCCCUUCAAGCACGCACACGCAAAGAUUACCGACAGACAGCAGGCAAUUCCUGAGGAUCCGGACUACGGGGAGCCAAGACGCGGCUCAGCGUGUCCCUCCAGUUUGCCGCCGGGGCCCGGUACAGGUCGAAGUUGCUGUUGUACAGCACCUUCCUCCCGCCGUAAUCCCGCGAGUACCACUCGCGCUUCGCCUCGAGGUCCUGCUCGUGGAACCUCCGGAUCCCUUCCACCAUCUCCUCCGUGAGAGCCGCCGGCACGCCGUGGUUCACCACCUGGAAGAAACUGUUGGAGAAAUCUCAGUGAAAGUGUUUUGAAGUUGACAAAACGUAUCCAUCAGUCUAGUCUGAAAGUCUGCAGACUCUGUUAGUUAAAGUCUGAAGACUUUCGGACAGCCAGACUCAAGACUCAAAGUCUAUCCUCAUUGACAGUCUCUAAUCCGUUGAAAAAAGGUUAUCCAGAACUGGAUGUUUUGUUCAGGAUUUAACCUUAUCAUCUGGAGAAGAUCUCGUGGCUAGAGAAGACGUAUCAGAAUCCUUUGAUUGAUCAAGUUUGAUUCAAUGACUGAAGAUUCGAUGAUUGUCUAAAUAUUAUUGGAAGGUUCUACUUAUGGAAACCGAGAUCCUGAUUGUAUGGGCGAACAAGAUUGAUGGGCUAUCAACACGUUCCUUUAAUAGCUCGAACAAUCUUCCUAAUUGAUUCCAUCCAACGGGUAGAUUGGAGGAAUUCCUUUGGUAAGUGCCAACGGGUAUGAUGGCAUAAAGGAGUAUAUAAGGAAGACGUUCUUAGUUGUUCGAGGUGUGCGCGAUAGAAGAAUUCCAAAGUCUGAAGCUCUUAUUUGUUUAGAUAAAUCCUUUGAGCGAAUACUUGUAUACAAAAGAGAGUCUAUAUUUGUGAGAGACCUUGAGGAGGUGUGGUAGAACAUCUACACUGUGGAAUCAAGGCAAAGAUGUGCUAUAACUUCUCUUUUGAUCAUAGUGAAAUCUAGCCGGUGGGCUGUCAGUGCGGAAGAGUGGACGUAGGCUUGGAAUAAGCUGAACCACUAUAAAUCCUGUGUUCAAAUUUCUCUCUCUCUAUCUCGAUCGUAUUUCAUUUUGUUAAGAAUUGCUUUCGUAUUUGGGACAAAUUUUUUGUGCGCCUAUUCACCCCCCUCUAGGUGUUUAUACUAGCAAUAUCAAUUGGUAUCAAAGCCUGUGUACUUACUUUAUUUGAAGUGUUUUACUUCAUAGUAAAAGAUACAUGGCUAGUAUGCUAGCACCAGGGCUGAUGGAAGGGCAAAGCAAUACCAGACCACCCUACUUUGAUGGAAAGGAUUACAACAUCUGGAAGAACAAGAUGAAAGCUUUCCUACGAUCAAAGGAUCCUCUGGAAUGGGAUGUCAUAGAAAAAGGAAUUACUCCUACCACUGCAUCAGUCUCUGAAAGAGGAAAAGAAACUGAAGAAUCCAGCGGAAUGUCUCAGGAAGAAAUAACCAAGAGACAAACACUCGAUGCAAAAGCAAUUUACUCCUUAUAUUGUGCUUUAUCACCAACUGAAUAUAAUAGAAUAUCUUCUUGUGGUACAGCAAAAAAAGUUUGGGACAGAUUGCAUAUCACCUAUGAAGGAACAGAUCGAGUGAAGGAAACAACAUUCAACAUUCUUCUUGGUCAAUACGAAGCCUUCAGAAUGAAACCAGGAGAAUCAAUAUCUGACAUGUUUAGUCGUUUUACAGAUAUUGUGAAUGGUCUUGAAAAUCAAGGUCAACCAACUUCUGAUCCCAUGAAGGUAAACAAGCUACUGCGUGGACUCUCCAGGGAUUGGAAUCACAUAAAGACUUCGAUAAGAGAGACGCAGAGAAUUAUGCCACUAUCUGUUGACGAGCUGAUUGGAACUCUUCAGUCCUAUGAAGUGGAAAGGAUCAAUGAAGAUGAAGAUCCAAAAGAUAAGAAAUCCAUUGCAUUAAAAUCAAAUGAUGAUUCUGAUGAUACAGAUUCUGAAGAUGAUAUGGACGAUGAGGAGCUUGCUCUCAUGAUAAGAAGAUUCAGAAAACUAAAUAGAAAAGGAAGAAGGUUCAACUCAAAGAAACAAAGUUUUCAAAGAUAGCAGACCAAGUCUGUUGAUGAUGAGGAACCAAAUAAAGAUGUAGUCUGCUUUGAAUGCAAGAAAAAGGGACAUAUCAGACCCAACUGUCCUCUUCUGAAGAAGAAGAAAGGAAAAGCUGAAAAAUUUCGAAAAGCUCUCAAAGCUGAAACCUGGAAUGAUACUGAGUGUGAAGAAAGUGAUAAUGAAUAUGCCAAUCUAUGUCUGAUGGCACAAUAAGACUCAGACUCUGGAUCAGACUCAGGAUCAGACUCAAACAGUGAAUUUGAGGCAAGUAAUUUUAAAAUUCCUGUCAAAGUUUCUAAAUAUAUUGAUGAACUAUGCUUUAGUCUUAAGACUUCUCUCAAAAGAAUUUCGAAACUAAAAAAGGAAAACUCAGCUCUAAAACAAAAGGAAAAUGUUUUAGCAGAAAAAGUUAAAAGUCUAGACUUGUCUGUUUCCUAUCUUAAAGAAAAUGAAGAAAAUCUUUUAAAAGAAAAUACUUUUUUAAAAACAGAUUUAUCAAAUAUAUCAAAGAAAUUUUCUAUAGGGUCUGAAAAACUUGAAAAAAUUCUUUCAGCACAAAGACCUUACUUCAAUAAGUCUGGUCUAGGUAUGACAGAAGAAACAAUUCCCUUGAUUGAUUUUCCUAAAGUAAAAGAAAGAAUUAAGAAAAGGCUUUCGAGUGAGGUUUACAAAAAUCACUUCAAGAAAGUUUUUGUAAAACCUAUAGGAAGAAAUGCUCUCAGAUGUUCUAAGUGCAACAGUCCGGAUCAUUUUGAAAAAGAGUGUCCUAUGGUAUGGAAACCUGUUAAGAAAGUAUGGGCUAAUACUGUUUAUCUUACUAACACCAAAGGACCCAAGAAAAUUUGGGUACCAAAGAAAGCUUGAGACUUUAUUUUAAAUGCAGGUCUCCGUCAAGAAACAGGUAAAGUGGUAUCUUGACAGCGGAUGCUCAAGACACAUGACAGGAGACUCAAAUUGUUUUAUAAAGCUUGCUCAAGUAGAUGGUGGAAAAGUUUCAUUUGGAGGAAACAGCAAAAGGAAGUAUUGUGGGAUUUGGAACCGUGAAAAUUGGAACUCUCACAAUAAGUAAUGUUUCCUUAGUGGAAGGACUCAAUUACAAUCUUCUCAACAUUAGUCAAUUGUGUGAUACUGGUUUCAAGAUCUUCUUUCAAGAAUGAACAUGUUCUGGAAUCAGUAAAGACUCUACUCAGUCUUUCAUGGGUCGAAGACAUGGAAAUAUUUAUCUUCUGGAUGUGAAACCAAAUGAAUCGCAAUGCCUUAUCUCAAUUCAAGACGAAGCAAGCUUAUGGCACAAAAAGCUAGGUCAUGUCAACAUGAAGCAAUUAGCCAAAAUCUCAUCAAAGCAGCUUGUUCGAGGUCUACCAAAAUUGCCAUACCAAAAGACUGAUUCAUGCACUCCAUGUAUUCUGGGAAAGCAAGUAAGAAAUUCUUUUAAGCCAAUAAAUUAUGUCUCUACUAAUCAUGUACUACAGUUGCUGUAUAUGGAUCUCUUCGGACCAACCAGAACUCAGAGUAUUGGGGGUAAGAAGUAUUGCCUAGUAAUUGUUGAUGAUUACUCCCGUUUUACUUGGGUAUAUUUCCUUUCAAGUAAGUCCGAAACCUUUUCGUAUUUUGAAAAAUUUGCUAAAAAGGUUCAAAAUGAAAAAGGAUGUGUUAUCUCUAGUAUAAGAACAGAUCAUGGAGGUGAAUUUGAAAAUCAAGAUUUUACAAAAUUCUGUGAUGAAUCUGGCUUUAAGCAUGUGUUCUCCUCUCCAGGUGUGCGCGAUAGAAGAAUUCCAAAGUCUGAAACUCUUAUUUGUUUAGAUAAAUCCUUUGAGCGAAUACUUGUAUACAAAAGAGAGUCUAUAUUUGUGAGAGACCUUGAGGAGGUGUGGUAGAACAUCUACACUAUGGAAUCAAGGCAAAGCUGUGCUGUAACUUCUCUUUUGAUCAUAGUGAAAUCCAGUCGGUGGGCUGUCAGUGCGGAAGAGUGGACGUAAGCUUGGAAUAAGCUGAACCACUAUAAAUCCUGUGUUCAAAUUUCUCUCUCUCUAUCUCGAUCGUAUUUCAUUUUGUUAAGAAUUGCUUUCGUAUUUGGGACAAAUUGUUUGUGCGCCUAUUCACCCCCCCUCUAGGUGUUUAUAUUAGCAAUAUCAGAAACCCCACGUCUCGCAGGCUUCCCGGACCAGGCCGACCGUCCGCUUCCGCUCACCGGGCUCCAGCCCCGGCCCGCACCUCCGAAGUCCACGACCGGAAUGCUCGGGCUCGGUCUUGGCAACUCUGAGGCGCGGUCGAGCUCGAGGUCGAGGUGGUCGUGGACGAAGAAUCUUGGUAUCUUGGUCAGCCCGGCGUCGGCGAGGCCCUUGACGCCGGCCUUCAAGUCGUCGAAGGACUUCAGCUCGGCUUGCCGAUCGUAACCACCGUCGGGGGCGAGUAUCAGCUCCGGUGCCAUCUCUCUUUUCUUCCGGCACAGGAGUCAGCGGCAGCGCAAGCGAAGUGAGGCAAAGAGAAUGAGAGAAAUCUCAAGAAGACCAUAUUGGAAGAUAAUUUCCGACGGUGGAGUGCUCGGAAAUGCGUCCGCCUGGAGGCUCUUGUCGUUUCUGGCGAACAUUGGUCGAUCCAUGGAACUCCAUUGUCAACUCAAGCUUGCGUAGGCCAGCCAGCCAUAGUGAUCCGCAGGAAAGGGAGGGAAAAUGAUAUAAAAUUUCUGAAUUUUGACUUAAUAUGUAAAAUAAUCUUUAAAAUUUUAAUUUAUUCAAUAUAAAUUAUGAAUUAAAUUAAAUCUAAUUUAAUUCAUAAUUUAAUAUGUAAAAGACUAUAUUGUAUAUUAGGAUAAAAUCUGUAGAUUAUAUUGAAUAAAUUAAAAGUUCAAUGACCGUAUUAUAAAUUAAGCUAAAUUCAAGAUCAUUUAUGUAGUUAUCUCAUAAUUGUAACCAUACAUUCUAUAGUGGAUGUUUCUAGUGCAAUGAAUAUGAGAUUUUUUUAUGUAACGUGAGUGACUAACACCAAUCACCCCUUAUCAUCUUUUUUUUUAUAAUCAAACCGCUGUUGUCGUCUUGUGAUUUUGAGCAUGACAAGAUAUGCAAAAAUUGAGAAAUAUUAAAAAAGUAAAAACACAGUUCGAGAAGCCACUGCUGCUAGACAGAAGAGACAACGCUCUUCAAUAUUCUAUUUUUGCAAUGAUUUGAGAGCAUUUGUCACGUUGUAAAUUGUAAUUCUCGAAUUAUGUAAGUUGAAAUAAGUGGCACGUCUUACUUCCUAAUUUGAAUUUAUGAUAUAUUGAGUAAAAUCUCAUGAAAUACUUGUGUCAAGUGACUUGAUCAAAUGACAUCAUCUCUGUAUUGGAAACACUUAUAUAUACCUAUCUUGAGGUGAAAAAAAAAAAGAAACUUGAGAUAUAAUUUGUAACAUCUAAUUUGCACGUAUAACUGAAAUUAUGCACACGAUUCAGCUAUUGUCUCUGCAAGUUUGCGUCCAGUUCCCUGUGCCACUUAAAUUUCGUGAAGAACCAUGCACUCAAACAACAUUGUCGGGAACUUUUUAAAACUUUUCUAAUUCUUAUCAUUGUCCUAUACUCCAUUUACUUUGGAAAACAAAAGACAUUGUUUAACUAAUGGAUUAGCAUCACCCAAUAACCCAAACUAGUACACAUGAACCAAAUUUAUUGUCACAAGAAUUCUUGAAUCGGUAGUCUUGUGCCGCCGAAAUGGCUCUUCCUCAGGGUUAAAUCUGCACCCAUCUUUCUGCAGUGCGUGAGGACGCAUUGCCAGUCCCGUCUAUAAUCUCUCGGUAGGUCUUGCGGACUUGCAUAACGAGAAGAGGCCUCUGCUGCUUAGAGCUUAUGACACCAGAACGUAGCGGUAAAAACAUAGCUCGCUUUACCCACAAAGGUUGGACCUUAGGACACCAAAGCAUUGCGGCAAUGGAAGCACACUCUUUCUAUUUGAGGUCGUCUUCUGCUUUAACUCUUUAUUUUGUUUUCACCUGAAAAGGUUGGAGCUUAUGACACCGGAGCAUAAACAUAGCAGCAAAACUGAAACAAGCUCUUUUUGUAAUAGAGUCGAAGUACUCCCCUACUCCCCCUCCCUCAGCCAGCCUACGUCGCCGUUUUUGGUGAAAUUCUUGUUUGUUAAUUCAUGUAACGUUUUCCCACCUUUUAACUAUAGUUUUGGAGAUGAUAAGAGAGACCGCUUCCUGCAUUAUAAGAGAUUUUUGCUACUUCUGUGACAAACUCAUUGUUGUUACUUGAUUCAUUGAUCUACUCAUGCUAGAUAACCGUGAUCACUCCGUGAGAUGAAGAAGAAGAAGUAGGGUAACAAAAAAAAAAACAUUGUCUGGGCAAAAAACUGAUAUUUUUGGAAGAACAAGUUCACAAGAAUAUUGGACUUUUAGGCACUGACGGAUGACUAGGAUUCGAUAUUAGAAUUUGGAUUUAGUUUUCUACUUAAGUACACGUCAGGUAGAAAUCUAAAAUAUUGUAGAUUGAAUUGUUGUUCCAACACAUCUCUUUAGUUUAAUAGUGCAGGCGCAAAUCUGUCCAUGGUAACAUGGGAUUCACAUGAUCAUCAGUUGAGAUGGACUUGACAUUGGAGCUUCAUGCUCUGAUCAUAUCGUAGUCAAUUGAUGAAGUAUUUUGCACAUGAAAGCCGAGACAUAAUAUGAAUAUGAAAAGUUACAAACUAGCCAGCAAACUUGUAUCACGCUCGGGUUUAUUUUCUGCUAAUGUAGGUAUCCCCUUUCCAAUUUUUAGCACCAGUUGUUUGCCACUGCCAAGCUCACAGCUUGAACUGCUGCAGAGCCGAAGUCCCAUCACUUUUCGUGCUAAAGUGGGAACUAUACUCCAUGAUGGUGGUUUCUCCGUCUUCAUCGGAUCACCCACAGAAAUCAACUCCUUGAUCGGACCACACAGUUUUGGCAAUGGCGGCGUCGCCGUGUAAAGAAGCACACUGCAGACACUCUCAGCCCCAUGUUUGCCACAACUCUGUGCUCAGAGCUCUUGAAUAUGUCACUCGAGAUAAGCUGAAAAAAAAAAUGGUCUGGUUUGUGAUUAGAAGUGCACACUCACCUGCUGGAUAAAGAGCUCAGGCAUAAAAUGCUUUGUUCAGUAAUUCAUUCAUGUGCCUAACAAGGUCUCUGGUGAUAAGACGUAGGGAGGGAGAGUGAGUAAGGUGAGACUUGCCUGAAGCAGAUCUCCAAUGUUAACUACCAGCACUCAUGGCACAGGGCCCAUGUCGAUCCACUGAUUCUGUUGAAGAACUUGGAGACCUCCUACAUGGUCUUGCAGGAGGACGGUGAAGAAGUCACUAUCAAUGUGUCUACAAAUCAGCAGCAGAGCUCACAACAUUCUGAGCAGCGUCAUUCUCCUCCAUCUAGUCCUCAAGAUGUUGAUCAUCAUCAAAAUGAAGAAAUCAUUGAAGAUGCAAACCCUGUAAGAGUUCAAAGGCCCUAUUUUAUUUAUAAGCUGUAUCGUGCUUUAAAAGGGACUGGUACUCCGUUGAACUAUGUGGAUGAUUUUCUUAAGGACAAAGGAUAUGGAAAUGAAUAUAUCUUUUUGCGAAAAAUGGAAAGUUUGGGAAUUGCUCGUAAGGGUGUGGCAGAAGAAUCCCUUGCGAAUAUCCCAAGUGACCCUUGUGAUUGGGGAGUUAAUCCGGUGGAUGGAAAUGAUUAUGACAAAUUAUAUAGCGAAUUUCAGCCAAGAAUGGGAAUUGCGGCGGAAAAUCGAGAAAAAAUGGGAGAGUUGUUUAGAUCAAAGGAACAGAUGGAUCUAUACUCAAAAUUGCUGAAGCGUUGGCUGAUAAACCCUAGGAGUGUAGAUUUUGACUUUCUGGAUGCUGUAAAUGUGAACUUAAGGGAAAAGUUUGGUCAUCUUCAACUUGAGAAAUUUUGCUCUGACUCCACGGAGGCCUAUCCUCAACUAUAUGCAUAUUUCUAUUCAAAUCUUAGUUUAUUGGAUGCGAAUAGAUACUCCUUCAGUGUCAAAGAUCAAGACUUUGUUGUGGAUAUGGAUAUGCUGGCAGAUGUGUUAGGAGUUGAGAGAGGAAGGUAUCAACGGAUCAAAGUUUCUAUUGCUCGUACUACUCUGGAACUUGUUAAAGACAGGAAAACAGAGGGAAAGAUUUCCUAUUCAAGGAUGAGUGCAUUUAACAUCUANNNNNNNNNNNNNNNNNNNNNNNNNNNNNNNNNNNNNNNNNNNNNNNNNNNNNNNNNNNNNNNNNNNNNNNNNNNNNNNNNNNNNNNNNNNNNNNNNNNNNNNNNNNNNNNNNNNNNNNNNNNNNNNNNNNNNNNNNNNNNNNNNNNNNNNNNNNNNNNNNNNNNNNNNNNNNNNNNNNNNNNNNNNNNNNNNNNNNNNNNNNNNNNNNNNNNNAUUCAGCCUCCGCAAAUUCUUAUGACAACUUCUAUCCAGGUCUUGUAACAAAGUAUUCAGACAUCUAAACAUUCAGCUCCGCAAAUUCUUUGUGCUCGAUCGUGCGAUCAUAAGGUGGUAGGACUGAAAAUGGUGACCAAGAUGCAUCUGAAGGAACUAAGCAAGGCAUUGGAGAAAUUUAAGGAGAAGACUCCAGUCAAAUCUCAUCAAUUCUCUUCUGCAGGAAAAAGGAAAGGGAAGGAGCCCAUGGAUGCUCCAUCCAAGAGAAAAAGAGCUCUCCUCGUUGAGGAUGAAGAUGAUGAGGAUAACAAAACUAUCUCUGCUUUGAAGAAUCUCAGUCAAUCUGUUCCAGAGAAAGAGACAGAACAGCAGACAGAAGAAAGAGCAGAGAAAGAGGCAGAGGAAAAAGAAACAGAAGAGCAAAGAGAUCAAGAAGAAGGAGAACAUGAGGUGCGCUCUCCACCUGAAGGCAUAGACACAGGGGGAGACCAAGAGAAAAGAGGAAUGACCUCAAAUCCUGCAACCAGUGAGGGAGUCAGUCGAUCCCCAGCAAAUCCAGAGGACGUUUUUGCCUCUCAGUUUCCUGAGGAAGGUCAUGAGGUUCUUCGCCAAAUCUACGUGAUUAUGUUGAUCUUCCAUCGUCUGCAUUUACUCCAUCAGAUCGUGCUAAUGCCAGUACGCAGACUGAAAAUUCAGCAGACUUUCGCAGAGUGAUGGAUAUUCUCUUGGAAAUGCAAGGUCAGAUAUAUGCAUUGGGAUGUGAAGUUCAGAACUUGCAGAAUGCAGGACAAGUCUCUUCGGGUUCAUUAAAUGAUCAAAUCCAAGCCCUUUCUCUUCAGAUUCAAGCUAAUGCUAAGGGUGAGGAUGUUGCUUAGCUGAAGGAAGACUUUAAAAGGCUGGAAGGCAUCGUUCAGUCGAUGGGAGAUUUUCAGCUUGUUCGUAUUCCCAAGAAUCCUUGACUUCAUUUUCAUCUCAAUAUUUUUAUGCUGACAAAAAGGGGGAGAAUUUGGUCGCAACUUGAAAAACUUUGAACUUAAACUUUUGGCUUGUUUGGUUUGUGGUUUGUUUUGACUUGACUUGUGUCUGGAUGUGGACUAAAUUUGGGAUUUGGAUUUGACUGCUUAUUAUUAACUACUAUUGAUGUCUUAUGGAUGGGUUUAUAGCAUACUGGACCAACCUAUUUUUUGUGGUUGCAGAUUCUAGUGUUAUUCAUUUAGCCAUUUUAAUCUAUAAGAUAUGCAUAUGUGCUUGAGAAAUGUUUUGCAAGUCAAAGUUUUCCAAAUCUGCAGGAAAGUUUUGUCACCAUAAAAAAUGGGGAGAUUGUUGGAGAAAUUCCUCAUGAAGUGUUUUGAAUUUGACAAAACGUUUCCAUCAGUCUAGUUUGAAGGAUUGCAGACUCUACUAUUUAAAGUCUGAAGACCUCCGAACAGCCAAACUCAAGACUCAAAGUCUAUCCUCAUUGACAGUCUCUAAUCCGUUGAAGAAAGGCUAUCCAGAACUUGAUGUUUCAUUAAAGAUGUGGCCUUAUCGACUGGAGAAGAUCUCUAGGCUGGAUAUGACAUAAUGGAAUUCUAUAUUUGAUCACAAUUGAUUCGAAUAUUAAGGAUCCGAUGAUUGGCAAGGUUUACUUGGAAGGUUCUACUUAUGGAAACCGAGAUCCUAUUUGUAUGGGCGAACAGGAUUGAUGGGCUAUCGACAUGUUCCUUUAAUAACUCGAAUGAUCUUCCUAAUUGAUUCCGUCCAACGGGUAGAUUGGAGGAAUUCCUUUGGUAAGUGCCAACGGGUAUGAUGGCAUGAAGGAGAAUAUAAGGAAGACAUUCUAGUUGUUCGAGAGGGUGUACGAGAGAAGAAUUCCAAAGUCUGAAGCUCCUUAUUUCUAGUCAGUUCAUUUGUUGAGCAUAAUCGUGUAAACAAAAUAGAGUCUAUAUUCGUGAGAAACCUUGAGGAAGUGUGGUAGAACAUCUACACUGUGGAAUCAAGGAAAAGCUGUGCUGUAACUUCUCUAUUGUUCAUAGUAAAAUCCAGCCGGUGGGCUGUCAAUGCGGAAGAGUGGACGUAGGCUUGGAAUAAGCCGAACCACUAUAAAUCUUGUGUUCAUUUCUCUCUUCCCUAUCCUUUACUUUACCUUGAUUGUAUUUUCCUUUCUAUCGAUUGCCUAAAAUCGCUUUCGUAUCUCGAAAAUUUGUUAGUGCACCUAUUCACCCCUCUCUAGGUGAUUAUACUAGCUAUCUCAGAGGCAACACUGUACCUGAUGUGAAGUUGCCGCAUAAGCAUCAAUUCAUAGGACAAGCUCUUCUUGCAAAGCUCUUUCUUGUCUGCAAAGGUCCACACAAGGUAUGGCUUGUUCCUCUUCAUUCUCAUGUGUGCGCUGCAAUUUCAAAUUGGAUUCUAGUAAAUCACAGAGUAGUGUAUGUACGAUUGUAUGUGUCAUGCUUCUUUCCCUAGCCUAGAAUUGGCUCCAGCCAGUACUUAGUUUGCUCCUCUUUUGUUUUACUCGGCUUCAGUGUCUUCUUUUGGUAUAGCGCAUGAGGUGCUUUCAUGCUUUUUCGGCAGGAUUAGGUCCUCGGGUCGGUUAGACACUGUUGAUGGCUAUAUAUGUCUAUUUGUUGGUUUUCUUUGGUUGUUGAUACUAAGAAGACUUGUUGCUGAUAAAAUUGAACUACUUCAGUGCAUGCUGGUGGCAUCUUAUUUGAAAUGUCGAACUUCAGAUAUUUAUCACGAUUUGUAUUCCAACAUCUUCUGAUUUUGUUCUAUCUGUCAAGCUUGAUGAGCCAAUUACUUUCUUGGUCUAAUUUUAGAAGCAUCUAGCUUAUUGCAAAAGCUUAAUUUCUUUCGUUUAGCAUUGCCUCUUUGGGACUGCCACAGUCAUGGUCAUCUUUCCAGACUACACUCCUUUUAUUAUUCUGUUGAUGGAUUUGUUAUUCAAUGGAUUGGAAGUAGCUUCUUUUCCGUUGGACCCCAUCUCUACUCGUCCGAGGAAGUUUGUGUAAGGCGUCUGAGCUUCGUUUGGGACUGACGACUCCUUUCGAUAAGGGUUGUCGGGUGAUGAAACUGAAAUGACGAUAACCUCCUGCAUGGAUACUUCUGCUCUGACUGAAAUUCAUUCUUAAUUAAGGCUUCGUUUGUUUCACUAAAAAUAUUUUCCUAGGAAAGCUUUUUCCACGAUUUUUCAUUAACCGGAAAAUACCCUUCUAAAACUAAGAAAAUGAUUUAUCGGGCUUCUUUGCGCAUCCUCUGUCUCCUUCUCCAUCUCGUGAUGGAGAGAGAUGGCGAGCUCAUCUCUUCCCUGCAAAUUUAAAGCCCUCUGCCUCAGCGCCUCUUCUUCUCCUUCUUCUUCUCGCAGUCGCAACGCUUUCAAUUCCCUCGGAUUCUCCGCUAGCCUCUUGCACGACGUUUUCUCCGGAGAAAACCUCGACGGCAACCUUCCGAUUCCACAGGCUGGCUUUAUUCUCAAGUCUGACUUUCGUGUUCGGUCUUCGUUUUCAAGUCGUUUGUUGGUGAGCAAUGGCGAGAAGAACCCGCCCCAUUUCUCUAUCACGUGUGAGGCCAUUCCGACGAAGAGGUCGGACUCCGCCGCCAAGAGGGCUCGCUAGGCCGAAAAGAGGCGCAUUUACAACAAAGCUCAUAAAUCUGAGAUUAGGACGCGUAUGAAGAAGGCGUUUGUUUCGGUUAAUUUGAUUACUGUGCGAAGCAUUCUAUAAUACGCGCUACCGGACCACCGUCCUUCGGUGAAGUCGUCCGAAUGAUUUUUGCUGUAUAUGCUGGGGUGGUGGUUCUGCUACAUCGAAUUUUGUUGAUUAGGUUGUGGCUAUUAAAUUUGUCAAAAUGAAUCUUAAACUCAUAUACGACCCAAUUUAAAACGUAAAUGAGUCUUAUAUGAGUCACUUAAUUUUGACAAGACCAUCUUAAAUGGGUUGAGUUUAGAACCCAUUUUCAAUUCAUUAACUCAACCCAUUAGGCUCAUUCACACUUUCUCUUCAUCUUUUAGAAAUAUUUAUAAAAAAAAUCGAAAUUCCUUUUUUUUUCUUUUCUUCUUCCUUCUUCCAUUUCCUUCACUAGUGGCUGGUGACGGCAACCGCUGGCUAGGUGAGCUUGAGCUCAUCGAUCGGGCAAGGCCGAGACCUCUCUGAGGUCAAUCCUCGCCAAUCCAGCGAGAAUUGACCUCGUCGACGACUGGGCGUAGACCUUGCCAAUUUAUCAAGGCUCGAGCUCGACCUCAAAUGAUAGGUGAAGCCUCAUCUGAGGUUGGCAAGGUUUGGCUUGCUAGCCAUCGCAGUGGCCGGUAAUCAGUGAAGGAAAAGGAAAAAGAAAAAAAAAAAAAAAGAGGCCAUCUUAAUAAAUGCAAAAAGGAAGUGGCAUGGAGCUCAUCUUAAUAAAUGCAAGGUGGUCUUUGUGAACUUGAGAAGAGAGGCCAACGUACAAGAUGUCUCUUUCCCAUGUGAGCAUCAUGAAGUGCAAUAAUGAUUAUUGUAUGGUCAUUACCACCGAAUGAUGAAGACUCACUUCUACAUUAUAAAAGAGAGCAAGAGACGUGGGACAAGAAUUGCGCCGAGGUGGCUGAGAGAGCACCAAGUCCCUUUGGUGGCUAAGAGUGCGCCAAGUCCUUGGUGGCUAGAGAGAAGAGAGUGUGCCAAGUUCUUUGGUGGUUGCGAGGGUUGAGUAAUGUUGUAAUUACGCCUGAGCAAUUUAGCUAGAUAAAUUCUUGUGAGUAGAAUUUGUUUAAUUCCUUGAGUGUGGCUUCACUAAGAAUUGUGAGGGGCUAAAUACUCUAAACUUGAGAAGAGAGGCCAACGUACAAGAUGUCUCUUUCCCAUGUGAGCAUCAUGGAGUGCAAUAAUGAUUAUCCUACGGUUAUUGCCACCGAAUGAUGAAGACUCACUUCUACAUUAUAAAAGAGAGCAAGAGACGUGGGACAAGAGUUGCGUCAAGGUGACCGAGAGAGCGCCAAGUUCCUUUGGUGGCUAAGAGUGCGCCAAGUCCUUGGUGGCUAGAGAGAAGAGAGUGCGCCUAGUUCUUUGGUGGUUGAGAUGGUUGAGUAUUGUUGUAAUCACACCCGAGUAAUUUAGUUAGACAAAUUCUUGUGAGUAGAAUUUGCUUAAUUCCUUGAGUGAGAUUUCACUAAGAAUUGUGAGGGGCUAAAUAUUGUGAACUUGAGAGGAGAGGCCAACAUACAAUAUUUGUCUUUCCCAUGUAAGCAUCAUGAAGUGCAGUAAUAAUUAUUCUAUGGUCAUUGCAACCGGAUGAUGGAGACUCACUUCUACAUUAUAAAAGAGAGCAAGAGAUGUGGGACAAGAAUUGCACCGAGGUGGCUUAGAGAGCACCAAGUUCCUUUGGUGGCUAAGAGUGCACCAAGUCCUUUGUGGCUAAGAGAGAGUGCGCCAAGUUCUUUAGUAGGUGAGAGGGUUGAGUAUUGUUGUAAUUACACCUGAGUAAUUUAGCUAGACGAAUUCUUGUGAGUAGAAUUUGUUUAAUUCCUUGAGUCAGGUUUCACUAAAAAUUGUGAGGGGCUAAAUACUCUGAACUUGAGAAGAGAGGCCAACGUACAAUAUGUCUUUUUCCCAUGUGAGCAUCAUGAAGUGCAAUAAUGAUUAUUCUUUGGUCAUUGCCACCGAAUGAUGAAGACUCACUUCUACAUUAUAAAAGAGAGCAAGAGAUGUGGGACAGGAAUUGCGCCGAGGUGGCCGAUAGAGCGCCAAGUUCCUUUGGUGGCUAAGAGUGCACCAAGUCCUUGGUGGCUAGAGAGAAGAGAGUGCACCAAGUUCUUUGGUGGUUGAGAGGGUUGAGGAUUGUUGUAAUUACACCUGAGUAAUUUAGCUAGACAAAUUCUUGUGAGUAGAAUUUGUUUAAUUCCUUGAGUGAGAUUUCAUCAAGAAUUGUUAGGGGCUGGGAAACACUGAGAGAAUGUUUGAGUGCUCAAGUGAUUGUAAUCUCCAUUGUCUCACUUGUUUUUUAGUGGAAUUUCAUACUGCUCUUCCCAUGAACAUAAGUUCCGAUAUUCGAACCGUAUCACAUAAAUUUGAUGGUCAAUUUCCUUUCCCUCCUUCCAAAUAAAUCUAUCCUACUCGUUUGUCUAUAUUCACAACAAUUGAUAUCAAAGCUAGUGUUGGCUAACUUGAAGUGAAUUGAUAACGAUGGAGGAAGAAAAGGUGAGAAUCACCGAUUUGAUGGGAAUGAUUUUGCUUUCUAGAAGAUGCAGAUUGAAGAUUAUCUGUACUAGAGAAAUUUGCACUUACCAUUAUAUGGGGAGAAACCAUAAUCAAUGAAGGAUGCCAAGUGGGAAUUGCUAGAUAGACAAGUGAUGGGUGUUACUCUGUUGACGUUGGCUCAUAACAUCAUGUUUAAUAUCAUGAAGGGGAAAACCACUACGGAACUAAUGAAAGCCCUGUCAAAUAUGUACAAGAAGUCCUCCAUGAUCCAAAAGGUCUAUUUGAUGCAACAUCUAUUUUACUCAAAAUGGGCAAAGAUACAUUAGUCUCUAAGCAUAUCAAUGAAUUCAAUGAAGUCGUUAACCAAUUGAAUUUGGUUGAAAUCAACUUUGACGAUGAGAGAUGUGCCCCGGUUUGGUUGAAAUCAACUUUGAAGAUGAGAUAUGUGUGCUGAUUUUAUCAUCCUCAUUACCUGAUAAUUGGAAUACUAAUGUUACCGUUGUUAAUAAUUCAUUUGGGUCAAGGAGCUUGACAUUUGAUGAGGUUCAUAAUUUGAUUUUGAGUGAAGACAUUCUUAGGAAAAAAUUUAGUGAACCUAUACCUAUUGCCUUAGUAGGUGAAAGUAGAAGAACAACUAAUACAUGUGUUAAUAAGAGUAGUAUAAAUACGAAUAGAUGUAGUCAAUUUAGGAUUAUAGGAGUUGUCUAUUGGACUUGUGGCAGGAGUGGGCAUGGUAGAAGAGACUCUAUUAUGCUGAAAAAUGAAAAGGGUAAGAGAAUUAGAGUUGAGUCUAUAGAAUAAUUCUGAUAAUGUAGAUUGUGUCUUGUCUAUCAUUGAGGAUUCAUCAUUUGAUGGAUGGAUAAUGGAUUUUGGUUGUUCAUUUCACGCUACACCAAAUUGGAACUAGUUUAUCACUUAUCAGUGCACGGAAAAUGGUAAAGUCCAGUUAGCAAACAACACUGAGCAUGAUGUUGUGGGUGUUGGUGAUGUUAACAUCAAAAUGUAUGAUGGUAUUGUGAGGACAUUGACCAGAGUAAGUCACAUCCCGAAGUUGAAAAAGAAUUUAAUUUCCUUAGGUUCCUUAGGUUCAGUUGGCUAUGGGUAUUUUUUAGAAGGUGGAAUGUAAAGGUUAUUUGAGGUGCCCUGGUGAUAUUGAGAGGAAUCAAGCACGGAGACAUGUAUGAACUUCAAGGUGAGACAAUGACAGGUUUCAGUUUGAAGACAUCAAAUACAUCUAUUCAAGAGUCUAUCAACUACUUGAUAAAGACCUGGGUGUUUGUACCGAUGCACAAAUUUGAUGCCAUUGUCAGGAACAUACAAUUGAAAACUUUGAUUGAGAUGAAGACUGGUAAGUCAAUCAAGCAUAUGUGAAUUAAUAAUAGCAUGGAAAUUUGCUCAAAGCUAGUAAAUAAAUUCUGCAUGAAGGAAGGCAUAAUGAAACACCGCACUAAUACCGAUAAACCAUAACAAUUUGCAAAAUUGAUUAGCAAAUCAUUAUUAAAGACGGACGGUAGAAUGAUCUCUAGUGUUGGUGUUGGUAGGAGAAUCUUGGCUGACAUGCUUAGUAUGGUAAGCUACUAGGUAAAUACAUCCCCAUCAAUUGCUAAUGAUUGGUGGAUUCCCAAAGAAGUAUGGUCAAGUAAUGUUACUAGUUAUUCUAUUCUUAGAAUGUUAGUUGCACGUGUUAUUUUCGAGCGAAUGAUGGUAAGCUCGAUGGGAGUGCAAGGCAUAUUCCAUGGCUAUGCAUAAAGCGGGGCAGUCAGUUGUGGUGCCCUGAUAUAAAAUCACAUGUUAAUAGCAGAGAAGUUACCUUUGACAAGUCUCCAAUACUUUUGGCUUAGAGUGUUUGUGGCAGUGUUGAUAUGGAUCUGGACGGUGUUUAGCUCAAGGUGGAGUUACAACCAGAAACUCUUUAGGUAGUAGGUACUAGUAGAAUAAUUGACACAUACGAUACUUGUAGCGAGAUGGAGUUAGUAAAGCCAACGGUUGCUUUAGUUACUAAAUUUGACAAUGUGCAUGUUUGAUCUUAUGUCAAAUACGAAAGCAACGAUGGUUUUGUUUUAUUUGUGGUACGGGAGGUUAUGUCGAAAAUCCUUAUGGACUAGCUAACUAUGUAAGUGGAGUUGGCAUCUUGAUAAGGUACACGGUUGUGGCAAAGUUUAAGUGUGGCUCAAACUUGGAAGCACUUUGUGGUGGUUGAUCCCAUUGGGGCUGUGGGAGAGUAGUGUCGAGUUUUUCAUUGAAGCGAUUGUGACUUGACUUAAACGUUGAGCCAAGGUGGAGAUUGUUUAAAAUAUGUCUUGAGUUUGAGCAUAUUGAACAAUACUCAAUGUAAAAAAAAUAAGACUAACCGACCUUGUGAUUUUGUAAGACUUCUUCUUCGAUCUAGCUACACAUGAUUGCAUUUAUGUUUAGCCCCAACUGUGAGAAGAAGAAAAUUGCGUAUGGAUUUCAUUUUGCAUUUAUCUCUCUACAUGUGUAGAAAGCAAUAAAGAAAACUUGCGUGUUUUAUUGACUCUCUUUCCUUGGUUCUAUGCCGAGCUGUGAUCGAAGUCAAUGAAGAGACUUGCCCAAGCACUAAAUAUGGGAAUUCUCUAUCUACAUAUGAAAUAAAGGAAUCCCUGUGAAGAAGCAUGUGGAAGCUUCAGUCGAAAGAGCAAUUAAAAAGGAAGUUGCUUGGAGCCCAUCUUAAUAAAUGCAAGGUGGACUUUUUGAACCUGAGAAGAGAGACCAAUAUACAAGAUGUCUCUUUCCCAUGCGAGCAUCAUGAAGUGUAAUAAUGAUUAUUCAAUGGUCAUUGCCACUGAAUGACGAAGACUUACUUUUGCAUUACAAAAGAGAGUGACAGACGUGGAACAAGAAUUGUGCCAAGGUGGCCGAGAGAGCAUCAAGUCCCUUUGGUGGCCAAGAGUGUGCCAAGUCCUUGGUGGUUAGAGAGAAGAGUGUGACAAGUUCUUUGGUGGUUGAGAGGGUUGAGUAUUGUUGUAAUUACACCUGAGUGAUUUAGCCAAAUAAAUUCUUGUGAGUAGAAUUUGUUUAAUUCCUUGAGAAAAGUUUUACUAGAAAUUGCAAGAGGCUAAACACUGUGAGUUAUUAGGUGUAACUGGGGGCUGAGAAAUACUGAGAGUGUUUGAGAGCUCAAGUGAUUGUAAUUUCCAUCAUAUCACUUGUUUCUAUAGUGGAAUUUCUAUGCUGCUCUUCCCAUGAAUGUAUGUUUUGAUAUUCGAACCAAACCACGUAAAUCUGGUAUUCGAUUUCCUUUCCUCCCUUCCGACUAAUUUUAUCCAAUUUCUUGUCUUUAUUCACAAUAGAUCUCCUCAUGCUAGAUAACACAGCCUCAUCUUCUCUCGGCCACUCCAAGAUAAACCCCAUCGCUUCUUGAGAUGAAAAGAAGAAGUAGGUGUAACGAUAUUCUUGGAAGAACGAGUUUACAAGAAUAUAGGACUUCCAAGCGUUGACGGAUAACCUCGGAUUCAAUAUUAGGAAUUGGAUUUAGUUUUCUACUUAAAUACACAUCAAGUGUGAAAACUGGAACGUUGUAGAUCAAAUUGUUGUUCCAGCCCAGUUCUUUAGUUUAACAGUACUUGCGCAAAAUCUAUCUAUGAAGAAAAUCGGUGCUUGGUUUAUAAACUAUGUAGACCAACGCCACAUCAAUCAUUAAUUAUGUGAGUCCGAGAAUGUGAGAUUCAUAUGAUGGACAGCCUUGACAUUGGAUCUCCAUGCUAUGAAUAUUUGGGUAUAUUGAGUAUAGUCUCUAAAGUACUUACACCAAGUGGCUCCAUCGUAUGACAUAGUCAAAUGAUGAAGUCUCUUUGCAUAUCAAAGCUAAGACAUAAUAUGAAUAAUGAAAAGUAAUACACUAACCAGCAAACUCAUAUAAUGCUCGGGUUUAAUUUCUGCUAAGACAUAAUAUGAAUAAUGAAAAGUAAUAAACUAGCCAGCAAACUUGUAGGACGCUCAGGUUUAACUUCUGCUAAUGUAGGCAUUCCCUUUCCAAUUUGUAGCACCAGAUUUUUGCCACUGCCAAACUCACAGCUUGAACUGCUGCAGAGCUGAAGUCCCAUCGCCUUUUGCAUUCGCGCUGAAGUGGGAAACGUACUCCAUGAUGGUGGUUUCUCUGUACUUUGGUGGAUCGCCCUCGGAAAUCAACUCCUUAAUGGGUCCAUACAGUUUUGGUGAUGGCGGCGUUGCCGUGUAAAAGAAGCACGCCACAGACACUCUUGGCCCCAUGUUGUUCGCCACAACUCUGUGCUCGGAGCUCUUGAAUAUGUCAUUUGAGAUAAGCUGAAAAAAAUAGUCUGGUUUGUGAUUAGAAGUGCACACUCAACUGCUGGAUAAAGAGUUAAGGCAUAAAGUGCUGUUUGUUGAUUCAUUCGUGUGCCUAACAGGGUCUCUAGUGAUAAAACGUAGGGAGAGAGAGUACGUUAGGUGAGACUUGCCUGAAGCAGAUCACCGAUGUUAACUAUCAGUGCUCCUGGCACGGGGCUCACAUCGAUCCACUGAUUCUGAUAAAGAACUUGGAGGCCUCCGACAUGGUCUUGCAGGAGCACGGUGAGGAAGUCGCUGUCUGUGUGCCUGCUGGUCCCCAUAGUGAGCUCUGGUUGUGGGCAUUUGGGGUAGUACUGGUUCAGAAGGACGAGUCCCUUGGCGCACUCCAUGUCCUUCAGAUGGUUCGGCUUCAACCCCAGCGCCUCCGACAGUAGUUCGAACAAGGUGGUUCCUAAAUUCAUCACUCGCUUCGAGAAUUCCAGCAUUAUGUCACUAGGGUGUUCAAAAAUUUAGUGGGUCAAUUCGUCACAAAUUCCUAGUCCGUUAGAAGCAGACACCCCAACAAGUUAUUAUAAGAGAUUGCGGUUAUAUAUUCUGUGGAAUAGCUUACCCGCAUACCGCUGGCAAGUCCUCUGCCUCGAGAGCAUUAGGUGCCAUAACACAGAACAGGGUGUCCCUCCAAUUAGCCGCCUCUGUUUUAUACAGAUUGAAAUUGCUGUGGUAGGCGACGCUUGUCGUGAAAUCUCGCGAAUAGAACCGUCUCUUCUCUUCAGCACCUUGCUCAUGGAAACGGCGCACUCCAUCCAGCAUCUCCUCCAGAACAGUCGUGGGGAUCCCGUGAUUCACCACCUGAAAGAAGCCCCAUGUUUUGGAUGCACUUCGAACUUCAUUUACAACCUCCUUGCGCCGAGAUGGAUCUUUCACAAUAUCUGCGAGGUCAACUAUAGGAACAUGGAAGUGGCCGUUGCUCGAUGCCAGUGCACUUUGCAGGUUCUCCGGGUGAUCUACGAAAAUGCGAGGAACUUCUGUAAUCCCAGCAUCAACAAGGCCCUUGACACCUGCCAUUGAUUCAUCGAAAUCCUUUAUCUCGCGCAUCCGAUCGUACUUCUGUGUUUUUUCAUGCGCUUCAUCUCUGCUGAGUACUUCCAUUUUUCUUCCUUAGUGAAAACGCUUAAGAGUUCCAAGUCCGAUCUUACAUUAAAUAUGGGAGAAAUUGAAAGACAAAGGUCCUGUGGUAUUUAAUGACUGGAUUCAAAAACAGUUGAGAAGAAAGAAGAGAACAAUUGUGUACGUUGCAUCACAAUGAAAGCGAUAAUAAAGCCAAGACGGCGACUGGGACAUGGAUUCAAAUGGCGAGUUAAAGAUGACGAGCAAGGAAUGUUGAUAAGAGGAAUCUGAUGACUCGUUAGCUAUAUCGAAUACAAGUGAUAAUAAAGCCAAGACGGCGACUGCUCCAAGCUUGAAGUGACUGAGAAAAGACGUGUAAUGAGGAAGCAAGUUAAUACAAAGAAAUGUAUUUGCCUCCAAAAUAACUGAAACUUCAAUUGAAAGUGGCCUUGUAUCAUCCCCCAAACUAUACUUAAAAGGAGGGACAAAAGCAUACCCCAAUGUUACGUGAUGGAAACUGACUAGAAACUCACUAAAGUGGCGAUUUAGGCUACCCAAAUGCCCCACGAGAACGCUCCUAAAAAAGGGUUGUUCUACCGCGUCGUGCCCCUGCGCAUGGCAAUCCAUCGUGCCCGAGCUGUAGGCUAACAUAAAACAUUAGUGAUCUUUGACUGCUAAUAUCGUAGAUAAAGCAUUACUCAGGUAAGAUAGGAAACCCUGCCACAGGUGUGAAAAAUACGUGAAGCACUAAAACACCGAUUUCAAAGGAGUAGUCUUCCUUAUGAUGGUUUAUUUGAAAUAUAAUCCAACUAAUUAUCCACGACCAUCAAAACAAAGCUCGCAAAUGAGCACUUCCAAUUCCCCCACAAUUAAAAAAAAAAAAAAAAAAAGUAACUUCUCCACUACUAAUCACUAUCGCCAUCAUGCUGCCAAACAGGAUGAUAAACAUGAUGUUUAUGCUAUUACCAUAUUCAUGUCUAGUGCAACUACAUGUAAUAAAAAGUUUUUGAUCAUGCCAUCAGCAAGUCUUACUCACCCCCCUCCUUCAUUCAUGAUCUAAACAUCAUAGAUCAGUUGAACAAGAUAAUCCUCUAGACAGUUUCGCUUUGGAUCAGUAAACUCAGCAACUCAGGCAACUCACAGAUUGGAGGGAUCAACAAGAACAAGUAUGGUAAAUCUAACCAUGAUUCCAUUUCUUAUUUUUACUUCGAAAGCAGAAAGCCUCUUAUAAAUGCACAAUAGUUACAUAAGUACGAGCUUGCCAGGCACUACAAAUAUAUACUCUAUUAAAAUUUAACCACAUCUGAAUGCUUUGCCGGGAAGCUAAUGCUCUGAAAAACUACACAGAUCAAAUGUGUCCACCUGUCAUUCAAGAGAGAACAUCCUUGAAUUGUCGUAUACAAUAUAUUUCAUAGCUUGAAAUGUUCCAGUGCAGAUACACCAUUAAGUCCUUUUGCAUAGUAGUGAGUGACGAGGUCCUUCACCGUAGUUUCCCGAUAAAUUGGGGGAUUUUCUUCUGAUAGCAGCUCCUCGAUAGGGCCAUACAACCUUGAAGAAUUCUCUGGAGGGAGAUGCUGCCUCAUUAAACACGCCACUGAAAUCCUUGGCCCGAUUUUCUGGGCUAGAACUCUGUGACUCACGCUAAUGAACUUAUCAUUCGAGAUCAGCUGCAAGAUGGAGGAGGACAUGGCAAAGUGAAGACCAAAUACUCUGGAAUAUCGAUUACACAUAAAAAUAGCAUACAUAAUCAAACUUGUUUAAAAGGGCGAAAUUUUAUCAAGUCAUUCUCACAUGUACUCCUAGCACAGUUAUCAAAAUAAUUAGGUAAGACCAAAAGAUUGUGAAGAAAAACAACAUUCACAUAGAAAUAUCAUGGAAACGGAAUUGACUUAGCUCAGUUAAUGUUGCAAGAGCUAACUGGAAGUUCCACAGUUGUAAACAGGAUACUCUACAAUCCAUCUGUUAGACCUCUACACUGACUUAGGGAAGUAUUCGGCAUCUCUAACACACUACAAAACAGUUAGGAUAGAAGAACAUAGAUGAAAGAGCUAUCUUCCAUUUCACUUAUUCAGAUUGUAACACCAGAUGUGUGUCCAUGGACUAUGAUAACAAAUUGACUGAAGGACCUACUCGUUAGAUCAGCCACACAAAAAAGCACAGAUUGGGCUAGAAAUGCAUUGGCUAAUGUGAGAACAUUGAAACAAGAAACUAACUGAUAGAAAUGUAAACUGCAAAACUCUGAUAAACGGACCUGCAUCAAGUCUCCCAAGUUUAUUACAAGGGCUCCAGGAAUUGGGGAAACGUCGAUCCAUUGGUUCUGAUGGUGGACCUGGAGGCCACCAAUUUGGUCUUGGAGAAGAAUGGUGAGAAAGCCACUAUCAGUAUGAUCACCAGUCCCAAGGGUUAAGUCCGGUUCUGGGCAUGGUGGAUAGUAAUGGCCGACAAAGAAGAGUCCCUCCCCACAGUGGAUAGUUUUCAGGUAGCUAGGGUCGAGGCCAAGAGCUUCCGACAGUAAUUCAAAUAUGGUAUCUGCCAAUUCCAGAAUUCUGUCCUUGUACUCAAUUAUUACGUCUCUGCAAGUCGAUUGGUUACAGAGAACAGGUGAUUAGUCAAAUGCCGUGGAACAUCAGAAGAUCAAUCUUUAUCUCACUCUCUCAAAGACCAGGUCUAUUUACUCUGCAUAAAAAAAUCAAGCUUCUAAAAUACAAGUCCAUAAUUCGUGUAACAGAGCAGCCAUUCUUGCAGACCAAAGAGGAAGAACAGAAAAAGGAAUUAGUUUUUCCAUUUAAACUGAAUCUAUCGGCACUCCGACUCCGAAUCCCCCAAAGAUCUACGCCCCACAUGAUCGUUUGCUUCAACUGAUCUAUGACCCCAAAGCCCCUUGAGAAAAUGGCAAGAACUCCGGCUACACCGGGCACUUGUUUCGCCAGGGCCAAGCAGCAGCUCCAUCUAUUCCCAAAGCCCCAUUUUUUACUUAAUUAUCAGAUCUUAAAUCUUAUUUAGGCUAGAGCUUCUUCCCUUUCUUUCUUUUCUUCCACUGAAUUGCUAUGCGUCAAAAAAAAAAACUAUCAUGGAACUUUCAAUUCGUCUCACACAACACAAGUGGGUAUCGCAAAGCUAAAUUUGAAAGCUUUUGUAUCGAAUGUCCCAAAACUAGAAUUAGUUUCAGCCCUUCAAGCGCGCACACCCAGAGAUUACCGACAGACAGCAGGCAAUUCCUGAGGAUCCGGACUACGGGGAGCCAAGACGCAGCUCAGCGUGUCCCUCCAGUUCGCCGCCGGGGCCCGGUACAGGUCGAAGUUGCUGUUGUACAGCACCUUCCUCCCGCCGUAAUCCCGCGAGUACCACUCCCGCUUCGCCUCAAGGUCCUGCUCGUGGAACCUCCGGAUCCCUUCCACCAUCUCCUCCGUGAGAGCCGCCGGCACGCCGUGGUUCACCACCUGGAAGAAACCCCACGUCUCGCAGGCCUCCCGGACCAGGCCGACCGUCCGCUUCCUCUCACCGGGGCUCCAGCCCCGGCCCACACCUCCCAAGUCCACGACCGGAACGCUCGGGCUCGGUCCUAGCGACUCCGAGGCGCGGUCGAGCUCGAGGUCGAGGUGGUCGUGGACGAAGAAUCUUGGUAUCUUGGUCAGCCCGGCGUCGGCGAGGCCCUUGACGCCGGCCUUCGAGUCGUCGAAGGACUUCAGCUCGGCCUGCCGGUCGUAACCACCGUCGGGGGCGAGUAUCAGCUCCGGCGCCAUUUCUCUUUUCUUCCGGCACAGGAGUCAGCGGCAGCGCAAGCGAAGCGAGGCAAAGAGAACGAGAGAAAUCUCAAGAAGACGAUAUUGGAAGAUAAUUUCCGACGGCGGAGUGCUCGGAAAUGCGUCCGCAUCGAGGCUCUUGUCGUUUCUGGCGAAUAUCUGUGGAUUCAUAGAACUCCAUUGUCAACACAAGCCUGCGUAGGCCAGCCAGCCAUUGCGAUAUGCAGUAAAGGGAGGGAAAAUGAUACGUAUAGUUUCUAAUUUUGACUUGAUACGUAAGAUACUCUCUGAAUAAUUCAAUAUAGUCCCUAAAUUCUUAAAUUAUUCAAUAUGAUCUGAAUUUUUAAUAUAUGUUCAAUUUAAUUCAUGGACGAUAUGGAAAUAUUUAAUGUUGUCCUUCCAUCAAUUCAAUAUUGAAUAUUUUCAUAUACUUUAAGGAUUAAAUUGAAUAUGUAUAAAAUAUUCAAUGACCGCAUUAUAAAUUAAGUUAAAAUUUGAGACUAUUUAUGUCUUUAUCUUGUAAUCGUAACCAUACAUUCCGUAGUGGAUGUUUCUAGUGCAAUGAUUAUGAGAUUUUUUUAUGUAACGUGAGUCACUAACACCAAUCACCCCUUAUCAUCUUUUUUAUUAAUCAAACCGCUAUUGUCGUCUUGCGAUAUUGAGCACGACAAGAUAUGCAAAAAUUGAGAAAUAUUAGAAAAGUAAAAACACAGGUGAGAAGCCACUGCUGCUGGGUAGAAGAGACAGCGCUCUUCAAUAUUCUAUUUUUGUAAUGAUUUGAGAGCAUUUGUCACGUUGUUAAUUGUAAUUCUCAAAUUAUCUAAGUUGAAAUAAGUGGCACGUCUUACUUCCUAAUAUGAAUUUUAUGAUAUAUCGAGCAAAGUCUCAUAAAAUACUUGUGUUGAGCGACUUCAUCAAAUGACAUCAUCUCUGUAUUGGAAACACUUAAAUAUACCUAUCUUGAGGUGAAAAAAGAAAAAGAAAAAAAGAAAUGUGAGAUAUAAUUUGUAACAUCUAAUUUGCAUGUUAACUGAAAUUAUGCACACGAUUUAGCUAUUGUCUCUACAAGUUUGCGUCAAGUUCCCUGUGCCACUUAAGUUUCGUGGAGAACCAUGCACUCAAACAACAUUGCCGGGAACUAAAACUUUUCUAAUUCUUAUCAUCGUCCUAUACUCGAUUUACUUUGGAAAACAAAAGACACAUUGUUUAACUAAUGGAUUAGUAUCACCCAAUAACUCAAAUUAGUACACAUGAACCAAAUUUAUUGUCACGAGAACUCUUGAACUGGUAGUCUUGUGCCACAAAAGAUAUACAUAUGCCACAUUUAUUCUAAAUCAAUGCAUCUUGCCAUACUUACCAAGAAACUCAAAUUUAUCAAAUAUACCAAUUUUGGGUAAAUAUGACAUGGAUGAACCGGUUUGGAGUUUUUUAUGGCACAAGUGUAUUAAUUUGGAAGUUUCUACUAGGCACAGGUGUAUCAGUUCAAGAUUUUUUGUGACAUAAAAAUUAAUUUGGAAUAAAUGUGAUGCAUAUCUAUCAGUUAGAGAUUUUUAGUAGUAUUAUAUGUAAUACCCGGUUACUCAAUUUUUAUUUUAUUUUUUUCUUUGAUAUUUAUGCAUGGCUAAUCUAGUUCAAAGUAUUAAGAGAGGCUGAUUCUUUUUUUUUUUUUUGUGCCAUCAAUGACAACAAAGACACGCUAAGUCAGGUAAGAAUAUAACGAAGACGAUGCUAGGAAUUGUGCAGAAGGCACCGUUGGGAGAGGGAGGGAGGGCAGGAAAGUUCGCGCAAGCCGUAAACCCCUAAAAAGACCUUCAAGGCCACUUCUGUCACUUAAGCAAAAGAAACCUGCGCCCGAAGCUAACUAAACCGCCGGAAUGGCUCUUCCUCAGGGUUAAAUCUGCACCCAUCUUUCUGCAGUGUGUGAGUACGCAUUGCCAGUCCCGUCUAUAAUCUCUCGGUAGGUCUUGCGGACUUGCAUAAACAUAGCAGCAAAACUGAAACAAGCUCUUUUUGUAAUAGAGUCGAAGUACUCCCCUACUCCCCCUCCCUCAGCCAUCCUACGUCACCGUUUUUGGUGAAAUUCUUGUUUGUUAAUUCAUGUAACGUUUUCCCACCUUUUAACUAUAGUUUUGGAGAUGAUAAGAGAGACCGCUUCCUGCAUUAUAAGAGAUUUUUGUUACUUCUGUGACAAACUCAUUGUUGUUACUUGAUUCAUUGAUCUACUCAUGCUAGAUAACCGUGAUCACUCCGUGAGAUGAAGAAGAAGAAGUAGGGUAACAAAAAAAAAAAAAAAACAUUGUCUGGGCGAAAAACUGAUAUUUUUGGAAGAACAAGUUCACAAGAAUAUAGGACUUUCAGGCACUGACGGAUGACUAGGAUUCGAUAUUAGGAUUUGGAUUUGGUUUUCUACUUAAGUACACAUCAGGAAGAAAUCUAAAAUAUUGUAGAUUGAAUUGUUGUUCCAACACAUCUCUUUAGUUUAAUAGUGCAGGCGCAAAUCUGUCCAUGGUAACAUGGGAUUCACAUGAUCAUCAGUUGAGAUGGACUUGACAUUGGAGCUUCAUGCUCUGAUCAUAUCGUCGUCAAUUGAUGAAGUAUUUUGCAUGUGAAAGCCAAGACAUAAUAUGAAUAUGAAAAGUUAUAAACUAGCCAGCAAACUUGUAUCACGCUCGGGUUUAUUUUCUGCUAAUGUAGGCGUUCCCUUUCCAAUUUGUAGCACCAGUUGUACACUGCCAAGCUCACAGCUUGAACUGCUGCGGUGCCGAAGUCCCAUCGCUUCUCGUGCUAAAGUGGGAAAUGUACUCCAUGACGGUGGUUUCUCUGUACUUUGCCGGAUCACCCACGGAAAUCAACUCCUUGUUGGGACCAUACAGUUUUGGCAAUGGCGGCGUCACCGUGUAAAAGAAGCACACUGCAGACACUCUCGGCCCCAUGUUUUGCCACAACUCUGUGCUCAGAGCUCUUGAAUAAGCUGAAAAAAAAUGGUCUGGUUUGUGAUUAGAAGUGCACACUCACCUGCUGGAUAAAGAGCUCAGGCAUAAAAUGCUUUGUUUAGUGAUUCAUUCAUGUGCCUAGCAGGGUCUCUGGUGAUAAGACGUAGGGAGGGAGAGUGAGUAAGGUGAGACUUGCCUGAAGCAGAUCUCCACUGUUAACUACCCGCACUCCUGGCACAGGGCUCACGUCGAUCCACUGAUUCUGAUGAAGAACUUGGAGACCUCCUACAUGGUCUUGCAGGAGGACGGUGAAGAAGUCGCUGUCAAUGUGCUUGCUGGCUCCUAGAGUGAGCUCUGGUUGUGGGCAUUUGGGGUAGUACUGGCUCAGAAGGAUGAGUCCGUCGGUGCAUUCCAUGUCCUUCAAAUGGUUCGGCUUCAACCCGAGCGCCUCCAACAGGACCUCGGACGAGGUAAUUCCCAAAUUUGUCACUUGCUCCGAGAAUUCCAGCAUUAUGUCACUGGGGGUGUUCAAGAAAAUUUAGCGGGUCAAAUCGUCGCAAAUUUUUAAUGUGUUAGAAGAAAAGACUACAAGAAGUUAUUGCAAGAGAUUGCGGUUGAAUAUUCUGCAGAAUCACUUACCAGCAUACUGCUGGCAAGUCCUCUGCCUCAGGAGCAUUAGGUGCCAUAACACAGAAUAAGGUGUCCCUCCAAUUAGCCACCUCUGCUCUAUACAGGUUGAAAUUGCUAUGGUACACAACGCUUCUCGUGAAAUCUCACGAAUAGAACCGUCUCUGCUCUCCAGCGCCUUGCUCAUGGAAGUGGCACACUCCGUCCAGCAUCUCCUCCAGAACAGCCAUGGGGAUCAUUGAAAGCCUUUAGCUUGCAUUGACAAGGCCCUUGAUACCUUUCUUUGAUUCAUUGAAAAUCUUUAGCUCACAUAUCCAAUCGUACUUCUGUUUAUUUUUAUUUGCUUCAUCUCUGCUGAACAUUUCCAUUUUUCUUCCUUAGUGAAAACACUUGAGUUCCAAGUUCUGAUCUUAUAUUAAACGUUGAAGAAUUUGAAAGACAACGGUCCUGUGGUGUCCCAUGACUGCAUCAAGAACAGUGAGAAGAAAGAAAAAGUACAUACGUUGCAUCACCAUGAAAGCGAUUGGCAUUCAAGAGCAAGGCCAAGAAGCGACAGGCUAUUAUUGUGCAGCCAGUUCGUCUGACUUUCAAGAUUUUAGUUUGGCAUUUUCUAAGUAGUGCUGGUCAAACGCAGGUAUAUCGGAAAAGCAUUUGGGAAACGAAUGGCUUCAAAUACAAGAAGUGAUGAAGUUGAAGAAGCAGUCAGAAAAUUGUAAACAGGCUCAUCAUCUUUGACUGCGCAAAGUCAUGAGAAAAUUAUCAGUUAGCCAACUCAUCUUCUGUAAUUGAGUAAUUCGAAAACUCAAUGAGCAUCAUCUAUAUCUGUGUCCGACAGGCCAUGGCCAGUUCCGAAACUGAUGUCCAAGUGCACUCCCCAUUUGCAAAUUAUUACCGAAUCAAGUUCUACAGAUUAAAGUAUGGUAUGUUGGUACAAUGGUAGCAUGAAAAGGAAUUUUAUUUUAUAGACAAUCAAUACGAAGCUACAGCGACAUGGCUAAUACACUGCAAGCAAAUCGAAAUUCUAAAAUUUGUAGCGAUGCCAUUAAUUGUUCAAGAAGGAUUGUGCAUCUCUUCCUUAGAAGAAAAAUGUAGAGUUUACAGCUUGAAGUGUCUCAGAGGGGAAGUUCCAUCAAGGCCAUGUUCCUUGAAGUAGGCAAGAUAGUCCCUCACUGUGGUCUCUCUGUAGAUCAGAGGAUUGUCCUCAGACAACAGUUCCCUAAUCGGCCCGAAAAGCUUCGACGACGGUUGGAAGCUUGUGCUGAAAAAGCAGGCCACUGAGAUCCUCGGCCCCACCAGGUUUGCUAACACUCUGUGCCCCACGCUUUUGAAUUUUUCGUUCGUUAUGAGCUGAAAGGAAGAAAAUAAGAGGGACAGACUGUUGGAGAAAUCCUCGUGAAGAGUUUUGAAGUUGACAAAACGUUUCCAUCAGUCUAGUCUGAAGGUCUGCAGACUCUGUUAGUUAAAGUCUGAAGACUUCCGUACAGCCAGACUCAAGACUCAAAGUCUAUCCUCAUUGACAGUCUCUGAUCCGUUGAAGAAAGGUUAUCCCGAACUGGAUGUUUUGUUCAGGAUUUAACCUUAUUAUCUGGAGAAGAUCUCGUGGCUGGAGAAGACGUAUCAGAAUCCUUUGAUUGAUCAAGUUUGAUUCAAUGACUGAAGAUUCGAUGAUUGUCUAAAUAUUAUUGGAAGGUUCUACUUAUGGAAACCGAGAUCCUGAUUGUAUGGGCGAACAGGAUUGAUGGGCUAUCAACACGUUCCUUUAAUAGCUCGAACGAUCUUCCUAAUUGAUUCCGUCCAACGGGUAGAUUGGAGGAAUUCCUUUGGUAAGUGCCAACGGGUAUGAUGGCAUAAAGGAUUAUAUAAGGAAGACGUCCUUAGUUGUUCGAGGUGUGCGCGAUAGAAGAAUUCCAAAGUCUGAAGCUCCUAUUUGUUUAGAUAAAUCCUUUGAGCGAAUACUUGUAUACAAAAGAGAGUCUAUAUUUGUGAGAGACCUUGAGGAGGUGUGGUAGUACAUCUACACUGUGGAAUCAAGGUAAAGCUGUGCUGUAACUACUCUUUUGAUCAUAGUGAAAUCCAGCCGGUAGGCUGUCAGUGCGGAAGAGUGGACGUAUGCUUGGAAUAAGCCGAACCACUAUAAUUCCUGUGUUCCAAUUUCUCUCUCUCUACCUCGAUCGUAUUUCAAUUUGUUAAGAAUUGCUUCCGUAUAUCGAAAAACUGUUUGUGCGCCUAUUCACCCCCCCUCUAGGUGUUUAUACUAGCAAUAUCAAUUGGUAUCAGAGCCUUUGUACUUACUUUAUUUGAAGUGUUUUACUUCAUAGUAAAAGAUCCAUGGCUAGUAUGCUAGCACCAGGGCUGAUGGAAGGGCAAAGCAAUACCAGACCACCUUACUUUGAUGGAAAGGAUUACAACAUCUGGAAGAACAAGAUGAAAGCUUUCCUACGAUCAAAGGAUCCUCUGGAAUGGGACGUUGUAGAAAAAGGAAUUACUCCUACCACUGCAUCAGUCUCUGAAAGAGGAAAAGAAAAUGAAGAAUCCAGCGGAAUGUCUCAGGAAGAAAUAAUCAAGAGACAAACACUCGAUGCAAAAGCAAUUUACUCCUUAUAUUGUGCUUUAUCACCAACUGAAUAUAAUAGAAUAUCUUCUUGUGGUACAGCAAAAGAUGUUUGGGACAGAUUGCAUAUCACCUAUGAAGGAACAGAUCGAGUGAAGGAAACAAGAAUCAACAUUCUUCUCGGUCAAUACGAAGCCUUCAGAAUGAAACCAGGAGAAUCAAUAUCUGACAUGUUUAGUCGUUUUACAGAUAUUGUGAAUGGUCUUGAAAAUCAAGGUCAACCAACUUCUAAUCCCAUGAAGGUAAACAAGCUAUUGCGUGGACUCUCCAGGGAUUGGAAUCACAUAAAGACUUCGAUAAGAGAGACGCAGAGAAUUAUGCCUCUAUCUGUUGACGAGCUGAUUGGAACUCUUCAGUCCUAUGAAGUGGAAAGAAUCAAUGAAGAUGAAGAUCCAAAAUGUAAGAAAUCCAUUGCAUUAAAAUCAAAUGAUGAUUCUGAUGAUACAGAUUCUGAAGAUGAUAUGGACGAUGAGGAGCUUGCUCUCAUGAUAAGAAGAUUCAGGAAACUAAACAGAAAAGGAAGAAGGUUCAACUCAAAGAAACAAGGCUUUCAAAGACAGCAGACCAAGUCUGUUGAUGAUGAGGAACCAAAUAAAGAUGUAGUCUGCUUUGAAUGCAAGAAAAAGGGACACAUCAGACCCAACUGUCCUCUUCUGAAGAAGAAGAAAGGAAAAGCUGAAAAAUUUCGAAAAGCUCUCAAAGCUGAAACCUGGAGUGAUACUGAGUGUGAAGAAAGUGAUAAUGAAUAUGCCAAUCUAUGUCUGAUGGCACAAUCGGACUCAGACUCAGACAGUGAAUUUGAGGCAAGUAAUUUUAAAAUUCCUGUCAAAGUUUCUAAAUAUAUUGAUGAACUAUGCUUCAGUCUUAAGACUUCUCUCAAAAGAAUUUCCAAACUGAAAAAAGAAAAUUCAGCUCUAAAACAAAAGGAAAUUGUUUUAGCAGAAAGAGUUAAAAGUCUAGACUUGUCUGUUUCCAAUCUUAAAGAAAAUGAAGAAAAUCUUUUAAAGGAAAAUGUUUUUUUAAAAACAGACUUAUCAAAUAUAUCAAAGAAAUUUUCUAUAGGGUUUGAAAAACUUGAAAAAAAUCUUUCAGCGCAAAGACCUUCCUUCAAUAAGUCUGGUCUAGGUAUGACAGAAGAAACAAUUCCCUUGAUUGAUUUUCCUAAAGUAAAAGAAAGAAUCAAGAAAAGGCUUUCGAGUGAGGUUUACAAAAAUCACUUCAAGAAAGUUUUUGUUAAACCCAUAGGAAGAAAUGCUCUCAGAUGUUCAAAGUGCAACAGUCCAGAUCACUUUGAAAAAGAGUGUCCUAUGGUAUGGAGACCUGUUAAGAAAGUAUGGGCUAAUACUGUUUAUCUUACUAACACCAAAGGACCCAAGAAAAUUUGGGUACCAAAGAAAGCUUGAGACUUUAUUUUAAAUGCAGGUCUCCGUCAAGAAACAGGUAAAGUGGUAUCUUGACAGCGGAUGCUCAAGACACAUGACAGGAGACUCAAAUUGUUUUAUAAAGCUUGCUCAAGUAAAUGGUGGAAAAGUUUCAUUUGGAGGAAACAGCAAAGGAAGUAUUGUGGGAUUUGGAACCGUGAAAAUUGGUACUCUCACAAUAAGUAAUGUCUCCUUAGUGGAAGGACUCAAUUACAAUCUUCUCAGCAUUAGUCAAUUGUGUGAUACUGGUUUCAAGAUAUUCUUUCAAGAAGGAACAUGUUCUGGAAUCAAUAAAGACACUACUCAGUCUUUCAUGGGUCGAAGACAUGGAAAUAUCUAUCUUCUGGAUGUGAAACCAAAUGAAUCGCAAUGCUUUAUCUCAAUUCAAGACGAAGCAAGCUUAUGGCACAAGAAGCUUGGUCAUGUCAACAUGAAGCAAUUAGCCGAAAUCUCAUCAAAGCAGCUUGUUCGAGGUCUACCCAAAUUGCCAUACCAAAAGAUUGAUUCAUGCACUCCAUGUAUUCUGGGAAAACAGGUAAGAAAUUCUUUUAAGCCAAUAAAUCAUGUCUCUACUAAUCAUGUACUACAGUUGCUGCAUAUGGAUCUCUUCGGACCAACCAGAACUCAGAGUAUUAGGGGUAAGAAGUAUUGCCUAGUAAUUGUUGAUGAUUACUCUCGUUUUACUUGGGUAUAUUUCCUCUCAAGUAAGUCCGAAACCUUUUCGUAUUUUGAAAAAUUUGCUAAAAAGGUUCAAAAUGAAAAAGGUUGUGUUAUCUCUAGUAUAAGAACAAAUCAUGGAGGUGAAUUUGAAAAUCAAGAUUUUACAAAAUUCUGUGAUGAAUCUGGCUGUAAGCAUAUGUUUUCCUCUCCGUAUACUCCUCAGCAAAAUGGAGUUGUGGAAAGAAAGAACAGAUCUUUUCAAGAAAUGGCUAGAACUCUUUUAAUUGAAAGUAAAAUUUCUUCUCGAUUUUGGGCUAAAGCUGUUUCAAAAGCGUGCUAUAUCAUCAAUAGAGUCUUCUUAAGAUCUAUUCUUCAGAAAACCCCUUAUGAGUUAUUCAAAGAAAAGAAGCCUAUUGUUUCAUACUUUCAUGUAUUUGGUUGUAAAUGUUUUAAAUUGAAAAAUGCAAAAGAUCAAGUUGGUAAGUUUGAAGAAAGAUCAGAUGAAGGUAUCUUCCUUGGAUAUUCCACAUCAAGCAAAGCUUACAGAGUCUAUAACAAGAAGAGCCAAUCUGUGGAGGAGUCAAUGAAUGUCAAAUUUCAAGACUCAACGCAAAAUGAAUCAAGUCAGACUCAUCAAGAAGAGUCUGAACCUGCUCCAGACCCCCCAAAGUCUACAACUCAAGAAGCAUCUCAGACUCUGGAAAACCAGCAUCAGGUUGUUAGUGAAGAUCCAAAAAGAGAUCAUCAACCAGACAAAUCAACAAGUAACUGGAAGCAUAAGUCCAGUCAUCCCAAAGAUCUUAUAAUUGGCGAAAUUAAUGAAGGAAUUCGCACAAGAUCCAAAAGGCGAGAAGAGUCUAGUGUUGUGGCACUCGUUUCUGAAAUUGAACCAAAGAGCAUAGAAGAAGCUUUAUCUGAUGAAAGCUGGAUUGAAGCUAUGCAAGAAGAGCUCAGACGGUUCAGCAUAAAUGAUGUCUGGGAAUUGACAUCCAAACCAAAAGGUAAAACUGUUAUUGGAGCUAAAUGGGUGUUCAGAAACAAGAUGAACGAGAAAGGAAAAGUCGUACAAAAUAAAGCAAGACUCGUGGCCAAGGGAUAUACGCAAGAAGAAGGAAUAGACUAUGAUGAGACUUACGCUCCAGUGGCAAAGUUAGAAGCUAUUCGACUUUUACUUGCGUUUGCUUGUUAUAAGAAUUUCAGGUUAUUCCAAAUGGACGUCAAAAGCGCCUUCCUAAAUGGAUUUAUCCAUGAGGAAGUAUAUGUGGAACAACCACCAGGGUUUGAAGACUCAAAGAAGCCAGACUCAGUCUUCAGACUGAAAAAGGCUUUGUAUGGUUUAAAGCAAGCACCUCGGGCUUGGUACGACAGAUUAAGUAAGUUCCUAAUACAAAAUGGUUUUGUCAAAGGUAAAGUAGAUACGACUUUAUUUAUCAAGAAGGAAAACAAAAGUUUCUUACUUGUUCAAAUAUAUGUGGAUGAUAUUAUUUUUGGAUCCUCUAAUGAAAGUCUGUGCAAGAAAUUUUCAAAGUCUAUGUAGGAUGAGUUUGAAAUGAGUAUGAUGGGAGAGUUAACAUUCUUUCUUGGUCUUCAAGUAAAACAAUUGAAGCAAGGUACUUUUAUUUAUCAAGAAAAAUAUGUUAAUGAUCUUGUCAAAAGGUUUGGACUGGAGAAGUGUAAAAAGACCGACAUACCUAUGUCAAGUUCUUCGAAGAUAGACAAAGAUGAAGAAGGGAAGAAAGUUGAUCAAAAGCUGUACAGGAGCAUUAUUGGAUCACUUAUUUAUCUUACUGCCUCUAGACCUGAUAUUUUGUUGAGUGUUUGCAUCUGUGCUAGGUUUCAAUCAGAUCCUAGAGAAUCUCAUCUCAGUGCAGCGAAACGCAUCAUUAAAUACGUCGCUUCAUCAUCAAGCAUCGGUCUUUGGUAUCCUAAGAAGGGAGACUUUAAACUUCUGGGAUAUUCAGACGCAGAUCUGGCCGGUUGCAGAGUUGAUAGAAAAAGCACUUCAGGAACUUGCCAGUUGCUUGGAAGCAGAACAGUGUCUUGGUUUUCAAGGAAACAAAGUACUGUGUCUCUUUCAACAACAGAAGCAGAGUGUGUAGCUCUUGGAAGCUGCUGUUCGCAAAUUCUAUAGAUAAAACAACAGCUAAGAGAUUUUGAAAUUGAAGACUCAUGCACGGAGAUUAAUUGCGACAACACCAGCGCUAUCAACCUCACCAAAAAUCCAAUUCUCCAUUCAAGAGCAAAGCAUAUAGAGAUUCGACAUCACUUUAUUAGAGAUCAUGUUCAAAAUGGAGAUGUUUCAAUUCAAUUUGUUGACUCAAAGAAUCAACUGGCUAAUAUUCUCACAAAGCCUUUGGAGAAAAAUCAAUUUGAGUCUAUACGGACCAGACUCAACAUUUUGAGGUAUGAGGAUAUCAAAGUCUAAAGACUCUCAGACUCAGACUUACAAGACUUUAUCUACAGUCUUGGUUCGUCCUUCAGACUGUAAGUCUUUCUCUCUCCAAUCUUAUAUUGAAAAGGUACGAUCAUCAGACUUGUUUAAAUUGUUGCUAUAUUUAAUUGACGUAAAUAUUGCAUCGAUUCAUUUUCAAAAGGGAAGUUAUUUUUGAAAUAGCUAUUUUUGCGGAUAAGGACAGUUAUUUUGAAAAGGCAUAUUUUUAUUUCCUUUGUGACGGUUCGUUUACUCUUCUUUUUAACUGAACGAACACUGUCAAUUUCUCUUCACUUUUCUAAUCACUUCUCUCUCAAAAACCCUAGAAAGCAUCGAUCCUCCAUUCCCGUUUGUCUUCUUCACUAAAUCUUCAAAAAGUUGUCAUCUUUUCUAGGAAAGUCAAGCAAGGAAUCUUCCAAACACUGAGAAAGAUGUCUUCUUCACGAAAGUCGUCAAGAAUCGCAAGCAGGGGACCACAGAGAAUGAGUGAGGGGCCUACGCACUUCGAUCUUACUGAAGAUGAAGUUACUCCAGAUCAGCAACCGAGCCCACAACAUUCUCAGCAGCGUCAUUCUCCACCAUCUAGUCCUUAAGGCGUUGUUAAUCAGCAUUAGGAAGAAAUCGUCGAGGAUGCAGACCCCGUAAGAGUUCAAAAACCCGUUUUUAUUUACAAGCUAUAUCGUGCUUUAAAAGGAAUUCGUACUCCUUUGAACUAUGUUGAUGAUUUUUUCAAAGAAAAAGGAUAUAGGAACGAGUAUAUCUUUCUGCGAAAAAUGGAAAGUUUGGGAAUCGCUCGUAAAGGGGUGGCUGAGGAAACCCUUGCGAAUAUCCCAAGUGAUCCUCGUGACUGGGGGCCGAAUCUUGUAGAUGGGAAUGACGAUGUCAGUCUAUUUCAACCGAAAAUGGGUAUUGCGGCUGAAAUUCAAGGAAAAAUUGGAGAUUUGUUCAGAUCAAAGGAACAAAAAGAUCUGUACUCGAAAUUGCUUAAGCGUGGGGUAAUAAACCCUAGGAGUGUGGACUUUGAUUUUCUGGAUGCUGUGAAAGUGAACUUGAGGGAAAAGUUCAGUUUUCUACAACUUGAAAAGUUCUGCUCCGACUCAACUGAGGCUUAUGCUAAAUUGACUGCAUAUUUCUAUUCAAAUCUUAACUUUUUAGAUGCGAAUAGAUUCUCCUUCAGUGUUAAAGAACAAGAUUAUGUUGUGGAUAUGAAUAUGCUGACAGACGUGUUAGAAGUUGAGAGAGGCAGAUAUCAACCAAUCAAAGUUUCCAUUGCUCGGGCCACACUUGAACUGGUGAAGGACAGGAGAACGGAUGAAAAGAUCACCUACUCAAGGAUGAAUGCAUUCAACAUCCUGCUUCACAAGAUUGUGAUUAAUUGCCUUCGGCCGAAAUCCACUUCCAAAACUGAUGUUUCAAGCUCAGAGGCAAAGUUGAUGUAUGCAAUCCUCUGUGGAAAAAAGUUUUCUCUCCCUCAUACUGUUAUGUUUCACAUGUAUAAAGCAGUGAUGAAGGACAGAGGUCAACUCCCUUACCCAAGCCUUGUUACGAAGUUAUUCAGACAUCUGAAUAUUCAGCCUCCGCAAAUCUUUUGUGUUCGACCAUGCGAUCAUAUGGUGGUAGGACUGAAGAUGGUAACCAAAAUGCGUCUGAAGGAACUGAGCAAGGAAUUGGAGAAAUUCAAGGAGAAGACUCCUGCCAAAUCUCAUCGACUCUCUUCUGCUGCUAAGAGAAAAGAGAAGGAGCCCAUGGUUGCUCCAUCAAAGAGAAGAAGAGCUCUCCUCGUUGAGGAUGAAGAUGAUGACGAUGACAUCACCAUCUCUGCAAUGGCUUUGAAGAACUUAAGUCGUCCUGUUCCACAGAAAGAAUCAGAACAAAAGACGACAGAAGCAGAGGAGAAGGAAGAAGAAGAAAGAGAAGCAGAGCAAGAAGCAGAGGAAGAAAGACCUAAAGAAGAAGAAAGAAGAGAAGAAGGAGAACCUGAGGAAAUCUCUUCUCCACCUAUAGGCAUGGAAACAGGGGGAGAUCAGGAGAAAUGAGUGACGUCUUCAUAUCCUAAUGCAAGUGAAGGAGUCAGUCGCUCACCUGCAGACCCAGAAGAUGUUUAUGCAUCUCAAUUUCCAGAGGAAGGUCAUGAAGCUUCAUCGCCAAACCUGCGAGAUUAUGCUGAUCCAUCAUCGUCUACUUUUACUCCAGAUCGAGCCGAAGCAAGUACUCAGACUAAUAAUGGAGCAGAUUUUCGCAGAAUCAUGGAUAUUCUCUUGGAGAUGAAAGGUCAGAUUUAUGCCUUGGGAUGCGAAGUUCAAAGCUUGAAGAAUGAAGGUCAAGCUUCUUCCUGUUCAUUGAAUGAAAAGAUGCAAGCCCUCUCUAUUCAGAAUCAGGCCAAUGCCAAGAGUGAGGAGGUUGUACAGCUGAAGGAAGACUUUAAAAGGCUGGAAGGCAUUGUUCAGUCUAUGGAAGAUUUCCAGCUUGUCCGCGUUCCCAAGCAAUCUUGACUUCAUCUCAUCCUUUUUAAUGAUGACAAAAAGGGGGAGAGAUGCAAGAUUUGAUUCAAAAACUUUUCAUUAAACUUUUUGUUGGACUGUUUUGAGGUUUAUGGUUUGAACCUGUUUUUUGACUUUGUUUUGUGUCUGGAUAAGAACUGCCUAGACUUGGACUUGACUUGACUGCUUCUAUUAAUCAAUAUUGAUAUCUUAUGAAUGGCUUAAUCAUAUACUGGACUAACCUAUUUUCUGUGGUUGCAGAUUCUAGUGUUAUUCUAUUAGUCAUUUAUUUCUAUAAGAUAUGCAUAUGUGUUUGAGAAAUGUUUUGCAGGUCAAAGUUAUCCAAAUCUGCAGGAAGGUUUUGUCACCAUCAAAAAGGGGGAGAUUGUUGGAGAAAUCCUCGUGAAGAGUUUUGAAGUUGACAAAACGUUUCCAUCAGUCUAGUCUGAAGGUCUGCAGACUCUGUUAGUUAAAGUCUGAAGACUUCCGUACAGCCAGACUCAAGACUCAAAGUCUAUCCUCAUUGACAGUCUCUGAUCCGUUGAAGAAAGGUUAUCCCGAACUGGAUGUUUUGUUCAGGAUUUAACCUUAUUAUCUGGAGAAGAUCUCGUGGCUAGAGAAGACGUAUCAGAAUCCUUUGAUUGAUCAAGUUUGAUUCAAUGACUGAAGAUUCGAUGAUUGUCUAAAUAUUAUUGGAAGGUUCUACUUAUAGAAACCGAGAUCCUGAUUGUAUGGGCGAACAGGAUUGAUGGGCUAUCAACACGUUCCUUUAAUAGCUCGAACGAUCUUCCUAAUUGAUUCCGUCCAACGGGUAGAUUGGAGGAAUUCCUUUGGUAAGUGCCAACGGGUAUGAUGGCAUAAAGGAGUAUAUAAGGAAGACGUCCUUAGUUGUUCGAGGUGUGCGCGAUAGAAGAAUUCCAAAGUCUGAAGCUCCUAUUUGUUUAGAUAAAUCCUUUGAGCGAAUACUUGUAUACAAAAGAGAGUCUAUAUUUGUGAGAGACCUUGAGGAGGUGUGGUAGUACAUCUACACUGUGGAAUCAAGGCAAAGUUGUGCUGUAACUACUCUUUUGAUCAUAGUGAAAUUCAGCCGGUAGGCUGUCAGUGCGGAAGAGUGGACGUAGGCUUGGAAUAAGCCGAACCACUAUAAUUCAUGUGUUCCAAUUUCUCUCUCUCUACCUCGAUCGUAUUUCAAUUUGUUAAGAAUUGCUUCCGUAUAUCGAAAAACUGUUUGUGCGCCUAUUCACCCCCCUUCUAAGUGUUUAUACUAGCAAUAUCACAGACAUCAUUAGCAUCCACCCCUUUACCAAAAUGCUCACCAAGGGCAAGAAAUCCCUUGGCAAAGAGUAUCUCCCAGGAUCCCCGAGUCAUCGCCCAUGCUGUUCACAUAAAUUUCGGGUGUUUUGAUAAUUUACUCGGUACUUUGUAUUCGGCGAUAUCAGAUCAUGUGCUAGCAAUGCUUUGUCAAUGCCCUUUGAAAUUAACUUCCAGCACUAGUUUCCCUAAAGACAAUUGACAUGGUGACGUCGUUUUCAUUUAUCCAAGGGGUUGCUUGCAAAGUGGUUAAAUGUUACAUCUAAUAUCGCUAGAUAUAAUAAUAGGGUCGAAUCAAAUCAAACAACAAGAGAAACUUGCCUGUAGGAGGUCACCGACAUUGACCACCAGAGCUCCAGGGACCGGAGGAACAUCAACCCAGCGGUUGUCAUGGAGGACUUGGAGGCCUCCGAUAUGGUCCUGCAGGAGCACCUUGAGGAAGUCGUUGUCGGAGUGCUUGCUCGUCCCCAUCGUCAGCUCAGGCCUUGGGCAUGCCGGGUAGUAGUGGCAAAUGACCACGAGGCCCUCCGCGCAAUCCAUCUCCCGGAGGCGAUCCAAUCUCAACCCAAGAGACUCAGACAAGAGCUCAAACAGCAACCCACCUAAGCUCAUCACUUGUUUGGAGUAGUCCAUCAGUAUGUCCCUACAAUUUUAGUCAUGAAAGUCAUUUAGGCUAGAUCCACUUAUAAAAUUAUGGAAUAAGUGUAUUGGAAGACAUAAAACUUAUUACAAAAAUAUAAAAAAAAAAUCAAAAAAAUACUCUUAAAUCAUAAAACUUGUCAAAUUUGUUUAACCAAGUCAUUUCGUUAAUUUCACUUUUUGAAAAUUUUAAAAUUCGAUGGUACUUUCAUGAUAUAUUUUAAAACUUGAUGCAUAAAUUUUCAUAAUAAGUUUUGCAACUUAAUUAUACUUUUUAAAAAAUUUAGAAUUAAAUUGCACUUUUCAUGAAAAAUGUUAGGAUUUUUAGUAAAUUUAUCCCUAAAUUUACUUUUUAUAUUGAGAUUUUUUAGGUAUUUCAGUGAAAUAGAAUUAGAUUUAAAAAAGAAAGUCAUCCCAAAGGUAAAAAGGCGGCUUUGUGAAAAACAACAUAUUUUGUAACGUCGCAGGUGAAAAUGGCAUCGGCGACUCCGGGAUGGACGGCACGUUACCUGCAAACCUCCGGCAGCUCCUCCGGCGACGGCGGGCUCGGCGCCAUGUAGCAGAAGAAGGUGUCCCUCCAGUUAGCCACCGCCGCCGUGUACAGGUCGAAAUUGCUGUUGUACACCACCUUCCUCGUCACGUCCCGCGUGUAGAACGCCUUCUUCGCCUCGUCGUCUUGCUCGUAGAACCGCCUCACCCCCUCCUUCAUCUCCUCCAUCGCGGCCGCCGGCACCCCGUGGUUCACCACCUGG
rnacentral:lncRNA from 1 species